rnacentral:lncRNA from 1 species
GAGGCUCGAGUUCAUUGACGUGGACAAGUGCGAGUGCAAGUCCACCCUCAUCGAGGGUGGUGGCAUCGGCACGGCGAUUGACACGGCCACCUCGCAGAUGAAGGUGAAGCCGACAGCCAACUGUGGGAGCGUAGUGAAGGUGAAAUCGACAUACAAGCUGCUGCCAGGCGUGGAGGUGAACGAUGAGAUCUCCAAGGCCAAGGACUCUAUGACGGCCAUUUUCAAGGCCGCCGAGGCCUACCUUAUCGCCAACCCGGAUGCCUACAACUAAAUCAGUUGAGAGAGAUCAUAUAUGAUUUUUGCGUGCUUUCUUCCCGAUCUAAUAAAGCUUCUCCAACUUCCAAGUAGUGACAGCAAGAGAUCUGACCACGGUGUGGACUAGAGAAGUUUAAAAUGUUUGUAUUUGUAACAAUUAUCAAUGGGUGAUAUUGUUUGAUGAUGUUGCUGCUUGCUUGCGCACGUUCCUCUUGUUUUUGUACUGGAAUAAAAAGAAUUAUUUGAAACAUAUAAAGAGCUCAUAUAUGUAUUUUGAAUUGGAUAUUUAUGUUCCGAGAAGGUUUUAUUCUUGCCUUCUUUUUGAAAAGCAAGAUGGCCCCCACGUCUGCAUCAUAAGGAUGCAUGCAAUCAUAUAUUAUUAAUAAUGCAAAAUUCAGCAGCAACCGAACAACAUCAAUCGAUAAAUAAAGCAAAAAAUAAACCCUAAGGUUGUAUACCUCGCGAGAGUAGCUCACCAUAUAGCCACUAACCCUAUGUUACAAUAGACAUGAGAAACGGAAAAAAUACAUAACUCCUAGGCUAUGCCUUCAAGAAGGAAUCGUCACACAUGCGUCGAUGAUGGCCAGACCACCACAAGGUUGAACUUCGGAUUCUCAUCCCCAAAGCCAAGCUUCAAUCCACCACCUUCAGCAAUGAAACAACGCACGCAUCACAUAGCACGAUUAGAGACCGUGUGUUUCUGCGGAGUGCAUAAACUCGUCGUUGAAGUCGUCCAUACCAUCGCCCUUUUCCGUCUGCACACACCUCAAUAGCCGGAUACCUCUAGAGAAGACAAUGUAAGACAAAGACGUCCCAUACAAUCUGCAUCCCGCUACUAUCGCACCACCUUCCAUCCAACAGCAACAGACUAAGCAUGACACCCCCGCCAGAGCCACCAUGCAUCACCUGCCAGUAGCAUGCAUGACUUGAUGUCUCCGAAUAAGACAUCAUGUGUAGCAUCCAACGGUGGCUUCAACUGUCGGUAACUGGCACUACCCAACAACUCCGAAAGAGGCACAUGUGUCACCUGCCGAGCCACAUCAAACCCAAUUUGUUGAUGGAGGGGCCGUACGAUACCGCCACCAGUCGCAGAAAUGUUGUCACCACCUUGAUAUCCAGACUCCGAGUCGCCCACACGCCACAGGAGUCCGCCCUCGUUGAGAAAGAGGGGUUGUUGCCCCAAUUUCGAGCACUAUAGGGACCACCCAUAUUCGCGCCCGCCACGAUCCCGCAUCAGACGCCGGAGGAAGAUACGUCCGUCACUCAAAUAUAGGAAGAGAUUGUUUUAAUGUAUAAGCCAUUUUAUUUUUAUCGGCACCACAUUUGCCUCUCUUAGGGUAAUUUGGUUUCUUCGAUGGUAGCUUUGUUGACGACACGUCCUAUCCUCUCCUCAUGAGCUACUCGGAAUCUAUGGACGCGGCCACUACCCCCUGCUAUGCAUGCCUCACAGCCCCAACAGACGCCCGAUCCCGCCUAUAAUAUCUCAUCAACUUCCUCGACCGAAGACCCCACUCCAUGAGCCCUCUCUGCAAAGGCUACCCAGAUUUAACCCACAACCAUUGCCUAUGUACCAAGCUCCGACGGGCAAUGCCGGUGAGCCCGGGUAAACCCCGAACCUGCCUUCUCACCUAUUGGGUCUACGCACUCUGGCACAUGUUUCUUAAAUCCCACGCCUGCACAGACUGUCCACGGGACGCAAGCGCGCCAUAAUCGGAACACCGCCUUCACCACGUCCUCCAUUCCUGCGACCUAAGGACGAACCCGAGCCCAUGACCUUGUGCAUUGGCUUCGCCAUGCCACCACAUGUCUAACCAACCAAUCGUGCUACCCUGCCUUCAUGAAGUGAUGCUUGUGAGUGUUAGUGAAUUAUGCUAAUGCUAUUCGAGGCAUGUCCAUCAUACCCAUAAUUAUAUUUUUGUUGCAAGAGUUCAUCCAAAGUGUUUCCCCAAAAAAAGUGUUAGCUAGAGGAAAUAGAAUAAUUACUAGUUGACUACUUUGUCUAAGUUAAUGAUUUUUUUGUUCUUAUCAUCUUGUCCUAACAGGCUUGCAUAUUAAUGAGUGUCGCCUCUACAACUAUGCUAAGUUUUCGUGUGAAUAAAGCGUUGGGCUAUCGACACAUAUCGGGCAUAAGUGAAUCAAAAUAUUCUCAUUAUUUUGGUUUGUACAGUGAGUUCCAUAUGAUAUUGUAUCUUUCUUGAGUAUGAUCGAGAUGUAAUCUUGGGAAGUAGAUGAGUGUAUUUUACACUCACUUUUACCCAUGUUUAUAGUGGACAAUUUCAGACUUUCCAAAGAUAGUCACUUUGACUUGCCUAUUUGUGACAACAAAUUGGAAAGAUUGUAAAUCUCUUUGUUUCCUACAUAAAUUAACAUUUUUAGGUGAUGAAUCAAGUCAUAAAAUGGAAAUAAUACGCGCAAAGAUUAAUGCCAAUCAACCAAAGGCAUGUAACCUAACUCCAGAGGUGAAGACGACAUUCGGCAUGACCAUACGCUUGUACCAAUGCUCAUACGAUGCUCCACCGACUUCGUGAUGUCAGCACUGACAACUUCCGUGAAAGCACCCUAAGGUCGAUUCACAUAACAUAUAAACGGGAGAAAAAACCCUUCAACGUGGAGAGUCGCUCCAUUCAUCAAGUUCAUCCAUUCGCCACCGUGGUAACCAUUACCUUCUACAACAUUCAUCACCACUGCAUAGACAUUUCCACUGUCAUAGACUCCAUCUCAAUUAGCCAUUGUACUUGUACUCAAGAGUACAUUACAUUUGGUAGCUGGUUCCUCCGAAGUUUCCCUCGGGAUAGCAGGAGCAAGUUACGAGCUCUAUCAGGUAAAGCCAUUUAUUAAAGACAUUAGGAACGCAACUUCCUCAAUCUAUUCUCAAUCUUUAAACAGGUAGGACGAUGUGUCUGCUUCGGCUAGCUGUACCAUGGAACCGGGUGCUCGAAGUGGGCCAUUUUUUGUAAGCCGAACUAACGAUGAGAUGAAUCGGAAGCAGGAUUAUGGUUGCCAACUAUGAUAUCAUUGUUUGUGAUUUGUUCAUGAUGUGUGAGUAGUCCCGUCACGCUAAUGUCCAAGGCAUAGCCUCACAACCACUAUGUAUGUGUAUUAAGUGAUUGUGGAUUUACUUUAAGAUUUAACGUUAUUUCUCUGUGUUGCACAAUCAUGGCUUUGCAGGUACCCAAGAUAUCGAAGACCAGAAAAGGAGAGGUAAGGACAGAGAGGACUGGAAGGCUAUGCCGAAUGUUGCCGAUAGUAAGAUUAGUAUGGUAGUUAGAACCGAGUCUCUCGGGAUUUCCUUAAUAAUAGAGGUAACCCCAUGAGAUAGACAUGGCUUUGAUGGGCUAAGAGAAGUUCAAUGCGGUGGCAGUAUGUCGUCAUGUUAUUUGUAACUUUUUGUACAUGAAAUAUGAAUACAUUUUCUAUGUGCCUGCAAAGUUUCAUUACCAUAUGACAUGGGGGGAGCUCAGGACAGAAAAAAAAUAAAAUCUAUGUUCCGAAGUAAAAAAAAAAAUCUUUCUUAAAACUUUGAUUUUUGUUUUUCUUGUCUAGAGCUCUCCCGGUGUCAUACCGUCAAGAAAUUUUGGAGAUGCAUUGAAAACUUGUUCAUCUUUCAUGGAUUUAUAUUAUUUUUAAAUGUAUAUUAUUUUUAUUUUACUUUUCAUCCAAAGAAGCAGAUGAGCUCGAGCAUUAAAACUCGCUCCUUCCCCUGAUCAUUUCUUGAAUAAAACUCUUAAGUCCAUGUAAAAUGCAAGGUGCUAGUUAGUUUCUUCAAAAAUAAAUCAACUUUUAUUAAGCACCAAUUUUUGUUUUUAUAGCAGACGUGCCUAAAUAAACGCAUGCGCUUGGCUCCCUUGUAUCGCUCCCGGCUAAUCCCGGGGCCCUCCGGUGAUGGGGACGGCGGGGAUCUAGGCUGCAGCCCCACGGUCUGGAGGGACCGGCGACACGAGAUCGCCCUUCGUUCUUUGUCUUUCCCAACGGUUCGGCACUGCUCCGCUGCUUCGUGGGAAGGGCGGACCAGGAGGGGAUGUGGCCAUGGUUGACUGGUCGACGGUGCAUUCGGCGAGAUGUGAUCUGGCCGGUGCUACUGGCGAUGGUGGCCAUCUCCUCCAUUGGAGGUGGUCGGCCUAAGGCUAGAUGGUCACAUCUCGAGAUCCGUCGUCUAGUUCCAGCUGUGAGUUGGGAAGACACAGUUGCGGAUGAAAACCAAGCCGAUGGCAGGCGAUGACGGUGUUCUGUGUCGUUACCUUGAUGAAGGCAUCGUCGUGUAACUACUGUCAUCCCACUCGUGCUGCUCCGGGGGAAACCUAGGAUCUAGUCUUCCAGAUUGGACGAUGGCGGUAUUGCGGUGUCGUCUUCUCUCUUGGGAGCAUCGUUUGUGGAGCAAAGCUGGAAGACAGAGGCAGGAGGUGGUGCGGCUUCGUCUUGGACGAAGCUUUCGGUGGAGAUGUCAAGGCAUGCCUGGCCGAUAGGUGAUACGUACGCUCGAGGUCAUACCUGGUCAGCAGGUGUUUCGCACGACAGAUGUCCAGAAUCUUCAUGUGUGGACGGACGAGCGUGGGAUGGUGGCGCCGUUGGGCUCCGUGGUGGCGUCGACGGAUGGACGGACUUGCAACGAUGAAGCAGAUCUCUCUCCUGAAGAUGGAUCAACAGUUAGAUGAUUAUGGCGGCGUCUAAAACAUAUGCAUGUGGUGUACGCUUUAUGAAUGCUGCACUAGGUUCCGAUAUGUUAUGUGGAUGGAUUGACAAUGGCUCCUGUUUUAGAUAUGGGGAGUGAGAGCACUCCAUAUUGUCGAAUUUUGUAGGUGUGAGUGAUGGUUCGGAUGACUUGAUAUAUGUUUUUGUUAGAAACAUGUUAAAUAAUAAAUAAAGAUGGCCGUAUGCAUCAAUUUAUGCAGAGAACGGGAUUUUAACCUCCUUUUUCAAACAAAAAAAAUCUCUGUAAUCAGCCUUCAUUGUGCAUGAUCAAAGUUGAUAAAGCGUGAUAUAUAUACAAUGGUUUUGCUUAAAAGAAACAACAACGUGUGUUUUCCAGUACAUGCGGUGAGCAAAAUAUGAUUAUAAACGAAUGCAACCCAGCAUCUCAACUAGCUGAUUUAUGUGUAAUGAUACAUGUACAAGCUCACAGACAUUUGUUAAUGAGUAACACAGCUGGAUAAUUAUCAGCUACUAGUACUAGAGCAAUUUCCCCACGGGGACCGUGGUGCAAUUCUUCUCCUAACUAAAGAUUGACAAGCUCUUAAAAACAACACUAAAGAUUGACAAAAGCACGGGCUUUCAGACCCAGCAAUGAUAAAAGCUUAGCCGCCAUCCAAUUUGGAAAAGCUCUUUGGCGCCUUCACCACUCUCCACUCACCAGACCCAUUCGGGCCAAGCUUCACCAACCCCGCUUUCGAGAUCCUAUAUAUAGCGCUCACUUCUGCUCUCUAGAAAACCAAGCAGCUCUGCGCCAUUACAACAGUCAUAGUUCACAUCAUUUGUUGUACUUGUACUAGCUUGAUCAUCAUAGCAAUGGCCUCCACCAACAGCUGGACCCAUGAGAUUGAGUCGCCGGUCGCUGUCACGCCUCUUCCGUGCCGGCGUUAUGGACUGGCACACCUUGGCCCCCAAGCUCGCGCCAUAGAUCGUCACCAGCGCCCACCUUGUUGAGGGAGAAGGCGGCAUCGGUAGUGUCAGGCAGUUCAACUUCAUCUCAGGUAUAUAUGCAUCAUAUAUACAACUCAUAUCACCUACUGUCUGGUACCUAUGGUCAAACCAUAACACAUAGUUGAUCUUCCAGCCAUGCCCUUCAACCUCAUGAAGGAGAGGCUCGAGUUCAUUGACGUAGACAAGUGCGAGUGUAAGUCGACCCUCAUCGAGGGUGGUGGCAUCGACACGGCGAUCGAGACGGCCACAUCGCACAUCAAGGUGGAGCCGGCAGCCAACGGUGGGAGCGUAGUGAAUGUGGAAUCGACAUACAACCUGCUGCCGGGCGUGGAGGUGAAUGAUGAAAUCACCAAGGCCAAGGACUCUGUGAUGGCCAUUUUCAAGGCCGCCGAGGCCUACCUUAUCGCCAACCUGGAUGCCUACAACUAAAUCAGUCGAGAGGGAUUAUAUGUGAUUAUGCUUUCCCUAGUUUGACUUUUGCGUGCUUUCUUCCACAUCUAAUAAAGCUGCUCCAACCUCCAAGUAGUGACAACAAGAGAGCUGAACAUGGUGUGGACUUGAGAAGUUUAAAAUGUUUGUAUUUGUAACAACUAUCAAAGGGUGUUCUUCCUUGAUGUUGCUGCUUGCUUGCGCACGUUCCUCGUGAUUUUGUACUAGAAUAAAAGGAAGUAUCUGAAACACAAACAGAACUCGUAUAUAUAUUUUGAAUUGGAAGUUUGUGGGCUGAGAAGUUCUUAUGUUUGCUCGACUGAAGAUAAUUUCACUCGCUCUUUUCAAAUAGGAAGAGCUAUUUUUAAUGUACAAUCCAUUAUGUUUUUAUUUUUGGCAUCACAUUUGCCUCUAAUAGGUUUAUGCGGUUUCUUCAGAUGUAGCUUUUUUGACGAUUCGUCCUAUCCCCUCCCGUUGAGCUACUCGGAAUCUCCGUCCGCAGCCACGACCCCUGCUAUGCAUGCCUCAUAGUCCCAACAGCCACCCAAUCCUGCCAAUGAUAUGCCCUCAACUUCCUAAAACCCACUCCAUGAGCCCUCUCCGCUCAGGCUACUUGGAUUUAACCCACAACUGCCGCCUAUGUACCAAGCUCCGACGGCGAUUCCGGUGAGCCCAGGUAAACCCAGAACCUGCCUUCUCACCUAUUGAGGCUACAAACUCUGGCGCAUGUUUUUGAGAUGCCACGCCUUUCCAUACCGUACAUACACAGCCGCGAGCGCGGCAUACAUGAACACUGCCACGAUCACCAUUCCAAUGAGGUAAGCACCAACCUGGGCCCGGGACCUUGUGCAUUGGCUUUGCCAUGCCACCGCAUGUCUAACCGACCAAUCGCGCUACUAUGCGUUCAUGAAGCGAUUCUUGCGAGUGUUAGUGAAUUAAAUACCGUGCUCUUUGAGGCAUGCCCCUCAUAUCCAAAAUCAUAUUUUUAUUGCAAUAGUUCUUUUAAAGUGUUCCUGAGAAAAAAAACAUGUUAGCUAGACAAAAUAAAAUAAUUACUUGUUGACUACUUUGUACUAAAUUAUCUAUGUGCCUGCAAAGUUUCAUGACCAUAUUAUGACAUGGGGGAGCUCAGGACAGAAAAAAAAGUUAUCAUUUUUUUUGUCCCGAUCUCUCUUGACGUCAUAUCGUCAUAAAAUUUUGGAGACACAUAGAAAACUUUUCAUCUUUAUGGAUUUAUAUAUUAUUUUUUCAAAAUUUUCCUAUGUUAUUUAGAUUGUACUGUUCGCCCAUAGAAGCAGAUGAGCUCGACCACUGAAACUACCUCCUUCCCUAACCAUCUCUUGAAUAAAACUCUUAAUUCCAUGAGAAAUGCAAUUCGACUCGCGGGAGCAUGUGCUCCUGUCCAUGGAAAAUGAAUUUUGAUAUGUCAAGGAAAUCCUAACAAAAAUGUUAUGUUUUCUUUGUCACAUCCAAAUGCUACUCGGAAAUUUUUAGGCCAAAAGGUCAAGUAUUUUGGCAUCUGCAAAAUAAACAAAUUAAGCAUCAAUUGUUACCCCAAAAUAUCACAUUCAAUUUUUUUUCCACCGACGAAACACCACUGCUUCGUUUCGGAUGAAAAUUGUCAGACAUGCUUGAGACAGUAACACGAACAUCUAUAAAACACCUCUGCCUCAAAUCCAUGUACAAUGCAAGGUGCUAGUUAGUUGCUUGAAAAAUAAAAUAAAAUAAUUAAGCACCCGUUUUUGUUUUUAUAGCAGACGUGCCUAAAUAAACACAUGUCCUAUUGUACAAAUAAAAUAAGCAUCGGUUCUAUAAAAAAGAACCAAUUCAUUUCCACAGGCAUCUCUCUUCAGCCUGCAUUGUACAUGAUCAAAGAUGAUAAAGCGUGAUAUACAAUGGUUAACGUGUGUUUUGCCAGUACAUGCGGCGAGCAAACUAUGAUUACAAAGGAAUGUAAACAAAGAUGGUUGGAUGCCCAUUGAUGCACAGAACGAGGUUUUUAACCUUCUUUUCCAAAAAAAAUUCUCUGUAAUGAGCCCGUAUUGUGCAUGAUCAAAGUUGAUAAAGCGUGAUAUACAAUGGUUUUGCUUAAAAGAAACAACAACGUGUGUUUUCCAGUACAUGCGGUGAGCAAAAUAUGAUUAUAAACGAAUGCAACACAGCAUCUCAACUAGCUGAUUUAUGUGUAAUGAUACAUGUACACGCUUAUCACAGGCAUUUGUUAAUGGAUAAUGCAGCUGGCUAAUCACCAACCACUAGAAGAAUUUCCCCACGCGGAGAAAAGCUCAAGCUUUCACACCCAGCAAUGAUAAAAGGUUAGCCGACCGACGGUGCCAUCCAAUUUGGAAAAACUCAUGCCUGGCUUUGGAGCCUUCCCNNNNNNNNNNNNNNNNNNNNNNNNNNNNNNNNNNNNNNNNNNNNNNNNNNNNNNNNNNNNNNNNNNNNNNNNNNNNNNNNNNNNNNNNNNNNNNNNNNNNNNNNNNNNNNNNNNNNNNNNNNNNNNNNNNNNNNNGCUUUGGAGCCUUCCCCAGUCUCCACUGACCAGACGCAUCCGACUAAGCUUCACCUGAUAGAUCCCGUGGAUCUUAGGCUAGAUGUGUUCGAUAUGAAAUAGUAGAUUUAUUACCUUAUGGUGAACUCGAUGAGCUCUUUCGAGAGACCGUCGUGAGGUGGUGACGACGGUGGGGAAGCAGAGAGAGAUCCGGUAGCGGCGGUGAUGGACUUACCAUCGCUUCAGUGCUACCCUCUGGAUCGAAUUAGGGUUGAGAGUGGGGAACCAGUGGCGGCGGCGAACCUCGUGUCAUGUGCCAUGGUCCCCACCUCCUCUAUAUAGCACUGCGCGAUAGGGGGCCACCAGCCUUGUUUGGGAUGGACGCCCCCGAUCAGGGCGUGGGUCAAGGUUCCAAUGGGCCGUUGGGCCAUUGAAGAGAGAUCAACCUAACAUUCUCCCCCUCGAUCUCAUCAUAUGCUUUUAACUUUACUCGUUUCGCAACAGAUCAAUACAUAAGGCAUGUUUCAUCGUCACGGCUCAAUUGGCGAUGGAAUCAGACAACCACAAUGUACCUGUCUAUUUUGAGACAGAUUCUUUAACCUUGGGCCCUUUAUUGUCCGGAAAUUUUAGACUACGCCAUAAAACCCAUGUCGAUUGUGUGUUCUCCGAACACCCUGGGCGGUAAGCCUUUGAUAAGCAGAUCUGCAAACACUUGUUUGUUGCUUUUAUGCUUCAAGCAUUUUUCCACAAUUCCGGACUUUCUCCUUCACAACACGCAACUCUUUGUCAGUGUGUUUGGCAUCAACACUAGACUCGUUGUGACAGGAGAGAAAGAACUUAAAAUGUUAUCGUUGUUGUCAACCAUUAUCAACUCCGGGUACAGGUAGCCUUAACCAUUUUGCCUGUCCCUCAGCCUCAUAUCAAGCUAUAACAUAUCAUUGCAUCACAUUGAUGACAAUCGUUUCACUCAUUUGGAGAUUUUCCACACAAAACUCCGAGUAUGGAAGUUAGCGACGAUUGUGGAUUUCGCUAUACAUUUCACAAGUCCUGCCUUUGUACUCACAAUCUUUUGAGAGCACUUAUUUCUUUCAGCAUGAGGCCUAUAUCUUUGAUUCCAUUCCAUUAAUUUAUCUAUGGACUGGACAUUGCCAAAACAACCCGGAUAUAUACGUGAACUGUGUCAGGGUAAUAUCUUGAGCUUUCAACAACUGAAGCAUAUGGUACCAUAUUCGUUUACAAUCUUUUUUUAUUAACUUUUGAAACACCAUAGUUUCCAGUUCAAUUACCCUUGACUAUAAGAACAGGCGUAGGUUUUCUCGUAUGCAUACUUUAGAGAUCUUUCCUAGCAUGUCCAUGCGACAUUUCUAAUACCCCUUUUAUUCUUUUGAACUUUGAGGACAAGAACUUCUUCUCUCCUCCUACACUAGAACUGACAUCACCACUAGCAAGUAGGACGUCAUCCAGAUGCACAGGAAUUGGGAAACGAAUUUCCCAUUCUAUAACUUUGCAUGGAUGCAAUUGUCCUCUUAUUUUCUUUGCAAAAAUCUUUCGAUUUAAGUCAUGUUUUACACCUUUACAUAUUUCCUUUGGAGUCACAUUUGCCUUGUAGACCCUUCAUAAAGUCUAUGUUAGUGAAAUUCAAAUGAUGGAAUUUCACUAACAUAGACUUUAUAGUAGUCACAAGUGUCUGAUUUUCACAUUCCUAGAGACCAUCAAAAUCUCAGGUACUUGCACUUCUUUCAUAUGGGGUUGUCGUUGCUCUGUCAUUGCCAAGAGGCAAAUUAAUUCUAUAGUCACCCAUUUCCAAAAGGCAAUAGGUUUUACAGGGACCUGUAUCACAAGAUCCCUUGUAGAGCUUACAACAUGUGUUGUAUAGGUCAUACAACAUGCUCCCCCAGAUUACUCCAUCUUCACUAAAGAAAUGGCGUAUCUUUAAACUUUCUUCUUUAUGACACUUUAAGCACCAUUGUUGUAUUCCUUAGUCUGCUUUCAGAACUAUAAAAGAUCCGGAAAUACAACUGUUUCUUUUCUUUAGGGGUAUCAUAAUGACGGUAUUCUAAUGACUGUCGUACUCCCCUUGACAAUCACAUUCUUCAUUAAUGGAUCACUUUAGAUGCAUAAUGUGCAUCACAUCAUCUAAAGUACAGAGGAGUAAUGUGCAUCACAUCAUCUAAAGUACAGAGGAGUCAUGAAAUACACUACAAUGUAUUUCAUGUCUCUUUCUCCCCCUCGAAAUGUGGCUAGAACUUUUCUGCCACAAUUUCGAAACCCAUUAAUAGCUCUUGUGAAAUGAGGAAACUUCGAUUAUCUAGCUCAUUCAUCUUAUCACUUCAUGUAAAAUGAAGUUAUAAGUUAACUAGUAUGGGAGUACUUUUUCCUCAUUUUAUUUCAGAAACUCAACAGAGUUCUUUAUAAUUGUCACUUUUGCAAGUCACACUUGCAUAUCAUUCUUGUCUUUAGGUUCCUCUGUUACUUUUAUCCUUUCUGGAUUUAGUGAUUGCUUAAUGACUGUUACACAUAAGGUGUACGGUCGAUACUAGGAAGGCUUAAUAGCUACUCCAUACUUUUCUCCCAUAGUGGGACACAUUAAGUGCACAUGAGUCAUCAUAACUUUCUCCUGUCAUCCAGGAUAAGGCAUUUGUCAAAAUUUCUCCCGCCAUACACGGAUUGUUGACAUAAUACAAUGUCAACUUUACCCGGUUACGCAGGCAUUUUUCCCAGACUUUUCCCGCCAUGCGGGUAAUUCCCUGUAAGGGACAUAAAUGCCAUAGUUGGCUCUUUUGACUGCAUCAAAUUCAGAAAUAAAUCUGAAUUAUCUUUGACACACAUGUUUGAUCCGACGUUGGUCAAAUUAAACAUGCAUGUUGCUUGUUUCAUUUCAAUCAUGUUGACUGAAAAAAAGGAGACUUCAUCAUAGAGAGUACAUCAAAGACAUUCGUCAACCAAGACUCUCAAUGCUCUAUCUCUUUUCUUUUCUUGAAUUAAUAUCCAGGAGUUCUUUUCUUGUGAAGCCAUUCUUUAGAGAAAAUUUAUUCCCUCAAGUUAUGACCUUUCUUUUCCAUCUUUCGGGUCACUAGUAGCCAAAACAUUCGCUUUCAUGAGUGAAAGCUUGAAUAACUUUUAGUCUGAGAAAACUUAGUCAAUAAACAACGGUAAUGAGCAUAAAAAUAACCCUACGUUGGUCUGAUUAAAAUCAUGCACAUUAAACCUUUUAAAACUUUCUGGAAUAUUCUAAAUCACCGUGGUGGCAGAUUAGAAUAAAACAUCAUCCUUCUAAAUUAAUUCCAUAUCACCGUUGGGCAGAAAUGGAAAUAAUGCAUAUAACUCAUAAACAAUGUGAUGAUAGUAUUCUUAUUGAACAACUUUGCUAAGAAAUAAUCAUCAUCAUUAACCAUAUUGCAGCAGAAAUAGAAAUAUGCAUUUCUCUAUCUGUGCUCCAAAAAUUGAUCACUUUGAUACAAAAUUUAUCAGAGAUUUAAGCUUUAAACAUAAGAUGACUCACACAAUUAUAGUAUUGUUAUCAUCAACGUUGGUCAGAAAAUAACAAUAUCAUAUUUAACUUUAAAACAAACAUCAUUCUAUUGUCAUAGCGGACACUGUUUGAAUCUUAUUUCACCCACAAGGGAAAAACUUUGCUAAUAACAGUUCUUCCAAUUAAAUUUUCCCGUUGGUUCCAAUUUAAUUGGAGGACUAAACCUUUUUACUUUGCAGCGGAAAAAAGUGAAUAUAAAAAUUUAUGUACCUUUACAGAAAAAUAUUCUCUUAAAAUUAAAAAUUCAUGAACUUUAUAAUCCCUUUUACAAAAUCCAUGAACUUUUGUUUUUCUGAAAAUCUUUCUUUUAUUUUCAGAACCCUUUUAAUUUUCUUUUCAGAAAAAUCAUGUUACUAUUACAGAAAAAUAUUCUGUCAUAAUUAAAAAUCCAUGAACUUUAUAAUCCCUUUUAUAAAAUCCAUGAACUUUUCUUUUUCUGAAAAUCUUCUUUUAUUUUCAGAANNNNNNNNNNNNNNNNNNNNNNNNNNNNNNNNNNNNNNNNNNNNNNNNNNNNNNNNNNNNNNNNNNNNNNNNNNNNNNNNNNNNNNNNNNNNNNNNNNNNNNNNNNNNNNNNNNNNNNNNNNNNNNNNNNNNNNNNNNNNNNNNNNNNNNNNNNNNNNNNNNNNNNNNNNNNNNNNNNNNNNNNNNNNNNNUUUUCAGAAAAAUCAUCAUUGCUUUUACAAAAAUUUCGAACAUCUAUUUUCUACUUUCUAAACAAUAUUUCCGUUGAAAAAAAUGCAUAGAAAAUCAUUUUAAGUCUGCCUAAAACUAGACAGAAAAGUAAAACGUUCCUUUAAUGAAAAAGAAAAUAACCGGCAUGGGCCGGCCUGGCUGUCGCCCACGUGUGGCCUGGGCAGUGGCCUAACUUGGGUCGAGGCUUUCCUGGCCCGACGGCUCCUGUGCCUGGUCAGGGCAGGGCUGAACCGNNNNNNNNNNNNNNNNNNNNNNNNNNNNNNNNNNNNNNNNNNNNNNNNNNNNNNNNNNNNNNNNNNNNNNNNNNNNNNNNNNNNNNNNNNNNNNNNNNNNNNNNNNNNNNNNNNNNNNNNNNNNNNNNNNNNNNNNNNGACCCGCCACUCCCGCCACUUUGCCUCGGCCUCGCGCGGCGCCCCCUUGCGGCCCUUGGUGGCCUGGCUCCCUUCGGCCUGUGAGGCCCGCGCCGCUUAGGGUUUCGUCGUGGACCGUCGGAUUAGAUCCGACGGCCGGGCGCGUCUAUCACUGGGAUAAAAACUCUCUCCUCACCAGCGAAACCCUAACCUCUUUCAUUUCUCUCCCAACCCCGCCGCUCUCUUCUCUGUGGUUUUUCCACGAGCGCGUCGCGGUAGCAGGGCCUUGCACCGGCGGGUUCCUUCCCCGAUGAGGGGUUGCCUGUGGUGCCCCGACGCCGCGCCUCUCCCUCCCUUUGCGUUCCAUGGUGGCCAUGGCCUCCCUCGCGUCGGUGCAAUGCAUGCCCCGCCGAGGAGGUCCCUGAGCCCCGCGUCGCAGCUCACGCGCGGAGGCUUGUGCCCCACCGGAGGGUGUGGCGAUAGGCGCCGGUCGUGGCGGCCUAAGGCCCCGCGUCGGCCUUGUCUUCCUCUCGGGCCUUUGAUCCUGUGGCACUGUGGCCACCUUCUUCGCCGGUGGUGCGUUUCCCUUCGUGGAAGCGCACCGCCGUCGAAUGGCGUGCUCGUGGUGCCGUUUCUUUUCAUUUUCUUUAACAGGGAAAACUGCGGCAUCAUUCCCGUACCUUUGCCGGCGCGCGCGAGCACCUUCGCGGUGAACGCGCCACCAUCAAGGGAGCGGUGUUGAUGCCCUUUGCCAGCUCGUUCUUGGCCAUUAUCCCCUCCCCUUUGUUUUCUUUUUGUUGCCUUUUUCAGAUUGGAUCCGAUUCACUUCUUUGUUUUCAUGCUGGAUCUAGAUCCAUACUUUGCCUCCACAGAGGUAGGGUCUUCUUCCCCACACCUCGGCAUGCUGAUGCGUGUGUGGAUUGAGAGGAACAGGCGCGGCCUUGCGGCGGUGCUUCUUUGUCGGAGAGAACUCCGGUGAAGCUUUCUUUUCUUUGAUCUUUGCCCUUCUCGGGUUCAUAUCGGGGAGGGGGAAUCUUUACUUGUACUUCUUCAUCCGAAAACACAUCAAAAAGCCUCGUGGCUAUGAUACCAUUAAUAGAUCCCGUGGAUCUUAGGCUAGAUGUGUUCGGUAUGAAAUAGUAGAUUUAUUACCUUAUGGUGAACUCGAUGAGCUCCCUCCAGAGACCGUCGUGAGGUGGUGACGACGGUGGGGAAGCAGAGAGAGAUCCGGUAGCGGCGGUGAUGGACUUCCCAUCGCUUCAGUGCUACCCUCAGGAUCAGAUUAGGGUUGAGAGUGGGGAACCAGUGGCGGCGGCGAACCUCGUGUCAUGUGCCAUGGUCCCCACCUCCUCUAUAUAGAACUGCGCGACAGGGGCCCACCACCCUUGUUUGGGCUGAACACCCCUGAGCAGGGCGUGGGUCAAGGUUCCAAUGGGCCGUUGGACCCAUUGAACGAGAGAUCAACCUAACAUCACCAACCCCGACACCGAUUACAACUCACAUCCCUUAUACCGGUUGUGCUAGCUUGAUCAUCACAGCAAGCAAUGGCCUCCACCAACAGUUGGAUCCAUGAGAUUGAGUCGUCGGUCUCUGCAUCACGCCUCUUCUGUGCCGGUGUCAUGGACUGGCACACCCUGUUCCCCAAGCUCGUGCCACAAAUCGUCAGCGCCCUCCCUGUUGAGGGAGAAGGUGGCAUCAGCAGUGUCAUGCAGUUCAACUUCACCUCAGGUAUGCAUCGUAUAUACAACUCAUAUCACCUGCAGUCUGAUACACAUGGUCAAAGCAUAACACAUAGUUGAUCUUGAGCCAUGCCCUUCAACCUCAUGAAGGAGAGGCUCGAUUUCAUUGACGUGGACAACUGCCAGUGCAAGUCCAUCCUCAUCGAGGGUGGUGGCAUAGGCACGGCGAUUGAGACGGCCACCUCACAGAUCAAGGUGGAGCCGACAGCCAAUGGUGGGAGCAUAGUGAACGUGGAAUCGACAUACAAGCUACUGCCAGGCGUGGAGGUGAACGAUGAGAUCUCCGAGGCCAAGGACUCUGUGACGGACAUUUUCAAGGCCGCCGAGGCCUACCUUAUCGCCAACCCGGAUGCCUACAACUGAAUCAGUUGAGAGAGAUCAUAUAUGAUUAUACAUUCCCUUGUUUGAUUUUUGCGUGCUUUCUUUCCGAUCUAAUAAAGCUUCUCCAACUUAUAAGUAGUGACAACAAGAGAUCAGACCAUGGUGUGGACUAGAGAAGUUUAAAAUGUUUGUAUUUGUAACAAUUAUCAAUGGGUGUUGUUGUUUGAUGAUGUUGCUGCUUGCUUGCGCACGUUCCUCAUGUUUUUGUGCUGGGAUAAAAAGAAUUAUUUCAAACAUGUAAAGAGCUCAUAUAUGUAUUUUGAAUUGGAUGUUUAUGUUCCGAGAAGUCUUAUUCCUGCUUUCUUUUUUAAAAGCAAGAUGGCCCCACGUAUGCAUCAUAACGAUGCAUGCAGUCAUAUAUUAUUGAUAAUGCAAAAUUCAGCAGCAACCGAACAACAUCAAUCCAUAAAUAAAGCAAAAAAUAAACCCUAAGGUUGUAUACCUCGCGAGAGUAACUCACCAUAUAGCCACUAAUCCUAUGUUACAAUAGACAUCAGAAACGGAAAAAAUACAUAACUCCUAGGCUAUGCCUUCAAGAAGGAAUCAUCACACAUGCGUCGAUGAUGGCCAGAUCACCACAAGGUUGAACUUCGGAUUCCCAUCCCCAAAGCCAAGCUUCCAUCCACCACCUUCAGCAAUGAAACGACGCACGCACACGUCACAUAGCCCGAUUAGAGACUGUGUGUUUCUGCGGAGUGCAUAAACUCAUCGUUGAAGCCGUACAUACCAUCGCCCUUAUCCGUCUACCGACACCUCGAUAGCAGGAGACCUCUAGAGAAGACAAUGUAAGACAAAGACGUCCCGUACAAUCUGCAUCCCGCUACUAUCGCACCACCUUCAAUCCAACAGCAACAGACUAAACAUGACACCCCCGCCAGAGCCACCGUGCAUCCCCUGCCAGUAGCAUGCAUGACUUGAUGUCUCCGAAUAAGACAUCAUAUGUAGCAUCCAACGGUGGCUUCAACUGUCGGUGACCGGCACUACCCGACAACUCCGAAAGAGGCAAAUGUGUCACCUGCCUAGCCACAUCAAACCCAAUUUCUUGAUGGAGGGGCCGUCCCAUACCGUAAGCAAGCCACAGAAAUGUUGUCAUCUCCUUGAUAUCCAGACUCCGAGUCUCCCACACGCCAUAGGAGUCCUGUUGGGGAUAUUACCUGUUAAUGACCCGCCCUAGUUGGGCCGGGUUACCAAUCAGGCGAUUCACCCAAACAAUUAUUUGGGCCUUGCCCUGGCCGGAUCAAGGUCGUAUGACAGUUUAUGAUUUCUGGAAGGUCUCCAAGGUUUGGAAGACGGCGACUUAGAGACCACAGGGGUCACGAUUUGUAGGAAGGAAAGCACCCUUGUAAACCCUAGGGGUUCGACCUGUAUAUAAAGGCGAGUCCCAGGGGAGGAGAGGACAGGUUAGAAAUCAUCGAGUGCUAGGUUCGGCGAGUUACGCCCUCCUUGUAAUCGAAACCACAUCAAUACAAACCAAAGAAGGGCAUAGGCCUUUACCUCCUCACGAGGGGCCGAACCUGGGUAAAUCGCCGUGUCUCUCCUGCCUAACCCCUUUGAGUCGCCACCAAGGUGCGAUGGCUCCAGUACUAAGUCCUUUCACGAGGACAUCUGCCGUGACAAAACCACGACAGUUGGCGCCCACCGUGGGGCCUACGCAUGGUGGAGUUGAGUUCUCAAAGGGAACCCUACCAGGGUUUGGGAGUUACGCGACGGGGCUCAUGACUCGGAGCCACCGCGGGAUAACCUACAUUGACAACCAGCGAUGGGGACCUGAAGCGGAUUCGAUUGAAUCUGGUUACAGGGUCCCCUUCGGCAAGAUCAACAUCUUCAUCGGCAUGAUUGGAUCAUCCGCACCUGAGCUGGACAUCUCCACCGACAUCGUCGAGCCGGCCAGGUACGUCCGCCCAGUAAUAACACCAAAUCUGACUCACCCGGUCUUUGUGGGGUUCACGCAGGGAUCGGAGGAGCCAGAGCGCUCGGCGACUCGGGAAACUACACCGGUCAACUCUGAUGACGAAUCAUCCAUGGGCGACUCAGAUUCAAUCCGGUCUCUGCAUGGGGAUUGUCUUGGGGGCUUGUCGCUGGCCAUGGACCCCGAAGUCCUUGACCGAACCCGCCGCCAGAUCACCAUCUACAUGGCAGGGGCGACUCAACCCACACAAAACCCUACUGGAGGCAAUGGAACCGGCGAGACGUCCAGGAGCCCGGCCGCAGUCCUGGUGGAUUUAGCAGCGGAGAUCACAAGGCUAAUGGCGACUCCCCUCACACCAGAAAACCAGGAGGAGAUAAACACGGAACUGACGAAACUCAGAGAGGCAAUGGAAAAGGCUCAUCAGGAUGCCGAGAUAGAGUCCGCCAGGAUCGAGACUCGGCAAGCUCAAAUUACGGCCGAAAGGAUGUGUUUAAGCUCUGACAACUGGCGGCUUGAAAGACAGCAGCGCGCAUCCGACGUCGUUCAUCAGCGGAGACACCAGGGUCGCCUGCCCCAUGAUCUCAACCCGACCUGCCUGUUCGACACUCCACGAACCCGUGGGGCGGGAGCUGCCCCGGGGGGAGGACCGGGCCGCCCGCCUAACCCGUCGGCUCAGCCAGUUGAGGAUCACAUUCCCCGAUUCUGGACGCCUCAAGGCCACUUUUCCAACCCGGUGGAUAACGUGCUUGCCGCAACUCGCCAUCUGGAGUCUCUUUNNNNNNNNNNNNNNNNNNNNNNNNNNNNNNNNNNNNNNNNNNNNNNNNNNNNNNNNNNNNNNNNNNNNNNNNNNNNNNNNNNNNNNNNNNNNNNNNNNNNNNNNNNNNNNNNNNNNNNNNNNNNNNNNNNNNNNNNNNNNNNNNNNNNNNNNNNUCACGGCAACACCCCUGCCGAGAUAGAAGCAAGGAGCGCCAUCGAGAUGUUGAAGACGGCGGUGGUUCAAAACGCCCAGUUCUCACAUAGCCUCGAGAGGUUGCAUUCCACUCCCCAAGGAAGUUACACCAGGAGUCGGCCAGAGGACUAGCCCGCCGUAAACAGCGGACCACGACACAUCCCACAGGACAACCCGCCUGAACCGAACCCGCCGGGCCGGGAUCUCCCAAACGUCCAAAACACCCUGGCCCCCCUCGUCGGGGGCGGAGGGCGAGUAGGAGUACCAUGCUUGGCCCUCGCCCUUCGUAACGAAAGGAUGCCCAAAGACUUUAAGGGGCCAAGAAAGGUGCCUAAUUACACCCCGGACCUUGAGCCGGCAUCGUGGAUCGAGAGUUAUGAAAUCGCCAUGGACAUGCUCGAUGUGAACGAGGCGGUUUGCGCCAGAUACUUCACGAUGAUGCUCGAGGGGUCAGCACGUACUUGGUUGAAAAACUUACCUCCCAACUCCAUCUAGACCUGGGCCGAGUUAAAAGAGCGUUUCAUCAAAAACUUCCGAGGAACUUGCAAAUGUCCGAUGACGAUCGUCGAUCUACAGCACUGCAUUCAACGCCCGGAUGAGUCGGCUCACCAUUGGUCACGGCAGGUUGCAGAACUUAUCCAUUCGUCAUAUGGCAUUACGGCGGCUGAGGCUGUGCUGAUCCUCGAGCAAAAUUGCCAUUACGAACCCUUUGUGCAAAAAUUGGGGCGACUCAAGCGAAAGGUCCAAGACAUGGGAGAGCUGAUGGACACCCUCACUAGGUACGCUGAGGCCGAUGACACCAAAGAUCCUGGUGAAGACGGUAAGGUUAAUUCGCCCAAGAAGGGCGAGUCAUCCAAGAAUCAUACCCGGUUCCAGGGACGUAACCGCCACAAUCAAGGGACCAACAGCAAGCGAAGACCGCAAGAAGAGCCCUCGGAUCUAGUCGCCAAUACCAACGCCAACAACGGCAAGAAGAAAAACAGGGGGUUUAGCGGGAAGAGGCCGCGUAACUACGAAGGGCUACUCAAAGGCCCUUGCCCGCACCACGCCACGGUAGACGGUCCGGCGACUCACUCUUGGGAAAACUGCUUCGUAAUGCGAGAGUUUCGGGCGGAGGAGAUCAAGAAGAGUCAAAACGAUGACCCGGACCAACGCCAGGAGCAAUUCGCCGCACCCAACCAAAGACAGAACCCUUUCGGCGGUUUUCCCAAACACGGGGCUCAGGGAGGCCCACAGCCAGGCGGCGGCCAAUACCCGGUGCACCACCAGUGGCGGUAUAACCCGCCAGGAGCCUUCCAGCAGCCGCCCCCACAGGGGGCUCCGCAGGGUCAGGACGAUAACGGGGGCUUCCGCAGCAACCCCAAACAGUUAAGUAAUGGGUAGUGUCAUGUUUUCACCACUAAUGCUUGCAGGCAUGAUAAGAAGGUGAGUCACCAGGCGUACAGUGUAUCUGGACCGGCGCUUCCCAAAUACCUCCAUUGGUCUGAGCAAACCAUAACGGGGAGCAGGGAGGAUCACCCGCCGAGAGUUGAUAACCCGUGCGAUCUGGCGUUGGUCGUGGCUCCCCAAGUUGGGGGUUACACCCUAUCAAAAGUGCUAAUGGAUGGUGGCAGCAGCAUCAAUAUCCUAUACUUUGACACUUUCCAAAGGAUGAACCUAUUGGAAAAAGACCUGAUGCCUUCAACCACGGUUUUCCACGGAGUCAUCCCACGCAAGUCGGCUUAUCCCAUAGGCUGGGUCAGGCUCACAGUGGCAUUUGGAAUUGCGCAGAAUUAUAGGUCGGAGUCACUCAUCUUUGAGGUGGUCAAAUUGAAAUGCCCCUACCAUGCGCUGUUUGGGCGGCCGGCUUACCCCCGCUUCAUGGCUCGCCCGUGCUAUGUCUACCUCAAGCUCAAAAUGCCUGGUCCUAAAGGACCCAUCACGGUUGAUGGAGAUAGAAGGAUCACAAAGGAAUGUGAAGAAGGGGACGCGGCUUAUGCGGAAGUCGCCUGUGCUGCGGAAGAGCUCAAACACCAUCGGGCCAAUGUUGACCCAGCGGACAUGUCACCCCUAAAGAAGCCGACCAUAGAUUCUGAGUCGCCCCUCAAGUUCAAGUCAACGGACGACACUAAGACAAUUGAUUUCGUGCCUGGCGAUUCAUCCAAGCAGAUCACCAUCGGGACGGGUCUGGACCCCAAAUAGGAAAGCGCGCUCAUCGAAUUCAUCCGUGAGAAUCGGGAUAUCUUCGCAUGGAAACCUUCUGACAUGCCUGGUGUGCCAAGAGAAUUUGCUGAGCACCAUCUUAAUGUUGACCCAAAGUGCAAACCCAUCCAGCAGUACCUUCGCAGAUUUAACGAGGAGCGACGCAAAGCGAUUGGGGAAGAAGUUGCCCGUCUUUUAGCCGCCGGGUUCAUCGUGGAAGUUUUUCACCCCAAAUGGCUGGCUAACCCGGUUUUUGUACUCAAGAAGAAUGGUACUUUUCAUAUGUGCAUUGACAAAACAGACCUCAACAGAGCUUGUCCAAAAGAUCCCUUCGCUCUUCCCCGCAUCGACCAGAUCAUUGACUCGGUGGCGGGAUGCGAACGAUUGUGUUUUUUGGACGCCUACUCAGGAUAUAACCAAAUCAAGAUGGCCGUGGAGGAUCAAGAGAAAACAGCCUUUAUAACCCCCUUCGGGGCUUUUUGUUAUGUGUCCAUGCCCUUUGGGCUCAAGAGUGCGGGGGCGACUUAUCAACGCUGCAUCCAGAAUUGCCUCCGCAACCAAAUCGGUCGCAACGUCCAUGCCUAUGUCGACGAUAUUGUGAGCAAAACCCGCCAGGGGGAGACGCUACUAGAGGAUCUCAAGGAAACGUUCGAUAAUCUACGGGUAUAUCAGAUGAAGUUAAAUCCCACCAAGUGUGUUUUUGGUGUGCCUGCAGGGAAAUUGCUGGGUUUCCUGGUAUAGGAGCGCGGCAUUGAAGCUAACCCGGACAAGAUCGAAGCAGUUACAUCCCUUGGAAAGCCGGCGAACAUUAAUCAAGUUCAACGACUGGCGGGUCGCAUUGCGGCCCUAAGUCGUUUUGUGAGUCGCCUGGGGGAGAAGGCGAUCCCUCUUUAUCAGUUAUUGAGGAAAUCUGAUUGGUUUGUUUGGACGAAUGAGGCAGACGAGGCACUCGAAGCCCUGAAACGCCAAUUGGUUAACCCGCCGGUCCUGGCCGCCCCGACUGAAAAGAGCCCAUGCUUUUGUAUAUCGUGGCAAAUUCCAAAGCAGUAAGUGUGGCAGUGGUCGUUGAGAGAAAGGAGGAAGGGAAGGAAUACCCAGUGCAAUGCCCGGUAUAUUUUAUCAGCGAGGUGCUAACUCUUUCCAAGCAGCGGUACCCACACUGGCAGAAGUUGGUAUAUGGGGUGUUUAUGGCGAGUUGAAAACUUAAGCAUUAUUUCCAAGAACACCCUAUCACAGUGGUUAGCUCUGCCCCCCUUGGGGACAUCAUCCAGAAUCGAGAGGCAAUAGGGCGGAUCGCCAAGUGGCCAAUAGAACUUGGCCCCCAUCACAUACAGUAUACCCCCGCACGGCCAUCAAGUCCCAGGCCUUAGUUGAUUUCGUCAACGACAGGACGGAGUUACAGGCUCCAGAAGACCGGCCUGAUCUCACUUACUGGACUAUUUAUUUUGAUGGAUCUAGGUAGCUGGAAGGCUCGGGGGCUGGUGUGGUGUUGGCAUCCCCUCAAGGAGAAAAAUUCUGUUACGUUCUCCGACUCAUGUUUCCGUGCACUAACAAUGCGGCGGAGUACGAAGCUUUGCUUCACGGCUUGCGACUCGCCAAGGAGAUGAAUCUAACACGAGUCAGAUGCUUUGGCGACUCUGAUUUGGUGGCACAGCAAGUUUCAGGUACCUGGGAUUCUCGGGACCCCAUAAUGGCGGCUUACAGACGAGCUGUGUCUGAUGUGGCGGGUCAUUUUCAUGGUUAUCAGGUGGACCAUAUUGAUCGGCGCCUCAACGAGGCAGCUGACGCCCUCUCACGACUUGGCUCCCAGAGAAAGCCGGUUCCUCCUAAUGUUUUUCUGGAUAUCUUGCAUAAACAAUCCGUGAUUCUACCAUCAGAGGAGGAGUUGGCAAUACCAGAUCCUGAGUCCCAGCUCGUGGCGGCUCUCCAUGUCACUCCGGAUUGGGUUCUUCCUUAUCUGGCUUAUCUCUCUCGGGGCGAGUUACCAGCAGAUGAAGUUUUGGCUCGCCAAAUCGUUCGGUGCAGCAAAUCCAUGGUCACAAUCAAUGGCGAGUUAUAUAAGCGGAGCGCCUCUGGAGUUUUUCAGCGAUGUGUUUCCUCCGAAGAAGGAUGCAUAAUCUUAAAUGAAAUUCAUUCCGGAGAUUGUGGGCAUCAUGACGGAUCACGUUCUUUGGUAUCAAAGGCUUUCCGUCAUGGUUUCUUUUGGCUAACGGCUCAUGCAGAUGCGGAAGAUAUAGUUCGUCGGUGCGAAGGAUGCCAGCAUUAUGGGCGGCAGGCUCAUGUGUCGGCUCAAGAAUUAAGAAUGAUCCCCAUCACUUGGCCUUUGGCAGUUUGGGGGGUGGACAUGGUCGGCCCUUUUAAAAUGUCCUCUAACAAGAAGACCCAUCUGCUGGUGGCGGUUGAUAAGUUCAACAAGUGGGUUGAGGCGGAACCUAUUGGAGCUUGCGAUGCAGAAACAGCGGUCAAAUUCUUGAAAAAGUUGAUUUUCCGGUUUGGAUACCCGCACAGUAUCACUACUGAUAAUGGUACUAACUUGUCCCAAGGGGCGAUGCGGGAGUUUUGUCGUCGAGAACAUAUCCGGCUUGAUGUUUCUGCAGUCGCUCACCCGCAAUCUAACGGGCACGCAGAACGGGCGAAUCAGGAGGUUUUGCGAGGGAUUAAGCCCCGACUCAUGGUUCCCCUGGAAAAAACCCCAGGGUGUUGGGUUGAAGAAUUGCCUUCAGUAUUGUGGAGUAUCCGGACCACCCCGAACAGGUCCACGGGUUUCACCCCUUUCUUUCUGGUCUACGGAGCAGAGGUUGUCCUUCCUACUAAUAUAAGGCAUGAUUCACCUAGAGUCGCCACAUAUGUAGAACAAGACAAUGAGCUGGCGCGUCAAGAUUCUUUGGACGCCUUAGAGGAGGCACGUGACCUGGCUACGGCCCGUUCAGCUAUCUAUCAACAUGAUCUACGGCGUUAUCACAACCGCCGGGUUAAAAGUCGGACCUUUCAGGAAGGCGACUUGGUUCUUCGGUUGAUACAAAGAUCGUGCAGGCAUGCAUAAGUUGUCACCACCUUGGGAAGGACCGUUCGUCGUCAGUAAAAAUCUCCGCAGUGGCUCUUAUUAUUUGGUGGAUCUCCGGCCUAACCGGCCAACCACGCAGGCUGAGUCAAUUCGCCCCUGGAAUAUUGCCCACCUGCGGCCUUAUUACACUUGAGCUCUUAAGCUCUACAUUUUGUAAGUUUUUCAGUUUCAUUAUAAAGCAAUAAAGUUGAAUAUACUGCCUGACUUGGGGGCUUCUUCAUUAAAAGAACAAUUUUUUGUCAUCCUGUUGUGACCUUAUGAACCGACAGAAUCAGCAUUUUAGGGUGGCGUUCGAGCUUUCUGACUUGCCCCAUCCUGUCGCGACCUUAUGAGCCGACGAAAUCAUCAGCAUUAUAGGGUGUGUNCGACCUUAUGAGCCGAUGAAACCUGCAUUCUAGGGUGUGUGCUCGAGCUUUCUGACUCGCCCCAUCCUGUCGCGACCUUAUGAGCCGACGAAACCAUAAUUUUGGGUGUGUGCUCAAGCUUUCUGACUCGCCCCAUCCUGUCGCGACCUUAUGAGCCGACGAAAUUGCUGUUUUUAUUUUUGGCAUAGCCUUGAGGGUUUUAAACCUUUCUUUCUGAUUCCUCUUGAAAAUAUUUGUUAUCAUUUAUUUGGUUUCACAUAUGUUGUUUUCAAAGCUUAAGUCAGGAUGAUGAUCAGAAUUACUUCGUCCAUGGCGGAUUAAGCAUCAUAAAGGAUUCUCAAAUGGCAGGUCAAAUAUUUCAAAUCGCCUUAAGGGUGAUAUAGAGAUUCUUUCGAAGAGUAUCACAAAAACAGUAUCGACUUAUCAAAAAGACCUAUUACAUGGCUCUCAGGCCAAAUCGAUGAGGUUUAUUCUGUUGGCGCCUUAGGAUCAUUUUGCUGCGAGCUUUGGCCGACCUCAAUUUGCAAGUCGCCCAGUAGCCAGUUGCACUUAGCCAGAGCUGCGAAGUCAUCUUCAUCAGUCAGGAUUGAUGCUAGGUCUGCUUCCAAGUCAAAAGGGUUCUUGGGUCGCCGAGGAGUUAAGCUGGUCGUCACGAAGGUUGGCGGAUUGACCUUCGUGUUUUUGCUGUCAUAAGCCGCUUGAUACUUUGAUAAAUCAAGACUUGCUGCGAGUUGGGUUCCUGCCAGUCGGGAGUCCUUGGCAACACGUUGAUAGUCCUCUUCAAAGAAUUCUGACCCGUCGUCUUUGAGUUGAGGAAAGCCUGCCGCUACCUCUUCCGGGUUGAUCUCUGGAGCAUACGCCAAGCAGCGACUCAAGGCAGUCAGAACACCCUUUCGGGCGGCUGACCAAGUUAGCUCGCCAAUCUGAGGGGGAAGUGUGGAUAGGCAGCCAAGCACCUUCUUUAUGGAAGUUAUAGCACUACUAGGAAAAGGCUUGCUAAUGGCGCACCAUUUUUUGCUAGUAAUGGCGCACUAUAGGUGCGCCACUAGCAUCACGCCAUUAGAUUUUUUUACUAAUGGCGCACUACAAGUGCGCCAUUAGUAUCUGGUAUACUAAUGGCGCACCAGGUAGUGCGCCAUUAGUAUUGCUCACGCUGCGCCAUUAGUAUGCCUCCCAGGUGCGCCAUUAGUAUGCCUCUCAGGUGCGCCAUUAGUAUGCCUCCCAGGUGCGUCAUUAGUAUGCCUCCGAGGUGCGCCAUUAGUANNNNNNNNNNNNNNNNNNNNNNNNNNNNNNNNNNNNNNNNNNNNNNNNNNNNNNNNNNNNNNNNNNNNNNNNNNNNNNNNNNNNNNNNNNNNNNNNNNNNNNNNNNNNNNNNNNNNNNNNNNNNNNNNNNNNNNNNNNNNNNNNNNNNNNNNNNNNNNNNNNNNNNNNNNNNNNNNNNNNNNNNNNAUUAGUAUGCCUCCCACGUGUGCCAUUAGUAUAGCCCAUGGUGCUCCAUUAGUAUCUGGUAUUCUAGCAUAUAUAUGUUUUUAUUCAAAACAACAAAUUCAACAGCACAUAAAAUAUAUAUAUAAUACAUAAUAUGUGCCCAAUAGUUUUACUGAUCCACAACACAUAACAUAUAUGCAAAGUUGCAUACCAAAUUUCAUGAUCCAUAUAUCAAAAUUCCAUAGCAUCCAUACAUCCAAAAUUCCAUAGCAUCCAUAUAUACAUAUAGUUCCAUAGCAUCCAUACAUACAUAGCUCCAUAGCAAAUAUAAUACACAGCGAUACUUUGCGGGCAUUAGUAAGUAAUAUUUGGCACUAGCAAGAGCCUUGAGCGCAGGCUUCAGGUUGGUUUGGUAGGUGGUACCAAGGAUCUCAACUGGGGAGGAUCCUUUUGCAUUUACCUCGUACUGAAAAUCAAUAUUGGGUUUCAACCUGCAAAAUGGCACAACAGUGUUUGAUAGUAAGGCAACAAGCUCUACAUAUAUAUUGACGAAACAGGAUUCAAAGAAUAAACAACAGAACCACAAUAAAAUGAGUCUGCCACUAAGCACGACAAUACUUAAGAAUACUGCAUUACAUAAAAUCUUUCCCGGCGAUGUUUGGCAGUUGCUACCUAGAGAUUUACACAAGGGAAAUUCACCAUAGAGAACUCUCAUGGUCAUGCCUUUGGUAAGGAACUAAGGACCACAUCAGUGCAGAUCCAAUGCCAUUUAUGUAGUAGCAAUGAACAGCAUGGACCAGUGGUUAACGGUCAGCCUUCAAAAUAUAGGAAACAGAAACUAACAACAAAAGAUUAUAUACCUUUACAGAAACUAACAACAAAAUAUAGGAAACAGAAACUAACAACAACAUGGACCAGUGGCAUAUGUGUUUGGAGGCAGCAAUAUAUUUACAAGUUUAGAACAGUAUAUACCUUUACUGAUUUGAAGAGUUAAAACGAAUAUUAUUAUCAAUGUAAAUAAUUACACCUGAUACGCUAAUCUGCACAGCACAGUCCAAAUUCCAUCUAUAAGAAAUACUAUCUUAAAAGAACAGAGCAGCAAAUAUGCAACUUAAACUAAAUCUUCUCUGACUCUAAGUUGGGCUUAACAAUGUAAUACAGAAAGAAUGUACUCCCUCCAUUCCUAAAUAUAAGUCUUUUAAAAGUUUCUACUAAAAAACUACAUACGGAUGUAUAUAGACAUACAUUAGAGUGUAGAUUCAAUCAUUUUGCUCCGUAUGUAGUCCCCUAGUGGAAUAUCUAAAAAGACUUAUAUUUAGGAACGGAGGGAGUAGCUGCUGAACAACUUACACAGUUAACCAUUUCUAAGAAACCAAGUAAAUUCUCAAGAAAAAGUUGCUUGUGGUGCUGCCAUCUUCUAAAAUGCAUGGCAUGGGCCACUCAUUUAAAGAGGCAUUUGACGCCAUAGAGACACUUACAUGUAAUAGAUUUAACAUGUAAAUCGAUGCAGGGGCGGACCCACGUUAUGACCAGUGGGAGCCCAGGACCCCACUCAACUUCCUAUAGUCCCACUAUAAACAUCGAUGCCAGCCAGCAGGCCCCCGGUCAGGCUAAAGCGGGUGCCCCCACUCCAUCAUCCCGUCUGUAAAAGCCCAUGAAAAAGAAGCAAACCAAAGUGAGAAAAAUAAUAAAGGAAUGUAAAAUAAGGGGAUGUAUGUGCGGCAACACACAGCGGUGAACGCGAGGAGAAGCUGGCUGCUACUUGCCACUUCGACUCUUGGGAGAUCAAUUAAUAGGCUGAAAAUCAAGUACACAAAGAAACGAAUCGUCAACUCCUAAAGUGCCCAUCCCCAAGCUUAUUCAUCUCAUCCCAACUCCUAAAGUCAAUCCGGCAUGACAUUCAAUUCGUAGGUUAAAUUGUACCGUUCGGGAAUCAUUUCAAAGAAAUUUAAUCUGGCAAUCCAUUUUAUUACUAGUAUUUGCGUGUUGUCCUGCUAGUCUGCCACUACUAGCACGCUUUCUAUCUAUUUUUACAAUCAAUACUUUAAUUAUUUGACAGGGAACAAGCAAGAAGUUGCUGGAAUUAGCUAAGAUUUAUCUUGAUGAUCUCAAUCACAGAGAUAUGGUAGUCUUGACUUGAGCAUGAACUUGAUCUCUUCAUAUAUAAUAUACUUCAUGAUACAAGGUUUUCAAGAUUGGACAAAAUAUGUGAUUGGGCUAACCAGAUGGUGGAUACCUGGACUCUGAGUCAGGCACCAGAUGAACACAUCAGUGGCCUCCUUGGCAAGCUCUGCAUUAUCUGAACAUAAUUCACGAGAUCAACCAGGUCCCUGCAUAAGGUAGAUAAAGUCUUCGUAAGACACCCAACGUUCUGAAAAGAUUAAGAUACAACUGUUCAUGCAUUUCAUGAGAUAAAAGAAGCUUUCUAACCUGGUUAGCAGAGUGAUGAUAUUAAUGCUUCUUGCUCAUUUAGAAAUCUCUCCAAGGACGGAAUUAACUAUGCUGAUGAGUUCCUCCGGUCCGUCCUUAUCAGGUGUUAUACGGGAGCACCAAAGAUCUGUUACCCACUCUGUGACAAGAUGCCUUGUGAACUGUUCAAAUGCUGCUUCAACUCGAGGCGAAUUCACCUUACUCCUCCAACCAGUACUUCCACUCUUCUUGUCAGGGGAGGGUUUUCUUAGUUCAAUACUUUUUUGUUUUGGCAAGUGGGCGACUGGUACCAUGGUCUGUGGCAGUUGUGCUCUUUCUACGGAAGUCAUAGUCAAGUGAUAGGUAGCGAAACGGAACUAUCAAAGAUAUGGCGAAUGGGAAGUUGAUCCAAACUGAAGAGCUUGUCACUGCAAUGGAGAAAGUCAGGCAUUCAGCACAGCCAUGAGGGAGCAAUAAUAUUUAAACAGAGUUAAAAAAAAUUAUGUGACGGCAAUAUAAAUCUGCCUUGAUAUGUACAGCCUUUCGUUUUUGGCAACUUUUAGAAAGACUUGAUAAAAUUGCUAGUCAUAUUUCAAUUUAACAUGGAACCUACAUGUCUAGCUCGUAUGUUCCUAGUCUUUAGACUACACCGUGUAUUCCAUGGUAUAAUCCGGCUACAACUAUCGGCAAACAUACUCCACCUUAUACAAUUUCAUCACAAACUUGAAUAAUCCUGAGGUAGCAGUAAAAAUUACGAUGCCGUCUGAACUCCAGUCNNNNNNNNNNNNNNNNNNNNNNNNNNNNNNNNNNNNNNNNNNNNNNNNNNNNNNNNNNNNNNNNNNNNNNNNNNNNNNNNNNNNNNNNNNNNNNNNNNNNNNNNNNNNNNNNNNNNNNNNNNNNNNNNNNNNNNNNNNNNNNNNNNNNNNNNNNNNNNNNNNNNNNNNNNNNNNNNNNNNNNNNNNNNNNNNNNNNNNNNNNNNNNNNNNNNNNNNNNNNNNNNNNNNNNNNNNNNNNNNNNNNNNNNNNNNNNNNNNNNNNNNNNNNNNNNNNNNNNNNNNNNNNNNNNNNNNNNNNNNNNNNNNNNNNNNNNNNNNNNNNNNNNNNNNNNNNNNNNNNNNNNNNNNNNNNNNNNNNNNNNNNNNNNNNNNNNNNNNNNNNNNNNNNNNNNNNNNNNNNNNNNNNNNNNNNNNNNNNNNNNNNNNNNNNNNNNNNNNNNNNNNNNNNNNNNNNNNNNNNNNNNNNNNNNNNNNNNNNNNNNNNNNNNNNNNNNNNNNNNNNNNNNNNNNNNNNNNNNNNNNNNNNNNNNNNNNNNNNNNNNNNNNNNNNNNNNNNNNNNNNNNNNNNNNNNNNNNNNNNNNNNNNNNNNNNNNNNNNNNNNNNNNNNNNNNNNNNNNNNNNNNNNNNNNNNNNNNNNNNNNNNNNNNNNNNNNNNNNNNNNNNNNNNNNNNNNNNNNNNNNNNNNNNNNNNNNNNNNNNNNNNNNNNNNNNNNNNNNNNNNNNNNNNNNNNNNNNNNNNNNNNNNNNNNNNNNNNNNNNNNNNNNNNNNNNNNNNNNNNNNNNNNNNNNNNNNNNNNNNNNNNNNNNNNNNNNNNNNNNNNNNNNNNNNNNNNNNNNNNNNNNNNNNNNNNNNNNNNNNNNNNNNNNNNNNNNNNNNNNNNNNNNNNNNNNNNNNNNNNNNNNNNNNNNNNNNNNNNNNNNNNNNNNNNNNNNNNNNNNNNNNNNNNNNNNNNNNNNNNNNNNNNNNNNNNNNNNNNNNNNNNNNNNNNNNNNNNNNNNNNNNNNNNNNNNNNNNNNNNNNNNNNNNNNNNNNNNNNNNNNNNNNNNNNNNNNNNNNNNNNNNNNNNNNNNNNNNNNNNNNNNNNNNNNNNNNNNNNNNNNNNNNNNNNNNNNNNNNNNNNNNNNNNNNNNNNNNNNNNNNNNNNNNNNNNNNNNNNNNNNNNNNNNNNNNNNNNNNNNNNNNNNNNNNNNNNNNNNNNNNNNNNNNNNNNNNNNNNNNNNNNNNNNNNNNNNNNNNNNNNNNNNNNNNNNNNNNNNNNNNNNNNNNNNNNNNNNNNNNNNNNNNNNNNNNNNNNNNNNNNNNNNNNNNNNNNNNNNNNNNNNNNNNNNNNNNNNNNNNNNNNNNNNNNNNNNNNNNNNNNNNNNNNNNNNNNNNNNNNNNNNNNNNNNNNNNNNNNNNNNNNNNNNNNNNNNNNNNNNNNNNNNNNNNNNNNNNNNNNNNNNNNNNNNNNNNNNNNNNNNNNNNNNNNNNNNNNNNNNNNNNNNNNNNNNNNNNNNNNNNNNNNNNNNNNNNNNNNNNNNNNNNNNNNNNNNNNNNNNNNNNNNNNNNNNNNNNNNNNNNNNNNNNNNNNNNNNNNNNNNNNNNNNNNNNNNNNNNNNNNNNNNNNNNNNNNNNNNNNNNNNNNNNNNNNNNNNNNNNNNNNNNNNNNNNNNNNNNNNNNNNNNNNNNNNNNNNNNNNNNNNNNNNNNNNNNNNNNNNNNNNNNNNNNNNNNNNNNNNNNNNNNNNNNNNNNNNNNNNNNNNNNNNNNNNNNNNNNNNNNNNNNNNNNNNNNNNNNNNNNNNNNNNNNNNNNNNNNNNNNNNNNNNNNNNNNNNNNNNNNNNNNNNNNNNNNNNNNNNNNNNNNNNNNNNNNNNNNNNNNNNNNNNNNNNNNNNNNNNNNNNNNNNNNNNNNNNNNNNNNNNNNNNNNNNNNNNNNNNNNNNNNNNNNNNNNNNNNNNNNNNNNNNNNNNNNNNNNNNNNNNNNNNNNNNNNNNNNNNNNNNNNNNNNNNNNNNNNNNNNNNNNNNNNNNNNNNNNNNNNNNNNNNNNNNNNNNNNNNNNNNNNNNNNNNNNNNNNNNNNNNNNNNNNNNNNNNNNNNNNNNNNNNNNNNNNNNNNNNNNNNNNNNNNNNNNNNNNNNNNNNNNNNNNNNNNNNNNNNNNNNNNNNNNNNNNNNNNNNNNNNNNNNNNNNNNNNNNNNNNNNNNNNNNNNNNNNNNNNNNNNNNNNNNNNNNNNNNNNNNNNNNNNNNNNNNNNNNNNNNNNNNNNNNNNNNNNNNNNNNNNNNNNNNNNNNNNNNNNNNNNNNNNNNNNNNNNNNNNNNNNNNNNNNNNNNNNNNNNNNNNNNNNNNNNNNNNNNNNNNNNNNNNNNNNNNNNNNNNNNNNNNNNNNNNNNNNNNNNNNNNNNNNNNNNNNNNNNNNNNNNNNNNNNNNNNNNNNNNNNNNNNNNNNNNNNNNNNNNNNNNNNNNNNNNNNNNNNNNNNNNNNNNNNNNNNNNNNNNNNNNNNNNNNNNNNNNNNNNNNNNNNNNNNNNNNNNNNNNNNNNNNNNNNNNNNNNNNNNNNNNNNNNNNNNNNNNNNNNNNNNNNNNNNNNNNNNNNNNNNNNNNNNNNNNNNNNNNNNNNNNNNNNNNNNNNNNNNNNNNNNNNNNNNNNNNNNNNNNNNNNNNNNNNNNNNNNNNNNNNNNNNNNNNNNNNNNNNNNNNNNNNNNNNNNNNNNNNNNNNNNNNNNNNNNNNNNNNNNNNNNNNNNNNNNNNNNNNNNNNNNNNNNNNNNNNNNNNNNNNNNNNNNNNNNNNNNNNNNNNNNNNNNNNNNNNNNNNNNNNNNNNNNNNNNNNNNNNNNNNNNNNNNNNNNNNNNNNNNNNNNNNNNNNNNNNNNNNNNNNNNNNNNNNNNNNNNNNNNNNNNNNNNNNNNNNNNNNNNNNNNNNNNNNNNNNNNNNNNNNNNNNNNNNNNNNNNNNNNNNNNNNNNNNNNNNNNNNNNNNNNNNNNNNNNNNNNNNNNNNNNNNNNNNNNNNNNNNNNNNNNNNNNNNNNNNNNNNNNNNNNNNNNNNNNNNNNNNNNNNNNNNNNNNNNNNNNNNNNNNNNNNNNNNNNNNNNNNNNNNNNNNNNNNNNNNNNNNNNNNNNNNNNNNNNNNNNNNNNNNNNNNNNNNNNNNNNNNNNNNNNNNNNNNNNNNNNNNNNNNNNNNNNNNNNNNNNNNNNNNNNNNNNNNNNNNNNNNNNNNNNNNNNNNNNNNNNNNNNNNNNNNNNNNNNNNNNNNNNNNNNNNNNNNNNNNNNNNNNNNNNNNNNNNNNNNNNNNNNNNNNNNNNNNNNNNNNNNNNNNNNNNNNNNNNNNNNNNNNNNNNNNNNNNNNNNNNNNNNNNNNNNNNNNNNNNNNNNNNNNNNNNNNNNNNNNNNNNNNNNNNNNNNNNNNNNNNNNNNNNNNNNNNNNNNNNNNNNNNNNNNNNNNNNNNNNNNNNNNNNNNNNNNNNNNNNNNNNNNNNNNNNNNNNNNNNNNNNNNNNNNNNNNNNNNNNNNNNNNNNNNNNNNNNNNNNNNNNNNNNNNNNNNNNNNNNNNNNNNNNNNNNNNNNNNNNNNNNNNNNNNNNNNNNNNNNNNNNNNNNNNNNNNNNNNNNNNNNNNNNNNNNNNNNNNNNNNNNNNNNNNNNNNNNNNNNNNNNNNNNNNNNNNNNNNNNNNNNNNNNNNNNNNNNNNNNNNNNNNNNNNNNNNNNNNNNNNNNNAAUUCCUUGAAAUCCAUAUUAGUAAUUUCUGUUGGAAAUAUGCCCUAGAGGCGAUAAUAAUAUGGUUAUUAUCAUAUUUCCUUGUUCAUGAUAAUCGUCUAUUGUUCAUGCUAUAAUUGUAUUAACAGGAAACAGUAAUACAUGUGUGAAUAAAUAGAUUACAAUGUGUCCCUAGCAAGCCUCUAGUUGGCUAGCUCGUUAGUCAAUAGAUGAUCAUGGUUUCCUGAUCAUGGGCAUUAGAUGUCAUUGAUAACGGGAUCACAUCAUUAGGAGAAUGAUGUGAUGGACAAGACCCAAUCCUAAGCCUAGCACUAGAUCGUAUUGUUCGUAUGCUAAUGCUUUUCUAAUGUCAAGUAUCUUUUCCUUCGACCGUGAGAUUAUGCAACUCCCGGAUACCGUAGGAGUGCUUUGAGUGUAUCAAACGUCACAACGUAACAGGGUGACUAUAAAGUUGCACUACGGGUACCUCCGAAAGUGUUUGUUGGGUUGGUAUGAAUCGAGAUCGGGAUUUGUCACUCCGUGUGAUGGAGAGGUAUCUCUGGGCCCACUCGGUAGAACAUCAUCAUGAGCUCAAUGUGACUAAGGAGUUAGUCACACGAUGACGUGCUACGGAACGAGUAAAGAGACUUACCGGCAACGAGAUUGAAAGAGGUAUAGGUAUACCGACGAUCGAAUCUCGGGCAAGUUCUAUACCGACAGACAAAGGGAAUCGUAUACGGGAUUGAUUGAAUCCUUGACAUCGUGUUUCAUCCGAUGAGAUCAUCGUGGAGCAAGUGGGAGCCACCAUGGGUAUCCAGACCCUGCUGAUGGUUAUUGGCCAGAGAGGUGUCUCGGUCAUGUCUGCCUGUCUCCCGAACCCGUAGGGUCUACACACUUAAGGUUCGAUGACGCUAGGGUUAUAGGGAAUUAUUAUACGAGGUUACCGAAAGUUGUUCGGAGUCUCGGAUGAGAUCUCGGACGUCACGAGGAGCUCCGGAAUGGUCCGGAGGUAAAGAUUGAUAUAUAGGAUGGAUGGUUUCAGAUACCGGAAGUGUUUCGGGCAUCACCGGUGACGUACCGGGACCACCGGGACCACCGGAGGUGGCCCCGGGGACCACCGAAGGGGGGCAACGACCCCGGGAGGUAAGGUGGGCCAAGUGGGGGCGGGAACCAGCCCCUAGGUGGGCUGGUGCGCCUCCCCACUCAGUCCAUUGCGCAAGGGAGAGAAAAGGGGGGGCAAACCCUAAGCCAGGUGGGCCUAAGGCCCACCAGUUGGUGCGCCACCCCCUCCUCCCCCCUCUGGCCGCCGCACCUCCCAUCUGGGGGGGCUGCCGAACCCUAGGGGUGGUACCCCCUCUCCCCCCCUAUAUAUAGUGGGCACUUUUGGCCAUUGGAGCUCAGACUUUUCCCUCUCCCUCGACGCAUCCCUGCUCUUCUUUCUCCUCCUCUCUUCCGGUGCUUGGCGAAGCCCUGCCGGGAGACCUCGUCUCUCCAUCGACACCAUGCCGUCGUGCUGCUGGAGUUCUUCCCCAACCUCUCCCUCCUCCUUGCUGGAUCAAGGUGCGGGAGACGUCACCGGGCUGCACGUGUGUUGAACGCGGAGGUGCCGUAGUUCGGCACUAGAUCGGAAUCGCUGCGAGUACGACUCCAUCAACCGUGUUCUAGCAACGCUUCCGCUUAGCGAUCUUCAAAGGUAUGAAGAUGCUCUUACCCCUCUCUCGUUGCUGGUCUCUCCAUAGGAAGAUCUGAAUAUGCGUAGGAAAAUUUUGAAUUUAUGCUACGUUACCCAACAAUUUCAUUACUACUCAAAGUUUUAAUAUCUUCUACUCCACUUUCAAUGCUUUUAGCAUCAAGAUAGAUGGACUCUGAAUCAUUGGCGCACUUUUCAACCAAAGUGGAUUCAUAUCCAGCCCCAUAAUCAUUAGGUUUGACACAAGAAAACAAAGAUUCAAUGGGAGUCACACCAAGCACUUUAAGAUCUUCGUGAUUCUUAUCACGAGAACACGCCUUUUUAAGCCAUUCAUGUCUAGCACGAAUUUGGGCGGUUCUUUCUUAGCUCUCAAUCAUGGAAACACACAUAGCUUUCAAUGUUUCAUCCAUAUUGAUCUUGGGAUGAGCACAUCUAACUUUCAAAGCAUCAACAUCACUAGACAUUCUCACAACUCUCUUAGCCAAAUCGUCAAUUUUGAGUAGUUUUUCCUCUAUGGACGCAUUGAAAAUCUUUUGAGAGUUGAUGAACUCUUUGAUAUUACUCUCUAGAUCAGAGGGUAAUCUAUUGUAAUUUCCAUGAUUAUUGUUGUAGGAGUUGCCAAAAUUAUUGGAGGAGUUACUAGGAAAAGGCCUGUGAACAUAGUUUCCUCUAAAAGCAUUGUUGUUGCCAAAGUUAUUCCUUCCAUAAAAAUUAACGUCCAAGCUAGCGUUGCUACUCUCAAAGAAGACAAGGGCAUAUCAUUAGGAUCAAAAGGAGCACUUCUACUAGCAACCAAAUUCAUUAACUCAUCCAUCUUAGCACUCAACGAGUUAAUUUCUUCUAUAGCGUGUACCUUCUUACUAGUAGGUGACCUUUCAGUGUGCCACUUAGAGUAGUUCGUCAUGAUAUUGUCUACGAGCUUUUUGGCCUCCGCUAACGUGAUUUCCAUGAACGUUCCAUCUGAGGCAGCGUCCAAGAUAUUUCUAGAAGCGAAAUUCAAGCCAGCGUAAAAGAUUUGUAUAAUCAUCCAAAGACUCAAACCAUGAGCGGGACAAUUUCUAAUCAUUAAUUUCAUUCUCUCCCAAGAUUGUGCAACAUGUUCAUGAUCAAGUUUCUUGAAAUUCAUGAUAUCAUUACGAAGAGAGAUGAUCUUAGCUGGCGGAAAAUACUUGGAUAUAUAAGCAUGUUUGCACUUAUCCCAAGAAUUGAUACUAUUUUUGGGCAAAGAAGAAAACCAAGUUUUUGCGCGAUCUCGCAACGAGAAAGGAAAAAGCUUCAAUUUAAUCACGUCAUUAUCCACAUCUUUCUUCUUUUGCAUAUCGCAAAGCUCAAUGAAGGUAUUGAGAUGGGAUGUGGCAUCUUCACUAGGAAGGCCAGAAAAUUGCUCUUUCAUAACAAGAUUCAACAAAGCGGCAUUGAUUUCGUAUGACUCCACACUAGUGGCGGGAGAAAUCGGAGUACUAAUAAAAUCAUUAUUAUUAGUAUUCGAGAAUUCACAAAGUUUGGUGUUUUCAUUCAUGAUGACUUCAGCAAGCAAGCAAGCACACAAGCGAACAAAGAGCAAGCGAGAAAAAGGGCGAACGAAAAAGGCAAAUGAAAAAGGCAAAUUGGUGAAGUGGGGGAGAGGAAAACAAGAGGCAUCUGCCAAACAAAGUAAAUGCAAGAGAUGAGUUUGCGACACCUACUUGGAUGAGUUCUUGACUUGAUCCUCCCCAGCAACGGCGCCAGAAAUCCUUCUGCUACGUCAACAAAAGUACUUGCCCGGCAACGGCGCCAGAAAUCCUUCUGCUACGUCAACAAAAGUACUUCCCUGACAAUGGUGCCAGAGAUCCUUCUGUAGUCUCUUGAGCUUGCGUUGGUUUUUUCCUUGAAGAGGACAGGGUGAUUGCUACUACAACAAAAGACCUUCCAACUGCGCGAGAAACAAGCGUGCUGAUGGGAGACUAUUCUUGUCUUGAUUCUCCCAACAACGACACCAGGAAUCCGUCUGCUACGGCUACGCCUUUAGGGACUUCCUAGGCAAAUAUGCAAAGGAUUCCCCCGUGGCCUUGGAGCCUUGCAUUGGUGUUCCCUCGAAGCGGAAAGGGUGAUGUAGCACAACGGUGGUAAGUAUUUCCCUCAGUUUUGAGAACCAAGGCAUCGAUCCAGUGAAGGAGUAUCACAAGUACCUGCACAAACACAAAGAGCUUGCUCCCAACGCUAUGAAGGGGUUGUCAAUCCCUUAUAGAUUGUUUGACAAGUGAGAACUGAAAGCAACAAAGUAACAAAGCAAAGUAAAAGCAAAAGUGGAAACGAUAGGUCUGAAUAGACCCGGGGGCCGUAGUGUUCACUAGUGGCUGCUCUGAUGAAAGCAAGUAGACGGUGGGUGAACGAAUUACUGUCGACCAAUUGAUAGAACCGCGCAAAGUCGUGACGUUAUCUAUGGCAAUGAUUAUAUCUAUAGCCAUCACAUCCAAAACAAGUAGACCGAUACUUUCUGCAUCUACUACUAUUACUCCACAUGUCGACCGCUAUCCAGCAUGCAUCUAGUGUAUUAAGUUCAUGAGAACAGAGUAAUGCCUUAAGCAAGAUGACAUGAUGUAGAUGGACAAUCUCAUAUCUAUGACAAAGCCCAUCUUGCUACCCUUGAUGGCAACAACAUGAUGUGUGCCUUGCUGCCCUUUCUGUCACUGGGAAAGGUCACCACACGGUAUGAACCCAAAACCAAGCACUUCUCCCAUUGCAAGAAUCAUAGAUCUAGUUGGCCAAACAAAACCCAAGACUCGGAGAGACUUAAAAGGAUAUCAAAUCAUGCAUAUAAGAAAUCAGCCAAGACUCAAAUAUAUAUCACAGAUAAUCUGAUCACANNNNNNNNNNNNNNNNNNNNNNNNNNNNNNNNNNNNNNNNNNNNNNNNNNNNNNNNNNNNNNNNNNNNNNNNNNNNNNNNNNNNNNNNNNNNNNNNNNNNNNNNNNNNNNNNNNNNNNNNNNNNNNNNNNNNNNNNNNNNNNNNNNNNNNNNGAUAAUCUGAUCACAAAUCCACAAUUCUUCGGAUCUCGACAAACACACCGCCAAAGAGGAUUACAUCGGAUAGAUCUCCAUGAAGAUCAUGGAGAAUUUGUAUUGAAGAUCCAAGAGAGAGAAGAAGCCAUCUAGCUACUAACUAUGGACCCGUAGGUCUGAAGUGAACUACUAACGAGUCAUUGGAGGGGCGAUGAUGUUGAUGAAGAAGCCCUCCAACUCCAAAGUUCCCUCCGGCAGGGCACCGGGAAGGGUCUCCAGAUGAGAUCUCGCGGAAACGGAAGCUUGCGGCGGCGGAAAAGUGUUUUUGUGGACGCCCUGAUUUUUUCUGGAUUUUUAGGGAAUUUAUAGGCCAACGACCUAGGGCAGGGGAGCGCCAGGGGGCCACAAGCUUGGUUGCCGUGGCCUCCCCCUGGCCGCAGCAACAGGGCUUGUGGGCUCCCUCUGGGCCCACUUGCUUGGCCCUCAAGCCUCCCGAUCUUCUUCCGUUCUGGAAAAAUUCAUUUUGGGGAUUUUAUUCCGUUUGGACUCCAUUCCAAAAUGAGAUCUGAAAAGAGUCAAAAACACAGAAAAAACAGGAACUGGCACUUGGCACUGAGUUAAUAAGUUAAUCCCAAAAAAGAUAUAAAAGGUAAACAAAACAUCCAAAGUUGACAAGAUAACAGCGUGAAACCAUCAAAAAUUAUAGAUAUGUUUGAGACGUAUCAGUGAUGCAGCACAGGAGCAGUAAGUAUUUCCCUUAGUUUGAGAACCAAGGUAUCAAUCCAGUAGGAGAAUCUCGUCAAGUCCAGAGUACCUCCACAAACACAAAAGAGCUUGCACCCAACGCUGUAAAGGUGUUGUCAAUCCCUUCAAGAUUGUUUGCAAAGUGACAUAUGAAGGCGGAAAGAGCAACAAAGUAAAAAGUGUAAGGCUGAAAAUAUGGUGUGGAGUAGACCCUGGGGGCCAUAGUGUUCACUAGAGGCUUCUCUCAAAAUAGCAAGUAUUACGGUGGGUGAACACAUUACUGUCGAGCAAUUGAUAGAACCGCNNNNNNNNNNNNNNNNNNNNNNNNNNNNNNNNNNNNNNNNNNNNNNNNNNNNNNNNNNNNNNNNNNNNNNNNNNNNNNNNNNNNNNNNNNNNNNNNNNNNNNNNNNNNNNNNNNNNNNNNNNNNNNNNNNNNNNNNNNNNNNNNNNNNNNNNNNNNNNNNNNNNNNNNNNNNNNNNNNNNNNNNNNNNNNNNNNNNNNNNNNNNNNNNNNNCCGAUACUUUCUGCAUCUACUACUAUUACUCCACACAUCGACCGCUAUCCAGCAUGCAUCUAGUGUAUUGAGUUCAUGACGAACAGAGUAACGCCUUAAGCAAGAUGACAUGAUGUAGAGGGAUAAUCUCAAACCAAUGAUGAAAACCCCAUCUUUUUACCCUUGAUGGCAACAACACGAUGCAUGCCUCGUUACCCCUUCUGUCACUGGGUGAGGUCACCACACGGUAUGCACCCAAAUCCAAGCACUUCUCCCAUUGCAAGAAUCAUAGAUCUAGUUGGCCAGACAAAACCCACAACUCGAAGAGAAUUACAAGGAUAUGAAAUCAUGCAUAUAAGAGAUCAUAAGAAACUCAAAUAAGAUUCAUAGAUAAUCUGAUCAUAAAUCCACAAUUCAUUGGAUCUCAACAAGCACACCGCAAAAGAAGAUUACAUCGGAUAGAUCUCCAUGAAGAUCAUGGAGAACUUUGUAUUGAAGAUCCAAGAGAGAGAAGAAGCAAUCUAGUUACUAGCUAUGGACCCGUAGGUCUCCGACAGGGCACCAGAACGUGCCCCAGAUGGGAUCUCGCGGAGACAGAAGCUUGCGGCGGCGGAGAAGUACUUUCGAUGAUCUCCUGAUUUUUUUGGGAUUUUUAGGGAAUAUAUAGGCGCAAAACCUAGGGCAAAGGGGCCUCAGGGAGCCCACAAGCCAGGGGGCCGCGGCCUCCCCCCUAGCCGCGCCAUGAGGGCUUGUGGGGUCCAUGGGGAUCCCCUGCCCUGAUUCCUCGACUCUCCGGUCUUUUUCCGUUCUGGAAAAAAUCUUUUUGGCAGUUUCCUUCCGUUUGGACUCCGUUCAAAAUCCUCCUCUGAAAGGGGUAAAAAACAUGGAAAAAACUGGAACUGGUAAUUGGCACUGAAUUAAUAAGUUAGUCCAAAAAAAUAUAUAAAAGGCAUACAAAACAUCCAAAGUUUGACAAGAUAAUAGCAUGAAACCAUCAAAAAUNNNNNNNNNNNNNNNNNNNNNNNNNNNNNNNNNNNNNNNNNNNNNNNNNNNNNNNNNNNNNNNNNNNNNNNNNNNNNNNNNNNNNNNNNNNNNNNNNNNNNNNNNNNNNNNNNNNNNNNNNNNNNNNNNNNNNNNNNNNNNNNNNNNNNNUGAAACCAUCAAAAAUUAUAGAUACGUUGGAGACGUAUCAGUCAGCCGUAGCGGGUGGUUCAUCUCCUAGCACAGCAUUAAGGACAUAAUCCUUUUUCCCAGCUUGCAGGAGCAACUUAAGAUUACGAGCCCAGUCUACAAAGUUGCUUCCAUCAUCUUUCAACUUAGCUUUCACUAGGAACGUAUUAAAAUUCAGGGUGACUGUCGCGUGGGCCAUUGAUCUACAACACAAUUAUUUCAAAGUGGACUUAGACUAUGUUCAAGAUAAUUAGAGUUUAACUAAUCAAAUUACUUGCUAAACUCCCACUCAAAAAGUACAUCUCUCUAGUCAUUUGAGUGGUACAUGAUCCAAAUUCACUAACUCAAAUCCGAUCAUCAUGUGAGUUGAGAAUAGUUUCAGUAGUAAGCAUCUCUAUGAUAAUCAUAUCAACUAUAUGAUUCAUGCUCGACCUUUCGGUCUCAUGUGUUCCAAGGCCAUGUCUGCACAUGCUAGGCUCGUCAAGCUUAACUCGAGUGUUCCACGUGUGCAACUGUUUUGCACCAGUUGUAUGUGAACGUUGAGUCUAUCACACCCGAUCAUCACGUGGUGUCUCGAAACAAUGAACUGUAGCAACGGUGCACAGUCGGGGAGAACACAAUUUUGUCUUGAAAUUUUAGUGAGAGAUCACCUUAUAAUGCUACCGUCGUUCUAAGAAAAAUAAGGUGGAUAAAAGGAUUUACAUCACAUGCAAUUCAUAAGUGACAUGAUAUGGCCAUCAUCAUGUGCUUCUUGAUCUCCAUCACCAAAGCACCAGCACGAUCUUCUUGUCACCGGCGUCACACCAUGAUCUCCAUCAAUGUGCCAUUGAUAACCCACAAGUAUAGGGGAUCGCAACAGUUUUUGAGGGUAGAGUAUUCAACCCAAAUUUGUUGGUUCGCCAAAGGAGAAGCGAAAGAAUAUUCUCAAGUAUUAGCAGCUGAGUUUGUCAGAUUCAACCACACGUGAAAGAUUAGUGUCUGCAAGCAAAGUAUCAGUAGCAAAGUAGUAUGAUAGCAACAGUGUCAGAAACGAUCUGUUGACGGCAGACUAUUCCUAACUGUUGUAUCAAUGGCGCUAGUAAGUUGCACAUGGGCGAGUAACUAUUCUUCCCCGACAACAGUGUCGGAAAAGAUCUUGCAACAAGUAACAGCGGAGUAGCAAGGAACAGCAGUAGCAGCAGCAGCAAAGUAACAGCAGUAGCAACAGUAGCAGCAAAGUGACAGCAGUAGCAACAAAGUGGCCCAAUCCCUUUUGUAGCAAGGGACAAGCCUAGACAAAGUAACGUAGCAAGGACCAGUAUAAAAGACUCGUAGGCAGUGGAUCGGUGAUGGAUGAGUAUGACGGAUGUGAUUCAUCAUGUAACAGUAUAACACGGAGAGAUAAGUAACUAUCUCCCGUUCGUCAAUCUAAUGUAGGCAUGUAUUCCGUCUGUAGUCAUACGUGCUUACGGAAAAUAACUUGCAUGACAUCUGUUGUCCAUCCCUCCCGUGGCAGCAGGGUCCUAAUGGAAACUACGGGAUAUUAAGGUUCUCCUUUUAAUAAAGAACCAGACCAACGCAUUAACACGCGGUGAAUACAUGAACUCCUCAUACUAUGAUCAUCUCCGGGAGUGGUUCCGGCUAUUGUCACUCCGGGGUUGCCGGGUCAUAACACAUAGUAGGUAAAUACAACUUGCAAGAUAGGAUCUAAAACACACAUAUAUUGGCGACAACAUAAUAGGUUCAGAUCGGAAAUCAUGGCACUCGAGCCCUAGUGACAAGCAUUAAGCAUAGCCAAGUAGUAGCAACAUCAAGCUCGAACAUAGUGGAUACUAGGGAUCAAUCCCCGUCAAAAACUAACUCGAUUACAUGAUAGAUCUCAUCCAACUCAUCACCGUCCAGCAAGCCUAUGAUGAGAUUACUCACGAACGAUGAAGAGCAUGAUGGAAUUGUCGAUGGAGGAAGGUUGAUGAUGACGAUGGCGACGAUUUCCCCACUCCGGAGCCCAAAACGGACUCCAGGCCUGUCCUCCAGAUGAAGAACAGGAUGUGGCGGUGCCUCCGUAUCGCAAAACAUGAUGAAACCUUCUCUCUGAUUUUUUUCCGGGCGAGACGGAAGAUGUAGAGCUGAGUUUGGAGGCGGUGGUGCCACGUGGGCCCCAAAAGCCCUCAUGGCACGACCUAGGGGGUGGCCGCAGCCCAGGGGCUUGUGGCCCACUAGCACGCCCCCUCUGGUGGAUCUUUGCGCAGGUAUUUUUCUUUUAUUCUAGAAAAAAUCUUCGUAAAUUUUCAAGACAUUCUGAGAACUUUUAGUUCUGCACAAAAACAACACCAUGGCAAUUCUACUGAAAACAGCGUCAGUCCAGGUUUGUUCCAUUCAAAUCAUGCAAAUUAGAGUCCAAAACAAGGGCAAAAGAGUUCGGAAAAGUAGAUACGACGGAGACGUAUCAGUCGCCAUCGAGGUUGUCGUGCUACUUAUGCUGUUACUACUAAAGCUACGUCUUAGCAAUAUAGUAAACACAUCUGCAAACACAAACGUUUGUUUAAAGACAACCCUACGGCUCCUGCCGGUUGCCGUACCAUCGAUGUGCAAGUCAAUAUUAACUAUUACAACAUGAUCAUCUCAUAAAUCCAAUAAAUCACAUCACGUCAUUGGCCAUAUCAUAUCACAAGCAUACCCUGUAAAAACAAGUUAGACAUCCUCUAAUUUGUUCUUGCAUGUUUUACGUGGCUGUAUGGGUAUCUAGUAUGAUCGCAUCUUAUUUACGCAAAAACCACAACGGAGAUGUGCAAAUUUAUAUUUAACCUCUCCAAGAACCGCCUCGGUCAAAACCAAUUCAACUAAAGUUGAAGAAACCGACACCCGCAAGUCAUCUUUAUGCAACGAGGUUGCAUGUCAAUCGAUGAAACCAGUCUUUCGUAACCAUACGAAUAAUGUCGGUCCGGGCCGCUUCAAUCCAACAAUACCGCCAAAUAGAGAAAAGACUAAGGAGGGCAGCAAAUUGAACAUCACCAUCCACAAAACCCUUUGUGUUCUACUCGAGAUAUCAUCUACGCAUGAACCUNNNNNNNNNNNNNNNNNNNNNNNNNNNNNNNNNNNNNNNNNNNNNNNNNNNNNNNNNNNNNNNNNNNNNNNNNNNNNNNNNNNNNNNNNNNNNNNNNNNNNNNNNNNNNNNNNNNNNNNNNNNNNNNNNNNNNNNNNNNNNNNNNNNNNNNNNNNNNNNNNNNNNNNNNNNNNNNNNNNNNNNNNNNNNNNNNNNNNNNNNNNNNNNNNNNNNNNNNNNNNNNNNNNNNNNNNNNNNNNNNNNNNNNNNNNNNNNNNNNNNNNNNNNNNNNNNNNNNNNNNNNNNNNNNNNNNNNNNNNNNNNNNNNNNNNNNNNNNNNNNNNNNNNNNNNNNAACCGUCCCACGAACCGUCCCGCGAUCCGUCUCACGAUCCGUUCCGAUCUAGUGGUGAACGGACGACACCUCCGCGUUCAGCACACGUACAGCUCGACGAUGAUCUCGGCCUUCUUGAUCCAGCAAGAGAGACGGAGAGGUAGAAGAGUUCUCCGGCAGCGUGACGGCGCUCCGGAGGUUGGUGAUGAUCUCGUCUCAGCAGGGCUCCGCCCGAGCUCCGCAGAAACGCGAUCUAGAGGAAAAACCGUGGAGGUAUGUGGUCGGGCUGCCGUGGAAAAGUCGUCUCAAAUCAGCCCUAAAUCACCGUUAUAUAUAGGAGGGAGGGGGAGGAGGCUUGCCUUGAGGGCCAAGCCCUCAAGGGUGCGCCGGCCAGGAGGAGAGGAAGAAUCCUACUCCAAUUAGGAUUGGGAAGUGGAGUCCUUCUCUUCCUUCCCACCUCCCUUUUUUUUCUUUCUCUUUGGUUUUUCUUCUCUUGGCGCCAAGGCCCUCUUGGGCUGUACCACCAGCCCACUAAGGGCUGGUGCGCCACCCUAAGGCCAUUGGGCUUCCUCCGGGUGGGUUUCCCGCCUCUCGGUGAACUUCCGGAACCCAUUCGCCACUCCCGGUAAAAUGGCGGUAAUGCCCGAAAACCUUCCGGUAACCAAAUGAAACCAUCCUAUAUAUCAAUCCUCGUUUCCGGAACAUUCUGGAAACCCUCGUGACGUCCAUGAGCUCAUCCGCGACUCCGAACAACAUUUGGAAACCACACAUAUAACUCAACUUCACUAAAACAUCGCCGAACCUUAAGUGUGCAGACCCUGCGGGUUCAAGAACUAUGUAGACAUGCCCCAAGGCACUCCUUGGUCAAUAUUGAAUAGCGGGACUUGGAUGCCCAUAUUGGAUCCUACAUAUUCUCCGAAGAUCUUAUCGGUUGAACCUCAGUGUCAAGGAUUCAUUUAAUCCCGUAUGUCAUUCCCUUUGUCCUUCGGUAUGUUACUUGCCCGAGAUUUGAUCGUUGGUAUCCACAUACCUAUUUCAAUCUCGUUACCGGAAAAUCUCUUUACUCAUUCCGUAAUACAAGUUCCCGUGACUUACACUUAGUGACAUUGCUUGCAAGGCUUGUGUCUGAUGUUGUAUUACCGAGUGGGCAUAGAGAUACCUCUCCGUCACACGGAGUGACAAAUCCCAGUCUUGAUCCAUACUAACUCAACGGACACCUUCGGAGAUACCUCUAGAGCACCUUUAUAGUCACCUAGUAAUGCACACAAGGUAUUCCUCUGGUGCCAGUGAGUUACAUGAUCUCAUGGUCAUAGGAAUAAAUACUUGACACGUAGAAAAUAAUAGCAACAAAAUGACACGAUCAAUAUGCUACGUUCAUAGUUUGGGUCUAGUCCAUCACAUGAUUCUCCUAAUGAUGUGAUCCAGUUAUCAAGUGACAACACUUGGACAUAGGCAGAAAACCUUGACUAUCAUUGAUCAACUGGCUAGCCAACUAGAGGCUUGCUAGGGACAUUGUUUUGUCUAUGUAUCCGCACAUGUAUCUAUGUUUUCAUUCAAUACAAUUAUAGCAUGGAUAAUAAACGAUUAUCUUUAAACAGGAAAUAUAAUAAUAACUAUUUAUCAUUGCCUCUAGGGCAUAUUUCCAACAAUAAUAACCAAUUUAUUAUUGCCUCUAGGGAAUAUUUCCAACAGUCUCCUACUUGCACUAGAGUCAAUAAUCUAGUUCGCAUCAGUAUGUGAUCGUAAUGAAUAUAACACCCAUACAGUGCUGGGUUCGAUAUUGUCUUGCUUGUGAGAGAGGUUAUUAAUCUAUGAGUCUCAACCUUUUAGAUCUGUUUGUGCUUUACAAAUUUCUGUGUGAUCCUAUAGAUGCUUGUACCACACGCCAUUUGGAACUAUUCCAAAUGACUGCUCCACUAUACGAAUCUGGUUUACUACUCAGAGUCAUCCAGAUUAGUGUCAAAGCUUGCAUCGAACUAACCCUUUACAACGGACUCUUUUAUCACCUCCAUAAUCGAGAAAAAUUCAUUAGCCCACUAGUUACUAAGGAUAACCUUUGACCGCUGUCCAGUAAUCCAUUCCUGGAUCACUUUCGUACCCCUUGACACAUUCAUGGCAAGGCACAUAUUAGGUGCGACACACGACAUAGCAUACUAUAGAGCCUACAGCUAAUUUAUAGGGGAUUUAUGUAGUAAUAUCCUCAUAGAUUAAUUAUACUAGUUAGAAUAUGUCUCGGAAAUUUUGUUCAAGUACCUUGCAGGCAACAACAAGACAAUGCUAAUAUGAAAUUAAAUUCUCUCACAAAUGACCUAACAGGUAUAUAUUGAUUGUAAAUCGACCCAGCUGUACGAAAAUCCCAACUAAUCAUUAUAGAGGUUAUGGAAAGAAAUGAUAAACCAGAAUAAGGACUUCAAGAGCAAAAUUAUUUUAACCUGAACUUCCAAGAAAUCAUCAAAGCAUAAGUGGCUUCCCUCCCACCAAUAAAUUUCUAGGUGAACAUGAGAAGCACUAUAACAGGGUCAUCUGAAUACCUGAAUAGAAUCAUAACUGUCAUGCCAAUAGCACAUCUCUCUCUCCCUCCCUCUCCCUCUCCAUCUCCCAAUCCUAUUUUCUUCAAUCACAUCAGAAUAAGAAAAAUUAACCAUACAUCAUUUUCAAAAGAACACAAAUGAUUGUAAAUCUCCCUCCCUCCCUACCCUCUCUGUAUUUGAAUAAUUUUUUUAAAAAAAUCUUGAUAUCAUUUUACAUAAAUAAAAUAGAAUUCAGGGUCUCUAUCCCGGCCUUCUAUUUUAGUGAAGGAUAAAAACAUAUCUCAAAUAGACUUGUACACAUUGAUGAUUUAGUAUAUGAAGGAUAAAAAUAAUAUACCAUUUUUCAGUCUUGAACACAACUAAAUGUAAAUUCUUGCGUACCUCCACGACAUCAAAACCAGAAUACUACAAUGCAAAAUAAAGGUAACUUGAUAGGUCACACCACUCAAAUAAAUAGUGGUAUAUUCUCUCAUCACCAAUGGGCACGAUGCAAAUAAUAGAUAAAUAUUUUCUCUCUAUUGUGCGUAAAUGACUAUAUUUUUCUACAACGAAGAAAAAUUGGAAGUGGAAACUAUGACAUGAACCACUUCAACGAACUCAUAAAAUUGCUUCGCCAAGGAGUUUCCCUUUACCAUAUUCCUCAUCUUCUCCUCAUUGUCACCAAAGUACUUUCUUGUCACUCCAUUAAGCUAAUACGGUUGAUCCCGGCAUAACAUGUAGUUGUUGCUCCCUUGAAAACAAAAAAUCAUCCUCUCUUAGAUACAAUUAAAUUCGGAAGAUAUUAAUUAAUAACAAAUAUUACUUCCUUGAACACAGGAACAUAAGUGUACGGAAGAAAUAACUCAUAACCUUGUGGAGAAAUAAAGGCCUCAGACUAUUGUAUAGCUUAAAAUUGACAUUUAACAAAUACAUUUAGAAAAAAGAAUUAGCUAGAGAGCUUACUCAUUAGGAAAAGGAGGCCUCAUCAAACAGAUCAAGAUUAGUUCAGAAUGAACCUAAUCAAACCAUGAUGGUAGCUUCUUUUUUUCUAGUAAACUAACUAUUUAUGGAACAUGAGAAUAACUAAUAAAAUUUUAAGAAUCCCAGUUAAUAUGAGUCCUUAAUUUUAUGUCAUCAUGAUGCUACCUCUAGCGAAUGAUAUAGUACAAAUUGAUUCUUUUAGGUAUUUUAUCAAACCCAGGACAUGCACUUUAUACAGUAAUACCUUGACACUCACUGGUUCUCAAUGAAGUCAUAGCCCCCUCCAAUCGAGCCCGCGCUAUGCAACCUUGACAUGCUGGACUUGAGGUCUCUAUAUGUGCGGCGGUAUGCACAGUUAACCGAUACCUUCAUCUAAUAUGGGCACCAAUUUAAUGGAAACUUUUAUGCACAAAACUCUAAAAUGCAAUUUUGUAAUGAGAGAAAACUUAAAAUCCUAACCCGUGAUUAACUAAAUAGUAGACAAGUGGGUAAAUUACUUCCACUACACAAUCAAUAAACUAAUAUGUUUAACCAAAAAUAUCUAAUGCAAUGAGAGAAAACUGAAAAGCCUAGCCUAGGAUCAGCUCAAUAGUCAAAAAUUAGGAUCCCACAGAUCUUAAAAAUACUAUGAAUUGGGACCAAUGAUAAUGUGGAAUCAUCUAUAGACUCAAUGUAUUUUGGGGCACAAAUAAGGCGAUGGUGAAAACAAUUAUUGCAAUCCCAAUCUAAUACAAUUACAACAAAACCAAUAGUGAAAUGAUGCAAAAGGAUUUACCUGAGUAUAAGAAUUACCAUAGGUAAAGAAAAAGCAUUCUGUCACAAACUAAAAAGACAUAAAAAUCCAAUAGCACAAAACUCGAUGAGGACAAUACUAUGUGCUGCAUAACUAAAAAAGCAUCAAUAUGUAGUUUUAGUAAUACAUAUACACUAUUGUUUAAUAGAAAAAAUAUCACACUCGAUCUUUCCACAUGUAGUUGGUAGCAACUGUCAUUUACUAAAGAUGUGGUUGUUGUGGUGUUCGUAGAAAAUUCAAACGAAUAGUGCAUUCAUGUAUUGCAAGUUUCUUGGGACCAAUAUAAUAGCUUUGAAGAUUUCCUACAUCUAUCCUCGUCUCAUGGCAUUCUAUAAGGCCUAUUUAGACGAAGCAAGAGCAACCAUGUUCUGUAAAGAAAGAUAUAUCACCUUCACAAAGGCAUUCUUGGAAAUUUCUCAAUUAACCAUACACAUGUCUCUAUGGUUCAAAAUGAAUUGCUUAAGAAGUUUCCACACAUCACAUAUCUCUCUCAUCAUUUAGCAAAUAUUUGGAAACCUCUUCAAAAUUGAUAUAUGCACCACCAAUUAUAUACUUGGCACAAUAAUCUACCUAACAACUUUUCAUGGUCAUUAACUUCAGUGACAACUUUCCAUGGCUGUUUGAUUCACUUACAUAGGAUUUACAAUAAUCACUCUAACACAAAUACAGUUGUGCACUACGGAACUCACAACACCUUAACUCAAUAUUUGAACACCUGGCAUGCAUUAUUAUUUGCACAAUCGACCUGUUUAUUGCAACAUAAAUUAAAUUUUGAAACAUAUUCACCAAUGCAUCAAUGUAAUAUGCUGAAGCCAUCUUCACACCACUUGCAACGUCAUAAAAAAAUCUAUAAGAGGUAGAACAUGUGGCUGGCUUAGAAUCAUCAUAUAACUGGACAAUGCAUCAUUAUUUGCACAAGUGACAUGUUUAUUGCAUCAUAAGUCAAAUUUAGAAACACAUCCACCGAUGCAUAGAUGUAAUAUGCUAAAGCCAUGUUCAAUCCACUUGUAUCGUCAUAAAAAAUAUGUAAUAGGUAGAAUAGGUGGCUGGCUUAGAAUCAUCAGAUAACCGAACCUUCCCUGCCACCUCCACCAUGGGCGACACCUCCAUCUCCACAUCAUAGAUCACUAUCCCCAUGUGAGGCAAAUAGUUGGCUAGCUUAUACUCAUCACCCUUCUCAUGUUCCCUUUUUAGCAUUUGGAAUCACAUACUUCCUGUGUAAGAAAUAUAAGAGCGUUUAGAUUAGUGAUCUAAACACUCUUAUAUUUCUUUAUGGAGGGAGUAAAAUAUAAAAGAUAGGAGAAUAAUAAUUCACAAUUUCUCUAGGUGAGUUUUUUCUAGGUGACUAUGUAGAAUGCAUGUAUGGUUGGGAGAAUAGGCGGAGAGUUUAUCAUGAAUAUUAUUUUUUGGCUUCACCAAGGGUUCAGUUUGUUGUAUUUUCUCUGAGUGUUCUUUCUUAUGUUGGAACUUCACCACCACAAGACGAAUUAUCUCCUUCCAUGAUCUACACAAAGGUAGAAGAAUGAUUCAUUAUUGCACCAACCACAUCAAAUCUACACUGUACAUACUAUAUCUCUGUUCAUUAGUGAAUUUAUCCCAUGCAGUACCUUGCAGAAUAGAAAGCCCACGCCAUGAUUUUAGAAGACAAAUCAGUCCCAUCUUCCUGUAGAACAUUGCACCCAAAACUGAUGCCAAAUAAUUCAUAAUGACUGAACAAGCGGAGAUCUAACUAAAGCUGGAUCAAGAAUUCUAUUAACUGUCCAUGUAAACAACAUACAAGGGCUUCAUUUUCCCAAGAGAAGAUAUUGUAUAAAAGGGCUUCGUUGUAAUUGUUUACUUAAGCAAAUAUCUAAAGUUCAAUAUAGACCAACUUUGCUCUUGAAUCUUGUUUAGCAAUAACAAAAUAGUUUGAUUCUCUUGGUCUUUCAGUACACAUGCACCCCAUGAUGAUAUUGGAUGCUAAAUAAUUUAUAAUGCAUGUACAUGCGGAAUAUCUUAACUGCUCAAGAAUUCGUAUGAACUGCCCAUUUAAAGAGCACAUGGAAAACUUUUAGAUGGAAUAAAAAGGACAUUCACUAGUAAACAAAAUUAUUUUUAAUAAACUAGGAACAAUGGUUUUGGACGAAGGAAGUUUCAUACAUUAUUCCGACAAAAAACUUGGGUGCAAGCAAUGUCUACUAAAACAAUUUAGACAUAUCGAAGUGGUGAAUUGCACAUAUCUGAGGUCUAUUAAUCUUCUCGACACUUGUAUACCUCAGAGUGACACUAAAUAAUUAUGAACGACUAAGCAUGCUAAAGUCUAAAGGUUGGCUUAAGAAAUCCUAAGAAUUGUGUCCACAUCAAUACACAACUAAACUGGUAGAUCGAGCAAAAAAGGCUUGCAAUUCUUAUGUUUAAUCUGGACCAACUAAACAAUCUCAAAUCUACAGCAAUAAUUUAUUGGAUCAACAAUCUUCUUAGUAAGAAAUGUAAAAAGACCAUUGGUACAAAGGAGAGGAAGAGGACAAUACUUACCCACACACAUAGCGAUUUCCGUGGAGAUCUUCACCUUCUUAGGGGCUCCCCUUGUAUAGCUCCUCGAGAGAGCAAGGCAGCUUCCUCUUGAUUGGCAUGACCUUAACCGCCUUGCUGCCAUUUCCGCCGCCGAACAUCCCGGGGUACCACUCACACACCCACCACAAAACGUCUUGGUGAAUGCAUCCUCGUUGACAAAUGCACUAGUGGAGAAACGGAUAGCCACAACCUAUGCUGGUGGCGCGCCGUUUCUAAGCAAUGCCACCACUAUAUCUUUAAGAUAGUUUUGGCAUUGGAAAAAUUUGUACAACAUUGAUACAACCUUAUUGUUGGUUUUGCACACGUAAUUGUGUAUUUUUUAUUUUUCUGGUAUAGGUUGUGGUGUCGUGUCCCAUUGUCCCACGCCAGCACUAGUCCAUUUUAAUAGCCCUCUAACACAGCCAAAGAAAAAUCAGGUGACAUUUCACUCUCUCGCAUCUCCCCCCCGGCACCUCUCUCUCGCCCGACGCCGCCACCACCACCUCCCGAUCCCGCCAAACGUCACCACCGAACCAACGCGUGCGCUGGCACCUCCCGACACCACCACACGUCAUCGCCGGACCAGCGCGACCGCUGCCACCUGCAGUAGGUGAGAUCUACCUCUUUGGUUGUUAGAGAAGGUAGUGCGGUUGGUUGGACAAAAUUGAGAAUUUGCUAGUGGAUUUUGGUAGGUUCUGAUCUCAUGGACUUAUGUUUUGGUAGGAAAAAUAAUAGUACAAAGUGUACACUAAGGUAUCCCAAUCCUUUCUAUAGCAAAGAACAAGCCUGAAAGUACUCUUAUAUAAAGAAAAUGUUCCCGAUGACACAUAGGACUUACUGUCUAGUCAUGUUCAUCAUGUUAAGCUGAUUCACGUUCGUUACUUUGAUAAUUUCGCUUCCUUCCUCUCUGGUUUUCCUUCUCAUUAGCGACCCUGCAGCUCAGUGCAGCCAAUAUCGCCACCGCUGCCAUGAAGAAAGGGCAGACAAGUAAGCUAGAGAAGGCAAAGAAGAAGGGCGCCGCCAAGCCCAGGAAGCAGGCUCUGCCAUCGGCUGAAUCCAGGGGGAUUUCCUCCGAUCCAAUGUGCGGAAGGAGGACCUCCUCGAUCUCGUCGAGCAUGGUAUGCUGGCGGACACUACUUGGAGGCUUCCCGACGAUGAGAUCGAGCCCGAGCCGUGCGAGGGAGAGCGGGUCCUCCUCUUGACCCACGUCGAAAGAUGUUUCUCCUUGUCGCCUCAUCCUUUCAUUCGGGGGUUCUUGAAUUUCUUCGGGGCGCAUUUGCAUCACUUCGCACUGAAUGCCAUCGCCCACCUUUUUGCCUUUGUCACCUUAUGCGAGUGUUUCUUGGGGUGUCCUCCCCAUUGGGGACUUCUCAAAUAUACCUUCACUGUAUGUUCUCAGUCGGUGAAGAAGGUCAAUUCAACUGAUAAUAAGACCCAUGUCAUCCAGUUGUGUGGGUGUUUAGGACUUCAAAAGAGAGCCAAAAGUAGUUAUCCUACCAUGACCUUCCUUGAGUCGAUCUGCAACUGGCAAGCCACUUGGUUCUAUUGUAACGAUGACGCUUGCCCAAAUAUGUCGAGUGGACUUCCGCCCUUAGUCAACAAAGGAGGAGAAAGCUCAGGUGGAGCCCUUAGUCAAGGCGCUGAUUGGUCUGGUCCACAACAGAGUGACAGGGAUGGAUCUGUUGGAGACCUUCCUUGGAAGACGCAUCUGAUACGUCCAUUUUGCAUCAUGCUUUCAUGUUGAUAUUUAUCACUUUAUGGACUAUUAUUGUACUUUGUGGUACCAUACUUAUGUCUUUUAUCUCUUAUUUUGCAAGGUUUAUUUGAAGAGGGAGAAUACCGGCAAUUGGAAUUCUGGACUGGAAAAGGAGCAAGUUUGAGUCCUCUAUUCUCCACAACUCCAAAUGCCCUAAAAAUCAACGUGGAUUUUUUUGGGAAUAUAUAAAAAAUACUGUGCGAAAGAAGUGCCAGAGGGGAGCUGCCAGGGGCCCACAAGCCUGGUGGCCGCGGCCUGCCCCCCUGGCCGCGGCAACAGGGCUUGUGGGCACCCUGGUGGCCCACUGGCCCCCGUCUUCUGCUAUAUGAAGGGUUUCGUCCGGAAAAAAAUCAGGGCGGCGAUUUUUCGUGGAUUCUCCGCCACCACGAGGCGGAACUUGAGCAGAACCAAUCUAGAGCUCCGGCAGGACGAUCCUGCCGGGGAAACUUCCCUCCCGGAGGGGGAAAUCGUCGCCAUCGUCAUCACCAACACUCCUCUCAUUGGAGGGGACUCGUCUCCAUCAACAUCUUCAUCAGCACCAUCUCAUCUCCAAACCCUAGUUCAUCACUUGUAACCAAUCUCCAUCUCGCGACUCCAAUUGGUACUUGUAAGGUUGCUAGUAGUGUUGAUUACUCUUUGUAGUUGAUGCUAGUUGGAUUACUUGGUGGAAAAGUUUAUGUUCAGAUCCUUGAUUCUACUCAUUACACCUCUGAUCAUGAUUAUGAUUAUGCUUUACGAGUAGUUACUUUUGUUCCUGAGGACAUGGGAUAAGUCAUGCUAAUAAUAGUCAUCUGAAUUUGGUAUUCAUUCGGUAUUAUGAUAUGUUGUAUGUUGUUUUUCCUCUAGUGGUGUUAUGUGAACGUCGACUACAUAACACUUCACCAUAUUUGGGCCUAGAGGAAGGCAUUGGGGAGUAGUAAGUAGAUGAUGGGUUGCUAGAUUGACAGAAGCUUAAACCCCAGUCUAUGCGUUGCUUCGUAAGGGGCUGAUUUGGAUCCACUAGUUUAAUGCUAUGGUUAGAUGUUGUCUUAAUUCUUCUUUCGUAGUUGCAGAUGCUUGCGAGAGGGGUUAAUCAUAAGUGGGAUGCUUGUCCAAGUAAGGGCAGUACCCAAGCGCCGGUCCACCCACAUGUCAAACAAUCAAAGUAACGAACGCGAAUCAUAUGAACAUGAUGAAACUUGCAUGACAGAAAUUCCCGUGUGUCCUCGGGAGCGUUUUUCCUCUUAUAAGACUUUGUUCAGGCUUGUCCCUUGCUACAAAAGGGAUUGGGCCACUUUGCUGCACCGUUUCUACUAUUUGUUACUUUUUACUUUUCACCUGCUACGUUUCACCUCACUACACCAUCACUUGUUACCGCUACUUUCAGUGCUUGCAGUUAUUACCUUGCUGAAAACCGUUUAUCCGAGCCUUCUGCUCCUCGUUGGGUUCGACACUCUUACUUAUCGAAAGGACUAGGAUUGAUCCCCUAUACUUGUGGGUCAUCAAGACUCUUUUCUGGCGCCGUUGCCAGGGAGUGAAGCGCCUUUGGUAACUGGGAUUUGGUAAGGAAACAUUUAUAUACUGUGCUGAAAUUUAUUGUCACUUGUCACUAUGGAAACUGUUCCUUUGACGAAUUUGUUUGGGGUAUCUUCACCACAAACGGAAGCACGAGGAUUUUCUCCUCAACCUAAGGUCCCUACUGAAAAUGUCUUUUAUGAAAUGUGAUGAUACUGAAUCAUGGGACUACAAUCGGUUGAAAUUGGAAUUUCAUCAAAAGUUUUAUCCUAUGCAUUUAGUAUAUCGUGAUCGGAAUUAUAUUUAUAACUUUUGGCCUCGUGAGAGGGAAAGCAUAGCUCAAGCUUGGGGGAGGCUUAAAUCAAUGCUAUAUUCAUGCCCCAAUCAUGAGCUCUCGAGAGAAAUUAUCACUCAAGACUUUUAUGCUCGGCUUUCUCAUGAAGAUCGUACCAUGCUUGACACUUCUUGUACCAGUUCUUUUAUGAAGAAGGAUAUUGUCCACAAGUGGAAUUUAUUGGAAAGAAUCAAACGUAACUCUGAAGAUUGGGAUCUUGAAGAAGGUAAGGAGUCAGGUAUGAAUUUGUAGUUUGAUUGCGUUAAAUCUUUUGUUGAAACAAACACUUCUAGAGAUUUUAGCGCUAAGUAUGGACUUGACUCUGAGAUAGUAGCUUCUCUAUGUGAAUCUUUUGCUUCUCAUGUUGAUCUUCCCAAAGAGAAGUGGUUUAAGUAUCAACCUCCUUUAGAAGUCAACAUAGUUAAACCCAAUCUAGUUGAAGAGAAAGUCAUUGCCUAUAAUGAUCCUAUUGUUCCUUGUGCCUACACUGAGAAACCACCUUACCCUGCUAGGAAAAAGGAUUAUUCUAAAGCUCCAACUGUGAUACAUAGGGGUUACAUUAGGCCACUUGCACCCCCUGAGGAAAUUAGAGUUGAACCUAGUGUUGCUAUUAUCAAAUAUCUCUUAGCUGAAGACAUAGAUGGGCAUGUUAUCAAAUUCUGUGAGGACUCCGCUAGAAUUGCUAAACCUCACGCGAAAGACAAAUACGGACCUUUAGUUUGCCCUGCCCGUUGUUUCUGUCAAGAUAGGAGAUCACUGUUAUCAUGGUUUAUGUGAUAUGGUUGCUAGUGUUAGUGCAAUACCCCGGUCCCUUCAUGAUGAAAUCAAAGAUGAGAUUGCACCUGCUGAGUUAGAACCCAUUGAUGUCACUAUUACGCUAGCUAAUAGAGACACUAUCUGCCCUAUGGGAAUUUUGAGAGACGUAGAAGUCCUGUGUGGUAAGACGAAGUAUCCUACUGAUUUCCUCGUCCUUGCUACUGCACAAGAUAGCUUUUGUCCCAUCAUAUUUGGCAGACCGUUUCUCAACAAUGUCAAUGCUCAUAUUGAUUGCAUUAAACAGACUGUCACUGUUACUUUCGAGGGUGUGUCUCAUGAAUUUAACUUCUCCAAAUUUGGAAGACAACCCCAUGAAAAAGAGUCGUCUGGUAGGGAUGAAAUCAUUGCUCUUGCCUCUAUUGUCGUACCUCCUACGUAUCCUUUAGAGCAAUAUCUCCUUGUGCAUGAAAAUGAUAUGCAUAUGGAUGAAAGAGAUGAGAUAGAUAAAAUUGUUUUAGAACAAUAUCCUAUUCUUAAGAAUAAUCUUCCUGUUGAAUUUCUUGGGGAUCCUCCCCCACCAAAGGGUGAUCCUGUGUUCGAGCUAAAACAAUUACCAGAUACACUUAAGUAUGCCUAUCUUGAUGAGGAGAUAUAUCUUGUUAUUAUUAGUGCUCACCUCUCGAAUCACGAAGAGAACAAGUUAUUAAAAACUUUGAGGAAGCACCGUGCUGCUAUUGGAUAUACUCUUGAUGAUCUUAAGGGUAUUAGUCCCACUCUAUGUCAGCACAAGAUUAAAACCGAUCCUGAUUCUAAGCCAGUUGCUGAUCAUCAACGGAGAUUAAAUCCUAGGAUGAAAGAGGUCGUGAGAAAAGAAAUAUUAUAGCUUCUGGAAGCAGGAAUCAUUUAUCCUGUUGCUCAUAGUGAUUGGUUAAGUCUAGUACAUUGCGUACCCAAGAAGGGAGGUAUCACCGUCGUUCCUAAUGAUAAGAAUGAACUAAUCCCAGAGAGGAUUAUUACUGGCUAUAGGAUGGUGAUAGAUGAUACGUCUCCAUCGUAUCUACUUUUCCAAACUCUUUUGCCCUUGUUUUGGACUCUAAUUUGCAUGAUUUGAAUGGAACUAACUUGGACUGACGUUGUUUUCAGCAAAAUUGCCUUGGUGUUGUUUUUGUGCACAAAUCAAAGUUCUCCAAACGUCCUGAAAAUUUACGGGGAGCAUUUUUGGAAAAUAUGAAAAAUAUCUGCGCCAAGAUCCACCUGAGGGGGUGGGCUAGUGGGCCACAAGCCCUGCCUCCGCUACCCCUGGUGGCGGUGGGCAAGCUUGUGGGGCCCACACGGCUCUGCCGCCCCCAAUCUCAGCUCUAUAAGUUCACUUUCGUAGAAGAUUUCGUCGCGUUUGCGAUAUGGAGGCGCCGCCACCACCUGUUCUUCCUCUGGAGGGCAGAUCUGGAGUCCGUUUUGGGCUCCGGAGAGGGGAAAUCGUCGCCAUCGUCAUCAUCAACCUUCUUCCCUCUCCAAUUCCAUAAAGCUCUUCGUCGUUCGUGAGUAAUCUAUUCGUAGGCUCACUGGGCGGUGAUGAGUAGGAUGAGAUCUAUCAUGUAAUCGAGUUAGUUUUGAUGGGGAUUGAUCCCUAGUAUCCACUAUGUUCUGAGAUCGAUGUUGCGACUACUUUGCCAUGCUUAAUGCUUGUCNNNNGGGCCCGAGUGCCAUGAUUUCAGAUCUUGCAAGUUGUAGUUACCUACUAUGUGUUAUGAUCCGGCAACCCCGGAGUGACAAUAACCGGAACCACUCCCGGUGACGACCAUAGUUUGAGGAGUUCAUGUGUUCACCAAGUGCUAAUGUGUUGGUCUAGUUCUUUAUUAAAAGGAGAACCUUAAUAUCCCAUGGUUUCCUUUUGGACCCCGCUGCCGCGGGAGGGAUGGACAAUAGGUGUCAUGCAAGUUCUUUUCCCUAAGCACGUAUGAUGACACACGGAAUGCAUGCCUACAUCACAUUGACGAACGGGAGCUAGCCACAUAUCUCUCAGUGUUUUAAGUGUUGCAUGAUGAAUAUCAUCCAAACAAAUCACCGACCCAUUGCCUAUGAGUUUGUCCUACUGCUGCGGUUACUUGUCUUGCUCUGCUGCUACUGCUGUUACUACUGUCGCUUGCUCUGUUGCUACUUGCUACUGCUGUCACUAUCGUUGUUCCUUGCCACUGCCAUUACUCUCUACUUUGUUGUUACUACUUUGCUUGCAGAUACUAAUCUUUCAGGUGUGGUUGAAUCUGACAAAUUCAGCUGCCAAUACUCGAGAGUAUGCUCUGACCUCCUGUUUGGCGAUCAAUAAAUUUGGGUCGAAUACUCUACUCUCGAAAACUGCUACGAUCCCACGCGCUAGUGGUCCGUCAACAACAUUUUUCUAGUUUCGAUUGCCGGAGAGUGCUAGCAGCAUUCUUCUGGUGCUGUUGCAAGGGAAGGUCUGCUGUUAUUGAGUACGCAUUUUUCUGGCACCGUUGCCGGGGAGGUAUUGCUAUAUUCUCUGAGUUAUUUGGGAUUUAUAUCUGCUGAUCACUAUGAAGAAUCCAAAAACAAAAGUCUUGCCCUCAACUACGAGGGGAGGUAAGGAAUUGCCAUCUAGCUCCGCACUUGAUUCACCUUCAGUUAUGAGUAAGUUUGCGACAUCACCUCCCUCUAGAAAUCUUGAUAUGUCGCCUGUGCUUGAUGAUGCUUAUGAUGCUACUGCUAGAGAUGCUAUGCUUGAUACUAUGCCUGAUACUGCUUCGCCUCAUACUGCUAGAGAUGCUAUGCCUGAUGAUACUAUGCUUGAUACUGCUUUGCUUGAUGAUGCUAGAGAUGCUAUUUUGCCUGAUGAUGCUAUGCUUGAUACUGCUAGAGAUGCUACUUUGCCUGAUGUUCCUCUAGGGGUAUUCCUUGAUGCUCAUAUUGCUAGAAUUACUGCCAAUGCUCGUGAUGCCUCUGAAAUUGUCGAUACUAUUGAGAUAGAACCUGCUUUUGCUCCUCUUGGAUCUAGCUCUCCUAGAUAUGAAUUGCCUGAUAUACCUGAGGGUUAUGUUAUGGAGGGAGAGAUAGUUGAGGAUUUUCUUGCGUGUAAGGAUGCCUAUGACGCUGAGAAAUUACUUCUCAAGUGGAAGNNNNNNNNNNNNNNNNNNNNNNNNNNNNNNNNNNNNNNNNNNNNNNNNNNNNNNNNNNNNNNNNNNNNNNNNNNNNNNNNNNNNNNNNNNNNNNNNNNNNUACGAAAAGCAACGCUCGUAGGUCAAAUUCCUCUUCUUUGUGCUCAUCCCACACACGGACACCAGGUCUGCCCCACAGCUGUAAAAGUUCAUCAACUAAUGGCCUUAGGUACACAUCGAUGUCGUUGCCGGGUUGCUUCGGACCUUGGAUGAGCACUGGCAUCAUAAUGAACUUCCGCUUCAUGCACAACCAAGGAGGAAGGUUGUAGAUGCAUAGAGUCACGGGCCAGGUGCUAUGGCUGGAGCUCUGCUCGCCAAAAGGAUUCAUGCCAUCUGUACUUAGACCAAAUCUUAUGUUCCUUGCGUCAGCUGCAAAAUCUUUGAACNUUGUUUGUGCUCAUCCCACACACGGACACCACCCCACAGCUGUAAAAGUUCAUCAACUAAUGGCCUUAGGUACACAUCGAUGUCGUUGCCGGGUUGCUUCGGACCUUGGAUGAGCACUGGCAUCAUAAUGAACUUCCGCUUCAUGCACAACCAAGGAGGAAGGUUGUAGAUGCAUAGAGUCACGGGCCAGGUGCUAUGGCUGGAGCUCUGCUCGCCAAAAGGAUUCAUGCCAUCAGUACUUAGACCAAAUCUUAUGUUCCUUGCGUCAGCUGCAAAAUCUUUGAACAUUCUGUCGAUCUUUCUCCAUUGCGUUCCAUCUGCGGUGUGUCUCAACUCCCCGUCCGACUUACGGUCCUCUUUGUGCCAUCGCAACAACUUGGCAUGCUCUUUGUUCCUGAACAGACGUUUCAACCGAGGUAUUAUAGGAGCAUACCACAUCACCUUGGUGGGAACCCUCUUCCUGGGUUUCUGGCCCUCAACAUCGUCACCAGGGUCAUCGCCUCUGAUCUUAUAACGCAAUGCAGUGCAUACCGGGCAUUCAUUCAAAUUCUCGUAUUCACCGCGGUAGAGGAUGCAGUCGUUGAUGCAUGCAUGUAUCUUCAGAACCUCUAAACCUAGAGGGCAGACAACCUUCUUUGCUUCGUACGUACUGGUGGGCAACUCGUUAUCCUUUGGAAACAUAUUCUUCAACAUUUUCAGCAAGUUUUCAAAUGCCGAGUCAGCUACACCUGCCUGUGCCUUCCAUUUCAGCAAAUCCAGUGUGCAGCCCAGCUUUUUCAGACCAUCAUCGCAUCCGGGGUACAGCGCCUUUCUGUGAUCCUCUAACAUGCGAUCCAAAUUCUCCCUCUCCUUUUCAGUUUCGCAGCGUCUCCGUGCAUCAGCAAUGGUCCGACCAAGAUCAUCAACGGGAUCAUCACGUGCCUCUUCUUCACCUUCCCCUUCACCUUCAGCAUCCUCCAUGAAAGUAUCACCGAAAUGAGCAAGAUAGCUUUCAUCNNNNNNNNNNNNNNNNNNNNNNNNNNNNNNNNNNNNNNNNNNNNNNNNNNNNNNNNNNNNNNNNNNNNNNNNNNNNNNNNNNNNNNNNNNNNNNNNNNNNUCUUUGUCGUCCGCCAGCAGACGACAAAGAAGGUACCGUAGAUUGACCUAGCGUUCCCCCGGUCAGGUGGGCCCAGUCCAAAGCUUUGUCGUCUGAUGUCCUAAUCUUUACCGUGAGCCGCUGACGGCAAAGAAUUGACUCAUGGCAAAGACAUUCUAUGCCAUCAGCCUGUUCUUUGCCGUCGGCUUUUUGGCAACGGACGACAAAGGCACUCUUUGCCAUCAGCUAGCAGAUGGCAAAAAACUGAAUUCCAGUAGUGUAUGUGUUUGAUCUUUCUUUCUCGUGUGUUCUUGUGAUGUCACGAUAUGGAUGUAUUACAGGCUUUGUCAGUAUAGUUGGAUCAUAUGAUGUUCUUCCCUUGCUAUCUUGGUGUGGUGAAUUUAAUUUUUCCUUUGAGAUCUUGUUAUGUCCGAUUGACUAUUGGGUUUGAGGACACUUAAUGUAUGUCUUGCAUGUGGAUACCCGUGUUUACAAUGGAGUAUUCUAUUGAUUUACUUGAUAUAUGUCAUGGCAUCAACUUGCCGGUACGAGUGACCUUGGGGAUGCAUAGGGGUUGAUUGCACGUUUUCAUACUACGUUCUUCGGUAGAAAUCUUGGGGUACUCUUUGAAGUUCUUUGUGUUCGAUUGAAUAUGAUGAAUCUGAAAUUAACCCACGGAUAAUUGAGGUGAUGUUGGAGUAUCUAGGUGAAAUCAAGGUUGAUUGAUAUAUAUCAUAGGUGUUAUUCUAGUACGAACUCUAGGAUUGUUUGUGACACUUAUAGUAAUACUCAAUGGAUCGAUCGAAAAGGAUAACUUUAAGGUGGUUCACUGCCUACAACUAUUUCAUCUUAUGUUCUCCUCUACUUAUGAACAUUGGGGUGAUUCUUUAUCGCACAUUGAGAGAUGACCAUAUGAUUCUAUUAUUUUAGCAUUGUUGAGAGAUUCCACUAGUGAAAGUAUUAACCUUAGACCUUAUUUCCAAACAUUUAUACCACAUUUUUCUCGCUGUUUUCCACUUCUACCUUGGUGAUUUUAUAUUUUCAUAUUACAAAAACAUAUAUCUACUAUCCAUACUACACUUGUAUCACCAUAUCUUCGCCAAAGUAGUUUACUUGUACAAUUUUCCAUUGUAUUGGGUGUGUUGGGGGCACAAGAGAUUAUUAAUAUUUGAUUGCAGGGUUUUUUGAUAGAGACCAUCUUCAUCCUACACGUAACACGGCUUUGAUGUUGUCCAACAAAACUCUACACUUGGAGGCCCAACAAUAUCUACAACAAUAAAGUUGCAUAAUACACACCAGUCUUCCAUAACAUCAUUGUAUAAUUACACUCCAACAUUACCUACAGUAUGCUAUCACAAUUAUAUGGCUCCCAAAUCAAUGAUGCUUAGCAAGAAUUCAAACAUAAGCACACAAAUCAACUAUAACAACAAUCUGUGAAAAACAGGACAGUCCAGAAAGAUGCAGAUGAAACAUAUAAUUCUUUAACUCAGAAAAUUCUGAAAAAUUAGGACGUGGUAAUUUUUUUAUAACAGUACUAUGUAAUUUUUUUAGAUUUUUUAAUGUUCCAGUAAAAUAGGAAAAAUCUAACACUACUGCCAAAGUUUCUAUUUUUGCACAACACAUAUCAAACAAGCAAUUUAAACAUCCUCAAAGUAAAUCUUGGCACAUUCUUUUUUAAUACAAUGUAUUUGUACAAGGGGAUAAUUAUUUUUGUUGAAAAGUUUGUGUAAUCAAGAUUCACAAAGUUUUCAUGGGCAUGAACAAAGUUCAAGGAUACCCCCACUUCAACGGUGCUCGUCCUUCUCACUUUCACUUUUCUUUUCAUAAAACUCUUAGAUUCCCAACUUUAUUCUUUGUUUUUAAAAUUUUUAAAAGAACACAAUAGAAAUAAAUGACUCCCUAAAACUUCCGGGUUGUCUCCCUAGCAACCCUUUCUUUAAAGCCAUUAAGCUAGGCAUAUAGUUCUCAAGUAAUUGAUCGACCCGGAUCUCAUGGUAUAUCAAAUCCAAUUUUAAUUAACAUUAAUUUGUAAUUAAGUGGUGAACACAAAGUGAUAUAUAUCAUGUGACAACAAAGUCUAACUCUGUUCCUCUGCAUUGUCAUGUCAUAAAAGAACAAUUUAUUCACACAAAGUAAAGGCCAAUACAUAGCAUAAGUAGUUUCUUGCAAUUUUAUCGAAUAGGAAACAUAGAGAGGUGAAGAUUUGGUUUCUCUCUCAUAAUAAUUGCAAGUAGGAACAACAAGCACAUGCAUAUUAUAUUCAUCAAAAUCAUCAUGUGUAAUGGUAAGACGCAACCCAUCAAUAUAAUCCUUAAUAAGUGCAAACUUCUCCGAUAUGGUUUAGUUGGGAGGAUUCAAAAAUAUAAUAGGACUAUCAUGUGUGGGUGCAAUAUCAACAAUUUCAUACUUAACAUAAGGAAAUAUAGCAAGUUCAUCUCCAUACGAAUAAUUCAUAUUGGCAUCAUGGCCGCAAGCAUAGCAAGCAUCAAGUUCAUCAAAAAGGGAUAUUUCAAAUGAAUCCAAGGGAUCAUGGCAAUUAUCAUAUCAUUCAGCCUUUGGUAUGUGUGAAGGGAAAUUAAACAAUGUAUGAGUUGAAGAGUUACUCUUAUUAGAAGGUGGGCACGUGUAGCUAAUCCGCACUUCCUUCUUUUGGUCUUCGCUUUCCUCCUCAUCUUUUUCAUCUAAAGAGCUCACAGUUUGAGCAACUUCUUCUUCCAUAGAUUCCUGAAUAAAUAUUAAUCUCUUCCAAGACAUCAGUCAUUCUUUCAAUAAAUUCUUUAACAUAAGCAUUAGAAGCAUAGCUUUCAUAGCAAUAUUUAAGUACAACAAAAUUUUCUAAAUUUAUAAAGAAUAGCAUCAUACUUUUCAAUCGAAGUAGCAUUUUCAUAAGGACCCAAGCGACAAAUUCUUCAAUUUGUUCAACAUCAUAAUAAAAAUAGGCAUCAUAGGCUGAAAAAGAUAAUAUUUCCUUAUCAUUAAACACACAUUGAUAGGGAAUAUGGUUUUAGUGUCUUCGAAACAACAAGUAAAAUCAUGUAAUUCACAUAAAUUCCAAGCGUAACAACACAAAGUACUAAUUUCAUGUCACAAGAGCUUCCCUUUUUGAGAUAAGCGAUGUCGCACAAAACAAGCAUGUUCAUUUAAUAAUUUUUGCUCAACUAAGCUAGUUCGGUUUUUAGCAUGAGCACAAAGGGAUCAAAGAUGGUCCAACUAAAAAGCUUCAGCAGUACGAUACAUUUUGGGUGGUUCCUCAACCAUUGGGUUAGCAAGUACAUCUAAUUUUUUUUGGUAUUUUGCCUUUCCUAGAAAUAACUAAAGAUAGAAAACAACUUAGAACACAAAAUUAAAUUACUUAGUGACAAAGCAAACAAGCACACACGAGAAUAUCAAUCGCUAUGCUAUUGCUCCCCGACAACGACGCUAGAAAAAGGUCUUGAUAACCCACAAGUGUGUGGGAUUGUUUGUAACCUUUUUCAAUAAGUAAUAGGGUCGAACCCUAUGAGGAUCUAAAGAUAGAAUUAAUAUUCUCUCAAGUUCUAUCGACCACCGAUACAAUUCUACGCACGCUAACGCUUAAUUUACCUAGAACAAGUAUGCAACUAUUUUAUGGGAAGGAAACUAGAAGUACUUAGUAGGUGUAAUAGAUAGUUUUGCAUGAUAAUAAAGAACACAAAAAUAGAAGUUAGGUACUUUUUUAAUAAAUACUAAUUAAGUUAGUUCUUUAGUAGAAUUUGUUUUUGUAGCACAAGAGAAAGAUUGUCCGUAGGCAAUUGAAUAUAGCAUGAUAGAUGCUUGUCAUGUGCAAUGAAGGAGAGGCAUACGCAAACACACUUUCCGUACUUGGAUCGUAUGCACUUAUGAUUGGACCUCUAGCAAGCAUCCACAACUACUAGAAAUUAUUAAAGUAAACCCAACCAUAGCAAUAAACAUCAAGUCCUCUUUACUCCCAUACGCAAACAACUCUCUUACUCUCGGGUGUAAGCUUCUGCUGCUCUAGCCACUCACUAUAAGCGAAUCAUGAACAUAUUGCAAACCCUACAGCGUGAAUACUUCACGUGUGAGCCUCACCGAAAGCUCCUUAGGACAGAAUCAUAUCAACAUACAACUCAUAUCAAUAACGUCAUACCACAAUUAACCCGUGGGACAAAAGAGAUCUACUCAAACAUCAUAGGAUGGCACACAUCAUUGGAUAUAAUAUAUAGCAUUACGAACCAUGUUUAUGUAGAGAUUACAGUGGGGGGAGAGGAUUUACACCACUGCAUUUAGGGGGAGAGAGUUGGUGGUGACGACGACGAAGUUGUUGUUGUAGAUCGUCGUCAUGAUGGUUGCCCCGGCGGCGCUCCUGCGCAACCGGGAGGGAGGGGGAGAGAGCCCCCCUAUAUGUUAUUCUUCCUUUGCCUCCUCCUUAGGUGGGAGGAGAGUUUACCCUCCGGUCCAUGUCCACCAUGGCUCCCGGAGGGAUGCAGUCCCGUCGAGAUUGGAUCACUCUCCAUUUGUCUCCUGUUUUCGCUACGUACUGUUUUGUGGCCCUUUGCCGUUUCUUAAAUAUCCGGAGAUUCGUAACUCUGACUGGGCUGAAAUUUUGAGGGGAUUUUUAUCGGAACAUUAUCUUUAUUGCAAAUAAAGUAGGGCCCCGGCCGACUUAAGGGAGAGCCACAAGGCAUUAGGGGGCGGCCACCCCCCGUUCGCGCCCUGUUGCCUUGUGAGAGCCUUGGGAAUCAUGUGGUGUUGAUUCUUCUUCCAAAAAUUCAAAUAUAUUCCAAAAAAAUCUCCAUAAAUUUUUAUUGCAUUUGGACUUCAUUUGAUAUGGAAUUUCUGUGAAACAAAAAACACAAAAAAACAGGAACUCACACUAGGCACUAGAUAAGUAAGUUAGUCCCAAAAAAUAAUAUAAAAUAUUGCCAAAAGUGUAUGAAAGUUGUAGAAUAUUGACAUGAAAUAAUAAAAAAUUAUAGAUACGGCCGAGACGUAUCACCAUACUUCGGUGAUUUCGACAAAGUUGUCAAUGACCCUAACUCUCAAGGAUCCCUUACCCUCUGACCCUUUUUGGGAAUUAAUGCCAAAGGGCGAGAAAUAUCAAAGCUUAUGCUUACCAAAGGGGAAAUUAGUACUUUCGGAUUCUUUUGUAGAAAGUUCUAAAUGCUCUUGGAGACAUAUUCAAGGGGGAGAAAAAUCAAGUAACACUACAUUAAGGGAGAGAGAGAGAGAGAUCAAAUCUAUCUAUCUUCAAAGGAGAGGGGCUAAAACAUAAAUAUCUACUUUUAGAUUGCCUAACUGUUAGACUUAUCUCACCCUACCUACUCCGAGUAUCUACAUGCUAAGAUUCAGGGGGAGAGAAGAAAGUAAUGUUAAUAUUCAGGGGAUGAAGUUCUAAAUGCUCUUGGAGACAUCAAUUUUAAUAAAUACUAUUUCUCUCUAUGUCUUCUAUACCUUUGGUACUUUUGGAUUCUUUUGCAUUUGGAUGAGAAGAAUAAUCUUGUGUUAUCCAACAAUUGUUUUCUCAAGUGUGUUCCUAUUGUUAAAAUGCUCCAGAACCUCAAGACAAGUAUACGCAUCAUAUCCUUGGCCAAGUUGAUCUCUUGAUUCUUUGCAUAUAUUGUUUGCAAGAGUGAGUCUUGAACAUGGAGACACUUUAUUCACAUAAAUUUGAUGCAUAUGGCUAAGGUACACAUGACUUAUCAUGUCCCUUCUUCUAUGUGUGUGUCCAUGCAUUCCAAAGCAAUUGUCCUUUAAAAAGGAUUCACACAUUUAGGGGAGCUUGUAUUAGUCAUGUAUCCUUCAAAGCUAUCACAUAUUUUUGCAUAUCUUAAAUUGAAGCUUUUAUUGUAUGUUGUCAUCAAUUACCAAAAAUGAGGAGAUUGAAAUCACAUAUGCUCCCUUGGUGGUUUUGAUAAUUCAUGACAACAUACAUUGUCUCUUGGACUAAUAGUUUUAUCUAGUUUAUUUUAGAUGAAGUCCAUAGAGAGAAUUGGCUGGAUUGUGAGGAGAGGCCCCAAGGAAAGAGAAGAAUAGGAUUGGCCGAGCUUCAAGCUUCAAGACUCUACAUUUUGCAUUUAUGUGAGAAAUCACAAUUGAGUCCAUAGGAAAGCCAAUAAUUUUAAAAGGGGAUGAGGUUUCUAUGAUGAUCUGGUUGCUCAAGUGCUUAGAGUUAGCCACCAAAAACCCUCAUGAAAUUCUGCCACAAAUAUUUUGUCCAAAGCCUAACACUCAAAUUCGAUGCCACCAAUAUUUCGAAAUCGGUCGUACCAAGUUUUACCGUUGACAGAAUCGAGAGCCAAUCCAACCAUCUUGGUGCCACCAAGUUUGAUUUCGGUGCAACCGAAAAACAUGAUGAACUCCCUGGUUGCCAUUUUUUGAAAAUCGGAAUUUUUGAUUUUUGCAAAUCGGUGCCACUGAGUUUGGGUAACUUCCUAGGUCAGCCAAAUCGGACUCACCGGGAUAUCUAUAUCGGUCUCACCAAAAUGCCAAAAGUUGCCACAUUUUGCACUAGUCGGUGUAACCGAGUUUUUUUGCUUCGGUUUCACCGAGUUGGGCAAUAAUGUUGUAAUGGUUGGAUUUCUGGAGCCUAUAUAUACCCCUCCACCUUCCACUCAUUCAGAGAGGAAGCACUCAGAACAAACCAACACUUGCGCUAUCUAUUUUCCGAGAGGGAACCACCUACUCAUGAUCAAGAUAUUCCACUCCAACACAUGUAUCUUGAUUUCUAGCCUCCCCAAGUUGCUUUUCACACAAUCAAUAUCUUCUACCCAAGCCAAAUUUUGUGAGAGAGUGAUUGGGUGUUGAGGAGACUAUCUUUGAAGCACAAGAGCAAGGAGUUCAUCAUACUUACCACAUCUAUUACCUUUUGGAGAGUGGUGUCUCCUAGAUUGGUUAGGUGUCGCUUGGGAGCCUCCGACUUCGUGUGGAGUUGAACCAAGAAGUUUGUAUGGGCAACGAGAUCGCAUACUUCAUGAAGAUCUACCCCGAGUGAGGCUAGUCCUUCGUGGACGUAAUCCAUGGUGAAAUAGACAAGGUUGCCUUUCCAUGGACCCUUCGUUGGUGGAGCCCUCCGUGGACUCUCGUGGCCGUUACCCUCCAUGGGUUGAAAUCUCCAUCAACAUGGACGUACGAUAGCACCACCUACCGGAACCACGCCAAAAUUCUUCAUGUCUACUUUGUGUUUGAUCUUCCUAUCACUACCCUCUAUUUACAUGUGCAUGUAUUUACUUUCCGAUGCUAUACUCGUAGACUUGCAUGUGUAGGGUGUGCUUGACUUAGUAUAAUUGUUAAAACUUGCCAACUAUUAAAAAUGGAAAAAAUCUAAGUUUUUAUUUUGUUAAGUAGUCUAAUCACCCCCCUCUAGACGUCCCUUUAGUGACCCCAUCCUCAUCUGUAGCCUUAUGUGGGGAAUGAAGUACUCGGUAACCUUCCGAAAUCACAAAGAAUCGUUAUGUAACCAAAAUACUAUAUGAUACUAUCUUCACAGUGCAAAGCAUCAUAACUUGCUAUCAUAGUAGUCUUAUUUAUUGUCAUGCAAGACACAUACUGAUGCAUCAUUUAAUAUGUCUAAUAUAAUAUUAUGGUACUUAACCCUCUUUUUCCUCAUUUAAUUGUGUGACACAUAUGCAAAAACGUUUAGUUAACAUGCAUGAUACUAACUAUGAUACUUUUAUUGUGACCAAGCUGAGAGCAUCUAGAACAAUUUACAUGUUAAUUGUUGGUACAAGUGUCCAUGUCAGCACCCAACAACUACACAUCAUACAAGAUCUUCAAUGGAUAGUCAUAGUAUGUUGAAUGAACUGCUCCGAUUUCUUUUGCUUCACAAAUUCUGGCCAAUCAUGUUUCAGUUUCUCAUAUUGUCCUUUGAAAUCCGGAGUCUUGUUCUGCUUGACAAAGUCAUGGGCUAGAUUUUGCUUGAAUUUCCGGAAUGCGUCGGCCAUCUUAUGAAGAGCGAACUGUUUGACUAGCCUCCUCCUCUCCUUGUUUUCCUCAAUCUUGUUACCCUCCUCAUCGAAUUUGUUGUAUUCCGGAGGUAGAACGAAAUGUUCCAUAAGCUUCUUGAAGCAAUCUUUUUUUGUUCUCUUAUCGACAAAAGUGAAACCAGCAUUUCGUGCCUUCUUUGGCUCAUUCCACUCCUGGACGGUGAUCGAGACGUUGUCUCUAACAACGGCUCCGCAUUGGCUGACAAACUUGGUGGCGUUCUUGCGGGGCUCCAGCGGCCUGCCGGUUGCACUGUCGACAAGCUCGAUGGUGCAUGUUUCUCCUUGUUUCAUCGUCUUGGUUGCGCCACGCUUUGACGACGUACUCGAUUGUUUCGACGAUCCGGCCGAGGGCUAAAAUAAGAAAGAGAGUCGCGCGCGUUAGUACACACAUAUUUAUUCAAAUCAGUUAGUUUGUAUCACCAGAGGCUCAAUGUAUAUAUAUACCUCGGCGCCGGAGGUGGUUGCUACUUCCAUUUGAAGAUCGUCGUUUAUCGACGUUUGUUCGGCAUCAUCUUGCUGACGGCGCCCUUCAUCUUCACCGUCAAGGUUCAGAUAAGAAGAGAUAUCAUCUUCUUGAUCUUGUCCGGUCGGCACAUAUAGAAUAUCGCCGUUUAUGAUGCCGAACAUAUGUGCUUCACCGUCCGGAUCAUAGUUGUCCAUAAUCGGGUCAGCUCUAUCGUCCGCCAUUAUGUCAGUCCUGAAAACAUGUAGUAAAAACAAAUUAAUUAAGUGAAGAAGGGGUGCGGUGGCGGUGGCGGUGGCGAAAGGGCGGUGGCAAAAGGAGGGGGCGAGGAAGGGGUGGGAGAGGGCGUCCGGAUCGUGAAGUUUGUAUGCUUGCAAUCUAUAGAGGUUGUGCUUUUGAUCUUUUGUUCGAGGGGUUGUUGUGGACUGUUCAAGGGACAUCAAGAACAACCUACACCAACUCUUCUUCCUCUGCAUCUUCAUAGUGAUCCAGGACCUUGAUCGUAGGGCUAUUUUUCUUUUGUUUUCUACUGUAUUUCAAAACAGUGACAUCAUGAGCAAUUCUAUGAGGCCAACCGCGACUAAAGCCCCUCACGUGCACCAGCUGGCCACCGAGCGCCCUGGCCCAGGCCUUUGGUCGCGGUUCGUCUGUCGAACCGCGACUAAAGAAAUCAUUAGUCGCGGUUCCUACAGUGUCGCGACUUAUGGGCUGGACGGAAGCCUCUUUUUCUACCAGUGUGCAUACAUGUAUCCCUAUGAAUGCACACAAGCACACUUUAUCCCUAUGAGCAUCUUCGAGAAAUUGGACCGGCAUAUCAUUUUGAAAUAUACGAAGUCACCGUAGGCACCGUAGGCAUAUCAUUUUGAAAUUGGGUCGUCUAAUUUGUGGCUCGGUUGUGUUGCUACUCUUGCCCCUCUUUUCCCUAGCAAGCUUUCUCAUGGUUUUAUGCUUUGGGGGAAAUCCCAAUUCCCUUCCUCUUGGGAAGAAAUUUUUAACUAAGCUUUCUCAUGGUUUUCUACAAAGUUAUUGACAAAGAUUAGUGUGGGGAUAGAGACGGCCGNNNNNNNNNNNNNNNNNNNNNNNNNNNNNNNNNNNNNNNNNNNNNNNNNNNNNNNNNNNNNNNNNNNNNNNNNNNNNNNNNNNNNNNNNNNNNNNNNNNNNNNNNNNNNNNNNNNNNNNNNNNNNNNNNNNNNNNNNNNNNNNNNNNNNNNGGGGGGGGCGCGGGAACGCAAAAACCCGCCAAAAACCCUUUAAACCCGCCAAAAACCCUUUAGUCGCGGUUGGGGAGGCGACCCGCGACUAAAGGUAACCUUUAGUCGCGGUUGGCUAAACCAACCGCGACUAAAGGGUUUUUUCGUUCCGGCGCGCAACGACCUUUAGUCGCGGUUGUUCUGGCCAACCGCGACUAAAGGUAUUUUUCAAAAUACUUUUCUUUUUCAAUAUCUUAAAAAUACAAAUAAUAUAUCAAAAAAUUCAUAAAAAUAAAACUAAUUCAAUUCAAUAUGUUAAAAACACAAAAAUUAUAUCAAAAAAUUAAGANNNNNNNNNNNNNNNNNNNNNNNNNNNNNNNNNNNNNNNNNNNNNNNNNNNNNNNNNNNNNNNNNNNNNNNNNNUUUAGUCCCGGUUGCACCAACCAGCUGGGACUAAAGGUUAGAUGACCAGCUCUGGAUUCCUCUUCUUCCCGCCAUUUCUUCCCUGUCUUCCCGCCUCUUUCUUCCCACCACUUUCUUCCCGCCUCCUGUCUUCCCGCUCCCAUUUUUCCCGCCAUUUCUCAUUACAUAUAUGUAGCCCGGCUUGGCCAGCAUUAUCACAUCUCUACAAUCUCUCAUCACUCUCUCAUGGCUUCCACCGCACCCACUCUAACCUACCAGCAGGUGGAGGAGCUUUGCGCCUCGAACUACCCUUGUCCACCGGGCUACCGCGUCCCCACCGGCUGGAGCCUAAGCGCCGGCGGCGUGCCGGUCCCUCCCGUCCCUGAGGGUACUGCGCGCCGGGCGGCCAUCACGAACCACUACUACCUCGACCUCACGCCGGAGCAGCGGAUGAAUCCCCGCUGGCAUCCCGAUAACCAGCAUACUUGGGACGCCUUCUUCAUCAAUCGGCGUGAAAGGGCGCUCGCCAGGUAUGAGGAGGACGGUCUGCCUCCUGGGAACUUCCACGAGGCCGGCCGUCGGCUAUGGUGGUACGGCCGGACUCUGCAGAGCGUCAUGGACUACAUCACGGCCGGCGAUAUCCCCCGCCUGCGCUACCCUCAGUUCGAGCCACGAGCGCCGCCCGACGACAGCGACGACAGCAGCGACGACGACGGCGGCAACUUAGAAGGCGACGACUACCAGUACAACGACGACAGCGGCUAUGAAGACUACGAGUAUGCAUAUUAUACGCCUAGGCAGGAGUAUGACUAAAUCACUCCAAAUUUCAUGUAUCAUCAGUGGUAUCUCGAAUCAUUCGAAAAUGGACACCAAACACAUCACGGUUAAUAUAAUUCACAUGAUCCAUUCAACAAAGUUUGGUACAAUAAAUUAUUACACAUCAUUUCUUCCCUUGUGUCCCUGCUUGCUUACGAUUGUGCCGUAUCCAUGGAGCAUCCUCAUCAUUUAACUUAAUGCUUGGGUCGGUGUUCACUUUGAAGGGCGGAAUUUCAGCAAACAUAUUAUAAUCUUCUGACAUGUCUGUCUUGUCCUCCACUCCCACGAUGUUUCUUUUCCCUGAAAGAACAAUGUGGCGCUUUGGAUCAUCGCAUGAUGUACUGAUCGUUUUCUUAUCUUUCCGUUUCCUCGGUUUGCUACUCAUGUCCUUCACAUAGAAAACCUGAGCGACAUCUUUCGCUAGGACGAAUGGUUCGUCAAGGUAACCAAGAUUGUUGAAAUCCACCAUUGUCAUUCCGUAUUGCUGGUCCACCUUUACCCCACCUCCUGUUAGCUUGAACCAUUUGCACCGGAACAAAGGGACCUUAAAGGAGGGUCCAUAGUCAAGUUCCCAUAUCUCCUCUAUGUAACCAUAAUAUGUGACCUCUUGCCCAUUCUCGGUCGCUGCAUCAAAGCGGACACCACUGUUUUGGUUGGUGCUCUUUUUAUCUUGGGCGAUCGUGUAAAAUGUAUUCCCAUUUAUCUCGUACCCUUGGAAAGUCGUUAUAGUCGAAGAUGGUGUCUUGGCCAACAUGUACAGCUGAUCUACAACAUCAUUGUCAUUCAUUAAAUGUUUUCUCAACCAACUGCCGAAAGUCUCCAUGUGGGCCUUCCUAAUCCAGGAUUCAGGCUUCCCCGGGUUGUCCGAGCGUAAAAUAUUCUUGUGUUUCUCAAAGUACGGAGCCACCAAGCUGGAAUUGGUCAGUACAGUGUGGUGUGCUUCAGUCAGAGAAUGGCCGUCCAUACAUAUCGUUGAUUUCCUUCCGAUCGUGCCUUUUCCACUUAGUCUCCCCUCGUGCCGCGAUCGAGGAAGACCAAUCGGCUUAAGGUCAGGAACAAAGUCAACACAAAACUCAAUUACCUCCUCAUUUCCAUAGCCCUUGGCGAUGCUUCCUUCUGGCCUAGCACGGUUACGAACAUAUUUCUUUAAUACUCCCAUGAACCUCUCGAAGGGGAACAUAUUGUGUAGAAAUACAGGACCGAGAACGAAAAUCUCUUCGACUAGGUGAACCAGGAGGUGCGUCAUAAUAUUGAAGAAGGAUGGCGGGAACACCANNNNNNNNNNNNNNNNNNNNNNNNNNNNNNNNNNNNNNNNNNNNNNNNNNNNNNNNNNNNNNNNNNNNNNNNNNNNNNNNNNNNNNNNNNNNNNNNNNNNCUAUAGAAGGAUCACUUUAGAUGCAUAAUGUGCAUCACAUCAUCUAAAGUACAGAGGAGUAAUGUGCAUCACAUCAUCUAAAGUACAGAGGAGUCAUGAAAUACACUACAAUGUAUUUCAUGUCUCUUUCUCCCCCUCGAAAUGUGGCUAGAACUUUUCUGCCACAAUUUCGAAACCCAUUAAUAGCUCUUGUGAAAUGAGGAAACUUCGAUUAUCUAGCUCAUUCAUCUUAUCACUUCAUGUAAAAUGAAGUUAUAAGUUAACUAGUAUGGGAGUACUUUUUCCUCAUUUUAUUUCAGAAACUCAACAGAGUUCUUUAUAAUUGUCACUUUUGCAAGUCACACUUGCAUAUCAUUCUUGUCUUUAGGUUCCUCUGUUACUUUUAUCCUUUCUGGAUUUAGUGAUUGCUUAAUGACUGUUACACAUAAGGUGUACGGUCGAUACUAGGAAGGCUUAAUAGCUACUCCAUACUUUUCUCCCAUAGUGGGACACAUUAAGUGCACAUGAGUCAUCAUAACUUUCUCCUGUCAUCCAGGAUAAGGCAUUUGUCAAAAUUUCUCCCGCCAUACACGGAUUGUUGACAUAAUACAAUGUCAACUUUACCCGGUUACGCAGGCAUUUUUCCCAGACUUUUCCCGCCAUGCGGGUAAUUCCCUGUAAGGGACAUAAAUGCCAUAGUUGGCUCUUUUGACUGCAUCAAAUUCAGAAAUAAAUCUGAAUUAUCUUUGACACACAUGUUUGAUCCGACGUUGGUCAAAUUAAACAUGCAUGUUGCUUGUUUCAUUUCAAUCAUGUUGACUGAAAAAAAGGAGACUUCAUCAUAGAGAGUACAUCAAAGACAUUCGUCAACCAAGACUCUCAAUGCUCUAUCUCUUUUCUUUUCUUGAAUUAAUAUCCAGGAGUUCUUUUCUUGUGAAGCCAUUCUUUAGAGAAAAUUUAUUCCCUCAAGUUAUGACCUUUCUUUUCCAUCUUUCGGGUCACUAGUAGCCAAAACAUUCGCUUUCAUGAGUGAAAGCUUGAAUAACUUUUAGUCUGAGAAAACUUAGUCAAUAAACAACGGUAAUGAGCAUAAAAAUAACCCUACGUUGGUCUGAUUAAAAUCAUGCACAUUAAACCUUUUAAAACUUUCUGGAAUAUUCUAAAUCACCGUGGUGGCAGAUUAGAAUAAAACAUCAUCCUUCUAAAUUAAUUCCAUAUCACCGUUGGGCAGAAAUGGAAAUAAUGCAUAUAACUCAUAAACAAUGUGAUGAUAGUAUUCUUAUUGAACAACUUUGCUAAGAAAUAAUCAUCAUCAUUAACCAUAUUGCAGCAGAAAUAGAAAUAUGCAUUUCUCUAUCUGUGCUCCAAAAAUUGAUCACUUUGAUACAAAAUUUAUCAGAGAUUUAAGCUUUAAACAUAAGAUGACUCACACAAUUAUAGUAUUGUUAUCAUCAACGUUGGUCAGAAAAUAACAAUAUCAUAUUUAACUUUAAAACAAACAUCAUUCUAUUGUCAUAGCGGACACUGUUUGAAUCUUAUUUCACCCACAAGGGAAAAACUUUGCUAAUAACAGUUCUUCCAAUUAAAUUUUCCCGUUGGUUCCAAUUUAAUUGGAGGACUAAACCUUUUUACUUUGCAGCGGAAAAAAGUGAAUAUAAAAAUUCAUGUACCUUUACAGAAAAAUAUUCUCUUAAAAUUAAAAAUUCAUGAACUUUAUAAUCCCUUUUACAAAAUCCAUGAACUUUUGUUUUUCUGAAAAUCUUUCUUUUAUUUUCAGAACCCUUUUAAUUUUCUUUUCAGAAAAAUCAUGUUACUAUUACAGAAAAAUAUUCUGUCAUAAUUAAAAAUCCAUGAACUUUAUAAUCCCUUUUAUAAAAUCCAUGAACUUUUCUUUUUCUGAAAAUCUUCUUUUAUUUUCAGAAUCUUUUAUUUUUCUUUUCAGAAAAAUCAUCAUUGCUUUUACAAAAAUUUCGAACAUCUAUUUUCUACUUUCUAAACAAUAUUUCCGUUGAAAAAAAUGCAUAGAAAAUCAUUUUAAGUCUGCCUAAAACUAGACAGAAAAGUAAAACGUUCCUUUAAUGAAAAAGAAAAUAACCGGCAUGGGCCGGCCUGGCUGUCGCCCACGUGUGGCCUCGGCAGUGGCCUAACUUGGGUCGAGGCUUUCCUGGCCCGACGGCUCCUGUGCCUGGUCAGGGCAGGGCUGAACCGCCACUCCCGCCACUUUGCCUCGGCCUCGCGCGGCGCCCCCUUGCGGCCCUUGGUGGCCUGGCUCCCUUCGGCCUGUGAGGCCCGCGCCGCUUAGGGUUUCGCCCUGGACCGUCGGAUUAGAUCCGACGGCCGGGCGCGUCUAUCACUGGGAUAAAAACUCUCUCCUCACCAGCGAAACCCUAACCUCUUUCAUUUCUCUCCCAACCCCGCCGCUCUCUUCUCUGUGGUUUUUCCACGAGCGCGUCGCGGUAGCAGGGCCUUGCACCGGCGGGUUCCUUCCCCGAUGAGGGGUUGCCUGUGGUGCCCCGACGCCGCGCCUCUCCCUCCCUUUGCGUUCCAUGGUGGCCAUGGCCUCCCUCGCGUCGGUGCAAUGCAUGCCCCGCCGAGGAGGUCCCUGAGCCCCGCGUCGCAGCUCACGCGCGGAGGCUUGUGCCCCACCGGAGGGUGUGGCGAUAGGCGCCGGUCGUAACGGCCUAAGGCCCCGCGUCGGCCUUGUCUUCCUCUCGGGCCUUUGAUCCUGUGGCACUGUGGCCACCUUCUUCGCCGGUGGUGCGUUUCCCUUCGUGGAAGCGCACCGCCGUCGAAUGGCGUGCUCGUGGUGCCGUUUCUUUUCAUUUUCUUUAACAGGGAAAACUGCGGCAUCAUUCCCGUACCUUUGCCGGCGCGCGCGAGCACCUUCGCGGUGAACGCGCCACCAUCAAGGGAGCGGUGUUGAUGCCCUUUGCCAGCUCGUUCUUGGCCAUUAUCCCCUCCCCUUUGUUUUCUUUUUGUUGCCUUUUUCAGAUUGGAUCCGAUUCACUUCUUUGUUUUCAUGCUGGAUCUAGAUCCAUACUUUGCCUCCACAGAGGUAGGGUCUUCUUCCCCACACCUCGGCAUGCUGAUGCGUGUGUGGAUUGAGAGGAACAGGCGCGGCCUUGCGGCGGUGCUUCUUUGUCGGAGAGAACUCCGGUGAAGCUUUCUUUUCUUUGAUCUUUGCCCUUCUCGGGUUCAUAUCGGGGAGGGGGAAUCUUUACUUGUACUUCUUCAUCCGAAAACACAUCAAAAAGCCUCGUGGCUAUGAUACCAUUAAUAGAUCCCGUGGAUCUUAGGCUAGAUGUGUUCGGUAUGAAAUAGUAGAUUUAUUACCUUAUGGUGAACUCGAUGAGCUCCCUCCAGAGACCGUCGUGAGGUGGUGACGACGGUGGGGAAGCAGAGAGAGAUCCGGUAGCGGCGGUGAUGGACUUCCCAUCGCUUCAGUGCUACCCUCAGGAUCAGAUUAGGGUUGAGAGUGGGGAACCAAUGGCGGCGGCGAACCUCGUGUCAUGUGCCAUGGUCCCCACCUCCUCUAUAUAGAACUGCGCGACAGGGGCCCACCACCCUUGUUUGGGCUGAACACCCCUGAGCAGGGCGUGGGUCAAGGUUCCAAUGGGCCGUUGGACCCAUUGAACGAGAGAUCAACCUAACAUCACCAACCCCGACACCGAUUACAACUCACAUCCCUUAUACCGGUUGUGCUAGCUUGAUCAUCACAGCAAGCAAUGGCCUCCACCAACAGUUGGAUCCAUGAGAUUGAGUCGUCGGUCUCUGCAUCACGCCUCUUCUGUGCCGGUGUCAUGGACUGGCACACCCUGUUCCCCAAGCUCGUGCCACAAAUCGUCAGCGCCCUCCCUGUUGAGGGAGAAGGUGGCAUCAGCAGUGUCAUGCAGUUCAACUUCACCUCAGGUAUGCAUCGUAUAUACAACUCAUAUCACCUGCAGUCUGAUACACAUGGUCAAAGCAUAACACAUAGUUGAUCUUGAGCCAUGCCCUUCAACCUCAUGAAGGAGAGGCUCGAUUUCAUUGACGUGGACAACUGCCAGUGCAAGUCCAUCCUCAUCGAGGGUGGUGGCAUAGGCACGGCGAUUGAGACGGCCACCUCACAGAUCAAGGUGGAGCCGACAGCCAAUGGUGGGAGCAUAGUGAACGUGGAAUCGACAUACAAGCUACUGCCAGGCGUGGAGGUGAACGAUGAGAUCUCCGAGGCCAAGGACUCUGUGACGGACAUUUUCAAGGCCGCCGAGGCCUACCUUAUCGCCAACCCGGAUGCCUACAACUGAAUCAGUUGAGAGAGAUCAUAUAUGAUUAUACAUUCCCUUGUUUGAUUUUUGCGUGCUUUCUUUCCGAUCUAAUAAAGCUUCUCCAACUUAUAAGUAGUGACAACAAGAGAUCAGACCAUGGUGUGGACUAGAGAAGUUUAAAAUGUUUGUAUUUGUAACAAUUAUCAAUGGGUGUUGUUGUUUGAUGAUGUUGGUGCUUGCUUGCGCACGUUCCUCAUGUUUUUGUGCUGGGAUAAAAAGAAUUAUUUCAAACAUGUAAAGAGCUCAUAUAUGUAUUUUGAAUUGGAUGUUUAUGUUCCGAGAAGUCUUAUUCCUGCUUUCUUUUUUAAAAGCAAGAUGGCCCCACGUAUGCAUCAUAACGAUGCAUGCAGUCAUAUAUUAUUGAUAAUGCAAAAUUCAGCAGCAACCGAACAACAUCAAUCCAUAAAUAAAGCAAAAAAUAAACCCUAAGGUUGUAUACCUCGCGAGAGUAACUCACCAUAUAGCCACUAAUCCUAUGUUACAAUAGACAUCAGAAACGGAAAAAAUACAUAACUCCUAGGCUAUGCCUUCAAGAAGGAAUCAUCACACAUGCGUCGAUGAUGGCCAGAUCACCACAAGGUUGAACUUCGGAUUCCCAUCCCCAAAGCCAAGCUUCCAUCCACCACCUUCAGCAAUGAAACGACGCACGCACACGUCACAUAGCCCGAUUAGAGACUGUGUGUUUCUGCGGAGUGCAUAAACUCAUCGUUGAAGCCGUACAUACCAUCGCCCUUAUCCGUCUACCGACACCUCGAUAGCAGGAGACCUCUAGAGAAGACAAUGUAAGACAAAGACGUCCCGUACAAUCUGCAUCCCGCUACUAUCGCACCACCUUCAAUCCAACAGCAACAGACUAAACAUGACACCCCCGCCAGAGCCACCGUGCAUCCCCUGCCAGUAGCAUGCAUGACUUGAUGUCUCCGAAUAAGACAUCAUAUGUAGCAUCCAACGGUGGCUUCAACUGUCGGUGACUGGCACUACCCGACAACUCCGAAAGAGGCAAAUGUGUCACCUGCCUAGCCACAUCAAACCCAAUUUCUUGAUGGAGGGGCCGUCCCAUACCGUAAGCAAGCCACAGAAAUGUUGUCAUCUCCUUGAUAUCCAGACUCCGAGUCUCCCACACGCCAUAGGAGUCCUGUUGGGGAUAUUACCUGUUAAUGACCCGCCCUAGUUGGGCCGGGUUACCAAUCAGGCGAUUCACCCAAACAAUUAUUUGGGCCUUGCCCUGGCCGGAUCAAGGUCGUAUGACAGUUUAUGAUUUCUGGAAGGUCUCCAAGGUUUGGAAGACGGCGACUUAGAGACCACAGGGGUCACGAUUUGUAGGAAGGAAAGCACCCUUGUAAACCCUAGGGGUUCGACCUGUAUAUAAAGGCGAGUCCCAAGGGAGGAGAGGACAGGUUAGAAAUCAUCGAGUGCUAGGUUCGGCGAGUUACGCCCUCCUUGUAAUCGAAACCACAUCAAUACAAACCAAAGAAGGGCGUAGGCCUUUACCUCCUCACGAGGGGCCGAACCUGGGUAAAUCGCCGUGUCUCUCCCGCCUAACCCCUUUGAGUCGCCACCAAGGUGCGAUGGCUCCAGUACUAAGUCCUUUCACGAGGACAUCUGCCGUGACAAAACCACGACAGUUGGCGCCCACCGUGGGGCCUACGCAUGGUGGAGUUGAGUUCUCAAAGGGAACCCUACCAGGGUUUGGGAGUUACGCGACGGGGCUCAUGACUCGGAGCCGCCGCGGGAUAACCUACAUCGACAACCAGCGAUGGGGACCUGAAGCGGAUUCGAUUGAAUCUGGUUACAGGGUCCCCUUCGGCAAGAUCAACAUCUUCAUCGGCAUGAUUGGAUCAUCCGCACCUGAGCUGGACAUCUCCACCGACAUCGUCGAGCCGGCCAGGUACGUCCACCCAGUAAUAACACCAAAUCUGACUCACCCGGUCUUUGUGGGGUUCACGCAGGGAUCGGAGGAGCCAGAGCGCUCGGCGACUCGGGAAACUACACCGGUCAACUCUGAUGACGAAUCAUCCAUGGGCGACUCAGAUUCAAUCCGGUCUCUGCAUGGGGAUUGUCUUGGGGGCUUGUCGCUGGCCAUGGACCCCGAAGUCCUUGACCGAACCCGCCGCCAGAUCACCAUCUACAUGGCAGGGGCGACUCAACCCACACAAAACCCUACUGGAGGCAAUGGAACCGGCGAGACGUCCAGGAGCCCGGCCGCAGUCCUGGUGGAUUUAGCAGCGGAGAUCACAAGGCUAAUGGCGACUCCCCUCACACCAGAAAACCAGGAGGAGAUAAACACGGAACUGACGAAACUCAGAGAGGCAAUGGAAAAGGCUCAUCAGGAUGCCGAGAUAGAGUCCGCCAGGAUCGAGACUCGGCAAGCUCAAAUUACGGCCGAAAGGAUGUGUUUAAGCUCUGACAACUGGCGGCUUGAAAGACAGCAGCGCGCAUCCGACGUCGUUCAUCAGCGGAGACACCAGGGUCGCCUGCCCCAUGAUCUCAACCCGACCCGCCUGUUCGACACUCCACGAACCCCUGGGGCGGGAGCUGCCCCGGGGGGAGGACCGGGCCGCCCGCCUAACCCGUCGGCUCAGCCAGUUGAGGAUCACAUUCCCCGAUUCUGGACGCCUCAAGGCCACUUUUCCAACCCGGUGGAUAACGUGCUUGCCGCAACUCGCCAUCUGGAGUCUCUUCCGAUUCACGGCAACACCCCUGCCGAGAUAGAAGCAAGGAGCGCCAUCGAGAUGUUGAAGACGGCGGUGGUUCAAAACGCCCAGUUCUCACAUAGCCUCGAGAGGUUGCAUUCCACUCCCCAAGGAAGUUACACCAGGAGUCGGCCAGAGGACUAGCCCGCCGUAAACAGCGGACCACGACACAUCCCACAGGACAACCCGCCUGAACCGAACCCGCCGGGCCGGGAUCUCCCAAACGUCCAAAACACCCUGGCCCCCCUCGUCGGGGGCGGAGGGCGAGUAGGAGUACCAUGCUUGGCCCUCGCCCUUCGUAACGAAAGGAUGCCCAAAGACUUUAAGGGGCCAAGAAAGGUGCCUAAUUACACCCCGGACCUUGAGCCGGCAUCGUGGAUCGAGAGUUAUGAAAUCGCCAUGGACAUGCUCGAUGUGAACGAGGCGGUUUGCGCCAGAUACUUCACGAUGAUGCUCGAGGGGUCAGCACGUACUUGGUUGAAAAACUUACCUCCCAACUCCAUCUAGACCUGGGCCGAGUUAAAAGAGCGUUUCAUCAAAAACUUCCGAGGAACUUGCAAAUGUCCGAUGACGAUCGUCGAUCUACAGCACUGCAUUCAACGCCCGGAUGAGUCGGCUCACCAUUGGUCACGGCAGGUUGCAGAACUUAUCCAUUCGUCAUAUGGCAUUACGGCGGCUGAGGCUGUGCUGAUCCUCGAGCAAAAUUGCCAUUACGAACCCUUUGUGCAAAAAUUGGGGCGACUCAAGCGAAAGGUCCAAGACAUGGGAGAGCUGAUGGACACCCUCACUAGGUACGCUGAGGCCGAUGACACCAAAGAUCCUGGUGAAGACGGUAAGGUUAAUUCGCCCAAGAAGGGCGAGUCAUCCAAGAAUCAUACCCGGUUCCAGGGACGUAACCGCCACAAUCAAGGGACCAACAGCAAGCGAAGACCGCAAGAAGAGCCCUCGGAUCUAGUCGCCAAUACCAACGCCAACAACGGCAAGAAGAAAAACAGGGGGUUUAGCGGGAAGAGGCCGCGUAACUACGAAGGGCUACUCAAAGGCCCUUGCCCGCACCACGCCACGGUAGACGGUCCGGCGACUCACUCUUGGGAAAACUGCUUCGUAAUGCGAGAGUUUCGGGCGGAGGAGAUCAAGAAGAGUCAAAACGAUGACCCGGACCAACGCCAGGAGCAAUUCGCCGCACCCAACCAAAGACAGAACCCUUUCGGCGGUUUUCCCGAACACGGGGCUCAGGGAGGCCCACAGCCAGGCGGCGGCCAAUACCCGGUGCACCACCAGUGGCGGUAUAACCCGCCAGGAGCCUUCCAGCAGCCGCCCCCACAGGGGGCUCCGCAGGGUCAGGACGAUAACGGGGGCUUCCGCAGCAACCCCAAACAGUUAAGUAAUGGGUAGUGUCAUGUUUUCACCACUAAUGCUUGCAGGCAUGAUAAGAAGGUGAGUCACCAGGCGUACUGUGUAUCUGGACCGGCGCUUCCCAAAUACCUCCAUUGGUCUGAGCAAACCAUAACGGGGAGCAGGGAGGAUCACCCGCCGAGAGUUGAUAACCCGUGCGAUCUGGCGUUGGUCGUGGCUCCCCAAGUUGGGGGUUACACCCUAUCAAAAGUGCUAAUGGAUGGUGGCAGCAGCAUCAAUAUCCUAUACUUUGACACUUUCCAAAGGAUGAACCUAUUGGAAAAAGACCUGAUGCCUUCAACCACGGUUUUCCACGGAGUCGUCCCACGCAAGUCGGCUUAUCCCAUAGGCUGGGUCAGGCUCACAGUGGCAUUUGGAAUUGCGCAGAAUUAUAGGUCGGAGUCACUCAUCUUUGAGGUGGUCAAAUUGAAAUGCCCCUACCAUGCGCUGUUUGGGCGGCCGGCUUACCCCCGCUUCAUGGCUCGCCCGUGCUAUGUCUACCUCAAGCUCAAAAUGCCUGGUCCUAAAGGACCCAUCACGGUUGAUGGAGAUAGAAGGAUCACAAAGGAAUGUGAAGAAGGGGACGCGGCUUAUGCGGAAGUCGCCUGUGCUGCGGAAGAGCUCAAACACCAUCGGGCCAAUGUUGACCCAGCGGACAUGUCACCCCUAAAGAAGCCGACCAUAGAUUCUGAGUCGCCCCUCAAGUUCAAGUCAACGGACGACACUAAGACAAUUGAUUUCGUGCCUGGCGAUUCAUCCAAGCAGAUCACCAUCGGGACGGGUCUGGACCCCAAAUAAGAAAGCGCGCUCAUCGAAUUCAUCCGUGAGAAUCGGGAUAUCUUCGCAUGGAAACCUUCUGACAUGCCUGGUGUGCCAAGAGAAUUUGCUGAGCACCAUCUUAAUGUUGACCCAAAGUGCAAACCCAUCCAGCAGUACCUUCGCAGAUUUAACGAGGAGCGACGCAAAGCGAUUGGGGAAGAAGUUGCCCGUCUUUUAGCCGCCGGGUUCAUCGUGGAAGUUUUUCACCCCAAAUGGCUGGCUAACCCGGUUUUUGUACUCAAGAAGAAUGGUACUUUUCAUAUGUGCAUUGACAAAACAGACCUCAACAGAGCUUGUCCAAAAGAUCCCUUCGCUCUUCCCCGCAUCGACCAGAUCAUUGACUCGGUGGCGGGAUGCGAACGAUUGUGUUUUUUGGACGCCUACUCAGGAUAUAACCAAAUCAAGAUGGCCGUGGAGGAUCAAGAGAAAACAGCCUUUAUAACCCCCUUCGGGGCUUUUUGUUAUGUGUCCAUGCCCUUUGGGCUCAAGAGUGCGGGGGCGACUUAUCAACGCUGCAUCCAGAAUUGCCUCCGCAACCAAAUCGGUCGCAACGUCCAUGCCUAUGUCGACGAUAUUGUGAUCAAAACCCGCCAGGGGGAGACGCUACUAGAGGAUCUCAAGGAAACGUUCGAUAAUCUACGGGUAUAUCAGAUGAAGUUAAAUCCCACCAAGUGUGUUUUUGGUGUGCCUGCAGGGAAAUUGCUGGGUUUCCUGGUAUAGGAGCGCGGCAUUGAAGCUAACCCGGACAAGAUCGAAGCAGUUACAUCCCUUGGAAAGCCGGCGAACAUUAAUCAAGUUCAACGACUGGCGGGUCGCAUUGCGGCCCUAAGUCGUUUUGUGAGUCGCCUGGGGGAGAAGGCGAUCCCUCUUUAUCAGUUAUUGAGGAAAUCUGAUUGGUUUGUUUGAACGAAUGAGGCAGACGAGGCACUCGAAGCCCUGAAACGCCAAUUGGUUAACCCGCCGGUCCUGGCCGCCCCGACUGAAAAGAGCCCAUGCUUUUGUAUAUCGUGGCAAAUUCCAAAGCAGUAAGUGUGGCAGUGGUCGUUGAGAGAAAGGAGGAAGGGAAGGAAUACCCAGUGCAAUGCCCGGUAUAUUUUAUCAGCGAGGUGCUAACUCUUUCCAAGCAGCGGUACCCACACUGGCAGAAGUUGGUAUAUGGGGUGUUUAUGGCGAGUUGAAAACUUAAGCAUUAUUUCCAAGAACACCCUAUCACAGUGGUUAGCUCUGCCCCCCUUGGGGACAUCAUCCAGAAUCGAGAGGCAAUAGGGCGGAUCGCCAAGUGGCCAAUAGAACUUGGCCCCCAUCACAUACAGUAUACCCCCGCACGGCCAUCAAGUCCCAGGCCUUAGUUGAUUUCGUCAACGACAGGACGGAGUUACAGGCUCCAGAAGACCGGCCUGAUCUCACUUACUGGACUAUUUAUUUUGAUGGAUCUAGGUAGCUGGAAGGCUCGGGGGCUGGUGUGGUGUUGGUAUCCCCUCAAGGAGAAAAAUUCUGUUACGUUCUCCGACUCAUGUUUCCGUGCACUAACAAUGCGGCGGAGUACGAAGCUUUGCUUCACGGCUUGCGACUCGCCAAGGAGAUGAAUCUAACACGAGUCAGAUGCUUUGGCGACUCUGAUUUGGUGGCACAGCAAGUUUCAGGUACCUGGGAUUCUCGGGACCCCAUAAUGGCGGCUUACAGACGAGCUGUGUCUGAUGUGGCGGGUCAUUUUCAUGGUUAUCAGGUGGACCAUAUUGAUCGGCGCCUCAACGAGGCAGCUGACGCCCUCUCACGACUUGGCUCCCAGAGAAAGCCGGUUCCUCCUAAUGUUUUUCUGGAUAUCUUGCAUAAACAAUCCGUGAUUCUGCCAUCAGAGGAGGAGUUGGCAAUACCAGAUCCUGAGUCCCAGCUCGUGGCGGCUCUCCAUGUCACUCCGGAUUGGGUUCUUCCUUAUCUGGCUUAUCUCUCUCGGGGCGAGUUACCAGCAGAUGAAGUUUUGGCUCGCCAAAUCGUUCGGUGCAGCAAAUCCAUGGUCACAAUCAAUGGCGAGUUAUAUAAGCGGAGCGCCUCUGGAGUUUUUCAGCGAUGUGUUUCCUCCGAAGAAGGAUGCAUAAUCUUAAAUGAAAUUCAUUCCGGAGAUUGUGGGCAUCAUGACGGAUCACGUUCUUUGGUAUCAAAGGCUUUCCGUCAUGGUUUCUUUUGGCUAACGGCUCAUGCAGAUGCAGAAGAUAUAGUUCGUCGGUGCGAAGGAUGCCAGCAUUAUGGGCGGCAGGCUCAUGUGUCGGCUCAAGAAUUAAGAAUGAUCCCCAUCACUUGGCCUUUGGCAGUUUGGGGGGUGGACAUGGUCGGCCCUUUUAAAAUGUCCUCUAACAAGAAGACCCAUCUGCUGGUGGCGGUUGAUAAGUUCAACAAGUGGGUUGAGGCGGAACCUAUUGGAGCUUGCGAUGCAGAAACAGCGGUCAAAUUCUUGAAAAAGUUGAUUUUCCGGUUUGGAUACCCGCACAGUAUCACUACUGAUAAUGGUACUAACUUGUCCCAAGGGGCGAUGCGGGAGUUUUGUCGUCGAGAACAUAUCCGGCUUGAUGUUUCUGCAGUCGCUCACCCGCAAUCUAACGGGCACGCAGAACGGGCGAAUCAGGAGGUUUUGCGAGGGAUUAAGCCCCGACUCAUGGUUCCCCUGGAAAAAACCCCAGGGUGUUGGGUUGAAGAAUUGCCUUCAGUAUUGUGGAGUAUCUGGACCACCCCGAACAGGUCCACGGGUUUCACCCCUUUCUUUCUGGUCUACGGAGCAGAGGUUGUCCUUCCUACUAAUAUAAGGCAUGAUUCACCUAGAGUCGCCACAUAUGUAGAACAAGACAAUGAGCUGGCGCGUCAAGAUUCUUUGGACGCCUUAGAGGAGGCACGUGACCUGGCUGCGGCCCGUUCAGCUAUCUAUCAACAUGAUCUACGGCGUUAUCACAACCGCCGGGUUAAAAGUCGGACCUUUCAGGAAGGCGACUUGGUUCUUCGGUUGAUACAAAGAUCGUGCAGGCAUGCAUAAGUUGUCACCACCUUGGGAAGGACCAUUCGUCGUCAGUAAAAAUCUCCGCAGUGGCUCUUAUUAUUUGGUGGAUCUCCGGCCUAACCGGCCAACCACGCAGGCUGAGUCAAUUCGCCCCUGGAAUAUUGCCCACCUGCGGCCUUAUUACACUUGAGCUCUUAAGCUCUACAUUUUGUAAGUUUUUCAGUUUCAUUAUAAAGCAAUAAAGUUGAAUAUACUGCCUGACUUGGGGGCUUCUUCAUUAAAAGAACAAUUUUUUGUCAUCCUGUUGUGACCUUAUGAACCGACAGAAUCAGCAUUUUAGGGUGGCGCUCGAGCUUUCUGACUUGCCCCAUCCUGUCGCGACCUUAUGAGCCGACGAAAUCAUCAGCAUUAUAGGGUGUGUGCUCGAGCUUUCUGACUCGCCUCAUCCUGUCGCGACCUUAUGAGCCGACGAAACCUGCAUUUUAGGGUGUGUGUUCGAGUUUUCUGACUCGCCUCAUCCUGUCGCGACCUUAUGAGCCGACGAAACCUGCAUUUUAGGGUGUGUGUUCGAGUUUUCUGACUCGCCUCAUCCUGUCGCGACCUUAUGAGCCGACGAAACCUGCAUUAUAGGGUGUAUGCUCGAGCUUUCUGACUCACCUCAUCCUGUCGCGACCUUAUGAGCCGACGAAACCUGCAUUUUAGGGUGUGUGUUUGAGUUUUCUGACUCGCCUCAUCCUGUCGCGACCUUAUGGGCCGACGAAACCUGCAUUAUAGGGUGUGUGCUCGAGCUUUCUGACUCGCCUCAUCCUGUCACGACCUUUACCGACGAAACCUGCAUUAUAGGGGGUGUGCUCGAGCUUUCUGACUCGCCUCAUCCUGUCGCGACCUUAUGAGCCGACGAAACCUGCAUUAUAGGGUGUGUGCUCGAGCUUUCUGACUCGCCUCAUCCUGUCGCGACCUUAUGAGCCGAUGAAACCUGCAUUCUAGGGUGUGUGCUCGAGCUUUCUGACUCGCCCCAUCCUGUCGCGACCUUAUGAGCCGACGAAACCAUAAUUUUGGGUGUGUGCUCAAGCUUUCUGACUCGCCCCAUCCUGUCGCGACCUUAUGAGCCGACGAAAUUGCUGUUUUUAUUUUUGGCAUAGCCUUGAGGGUUUUAAACCUUUCUUUCUGAUUCCUCUUGAAAAUAUUUGUUAUCAUUUAUUUGGUUUCACAUAUGUUGUUUUCAAAGCUUAAGUCAGGAUGAUGAUCAGAAUUACUUCGUCCAUGGCGGAUUAAGCAUCAUAAAGGAUUCUCAAAUGGCAGGUCAAAUAUUUCAAAUCGCCUUAAGGGUGAUAUAGAGAUUCUUUCGAAGAGUAUCACAAAAACAGUAUCGACUUAUCAAAAAGACCUAUUACAUGGCUCUCAGGCCAAAUCGAUGAGGUUUAUUCUGUUGGCGCCUUAGGAUCAUUUUGCUGCGAGCUUUGGCCGACCUCAAUUUGCAAGUCGCCCAGUAGCCAGUUGCACUUAGCCAGAGCUGCGAAGUCAUCUUCAUCAGUCAGGAUUGAUGCUAGGUCUGCUUCCAAGUCAAAAGGGUUCUUGGGUCGCCGAGGAGUUAAGCUGGUCGUCACGAAGGUUGGCGGAUUGACCUUCGUGUUUUUGCUGUCAUAAGCCGCUUGAUACUUUGAUAAAUCAAGACUUGCUGCGAGUUGGGUUCCUGCCAGUCGGGAGUCCUUGGCAACACGUUGAUAGUCCUCUUCAAAGAAUUCUGACCCGUCGUCUUUGAGUUGAGGAAAGCCUGCCGCUACCUCUUCCGGGUUGAUCUCUGGAGCAUACGCCAAGCAGCGACUCAAGGCAGUCAGAACACCCUUUCGGGCGGCUGACCAAGUUAGCUCGCCAAUCUGAGGGGGAAGUGUGGAUAGGCAGCCAAGCACCUUCUUUAUGGAAGUUAUAGCACUACUAGGAAAAGGCUUGCUAAUGGCGCACCAUUUUUUGCUAGUAAUGGCGCACUAUAGGUGCGCCACUAGCAUCACGCCAUUAGAUUUUUUUACUAAUGGCGCACUACAAGUGCGCCAUUAGUAUCUGGUAUACUAAUGGCGCACCAGGUAGUGCGCCAUUAGUAUUGCUCACGCUGCGCCAUUAGUAUGCCUCCCAGGUGCGCCAUUAGUAUGCCUCUCAGGUGCGCCAUUAGUAUGCCUCCCAGGUGCGUCAUUAGUAUGCCUCCGAGGUGCGCCAUUAGUAUGCCUCCGAGGUGCGCCAUUAGUAUGCCUCCCAGGUGCGCCAUUAGUAUGCCUCCCAGGUGCGCCAUUAGUAUGCCUCCCACGUGUGCCAUUAGUAUAGCCCAUGGUGCUCCAUUAGUAUCUGGUAUUCUAGCAUAUAUAUGUUUUUAUUCAAAACAACAAAUUCAACAGCACAUAACAUAUAUAUAUAAUACAUAAUAUGUGCCCAAUAGUUUUACUGAUCCACAACACAUAACAUAUAUGCAAAGUUGCAUACCAAAUUUCAUGAUCCAUAUAUCAAAAUUCCAUAGCAUCCAUACAUCCAAAAUUCCAUAGCAUCCAUAUAUACAUAUAGUUCCAUAGCAUCCAUACAUAGCUCCAUAGCAAAUAUAAUACACAGCGAUACUUUGCGGGCAUUAGUAAGUAAUAUUUGGCACUAGCAAGAGCCUUGACCGCAGGCUUCAGGUUGGUUUGGUAGGUGGUACCAAGGAUCUCAACUGGGGAGGAUCCUUUUGCAUUUACCUCGUACUGAAAAUCAAUAUUGGGUUUCAACCUGCAAAAUGGCACAACAGUGUUUGACAGUAAGGCAACAAGCUCUACAUAUAUAUUGACGAAACAGGAUUCAAAGAAUAAACAACAGAACCACAAUAAAAUGAGUCUGCCACUAAGCACGACAAUACUUAAGAAUACUGCAUUACAUAAAAUCUUUCCCGGCGAUGUUUGGCAGUUGCUACCUAGAGAUUUACACAAGGGAAAUUCACCAUAGAGAACUCUCAUGGUCAUGCCUUUGGUAAGGAACUAAGGACCACAUCAGUGCAGAUCCAAUGCCAUUUAUGUAGUAGCAAUGAACAGCAUGGACCAGUGGUUAACGGUCAGCCUUCAAAAUAUAGGAAACAGAAACUAACAACAAAAGAUUAUAUACCUUUACAGAAACUAACAACAAAAUAUAGGAAACAGAAACUAACAACAACAUGGACCAGUGGCAUAUGUGUUUGGAGGCAGCAAUAUAUUUACAAGUUUAGAACAGUAUAUACCUUUACUGAUUUGAAGAGUUAAAACGAAUAUUAUUAUCAAUGUAAAUAAUUACACCUGAUACGCUAAUCUGCACAGCACAGUCCAAAUUCCAUCUAUAAGAAAUACUAUCUUAAAAGAACAGAGCAGCAAAUAUGCAACUUAAACUAAAUCUUCUCUGACUCUAAGUUGGGCUUAACAAUGUAAUACAGAAAGAAUGUACUCCCUCCAUUCCUAAAUAUAAGUCUUUUAAAAGUUUCUACUAAAAAACUACAUACGGAUGUAUAUAGACAUACAUUAGAGUGUAGAUUCAAUCAUUUUGCUCCGUAUGUAGUCCCCUAGUGGAAUAUCUAAAAAGACUUAUAUUUAGGAACGGAGGGAGUAGCUGCUGAACAACUUACACAGUUAACCAUUUCUAAGAAACCAAGUAAAUUCUCAAGAAAAAGUUGCUUGUGGUGCUGCCAUCUUCUAAAAUGCAUGGCAUGGGCCACUCAUUUAAAGAGGCAUUUGACGCCAUAGAGACAGUUACAUGUAAUAGAUUUAACAUGUAAAUCGAUGCAGGGGCGGACCCACGUUAUGACCAGUGGGAGCCCAGGACCCCACUCAACUUCCUAUAGUCCCACUAUAAACAUCGAUGCCAGCCAGCAGGCCCCCGGUCAGGCUAAAGCGGGUGCCCCCACUCCAUCAUCCCGUCUGUAAAAGCCCAUGAAAAAGAAGCAAACCAAAGUGAGAAAAAUAAUAAAGGAAUGUAAAAUAAGGGGAUGUAUGUGCGGCAACACACAGCGGUGAACGCGAGGAGAAGCUGGCUGCUACUUGCCACUUCGACUCUUGGGAGAUCAAUUAAUAGGCUGAAAAUCAAGUACACAAAGAAACGAAUCGUCAACUCCUAAAGUGCCCAUCCCCAAGCUUAUUCAUCUCAUCCCAACUCCUAAAGUCAAUCCGGCAUGACAUUCAAUUCGUAGGUUAAAUUGUACCGUUCGGGAAUCAUUUCAAAGAAAUUUAAUCUGGCAAUCCAUUUUAUUACUAGUAUUUGCGUGUUGUCCUGCUAGUCUGCCACUACUAGCACGCUUUCUAUCUAUUUUUACAAUCAAUACUUUAAUUAUUUGACAGGGAACAAGCAAGAAGUUGCUGGAAUUAGCUAAGAUUUAUCUUGAUGAUCUCAAUCACAGAGAUAUGGUAGUCUUGACUUGAGCAUGAACUUGAUCUCUUCAUAUAUAAUAUACUUCAUGAUACAAGGUUUUCAAGAUUGGACAAAAUAUGUGAUUGGGCUAACCAGAUGGUGGAUACCUGGACUCUGAGUCAGGCACCAGAUGAACACAUCAGUGGCCUCCUUGGCAAGCUCUGCAUUAUCUGAACAUAAUUCACGAGAUCAACCAGGUCCCUGCAUAAGGUAGAUAAAGUCUUCGUAAGACACCCAACGUUCUGAAAAGAUUAAGAUACAACUGUUCAUGCAUUUCAUGAGAUAAAAGAAGCUUUCUAACCUGGUUAGCAGAGUGAUGAUAUUAAUGCUUCUUGCUCAUUUAGAAAUCUCUCCAAGGACGGAAUUAACUAUGCUGAUGAGUUCCUCCGGUCCGUCCUUAUCAGGUGUUAUACGGGAGCACCAAAGAUCUGUUACCCACUCUGUGACAAGAUGCCUUGUGAACUGUUCAAAUGCUGCUUCAACUCGAGGCGAAUUCACCUUACUCCUCCAACCAGUACUUCCACUCUUCUUGUCAGGGGAGGGUUUUCUUAGUUCAAUACUUUUUUGUUUUGGCAAGUGGGCGACUGGUACCAUGGUCUGUGGCAGUUGUGCUCUUUCUACGGAAGUCAUAGUCAAGUGAUAGGUAGCGAAACGGAACUAUCAAAGAUAUGGCGAAUGGGAAGUUGAUCCAAACUGAAGAGCUUGUCACUGCAAUGGAGAAAGUCAGGCAUUCAGCACAGCCAUGAGGGAGCAAUAAUAUUUAAACAGAGUUAAAAAAAAUUAUGUGACGGCAAUAUAAAUCUGCCUUGAUAUGUACAGCCUUUCGUUUUUGGCAACUUUUAGAAAGACUUGAUAAAAUUGCUAGUCAUAUUUCAAUUUAACAUGGAACCUACAUGUCUAGCUCGUAUGUUCCUAGUCUUUAGACUACACCGUGUAUUCCAUGGUAUAAUCCGGCUACAACUAUCGGCAAACAUACUCCACCUUAUACAAUUUCAUCACAAACUUGAAUAAUCCUGAGGUAGCAGUAAAAAUUACGAUGCCCCGAUGAAUUCACCAAUCAUCUAGAAUGGAAAAGCAAACAACCUACUCGGAGCUAAGUCCAGUCUACAAAUUCCCAAUGCAACAUAUAAAACUCACUACAGGUUCCAGGCAUCUUGAAAUAGCAGUAAAAUUUCCGACGACAGCCCAGAGAACUCACACCAAUCAUCUAGAAUGGAAGCAAUCAAGCUAAGUCGAGUCUACCAAUUCCCAAUGCAACAAAUCACAGCACCAAUUGAACAAACCAAUACUGCUACUCCGCGGAUGCGCCUGAAAUGAUGCCUCCCCAAAUCAGCGCUGGCGCAUCACGGGCAACAACGACCGACCGACCGACCGAAAUCAAGGGCGCGCGCCCCGACGUGAGGCCGAGACCGCCGGUGGGGGCGUAAGUAGCCUAGGGUUUGGGGGGGGGGGGAGGGGGCUCACGGGACAUGAGGAAGGCGAGCCCGAAGGCGAAGACGAGGAGCAGCACGGCCCGCUUCUUCCCCUCCUCCGCCAGGUCGCGCACCGUGUGUNGCUCUGUUCAGGGCGCCGCUGAGAUCUGGGGAGGCUGCGGGAGGGAGAGGGCAGGGGAUAGCGCACGGUCGAUUUGGAAAAAAAUCAUUGGCGCGCGGUCGAUUUGGGGAAAGCCCGCGUGAUAUUUCGGCUAUGUCCCGCGUUUUUUUUUUGCAAAACUACUAAUGGCGCACCACCUACAAAUGCGCCAUUAGUAACCCUAGUUACUAAUGGCGCAUCACAUGGUGGUGCGCCAUUAGUAGUUUUGCAAAAAAAAUAGUAGUGGCGCACUGGGUUCCCCGCCGCGCCCUCCAGGAUGGUGGCCCCGGGCGGCAGCAUCCGCCGCAGCAUCUCCUCCCAGGUCACCGUCUCCGCCUUGCUGGCCAUCUCCCCCUCCCCUUCCUCCGGCGCAAAGGCGCAAUCCGCCGAACACCCGCCGGGCAAGGGCGCAAUCCAGCAAGACUCGGAAAAGCUCUAACCUUUGGUGGGGAAUUCCUUGGCUUUGCAGUCGUGGUCGCCGCCGCCUAUCCGUCCUGGCUUGCACGGACGACGGUCAAGGCCCUGCGCUCCCCGCCCCGCCAACCACCACCACACAUCGCCAAGCGAGACCCUCGCCGGUCAACCGGAGACGCGGGGGAGGGAGGGGAGGAAAGAGCGAGAGAAAUCCGGGGCGUGGACGAGCGGGAUCUCUUCGGGGCGUGGACGAGCGGGAUCUCUCCGGGGCAUGGACGAGCGAGGCGGUAUCUCAGUUGGAUUUGGGAGAGGAGAGGCAAGGGCAGAUGCAGAGAGCAGUGCGGGUUAGCAAUGGCGCACCCCCGAGCGGUGCGACAUUAGAAUUUUUUUUGAUAGCAAUGGCGCAUCCCCAUGCAGUGCGCCAUUAGUAAUCUUUUUUUAUAUAACAAUGGCGCAUCCCAGAGAGGUACGCCAUUAGUAAUCUUUUUUUUAGAUAGCAAUGGCGCACCCCAGAGAGGUGCGUCAUUAGUAAUAUAUAUAUUUUNAUGCCCGAGCUAAGUCGGAGGAGAAGUAUCAAUUGGUCUUGGCUGAACUGGAAAAACUCAAAGCUGAUUUGAAAAGAACUCAAGCUGACCAAGAUGCUGCCAUAAAAAGAGCAGAGAAGGCCGAAGCGAGGCUGGCUACUAUGCAACAAGAAUUGUCCGGCUUAAAGCGUCAUAUCUCAAACAUGACGCAAGCCGCCUUUGGUAAACUUACUCAAACUUUUGGUCUUUUAUCCCCCCUUUUUUCUUUUUAACUAACUCUUAUCGUAAGUCGCUUAUUAUCAUGACCCCUUACUCAGGUCCGAGAGCCGCCAACCUUCAGGAAGAUUGUGUGCUGAUGCUAAAGGCGAUUUACGCACUGACAGAGCAACUGUACACCGGCAGUGUAUUAACUGUUAAAGCUGUGAUGGGUGUCAAAGGGCCUACACUACUAGGAAAAGGGCUAUAGAUGAUAUAGAUAUUAAUGGUGCACUCCACAAGGAGGGCGGCACUACUAAAUAGUAAUGGCGCACCAUGUUAGGCGUGACAUUAGUGUGGUGCGCCAUUAGUAUCCACCACACUAAUGGCACACCUCACAUGGUGCGCCAUUACUAUAUAGUAGUGGCGCACUGCUUGUGUAGUGCACCAUUAAUAUCUAUAUCAUCUAUAGCCCUUUUCCUAGUAGUGUAGGCCCUUUGACACCCAUCACAGCUUUAACAGUUAAUACACUGCCGGUGUACAGUUGCUCUGUCAGUGCGUAAAUCGCCUUUAGCAUCAGCACACAAUCUUCCUGAAGGUUGGCGGCUCUCGGACCUGAGUAAGGGGUCAUGAUAAUAAGCGACUUACGAUAAGAGUUAGUUAAAAAGAAAAAAGGGGGGAUAAAAGACCAAAAGUUUGAGUAAGUUUACCAAAGGCGGCUUGCGUCAUGUUUGAGAUAUGACGCUUUAAGCCGGACAAUUCUUGUUGCAUAGUAGCCAGCCUCGCUUCGGCCUUCUCUGCUCUUUUUAUGGCAGCAUCUUGGUCAGCUUGAGUUCUUUUCAAAUCAGCUUUGAGUUUUUCCAGUUCAGCCAAGACCAAUUGAUACUUCUCCUCCGACUUAGCUCGGGCAUCUUGCUGACCAGAUAAGUUCUUUUUUAAAUCGCCAAGCGCCGAUUCAGUCUGAGCAAGAGUUUCCUGUUGAAAGUACAAAAAAGGGGCAAGUCUCAGAACUAUUGCAAGCAAUAUCCCUGACACUUAGGGGCUAAUGUAUAAUUUUUUAUUUUCAGAUGAAAUUAUACAAUAUCAAGACCCGGCUCAUCUUUUUACUGAUGACCCGGCCCUUGGGGGUUACUGGUCGCAAAGUUUUUUCUAAAUUUAUCAAGACCCGGCUCAUCUUUUUACUGAUGACCCGGCCCUUGGGGGUUAGUGGUCGCAAAGUUUUUUCUAAAUUUAUCAAGACCCGGCUCAACUUUUUACUGAUGACCCGGCCCUUGGGGGUUACUGGUCGCAAAGUUUUUCUAAAUUUAUCAAGACCCGGCUCAUCUUUUUACUGAUGACCCGGCCCUUGGGGGUUAAUGGGAGUAAUAUAAUAUAACAAAACUUACCUCAUGUUUGUUUUUAAAUAUCCGCAGCAGGCUUUUCUCCAUCUCAUAGCUCGCCUCCAGGCGACUUGCAAAACCAAAGCAGAGUUCCUUGAACUCCAGAUUUUCAUACUCAGAAAGCUUAGCCUUGGAGAGUCCAGAUUCAGGAAUGGCUUGAGAGGAGGAUGCCACAUGCCUUGACAAAACCGUUGCCGCCGGCUUAGUGAAGCCGGUACCAGUAAUAACUACAGCAUCCGGGUCUUCUGUUGUCAUCAAUGGACUUGGCGGCUUAGGGGCAUCCAUUGUUUCCUUGGGCGAGCCAGGAAGAUCCAUUUGAUUUUCAGGCUCGCCUUGGUCCGGGUUGUCCUGGAUCAGCACUGAUUCUUUGAUGGGUUCUGAAGUUGUGACAGGAGUUGAUCCGCUGGUUUUCCUUUUCUUGGCAUGUGCCCUAAAAAAAAGGGAGAAGCGCAUUAAGGAACUGAAAGUUUAUUACCCUCAGGAUUCAAAGUAAGAUUAUCAAAAGACUUCCCCAGGAACUCGAAUCAUUGGUGGAAGUGUCGACAUCACUGAGUCGCCAGAUGUAGGAGGAGAGUUCUGCAAGAAUUAUACGUCAACAGUAUAGGCGGGUUACAGACGUGAUCCAAAGGAACAUGAAGAAUUGUUAUUCAUAAAUACCUCAUUUGGUUUCCUCUUGUUCGUUGCUCGUAAGCCGGACACCAGAUCACCGGAAUGACUUUGGGUCUUCCGAUUUGAAGUAUGUUGUGCUUUCUUCAGUAGGAAAUUUGGGUCCAAAUAAGCAUUUGGGUGUGAGAAGGGAACUUUCCCGCAAAUUCGCCUAGCCGGCUUAGGUGGAGAAGGAGAUGAAUCGGAGGAAACAGAAAUUACCUCAACAGAGUCCUCCUGGCUUUCAUUGUCUUCAUUCUAUUCCAAGAGAGGCAGAGGUGUAAAUACAAAGAUUAACAGUAGUAGAUGGCGAGUGAAAAGAAGAUGGAAUUUGACCUCCGAAAGUGCAUCGCCGACUUGAGAUUCAUUGACUUCGGAUGGCUGAGCCGCAGCAGCUUUGCCCUUGCCCUUGGUUUUCUUUGAGGGCGGCUUAACAUUUUUCAUGGCUGGCCUUUUGGGUUUCUUGGACCAAAAUUUAUCGCCUUUCUGAAAUAGCAUAUGUUACAAAAACCACAAUGCAAAUGAAGCAUAAGGAGUAAAGACCAAAGGCAGUUUAGAUUUGUUCACCUUGGGCGUCGGGUUAAUUUUGCAGAAAGGCUUGAGGACGAUUUGGCCGCAUUUUCCCGCAGGCUCGCCAGUCAGCUUCUUGAUAAUGGUGACGACGUCAUUUUCUGUUAAAACCGUAUGGAAAUAACAUUGAGGAUGAUCUAGGGUGCCAUCAAAUUCGCACAUCAGACCGUCCCGGCGACUCAGAGGGAGAAUACGCCAUUCGACCCAGUAGCGGAUUAGGUCAACCCCAGUAAGGCUGUUGUUUGUUAAGGAUCUUAACUUGGAAAGUACUGGGAUGAAUUCUGAUUCCUCCUCCUCGGUAAGCUUGUCUGGAAGCUUGAAGUUCGUUGGAAGGCGAUUUUUCCUGUAGCCCAGAAGCUUGUUUUUGCCUGCAGGGGAAGUCUCUUGACAGUAGAACCAAGACUCGCACCAACUUUUGGGAUGGUUGGGCAUGGCGAGUGAGGGAAAUGGGCUAUCCCUGCGGCGCUGGACAUUGACACCGCCGAGUUCCAGGCUGGGGCCAUUGUGAAAUUCCGUUUGGUGAUUCAGAUGGAAAAAGUGCCAGAAUAAGGGGACGGAGGGCUCAAUCCGCAGAUAAGCCUCACAGAACACUUGGAAUUGCCAUAAGUUACUUAUAGAAUUAGGUCCCAAAUCCUAGAGGCAGACGUUCAUGAAAGCCAUGGCGUCUCUAAGAAACUUCGAUCCGGGCGGCUUAAAACCUCGCUCCAGGUGUUCAACAAAAACGACUAUUUCCCCUUCUUUGGGGUUGGGGAGAUCUUCUCCGAACCCGGUACGCCAGCCGAUAACAUUCUGAGGGUCCAAGUUGCCCGUUUUCACAUGGUCUGCUAGUAUGGUGUCAUCGACCUUGGUAGGAAGCCAGUCACUUUUGAAGACGGCGCCCAUGCUACAAAGAAGUAAAGUAUGAAUUUAUACGCCUUGAACAUCUACUGUAAGGGGUGAAAUAAGUUCAUCUAACGCGCCAAGUAAUUUGUUCACGGACUGAGAGGGAAACUUGACCCGCCAUAUCAAGAGCCGAGUUGGGUUGUUAUGGCGACUUACGAAGUCCGGCUAUACUCGGGAGCUACGUUCUAAGGAUGAUGGAGACGUUUGUUCAAAACGUCAAAGUGUGAAGACUACAAACAGCUUUUUGCAAAACAGUAGGUAAAUUAUGGAUCUACUGGAUAGAUGGAAAAACAUGAGAAAAAUGGCUGGACGCAACAAAUUUAUUACCAGGACAAGGUGACGCCCUUCGCUUGAUGAAACGUUAUACUAGGUUCGCAAGUAAGAGCGGAUAAAUGAAGAUAUUCGAAGCAUUGGUUAUCUCGUCGGCAUUUAUGCUAAUCAGUUCAGGAAAGGCAACACAUGCUCGCGAAGAACAUCCAGAACAUGGCAGUGCUGGAGCUUCAAACGAAGAUUGGAUCUAUUCUUAAAUGGGCGGUGGCCUAACCUGAUGCUCUCGGUCAAAGAAGGCCGACGGCGACGAAGGUCGUUGGAGAAGCACGGAGGUCUCGUCGAGCAAAGAGAUCUUCGACGGCGGUGGAGUUCGUGGCGAACGGCGAGAUGGUCGACGAUGAUGCGGUGGUCAAUGGCGGCGGACGGAUCGGCCGCAGUGCGAAGCUUGACGACGGCGAAGGCCUAUGGGCGGCGCCGAAGCUUCUCGAGCAAAGACGGAAAGUACGGUCGGCGGCGGAGCCCUCGGGAGGCGAUGAGAUUUCCUCGCUGUGAUAAUGGGGAGGAGGUUGACGAGACUUGUAGGUGGGAAGCACCAGUCCUGUCCCCCCCCCCCGUCUAUUUAUCAGGGAGGGCGCUGGAAUCGAGGCGCCGUGAGCGGGAACCUCCGGGGAAUAAAAAGAUUCGCUAUAAAGGUGUUCCGAAGAUUUUGGGAUAACGAUGCACUAAGAUCCGUUGGGAUUAUGUCAGUCUUCUCGAAAAUCGAGGGAUAAGAAGAGGCCAACAAGAAAUGGUUUGGCGACUUAAAGAGUUUUCGGUGCCACAUGGCGGGUUACAAUUUCUGACGUAUGAAGAAAAAUGAGGAAUGAAUCGCCUUCAACUAAGCGGAAGUAUUGGCGUGAAAAAGAAGUUCAAGUCAAUCUGGGGCCUAAUGUUGGGGAUAUUACGUGUUAAUGACCCGCCCUAGUUGGGCCGUGUUACCAAUCAGGCAAUUCACCCAAACAAUUAUUUGGGCCUUGCCCUGGUCGGAUCAAGGUCGUAUGACGGUUUAUGAUUUCUGGAAGGUCUCCAAGCUUUGGAAGACGGCGACUUAGAGACCACAGGGGUCACGAUUUGUAGGAAGGAAUGCACCCUUGUAAACCCUAGGGGUUCGACUUGUAUAUAAAGGCGAGUCCCAGGGGAGGAGAGGGCAAGUUAGAAAUCAUCGAGUGCUAGGUUCGGCGAGUUACGCCCUCCUUGUAAUCGAAACCACAUCAAUACAAACCAAAGCAGGACGUAGCCCUUUACCUCCUCACGAGGGGCCGAACCUUGGUAAAUUGCCGUGUCUCUCCCGCCUAACCCCUUUGAGUUGCCACAAAGGUGCGAUGGCUCCAGUACUAAGUCCUUUCACGAGGACAUCUGUCAUGACAAAACAACGACAAGUCCACCGUCGUUGAGGAAGUAGGGUUGUUGCCCCAAUUUCGGGCACUAUAGGGACCACCCAUUUUCGUGCCCACCACGAUCCCGCAUCAAACGUCGGAGGAAGAUCCGUCCGCCACUCAAAUAUAGGAACAGAUUGUUUUAAUGGUUAAGCCAUUUUAUUUUUAUCGGCACCACAUUUGCCUCUCUUAGGGUACUUUGGUUUCUUCAAUUGUAGCUUUGUUGAUGACACGUCCUAUCCUCUCUCCUCAUGAGCUACUCGGAAUCUCUGGACGCGGCCACUACCCCUGCUAUGAAUGCCUCAUAUCCCAAAAAGACACCCGACCCCGCCUAUAAUAUCCCAUCAACUUCCUAGACCGAAGACCCCACUCCAUGAACCCUUUCUGCAAAGGCUACCACUAGUAGAAAACAUGGCUAUCGUUCGGCCCUAGCCAGCCCAUUAGUCCCGGUUCUUCAAGAACCGGGACCAAUGGAGGGUAUUAGACCCGGUUCGUGAGCCCAGGGGGCCGGCCGGGGCCUCGUGGGCAUUGGUCCCAGUUCGUGUGGAACCAGUUGUCCCGGUUCGAGCCACGAACAGGGACCAAUGGUCCUCGCUGUCGGCCCACAACCGUUGGUCCCGGCUUGUGGCAUGAACCGGGACAGAAGGGGUGGCUUUAGUCCCGGUUCAUGCCACGAACCGGGACAAAUAACUUGCCUAUAUAUACCCACCUCCGCGGCAGAGCACUCCAUAGUGCUCUGUUUUUUCAAUCCGGUGAGGUUUCUAGUUCACCUCCUAUGCACAUGAGGUGUUCGAUGAAAUGCCCGAGCCACACUACACUAGUAGAAAAAGGGCCUUUUGUCCCGGUUUGUAAGGGCCUUCUGUCCUGGUUUUGGAACCGGGACUAAAAGGUCGUUACUAAUGCCCUCGGACUUUAGUCCCAGUUCUUACACCAACCGGGACAGAUGGGCCUCCACGUGGCCUCUGCGGCCAGGCCAGGCAGGGGGUCUUUAGUCCCGGUUGGUGACACCAACCGGGACCAAAAGGCAUCCACGCGUCAGCACCUGGCUGAAGCUGAGUUUUUUUGAAAGGGCUCGUUUAGGGGUUAAUUUAGGUUGUUAUAUACACCAACCAAGGAGCAUCCAUGAGCAAGCACAAAAAGAAAUAAUUUUAUCUUUAUCAAUGAGCAUCCAUGAGCAUGCACAAAAUUUCAUCAAGCACACCACCAUCAUACUUAAAAGUGUAGUAGUAGUUCAACACUAUCGUACUUAAAAGGUUUCACUAUAAAGAUUAAAGCUCCAUUAGGUUCUUAAGAUCUUCACUCCUGCUUCUUCACCUGCUCCUUCAUCAUCCUGAUGCGCUUAGAGCGACGAAGCCCCAGGCCAGGCUGUGGGAUGUACUCCUCUACCAGAAUUGGCAUGGCCCUGUUGCCCAGUUGUGGGAUCACCAUCGCGAGGCCAUCGUCGCUGCUACUUUUGCUGUAGCCAGAGUCGCUGCUACUUUUGCUAUAGCCAAAGUCGCUGCUCCCGUAGACACAACACCUGUCGCAGUACUCGCUGCUCCUGCUCCCAUUGCCUUGCCAAAUGCAAAAAAGUUUUUUUUAAAUGGGUGUGAGACAUAGCCUAAUGGAUAGGAAGAAGAGACAGAGCGUACUGGCAUCGUCGUCGUCCUGGUAGCGCCUCCGACACAUAGUCGUGUCGAACACCUUCACGACGAACGUGGCGUUGUCGUCGUACCUGAAGACAAGGAAGUACCCAUGCCGCAGGUCGUAGGCACGGACGAACUGCUUCCAGCCACGAUCUAGGUACAUGUUUCCAUCGGUGUCGAACGCCACCUCAACGUCCCACAGCUUGCAAAGCCCGUUGCCGGCCUGCCUCAGCUUCAUGUUCUGUGGCCGAUGACCGUCCAACAUCUUCACAAAAUUUUCCGGCAGCACCUGCCUGCUGGAGGAUUUCUCAAGUAUAAUCGUGAAGAACUCCAUCUCUGAAAAGCAGCAGAAGAGACCAAUUACUACCUUUACAACAUUGUCAGUACUCGCUGCUCCUGCUCCCAUUGCCUUGCCAAAUGCAAAAAAGUUUUUUUAAAAAUGGGUGUGAGACAUAGCCUAAUGGAGAGGAAGAAGAGACAGAGCAUACUGGCAUCGUCGUCGUCCUGGUAGGGCCUCCGACACAUAGUCGUGUCGAACACCUUCACGGCGAACGUGGCGUUGCCGUCGUACGUGAAGACAAGGAAGUACCCAUGCCGCAGGUCGUAGGCACGGUCGAAGUGCUUCCAGCCACGAUCGAGGUACAUGCUUCCAUCGGUGUCGAACACCACCUCCACGUCCCACGGCUUGCGAAGCUCGUUGCCGGCCUGCCUGAGCUUCAUGUUCUGUGGCCGAUGGCCGUCCAGCAUCUUCACAAAAUUGUCCGGCAGCACCUGCCUGUUGGAGUAUUUCUCAAGUAUAAUCGUGAAGAAGUCCAUCUCUGAAAAGCAGCUGAAGAGACCAAUUACUACCCUUUACAACAUUGUCAUACAACAUUUACAGCAACAUGAUCAUCAGUAUUAGGUAGGACCUAAUUAAAUACCCUCUUUAAGGUAAAAUAACAUAAAACAAUAUAGACCCUGACUCGAGGUCGGAGGGGGGCUGGUGACGGGGACGACGACGUGGAUGAUGGAGGGGGCUCCUAGAUUUCUGCAUAGUGCUCUCCAAUAUUAGCAUUCAAAGUAGGAGUACUUUUCCAAUUUAAGCAUUCAAUAAGCAAAACCAAAUCGUAAAAUAAAGUAGUAUUCAAAUUAGCAUGCAUUCAAUUAUAAGCAAAACUACAUCAUCUCUUGUCAUACAUAUAGCAUCACUAAUACAUCUAGAACCUUAGCGCCCGACGGGUAUCGUCGCGGGCGGUGGACACCCAAAGAGAAGGAACCAUCACAGGAUCAUAGCUCCAGUGAGAUCCCUGAAGAACCUAGCAGGUAUUGUCGAACCUGCCCUCCAAUGCAACCUUGUAGCGACGGACGUGCUCGUCCUCCUCGCUGACACGGUGACGUACCACCUCUGCGGUGUCCGGAAGCCUCGGCACCGUCACUGGCCCACGCGACCGCCACCAAACAAGUAUCGGGUCAACAACGGGCUGCCUCCUCACCAACCUACGCUCCCCGGAAGGUAGCACCUCCCAAUACCAGCCGGACGGAGCCCUGUCCCGGACAUGGCUCCUCUGAUCAAGCAGGUGUCCUCCGCUGAGUCAACGAUGAGGAUGCGGGAUACGCAUCGUAAAAUGAACUAAAAAAUAAACUAGUUCUAUUAAUUUUCUUGCUAAAAAUAAACUACUUCUAUAUAUAGUAAAAUAAAGUAGUUUUAUUAAAUCAACUAGUUCAACUACUAAGCACUUACUAUAAAUAAAUAAAACCAAAGCUAUAUUCACUAUGGUGGUAAUACUAGUUGUUAUAUUCUAAAAGGAUAAAGAAAUAAGUUCACAUGCACAUGACUAAAUAAAGGAAAUAAAACACAAGUUCGUGCUAACUAGAUGUUAACUUCUAAGACAAGUUCAUGCUAACCAGAUGGUAACUUAUUGGCUAUUCCUUUUUAUUUUUGAUUAAAUUGAUGAUCAAAUCAAAUGGACAUGCCUUAUAAAUCAGAAAUUAUAUAGUAUUGUUGUAAUCACUUAAAUAGUCGGCUGCUAGCACAGAUAAUUAAAUAUUGUAGUCAGGUUCAUUUUUUACUUUUGUAUGGUCAAAAAUAUUGUUAUUCACCUUCCUUAAUUGGUCAUCCCCUUUAAUUUCACAGAAAAACACGUUGCCAUACUGUCCACAAAAUUUAAUUAUCUGUCUCAUAUUGCACUACAACUAACAAUCUAAUGAACAAGAAUUAAUAUAUGCCAUCUUUUGGUUGGUAACAACAUUAGAUUAAUUCAACUACCAUAAGUUUUGCCAAAGUGGCAGAAAUGUUUAUUCUAGUGAGCAAAAAAUGCAUAUCUAAUCCCAUUGCUCAUGCAGGACAACAUAGGAUAAGCAUUUCAAAGGAAAUGAUGUUCCUAGAGUAUCCAAAAUGCACAAGUAUUCGAAAUGCACAAGUAUUCGAUAUGUAGGACUACCAAAAUAGGUCGAGAUGCACAAGUAUCAGAUCCAUAGGACUACCAAAAUAAUGCUAUAUGUUUCUUCUACGUUCGUGCCUACAAUAAUUAUUUUUAUCCUAUAAUUGUCACUUCUUUUUCAACAGUAGGCCUUAUUCCAUGGAAUUUCUAACAUAAGUACUUGUACCUGUUAUGGAAAAAUGCCAAUAUCUCCUUCCUUGAUCUUAAUCAACUAAUACGCGAAUUUAUUUUCUUUAGUUAUUACCAUGCAUACUAUCUAGAUAACAUCUUGCAAACUAGAACACAAACAUAUGGUACAAGAAAUUAAAAACAUUGUUAGCUUAAUUUAAAAAAUAAGAAAGGUUUCGAACAAAGAUCUGGAUGACUACAGAUUUAGAAAUUACAAGAUAUUAUUGUUGUGUAUUAGUUAUGAAUAAAAAUCCGAGCUCGUUUGUUCUAAUCCUAACCAACAGAAGAAAUCGGAGUGAAAAAGAGAUAUGUAGGACCGGCCCUGCCGGCGAGGGGAGAGGAUGGGGGCGCUGAGCGAGGUGUGGGGAGAGGAGGGGCGCGAGCCGACGGGAGGAGGCCGGAGCUAGAGGAGGAGAGGGAGGAGUGGCGGCGGAUCUCACUGUCGGAAGCAGAGGAGGGCCGGGCUGCUCGUCGGCGGGCAGAUGGNNNNNNNNNNNNNNNNNNNNNNNNNNNNNNNNNNNNNNNNNNNNNNNNNNNNNNNNNNNNNNNNNNNNNNNNNNNNNNNNNNNNNNNNNNNNNNNNNNNNNNNNNNNNNNNNNNNNNNNNNNNNNNNNNNNNNNNNNNNNNNNNNNNNNNNNNNNNNNNNNNNNNNNNNNNNNNNNNNNNNNNNNNNNNNNNNNNNNNNNNNNNNNNNNNNNNNNNNNNNNNNNNNCCUCCAUCUGCCUGCCGACGAGCAACCCGGCCCUCCUCUGCUGCCCAAGGUGAGAUCCGCCGCGCCACUCCUCCCUCUCCUCCUCUAGCUCCGACCUCCUCCCGUCGGCACGCGCCCUCCUCUCCCCACGCCGCGGUCCGGCGCCCCCAUCCUCUCCCCUUGCCGACAGGGUCGGUCCUAUGAUUUCGGGGGCCCGGGGCGAAACUGACUUGUGUUCUUAGGAUUAUAUGUGUGUAGCUAUUAUUGGUUCUAGUAGUACUUGCUCACUUCAAGAAAUUUUAUCCUCGGAGCAGUCUGCAUUUGGAUGUUGCUCCUUGAAAAAAUUGCAUUUUUGUGUUCUAGGAAAGGAUAGUACCUGCCAGGCAUGAUACUUUAUAUUUUACUAGUACUAUAUACUCAUUUUUGUGUUCUAUGCAUUUCUUUUAGACACGUUAAUAAUUAGCUGGCUCCUUGUUUCAAAAUAGUAUAUACAAUGUCACUACUAGAAGGUGAAUUACAUGUGAUGCCAAUGCAAUCAAACUGGACAUAUAUUCAAAAAAAAGCCAUUGCAUAUUGACCAACUAUUACGAGGUGUAUCCAACGCUUCUAAAAAUGUAAGUUCGACUAUUAAAUGUAAAAUAUGCUGAUUUUUUUAGAUUUAAAGGGGGGACUAUGCUAUAAAUAUAGAACAUUUAGGUAUAAUGACGUUGUAAAACAGUUCAUGAGACAUUUUUGCAUAACACCAUAAAAAUAUGAGAGUGUGUAAGCAAGUUCAUGGCUAAAUACAAACAAAGAUGAAAUAUUUUUAAUUUUGUAAUAAUUUGACUAAAUCCAAAAUUUUCAAUGGGCACAAAACAUGUUCUUUAUUGGGAAAUAAUUUAUAUUCUCAUAUGGUGCUUUCCUUGUUCUUAAUUAGUACACGGAAAGAAAAUUAUAGAGCAAUCAAAUCAUUAUUGUCCUUCUAUUGUUUUAGACUACUUUUAUAUGCUAUGCCGAAGAGAAUAAGCGCUGAAAGCAUGCUUGCGUUGAACUAGUUUAUUUUACUAUAUAUAGAAGUAGUUUAUUUUUAGCAAGAAAAUUAAUAGAACUAGUUUACUUUUUUAGUUCAUUUUACGAUGCCUAUCUCGCAUCCUCGUCGUCGACUCGGCGGAGGACACCUGCUUGAUCACAGGGGCCAUGUCCGGGACUGGGCUCCGCCCGGCUGGUAUUGGGAGAUGCUACCUUCUGCGGGGCGUAGGUUGGUGAGGAGCCGGCCCGUUGUUGACCCGAUCCUUGUUUGGUGACGGUCGCGUGGGCCAGUGACGGUGUCGAGGCUUCCGGACACCGCGGAGGUGGUACGUCACCGUGUCAGCGAGGAGGACGAGCACGUCCGUCGCUACAUGGUUGCGUUGGAGGGCAGCUUCGACAAUACCUGGCAGGUUCUUCAGGGAUCUCACUGGAGCUAUGAUCCUGUGAUGGUUCCUUCUCUUUGGGUGUCCACCGCCCGCGACGAUACCCGUCGGGCGCUAUGGUUCUAGCUGUAUUAGUGAUGCUAUAUGUAUGACAAGAGAUGAUGUAGUUUUGCUUAUAAUUGAAUGCAUGCUAAUUUGAAUACUACUUUAUUUUACGAUUUGGUUAUGCUUAUUGAAUGCUCAAAUUGGAAAAGUACUCCUACUUUGAAUGCUAAAAUUAGAGAGCACUAUGCAGAAAUCUAGGAGCCCCCUCCAUCAUCCACGUCGUCGUCCCCGUCACCGACCCCCCUUGUACCUCGAGUCAGGGUCUAUAUUGUUUUAUGCUAUUUUACCUUAAAGAGGGUAUUUAAUUAGGUCCUACCUAAUACUGUGUUGUAAUUAUGCCCUAGAGGCAAUAAUAAAUAUGGUUAUUAUUAUAAUUUCUGUAUCAAGAUAAUAGUUUAUUAUCCAUGCUAUAAUUGUAUUGAAUGAAGACUCAUUUACAUGUGUGCAUACAUAGACAAAAUACCGUCCCUAGCAUGCCUCUAGUUGGCUAGCCAGUUGAUCGAUGAUAGUCAGUGUCUUCUGAUUAUGAACAAGGUGUUGUUACUUGAUAACUGGAUCACGUCAUUGGGACAAUCACGUGAUGGACUAGACCCAAACUAAUAGACGUAGCAUGUUGAUCGUGUCAUUUUGUUGCUACUGUUUUCUGCGUGUCAAGUAUUUAUUCCUAUGACCAUGAGAUCAUAUAACUCACUGACACCGGAGGAAUGCUUUGUGUGUAUCAAACGUCGCAACGUAACUGGGUGACUAUAAAGAUGCUCUACAGGUAUCUCCGAAGGUGUUAGUUGAGUUAGUAUGGAUCAAGACUGGGAUUUGUCACUCCGUGUGACGAAGAGGUAUCUCGGGGCCCACUCGGUAAUACAACAUCACACACAAGCCUUGCAAGCAAUGUAAAUUAGUGUAAGUUGCGGGAUCUUGUAUUACGGAACGAGUAAAGAGACUUGCCGGUAAACGAGAUUGAAAUAGGUAUGCGGAUACUGACGAUCGAAUCUCGGGCAAGUAACAUACCGAAGGACAAAGCGAAUGACAUACGGGAUUAUACGAAUCCUUGGCACUGAGGUUCAAACGAUAAGAUCUUCGUAGAAUAUGUAGGAUCCAAUAUGGGCAUCCAGGCCCUACUAUUGGAUAUUGACCGAGGAGUCUCUCAGGUCAUGUCUACAUAGUUCUCGAACCCGCAGGGUCUGCACACUUAAGGUUCGACGUUGUUUUAUGUGUAUUUGAGUUAUAUGGUUGGUUACCGAAUGUUGUUCGGAGUCCCGGAUGAGAUCACGGACGUCACGAGGGUUUUCGGAAUGGUCCAGAAACGAAGAUUGAUAUAUAGGAUGACCUCAUUUGAUUACCGGGAGGUUUUCGGAAUUACCGGGAAUGACGAAUGGGUUCCGGGAGUUCACCGGGGGGGCAACCCACCCCGGGGAAGCCCAUAGGCCUUUGGGGAGACACACAAGCCCUUAGUGGGCUGGUGGGACAGCCCACAAGUGCCCUAUGCGCCAAGGAGAAUAAAAUCAAGAGAGAAAAAAAAAGGAGGAGGUGGGAAGGAAGGGGGACUCCCUCCCACCAAACCUAGUCCAACUCGGUUUGGGGGGGAGAGUCCUCCCCCUUGGCUCGGCCGACCCCCUUGAGGGUCCUUGGACCCCAAGGCAAGGCCCCCUCCCUCCCACCUAUAUAUACGGAGGUUUUAGGGCUGAUUUGAGACGACUUUUCCACGGCAGCCCGACCACAUACCUCCACGGUUUUUCCUCUAGAUCGCGUUUCUGCGGAGCUCGGGCGGAGCCCUGCUGAGACAAGGUCAUCACCAACCUUCGGAGCGCCGUCACGCUGCCGGAGAACUCUUCUACCUCUCCGUCUCUCUUGCUGGAUCAAGAAGGCCGAGAUCAUCGUCGAGCUGUACGUGUGCUGAACGCGGAGGUGCUGUCCGUUCGGUACUAGAUCGUGGGACUGAUCGCGGGAUUGUUCGCGGGGCGGAUCGAGGGACGUGAGGACGUUCCACUACAUCAACCGCGUUCUCUAACGCUUCUGCUGUACGGUCUACAAGGGUAUGUAGAUCACUCAUCCCCUCUCGUAGAUGGACAUCACCAUGAUAGGUCUUCGUGCGCGUAGGAAUUUUUUUGUUUCCCAUGCGACUUUCCCCAACAGUGGCAUCAUGAGCUAGGUUCAUGCGUAGGUGUCUUCUCGAGUAGAACACAAAAGGUUUUGUGGGCGGUGAUGUGCGUUUUGCUGCCCUCCUUAGUCUUUUCUUGAUUCCGCGGUAUUGUUGGAUUGAAGCGGCUUGGACCGACAUUACUUGUACGCUUACGAGAGACUGGUUUCAUCGUUACGAGUAACCCCCUUUGCUCAAAGAUGACUAGCAAGUGACGGUUUCUCCAACUUUAGUUGAAUCGGAUUUGACCGAGGAGGUCCUUGGAUGAGGUUAAAUAGCAACUCAUAUAUCUCCGUUGUGGUGUUUGCGUAAGUAAGAUGCGAUCCUACUAGAUACCCUUGGUCACCACGUAAAACAUGCAACAACAAAAUUAGAGGACGUCUAACUUGUUUUUGCAGGGUAUGAUUGUGAUGUGAUAUGGCCAACGAUGUGAUGUGAUAUAUUGGAUGUAUGAGAUGAUCAUGUUGUAAUAGAAAUAUCGACUUGCACGUCGAUGGUUCGGCAACCGGCAGGAGCCAUAGGGUUGUCUUUAUACUAACAUUUGUGCUUGCAGAUGCAUUUACUAUUUUGCUAGGAUGUAGCUUUAGUAGUAAUAGCAUAAGUAGCACGACAACCCCGAUGGCAACACGUUGAUGGAUGAUCAUGGUGUGGCGCCGGUGACAAGAAGAUCGUGCCGGUGCUUUGGUGAUGGAGAUCAAGAAGCACGUGAUGAUGGCCAUAUCAUGUCACUUAUGAAUUGCAUGUGAUGUUAAUCCUUUUAUGCACCUUAUUUUGCUUAGAACGACGGUAGCAUUAUGAGGUGAUCUCUCACUAAAAUUUCAAGACGAAAUUGUGUUCUCCCCGAUUGUACACCGUCGCUACAGUUCAUCGUUUCGAGACACCACGUGAUGAUCGGGUGUGAUAGACUCAACGUUCACAUACAACGGGUGCAAAACAGUUGCGAACGUGGAACACUCGGGUUAAGCUUGACGAGCCUAGCAUGUGCAGACAUGGCCUCGGAACACAUGAGACCGAAAGGUCGAUCAUGAAUCAUAUAGUUGAUAUGAUUAGCAUAGGGAUGCUUACCACUGAAACUAUACUCAACUCACGUGAUGAUCGGACUUGGGAUAGUGUAAGUGGAUCAUGAACCACUCAAAUGACUAGAGAGAUGUACUUUUUGAGUGGGAGUUUAGCAUAUAAUUUGAUUAAGUUGAACUCUAAUUAUAUUGAACAUAGUCUAAGUCCACUUUGAAUAUAUUUGUUUUGUAGAUCAUGGCUCACGCGACAGUCAUCCUGAAUUUUAAUAUGUUCCUAGAGAAAGCUAAGUUGAAAGAUGAUGGAAGCAACUUUGUAGACUAGGCUCGUAAUCUUAAGCUAAUCUUACAAGCUGGGAAGAAGGAUUAUGUCCUUAAUGCUGCGCUAGGAGAUGAACCACCCGCUACGGCUGAUCAGGAUGUUAAGAACGCUUGGUUAGCACGUAAGGAGGACUACUCAAUAGUUCAAUGUGCAGUCUUGUAUGGCUUAGAACCGGGACUUCAACGUCGCUUUGAGCGUCAUGGAGCAUUUGAGAUGUUCCAGGAGUUGGAGUUUAUCUUUCAGAAGAACGCCCGGAUCGAGAGGUAUGAGACCUCCGAUAAAUUCUAUGCUUGCAAGAUGGAGGAAAACUCGUCUGUCAGUAAACAUGUGCUCAAAAUGUCUGGGUACUCAAACCGUCUAGCUGAGCUGGGGAUUGAACUCCCGCAAGAAGUUAUCACUGACAGAAUCCUUCAAUCACUGCCGCCAAGCUAUAAAGGCUUUGUGUUGAACUACAACAUGCAAGGGAUGAACAAGUCUCCCGGCGAGUUGUUUGCGAUGCUGAAAGUCGCAGAGUGUGAACUCCGUAAAGAGCAUCAAGUGUUGAUGGUGAGCAAGACCACUAGUUUCAAGAGAUACAGCAAAGGCAAGAAGGGCAAUUCGAAGAAGAACGGCAAGCCUGUUGCCAAUCCGCCGAAGAAACCCAAGGCUGGACCUAAGCCUGAAACAGAGUGCUUCUAUUGCAAGGGUAUGGGUCACUGGAAGCGCAAUUGCCCCAAGUAUCUGGCAGAUAAGAAGGCGGGCAAAGAAAAAUCAGGUAUAUUUGAUAUACAUGUUAUUGAUGUGUACUUAACCGGCUCUCGUAGUAGUGCCUGGGUAUUCGAUACCGGUUCUGUUGCUCAUAUUUGCAACUCGAAGCAGGAACUGCGGAAUAGACGAAGGCUGGCGAAAGACGAAGUGACGAUGCGCGUAGGAAAUAGUUCCAAGGUUGAUGCAAUCGCCGUCGGCACAGUGUCACUUCAGCUACCAUCGGGAUUAGUGAUGAACUUAAAUCAUUGUUAUUUAGUGCCUGCGUUGAGCAUGAACAUUAUAUCUGGAUCUUGUUUAUUGCGAGACGGUUACUCUUUUAAGUCUGAGAAUAAUGGUUGUUCUAUUUCUAUGAGUAACAUCUUUUAUGGUCAUGCACCGAAUGUGAGAGGAUUGUUCAUAUUGAAUCUUGAUAGCGAUACGCAUAUACAUAACAUUGAGACCAAAAGAGUUAGAGUAAAUAAUGAUAGCGCCAUAUUUUUGUGGCACUGUAGCUUGGGUCAUAUUGGUGUAAAGCGCAUGAAGAAACUCCAUGCUGAUGGACUUUUGGAGUCACUUGACACGUGCGAACCAUGCCUCAUGGGCAAGAUGACUAAGACUCCGUUCUCCGGAACAAUGGAGCGUGCAAGUGACUUAUUGGAAAUCAUACAUACCGAUGUGUGUGGUCCAAUGAGCGUGGAAGCACGCGGCGGAUAUCAUUAUUUUCUCACCUUCACUGACGAUUUAAGUAGGUAUGGUUAUGUCUACUUGAUGAAGCACAAGUCUGAAACAUUUGAAAAGUUCAAGCAAUUUCAGAGUGAAGUGGAAAAUCAUCGUAACAAGAAGAUCAAGUUCCUACGGUCUGAUCGUGGGGGUGAAUAUUUGAGUUUCGAGUUUGGUGAUCACUUAAGAAAAUGUGGAAUUGUUUCACAGUUGACACCGCCUGGAACACCACAGCGUAAUGGUGUGUCCGAACGUCGUAAUCGUACUUUGUUAGAGAUGGUGCGAUCUAUGAUGUCUCUUACUGAUUUGCCGUUAUCAUUUUGGGGUUAUGCAUUAGAAACAGCUGCAUUCACUUUAAAUAGGGCACCAUCAAAAUCCGUUGAGACGACACCAUACGAACUGUGGUAUGGCAAAAGGCCAAAGUUGUCGUUUCUUAAAGUUUGGGGAUGUGAUGCUUAUGUCAAAAAGCUUCAGCCUGAAAAGCUGGAACCCAAAGCGGAAAAAUGCGUCUUCAUAGGUUAUCCAAAAGAGACAGUUGGGUACACCUUCUAUCUCAAAUCCGAGGGCAAAGUGUUUGUUGCUAAGAACGGAGCUUUUCUCGAGAAGGAGUUUCUCUCGAGAGAAUUGAGUGGGAGGAAGAUAGAACUUGAUGAGGUUGUCGAACCUCUCAUCCCUCUGGAUGGUGGCGCAGGGCAAGGGGAAACCUCUGUCGUUGCGACGCCGGUUGAGGAGGAAGUUAAUGAUGAUGAUCAUGAAACUCCAGUUUAAGUUUCUGUUGAACCACGCAGGUCGACGAGAUCACGCGCUGCUCCAGAGUGGUACGGGAAUCCCGUCUUAUCAAUCAUGUUGUUAGACAACAAUGAACCUGCAAAUUAUGAAGAAGCAAUGGUGGGCCCAGAUUCCAACAAAUGGCUAGAAGCCAUGAAAUCCGAGAUUGGAUCCAUGUAUGAGAACAAAGUGUGGACUUUGGAGAUACUACCUGAGGGCCGCAAGGCUAUUCAGAACAAAUGGAUCUUUAAGAAGAAGACGGACGCUGACGGUAAUGUGACCGUUUAUAAAGCUCGACUUGUGGCAAAGGGUUUUUCACAAGUUCCAGGAGUUGACUACGAUGAGACUUUCUCACCCGUAGCGAUGCUUAAGUCCGUCAGAAUCAUGUUAGCAAUAGCUGCAUUUUUCGAUUAUGAAAUCUGGCAGAUGGAUGUCAAAACGGCGUUCCUUAACAGUUUCCUUAAGGAAGAGUUGUAUAUGAUGCAACCCGAAGGUUUUGUCGAUCCUAAAAAUGCUGACAAGGUGUGCAAGCUCCAGCGAUCCAUUUAUGGACUGGUGCAAGCAUCUCGGAGUUGGAACAAACGCUUUGAUGAGGUGAUCAAAGCAUUUGGGUUUAUACAAGUGGUUGGAGAAUCUUGUAUUUACAAGAAUGUGAGUGGGAGCUUUGUGGCGUUUCUAAUAUUAUAUGUGGAUGACAUAUUACUGAUUGGAAAUAACGUAGAGCUUUUGGAGAGCAUAAAAGGUUACUUGAAUAAAAGUUUCUCUAUGAAGGACCUAGGAGAAGCUGCUUACAUUCUAGGCAUUAAGAUCUAUAGGGAUAGAUCAAAACGCCUGAUAGGACUUUCACAAAGCACAUACCUUGAUAAAGUUUUGAAGAGGUUCAAAAUGGAACAGUCCAAGAAAGGGUUCUUGCCAGUUUUACAAGGUACGAGAUUGAGUAAGACUCAGUGCCCAGCAACUGAUGAAGAUAGAGAGCAUAUGCGCUCCGUCCCCUAUGCUUCAGCCAUAGGUUCUAUCAUGUAUGCGAUGAUGUGCACUAGACCGGAUGUUAGCCUGGCCAUAAGUAUGGCAGGUAGGUUCCAGAGUAAUCCAGGAUUGGAUCACUGGACGGCGGUCAAGAAUAUCCUGAAGUACCUGAAAAGGACUAAGGAGAUGUUUCUCGUGUAUGGAGGUGACGAAGAGCUCGCCGUAAAAGGUUACGUCGAUGCAAGCUUUGACACAGAUCCGGACGACUCUAAGUCGCAAACCGGAUACGUAUUUAUUCUUAAUGGGGGUGCAGUAAGCUGGUGCAGUUCUAAGCAAAGCGUCGUAGCAGAUUCUACAUGUGAAGCGGAGUACAUGGCUGCCUCGAAGGCGGCUAAGGAGGGUGUCUGGAUGAAGUAGUUCAUGACGGAUCUUGGAGUGGUGCCAAGUGCACUGGAUCCAAUAACCUUGUUCUGUGACAACACGGGUGCCAUUGCCUUAGCAAAGGAACCACGGUUUCACAAGAAGACCAGACACAUCAAACGACGCUUCAACCUCAUCCGCGACUACGUUGAGGAAGAGGACGUAAAUAUAUGCAAAGUGCACACGGAUCUGAAUGUAGCAGACCCGCUGACUAAACCUCUUCCACGGCCAAAACAUGAUCGACACCAGAACUGUAUGGGUGUUAGAUUUAUUACAAUGUAAUUCACAUGGUGAUGUGAGGGCUAGAUUAUUGACUCUAGUGCAAGUGGGAGACUGUUGGAAUUAUUCCCUAGAGGCAAUAAUAAAUAUGGUUAUUAUUAUAAUUCCUGUAUCAAGAUAAUAGUUUAUUAUCCAUGCUAUAAUUGUAUUGAAUGAAGACUCAUUUACAUGUGUGGAUACAUAGACAAAACACCGUCCCUAGCAUGCCUCUAGUUGGCUAGCCAGUUGAUCGAUGAUAGUCAGUGUCUUCUGAUUAUGAACAAGGUGUUGUUACUUGAUAACUGGAUCACGUCAUUGGGACAAUCACGUGAUGGACUAGACCCAAACUAAUAGACGUAGCAUGUUGAUCGUGUCAUUUUGUUGCUACUGUUUUCUGCGUGUCAAGUAUUUAUUCCUAUGACCAUGAGAUCAUAUAACUCACUGACACCGGAGGAAUGCUUUGUGUGUAUCAAACGUCGCAACGUAACUGGGUGACUAUAAAGAUGCUCUACAGGUAUCUCCGAAGGUGUUGGUUGAGUUAGUAUGGAUCAAGACUGGGAUUUGUCACUCCGUGUGACGGAGAGGUAUCUCAGGGCCCACUCGGUAAUACAACAUCACACACAAGCCUUGCAAGAAAUGUAACUUAGUGUAAGUUGCGGGAUCUUGUAUUACGGAACGAGUAAAGAGACUUGCCGGUAAACGAGAUUGAAAUAGGUAUGCGGAUACUGACGAUCGAAUCUCGGGCAAGUAACAUACCGAAGGACAAAGGGAAUGACAUACGGGAUUAUACGAAUCCUUGGCACUGAGGUUCAAACGAUAAGAUCUUCGUAGAAUAUGUAGGAUCCAAUAUGGGCAUCCAGGUCCCGCUAUUGGAUAUUGACCGAGGAGUCUCUCAGGUCAUGUCUACAUAGUUCUCGAACCCGUAGGAUCUGCACACUUAAGGUUCGACGUUGUUUUAUGUGUAUUUGAGUUAUAUGGUUGGUUACCGAAUGUUGUUCGGAGUCCCGGAUGAGAUCACGGACGUCACGAGGGUUUCCGGAAUGGUCCGGAAACGAAGAUUGAUAUAUAGGGUGACCUCAUUUGAUUACCGGAAGGUUUUCGGAGUUACCGGGAAUGUACCGGGAAUGACGAAUGGGUUCCGGGAGUUCACCGGGGGGGGGCAACCCACCCCGGGGAAGCCCAUAGGCCUUUGGGGAGACACACCAGCCCUUAGUGGGCUGGUGGGACAGCCCACAAGUGCCCUAUGCGCCAAGGAGAAGAAAAUCAAGAGAGAAAAAAAAAGGAGGAGGUGGGAAGGAAGGGGGACUCCCUCCCACCAAACCUAGUCCAACUCGGUUUGGGGGGGAGAGUCCUCCCCCUUGGCUCGGCCGACCCCCUUGAGGGUCCUUGGACCCCAAGGCAAGGCCCCCUCCCUCCCACCUAUAUAUACGGAGGUUUUAGGGCUGAUUUGAGACGACUUUUCCACGGCAGCCCGACCACAUACCUCCACGGUUUUUCCUCUAGAUCGCGUUUCUGCGGAGCUCGGGCGGAGCCCUGCUGAGACAAGGUCAUCACCAACCUCCGGAGCACCGUCACGCUGCCAAAGAACUCUUCUACCUCUCCAUUUCUCUUGCUGGAUCAAGAAGGCCGAGAUCAUCGUCGAGCUGUACGUGUGCUGAACGCGGAGGUGCCUUCCGUUCGGUACUAGAUCGUGGGAUUGAUCGCGGGAUUGUUCGCGGGGCGGAUCGAGGGACGUGAGGACGUUCCACUACAUCAACCGCGUUCUCUAACGCUUCUGCUGUACGGUCUACAAGGGUAUGUAGAUCACUCAUCCCCUCUCAUAGAUGGACAUCACCAUGAUAGGUCUUCGUGCGCGUAGGAAAAUUUUUGUUUCCCAUGCGACGUUCCCCAACAUACUGAUGAUCAUGUUGCUGUAAAUGUUGUAUGACAAUGUUGUAAAGGGUAGUAAUUGGUCUCUUCAGCUGAUUUUCACAGAUGGAGUUCUUCACGAUUAUACUUGAGAAAUCCUCCAGCAGGCAGGUGCUGCCGGACAAUUUUGUGAAGAUAUUGGACGGCCAUCGGCCACAGAACAUGAAGCUGAGGCAGGCCGGCAACGGGCUUCGCAAGCUGUGGGACGUGGAGGUGGAGUUCGACACCGAUGGAAGCAUGUACCUAGAUCGUGGCUGGAAGCAGUUCGUCCGUGCCUACGACCUGCGGCAUGGGUACUUCCUUGUCUACAGGUACGACGGCAACGCCACGUUCGCCGUGAAGGUGUUCAACACGACUAUGUGUCGGAGGCGCUACCAGGACGACGACGAUGCCAGUAUGCUCUGUCUCUUCUUCCUCUCCAUUAGGCUAUGUCUCACACCCAUUUUUAAAAAAACUUUUUUGCAUUUGGCAAGGCAAUGGGAGCAGGAGCAGCAAGUACUGACAAUGUUGUAAAGGGUAGUAAUUGGUCUCUUCUUCUGCUUUUCAGAGAUGGAGUUCUUCACGAUUAUACUUGAGAAAUCCCCCAGCAGGCAGGUGCUGCCGGACAAUUUUGUGAAGAUGUUGGACGGUCAUCGGCCACAGAACAUGAAGCUGAGGCAGGCCGGCAACGGGCUUCGCAAGCUGUGGGACGUGGAGGUGGCNUUUUCACAGAUGGAGUUCUUCACGAUUAUACUUGAGAAAUCCUCCAGCAGGCAGGUGCUGCCGGACAAUUUUGUGAAGAUAUUGGACGGCCAUCGGCCACAGAACAUGAAGCUGAGGCAGGCCGGCAACGGGCUUCGCAAGCUGUGGGACGUGGAGGUGGGGUUCGACACCGAUGGAAGCAUGUACCUAGAUCGUGGCUGGAAGCAGUUCGUCCGUGCCUACGACCUGCGGCAUGGGUACUUCCUUGUCUACAGGUACGACGGCAACGCCACGUUCGCCGUGAAGGUGUUCAACACGACUAUGUGUCGGAGGCGCUACCAGGACGACGACGAUGCCAGUAUGCUCUGUCUCUUCUUCCUCUCCAUUAGGCUAUGUCUCACACCCAUUUUUAAAAAAACUUUUUUGCAUUUGGCAAGGCAAUGGGAGCAGGAGCAGCAAGUACUGACAAUGUUGUAAAGGGUAGUAAUUGGUCUCUUCUUCUGCUUUUCAGAGAUGGAGUUCUUCACGAUUAUACUUGAGAAAUCCCCCAGCAGGCAGGUGCUGCCGGACAAUUUUGUGAAGAUGUUGGACGGUCAUCGGCCACAGAACAUGAAGCUGAGGCAGGCCGGCAACGGGCUUCGCAAGCUGUGGGACGUGGAGGUGGCGUUCGACACCGAUGGAAGCAUGUACCUAGAUCGUGGCUGGAAGCAGUUCGUCCGUGCCUACGACCUGCGGCACGGGUACUUCCUUGUCUUCAGGUACGACGACAACGCCACGUUCGCCGUGAAGGUGUUCGGCACGACUAUGUGUCGGAGGCGCUACCAGGACAACGACGAUGCCAGUACGCUCUGUCUCUUCUUCCUAUCCAUUAGGCUAUGUCUCACACCCAUUUAAAAAAAAACUUUUUUGCAUUUGGCAAGGCAAUGGGAGCAGGAGCAGGGAGUACUGCGACAGGUGCUAUGUCUACCGCAGCAGCGACUGUGGCUAUAAAAAAGUAGCAACGACUCUGGCUACAGCAAAAGUAGCAGCGACGAUGGCCUCGCCAUGGUGAUCCCAUAGCUGGGCGACAGGGCCAUGCCAAUUCUGAUAGAGGAGUACAUCCAACAGCCUGGCCUGGGGCUUCGCCGCUCUAAGGGCAUCAGGAUGAUGAAGGAGAAGGUGAAGAAGCAGGAGUGAAGAUCUUAAGAACCUGAUGGAGAUUUAAUCUUUAUAGUGUAAACCUUUUAAGUACGAUAGUGUUCAACUGCUACUACACUUUUAAGUAUGAUGGUGGUGUGCCUGAUGAAAUUUUGUGCAUGCUCAUGGAUGCUCAUUGAUGAAAGAUAAAAUUAUUUCUUUUUGUGCUUGCUCAUGGAGGCUCCUUGGUUGAUGUAUAUAACAACCUAAAUUAACCCCUAAACCAGCCCCUUUCAAAAAAACUCAGCUUCAGCCAGGUGCUGACGCGUGGAUGCCUUUUGGUCCCGGUUGGUGACACCAACCGGGACUAAAGGCCCCCCUGCCUGGCCUGGCCGCAGCGGCCACGUGGAGGCCCAUCUGUCCCGGUUGGUGUAAGAACCGGGAGUAAAGGCUGAGGGCAUUAGUAACGACCUUUUAGUCCCGGUUCCAAAACCGGGACAGAAGGCCCUUACGAACCGGGACAAAAGGCCCUUUUUCUACUAGUGUACCCGGAUUUAACCCACGACCAUUGCCAAUGUACCAAGCUCCGACGGCCAAUGCCGGUGAACCCGGGUAAACCCCAAACCUACCUUCUCACCUAUUGAGUCUACGCGCUCAGGCACAUGUUUCUUAACCGCCACGCCUACACAGACUGUCCACGGGACGCAAGUACGCCAUAAUCGGAACACCGCCUUCACCACGUCCUCCAUUCCUUUGACCUAAGGACGAACCCGAGCCCAUGACCUUGUGCAUUGGCUUCGCCAUGCCACCGCAUGUCUAACCAACCAAUCGUGCUACCCCGCCUUCAUGAAGUGAUGCCUGUGAGGGUUAUGAAUUAUGCUAAUGCUACUCGAGGCAUGUCCAUGAUAUCUAUAAUUAUAUUUUUUGCAAGAGUUCACCCAAAGUGUUUCCCCAAAAAACGUGUUAGCUAGAGGAAAUAGAAUAAUUACUAGUUGACUACUUUGUCUAAGUUAACAAUUUUUUUGUUCUUAUCAUCUUGUCCUAACAGGCUUGCAUAUUAAUGAAUGUCUCCUCUACAACUAUGCUAAGUUUUCGUGUGAAUAAAGCGAUGGGCUAUCGAUACAUAUCGACCAUAAGUGAAUCAAAAUAUUCUCAUUAUUUUGGUUUAAACAGUGAGUUCCCUAUGAUAUUGUAUCUUUCUUGAGUAUGAUCAACAUUUAAUCUUGGGAAGUAGAUGAGUGAAUUUUACACUCACUUUUACCCGUGUUUAUACUUGAUAAUUUCAGACUUUCCAAAGAUUGUCACUUUGACUUGCCUAUUUGCGACAACAAAUUGCAAAGAUUGUAAAUCUCUUUGUUUCCUACAUAAAUUAACAUUUUUAGGUGAUGAAUCAAGUCAUAAAAUGGAAAUAAUACGCGUGAAGAUUAAUGCCAAUCAACCAAAGGCAUGUAACCUAACUCCAGAGGUGAAGACGACAUUCGGCAUGACCAUACGCUUGUACCAAUGCUCAUACGAUGCUCCACCGACUUCGUGACGUCAGCACUGACAACUUCCGUGCAAGCACCCUAAGGUUGAUUCACAUAACAUAUAAAUGGGAGAAGAAACCCUUCAACAUGGAGAGUCACUCCAUUCAUCAAGUUCAUCCAUUCGCCACCGUGGUAGCCAUUCCCUUCUACAACAGUCACCACCAUCUCCAUAGUCAUUUCCACUCUCAUAGACUCCGUCUCAAUUAGCCAUUAUACUUGUACUCAACAGUUCAUUACAUUUGGUAGCUGGUUCCUCCGAAGUUUUCCUCGGGAUAGCAGGAGCGAGUUACGAACUCUAUCAGGUAAAGCCAAUUAUUAGAGACAGUAGUCGCCAACCCGUGCAUUCGCACGGUCUAGCAUGAAUACAAUUUUCUAUAUAGGGAAAUAAACAAUAGUUUUUUGUGCUAUGACUUGCCUCCUAUAAAAUAAAAGAACUAAAGCACAUGAAAAAACUAAAGAUACAACUAUACACNNNNNNNNNNNNNNNNNNNNNNNNNNNNNNNNNNNNNNNNNNNNNNNNNNNNNNNNNNNNNNNNNNNNNNNNNNNNNNNNNNNNNNNNNNNNNNNNNNNNNNNNNNNNNNNNNNNNNNNNNNNNNNNNNNNNNNNNNNNNNNNNNNNNNNNNNNNNNNNNNNNNNNNNNNNNNNNNNNNNNNNNNNNNNNNNNNNNNNNNNNNNNNNNNNNNNNNNNNNNNNNNNNNNNNNNNNNNNNNNNNNNNNGUAUUGUAAUUUACUAUAGAAAUAUUUUAUUCUGAUUAUUUUUCUUUAAAUUUUCAUGUAGCGACUGGACAUUAAUUUCCAUUCUCAUUGGGGAAUUAUCAUAUUCCAUAAUUUGUUUGAAAUGUCAUGGUUUGUACUUUAGUUAUAUUUUAUAAUACUUAAACUAAUUAAGUUGUCUUUUUUGAGUUUUCUUUAAUAGUAAACGCUGGUAGUUUCUAACUAUUAUUUCAUGCGGGCUGGGAUAGUUAAAAUUCGAGCAAACUUUUAAUAGGAGUAGUGAAAUAUAGUAAUAGACGGUAUAUGUUUGAUAUAAUUUAAUGAUACUGCACAGUAUUCUUCUGGAAAAAGUCUAAAUAAUAUUCGCUAAUAAUUAAUGGUCGUACAAUCUUCUUACAUAUAAAUUUGGUUAUACGGACCAGUGGCAUUAUCUUAUGCUUUUUUUACUAAAUAUUGCAAAUUUGACUUUGUGCUAAUCACUAAUUCUAAAUUAUUUAGUUGGAAAAGCAAGUUACAGAUACUGGAAUAAACAUUCUCUAACUUCAUAAGUUUAUCCACUAAAAUGCUUAAAGUUUUCCCUAAAUAUACAAAAUACAAUCUACAAAUAAGAAUAGGGCCUUUUAUAUAUUUGCAUGAUCUGAAAAGAGCAAGCUCAGCCAUAAAAGAGCAUAAGUAGGAAAGGCAUUGUGUUCAGUAGUACAUGGUUGGAAACAGCGGAGGGAGAUGGUACCAAACGUUUAUUGAGGAUGGCAUUGCAAAUAUAUAGAAACUAUAUGAACCAUCGGUUACUCCUAUUUUCUUAUCGUUUGGACCGGAAAAACUCUUCCGAUACAUACUAAACCAUUUAAGAAUUGUAACUGUAAUCAAUUCGGUGAACCAAGGCAGAUGGAUUUUAAUUUUUUUCCAAAAACAUUUAAAAGGAUGAACCAAUAAUUCAGUCCAUGCUCUAAACAUGAGUUCCAAGCGCCACAUACAUACCCCUUGGCCCUUGAUCCCUCUUUUUGCCCUAUGCCUCGUUGUAUUUUCUUGCUCACAGUCUCGCCCCACAUCUAGAACUCUUUCACCGCGACCUCUGCCUUCUCAUCUUUUCCUCCUUUCUUUCGCUUGAAGCCUUUGUGGCCACCAGAAUUCAUGCUUCUCCUAUGUUUCGAGUCUCCAUCUUUCCUUAGCUAGCCAUUCAUGUGUCAAAAGAUUGGUCGGAUAGGAAAACAGACGCACGUACAUGGACUGGCCCGGGAAUUCAUGAUUUUGAUAAUAAUUAGUUAGAGGGAAAUACUCAUGUAGCAGCUCUUUGGUCCAGAGAUCGCAUAUGACUCAAAUAAAGUAGAGAGCAGAUUGGUUAAGUCAAGAACUGGAAACUUAAUGCAAAACACACAUUUAAUUAAUUCUAGAUCUGACAUGAUAUUGUACCCAUCAUCAUCUGCAUGUACCCGUGUAUUUGUACAAUCUAUUGGGCUGUUGCCUUACAGAAAUUUCUGCUGCAAUUUUCCUUCAGGUACAGGAAUUGAGUGUCUAAUAUUAACUCUUUCCCAAUCUCUUAUUACUGGCAGCUGUAUGUAACUAAUAUUGUACACAAAUAUAUCUCCAAGCAACCACAUCACGCCGUAUCAUAUCUCUUGCGAUGUUGACCUGUUGUUAUCUUUUGAAUCCACCUCUUGGUAAACCUGCUUUCACAUUAACUACAAGAAAUCAAUGCUGUUUUACUUUCCUAUUUUCACCUUUCAUGUUCUCCAUGUCCUGUGUCAAGUUGUCUUUUUCUGCGCUUUCUUCAGCACCAUAUACAUCGUAUCCUAGUCCUCGACCGCGACUGAAACUUCCGAUACAAGUGAUAGCAAUACUCAGAUUUUAGAUCAAUCUUGUAUGGGGAUUUUAAAUUUUGGAAAACACAUCAAAUUAACAGUAGCAUCAAACCAGUAGUCAACCAACAUGUGUACUUUUUGAAUCACGUUCUUUAGUUAGAUAUGUAUGGCGUCGCUAUCAUCUUUCUUCAGCACCGUCACUAGUGGGGACAGGGCCUAUAGCCCCGGCCCGUAAGGGGCUUUAGUCCCGGUUCACCAACCGGGACUAAAGGGGUGGAACUAAAGGCCUAACCUUUAGUCCCGGCACUGUUCCAAGUCGGGACCAAAGGUGCUCCACGUGGGCGCCUCGGAGCGCCCUCAGGGGCAGGCCCUUUAGUCCCGGGUCUUAACACGGACCGGGACUAAAGAGUUUCUGCAGAUUUUGUUGAUUUUGGGGUUUUAGGGUUUUAGGGUUUAGGUGUUCGGGAGAUUAACGUGAUGCCUCGUUUGGUGUUCGGGAAUUAGUUUUCAUAUAAUUCUAAAUAGAAAUAAUUAUGCAUAUAUAUAUAAGAUUAACUUAUCUUACAAGCGAGCAUAUAUAUACAAUUAUAUGGAGAUCUGAAUUAUCGGGACUAGAGCCCGUCUAUUCGAUUACAUGGACCAACAUCAGUAAUGGGCCCUAGAUACACUAAAUCGUCCUUUGUCAUCUAUAGCUUCCGUCCUCAGAAAGGUCGCAAGCUCCUCUGCAACAGCAAUCGCGCGUUGCUCUGGUAGGGACUUCUCCCUCAUGGCCGUGUACUAUAUAAGAAGAGGAGAUGAAUAUGAAUAUCAAUCAUGAUAACAAAGAAUGACGGGUAAAAAUAGAGGUGUGAAUGUUCAUUGCUUACGUCGUAUCUGUGAUCCUUGUGCUCAGAGGUAAACGUGUGAAUGGUCUCGCAAACAUAGUAUCCGCAUAGAUGCGUCCCCCGUGGCUGCUGGUCGCACUUUACGAGAAUAGAAUAUAUAUAAUCAAAAUAAUAAUCUAGCAUCAUAAAUGUAUUGAAAAUAGAAGUAUAUCAUACUACUACUUACCUGAGCCGCUCUAAAGGUCAGCUUCUCAGGCUCGAUACCGGGAGUCACGCACUUGAACCGCUUCCAAACCCUGCCCGAUAAGGAAAAUGAUUUGCUAAGUUUUUCAUUAAUUGAUAUAUCAGAAAAUCAUCAAAAGAGACCGAUAGAGCGCAAGAAUGAUUGAAAUUACCCUUGGAGCAUGUCCUGCAGACUUUGGAACUGUUCCAAGGGUCUCGAUAAUGGGUCAAAGGCAUCAACUCUUCCCUUAUCAAUUUGAAUGUCCAACAGAAUCCAAUGGAAGCUGCACAUGUAUAUAUAUAUAUANNNNNNNNNNNNNNNNNNNNNNNNNNNNNNNNNNNNNNNNUGUGUGUCAGUAUCUUAUCAAUUACACUUAUAAGUGAAUGGACACAACAGAGUAAAGACCCUCACCUGAAGUUGUAUGGAAACAGUAUGUGGUCACAGAAAUUUUGAUCUGUUAGAAACCUUAGAAGGUUUUCCUCCGUCUCCUUGGGUUUAUCAGUUAGCGUCGCUAUAUGUAUUUUAUCUGGGUCAAUAAACCCAAUAUUUAGGAUAUUCCUAUUUUUACAUUUCAGAAUCUUCAUUCUGCAUAAUAGAGUACAAGUUAUAUGUAGACAAUGAAUUGAAAUAACUAAACAAGUUAUAUGUAGACAAUGAAUUGAAAAACUUACAGACAAUAGAAACUCAUAAGGGAUUUGUCGAGGGCGUCGGCAUUGUACAUCCGGAAGAGUUCAUCAAAGUCGAUAUGGAUUUAUUCGGGGCGGUCGUAGUACUUCCGUGGGACACUCACCACGAUCAUCGUUCUCCCAUUCUUUGAUUCACUUAAGUACCAUCUAUGCAAGUAACGCAUAUUUGUUGGGAGAUCAUCUUUGCUGACCAAAGGCGCUCCCAUGAGAAACUGCGGCUUAGGGGCUAACACAGCCUUGGGUAACCUGUCGUCUUGGGAAGCCAGAACGUCUUCAACCGGGAUACCCCAUUCAUCCGCCCACUUCUUUGCUAAUUCCAAAUCUUGCCCCUGCACCAUAGGGGGGACAUUCUCGGGUAACACCCUGAGGGGUGGGAUCGACUGUUUGGCCUGUUGUCCAAGCUGAGGAACGUCUGAUCUUUUUUUGCGUGUAGUUGAACUUGAUUUGCUCCCACUUGCACUUGCACGUGAUCUGCUCUUUUUCACUUCCUUCUGCAAUGUGUGUGUAUAGUCAUCAGGCUUAUGGUGUAAGUCAUACUGUGAUGGAAGGUUCGUGAAGUAUUUUGCAUAUGCUAUUUGCUUCUCGGUGUAUUCCGGGCGGGGCUCGGGUUCCUUCUUUUUCAUCUGCGCAUCAUGAUGUUCCUUUGCUAUCCUGGCGUUUUCCUCGGCGGUACGAUCAUAAGGUCUGAUAGGAAGAUUAGCAUGAGGUACCUUUGGGAGGGGCGACAAUUUGCGCUUUGGGGAGCUCCGUCGCUUAGAAAUCAUCGACGGAGCGCUCUUGCUGGCACGCUUCCGCUUAGUAUCCGGAGCGGGCGGCGGCGGAGACGGACGACCCAAGUCCGGCGGCGGUGAUCGAGAUGGACUCGUGUUGUGCUGGCCAUCGUCAUGUGGAGGGCUUGGAGGUGAUGGAGGUGUAGGUGACCUGCGACGACUCGGAGGCGGUGUUGUCCUUGGGGCCGAGCCUGGAAGCUUGAUGUAGUUCUUGUCCCAUAGGAUGACUCCACCCAAUACUUCUCCGAGUGUCCUCUCAUCUUCGGGUCCAGCUAUGUCGAGCUCCAUAUCAUGAAACCCCGCCAUGAUUUCAUCCACCCCGACUUUAGCAAAGCCAGCUGGAAUCUCACGGCCAUGCCAGCGUGCAUCACGGCCAGAAGGUAAAGCUUGUCCGACGGCCACCUUCAUGGAUAUGUUCUUGAAUUUCUAAUGGAGUUCACAUGAUGUUGACUCCUUGAUUCCAUCCACGGGGUAGCCGGGACCGCCCUCUAUCAUUCUUCGUGCAUCGUCGGGCGGGGCCUCAGAUUCAGCCACGCUGCUUUUCCGCUUAGAUGGGGCGCCGGUAAUAUCGAGUGCAGGAUCUUCCUGGCGCGCUACUCCUCUAAGCUCAUCAAUCUGCUUCUGUUGCUCGUUAAUCCUGGCAAGCAACUGGUUGAACUUGUCAUUCUCCUCAUCCUGCUGUCGCUUAUUUGCUCUCGCUCGGCUUCUGUAAGUGUCUUGGUCUCUGGCAAACCCAAGCCACCACGGGUAAGAAGGACCGAAGCCUCGCGUUCGUCCUCCAUGUUCGUCAUUGCCGAGGACCAGUGUGAGCAAAUCUUUCUCUCUAUCUGCAGUGAACUGUAUUUUUCCCUCCUUAAUUUCUUUCACUAUCUUUUUUCAAUUCUCCCUGGGUAUCCUAAGACCGUCACUGCAGAUGAGGUCCCCUAUUUCUUCGUCGUACGAACCACCAUGCGCAAGGAACCAAUUUCUUGCUCUCAAUUCCCACUCAUCACGGAGUGGUUCAGGUAUGAUGCCUUUAGCUAGCAGAUCUUGCUCUUUCUUAUCCCACUUUGGGAUGGCAGUCUCAUAGCCCCCUGGCCCCAGCUUGUGGUGAUAUUUCUUCUUGUCGGCAUUUUUCUUGUUCUUUUCUGAUAAUGCCUGGGCAUCUUCUGACUCCUUGUACUCUUGAAAUGCCUUCCAGUGAUUCGCCUGCUUGGCUAGAUACCCCUCGAAUACUGGCACUUUCUUUGUCUUCAGAUAGUUUUUCCAUAGCUGCUUCUUCCAGCUACGGAACAGUUCGGCCAUCUUCUUUAGAGUCCACUGCUUGACUUUGGCCCUCAGUUUUUUUGCGGCGUCUUCAUUCUCACAUUCUGGCAGGUUGAAAUGUGACAUGAGAUCAUUCCAAAUAUUAUCUUUGUACCUUUCGGCGAAAUAGUCACUAUCGGCUGCCCCUUUGCGCUUGUUCCACUCCCAAACGGUGAUCGGGACGUGAUCCCUAACGAGAACUCCGCAUUGCUUCUUGAAUGUGUCAGCAGCAUUCUUAGGAAGCUUGGGUUCGCCCGUAGGCAAUAUCACCUCAAAGUUGUAAUGCGUCCGUGCAUCCAACUUUCUAGUCGGGCCUCGUUUCGUAGCUUUGCUCGAUGUGGAGGCCUAAGAGGGAGAAACAUUCGUUAAAUGAAUGUAUAUGUAUACAAUAUAGAGCUAUCUCCAAUAUUUUUUACAUAUUACAAGUGAUUGUCGAACUUCAUAUGUAUACCUCGCCGGACUUUAUUAUUUCUCCACCGGCUUCUCCAUCAGUGGAGCUAUCACCUUCUCCGUCAUUGGACCUAUCUCCUGCCCCAUCGGCUUCAUCUUCGUGUCGGUCGACCUCCAUUCCAUAUCCGGAGGGGUUUAGAUAUGACGACGGAGAUUCAGCUGGUUCAACGUCGGGGUCGUCUUUGAUUAUAUCUUCGAGAAGUUCUUCCUCUUCGAGGUUCCUGAUAUGUGGAUCCAUAGUUCUGCAAAAACAGACAUUUCAUUAACUAAUAAACUAACAAACUAUAUAAGAGGGGUUGGAAACUUCGAAGUGUUGUUUUAUAUAGGAGGACCUUUAGUCCCGGGUCUUGGCUAGAACCUAAACUCUAAAAUGUGUCUAACGGAUUCUCUUAACCUUUAAGGAUUUAACAAAAUGGCGACAUUCUAGAUGUGUAGAAAAUGAUCAUAUUUUCCUGAUCUCAUCUACCCUUCUAUAUGUCACAUUGUCUAGUGUCAAAGGACUUUGUUGAACUUUGUACCAAAAAAGAAUUAUUCUAUCAGGAACUCCGUUCCAAAACAACUUUAGUCCCGGGUCGUGGCUCCACCCGGGACUCCUAGAUUUCUGCAUAGUAUUCAAAGUAGGAGUACUUUUCCAAUUUGAGCAUUCAAUAAGCAAAACCAAAUCAUAAAAUAAAGUAGUAUUCAAAUUAGCAUGCAUUCAAUUAUAAGCAAAACUACAUCAUCUCUUUUGUCCGUACAUCGUCGAAUAUUAUCACUAAUACUCCUCGAAUACUAUCAUACAUAUAGCAUCACUGAUACAGCUAGAACCGUAGCGCCCGACGGGUAUCGUCGCGGGCGGUGGACACCCAAAGAGAAGGAACCAUCACAGGAUCAUAGCUCCAGUGAGAUCCCUGAAGAACCUGCCAGGUAUGCUCGAACCUGCCCUCCAACGCAACCAUGUAGCGACGGACGUGCUCAUCCUCCUCGCUGAGAUGGUAACGUACCACCUCCGCGGUGUCCGGAAGCCUCGGCACCGUCACUGGCCCACGCGACCGCUACCAAACAAGGAUCGGGUCAACAACGGGCUGGCUCCUCACCAACCUACGCCCCCCGGAAGGUAGCACCUCCCAAUACCAGCCGGGCGGAGCCCAGUCCCGGACAAGGCCCCUCUGAUCAAGCAGGUGUGCUCCGCCGAGUCGACUACGAGGAUGCGGGAUAGGCAUCGUAAAAUGAACUAAAAAAAUAAACUAGUUCUAUUAAUUUUCUUGCUAAAAAUAAACUAAUUGUAUAUAUAUAGUAAAAUAAACUAUUAACACUUAAGCAUAUGCAAUGGCAAAAUUAAGCAAUAAUCUAAGAAACACUAAUUAAGCAUCUAUAUACGUAGAAAUGUCUUCNNNNNNNNNNNNNNNNNNNNNNNNNNNNNNNNNNNNNNNNNNNNNNNNNNNNNNNNNNNNNNNNNNNNNNNNNNNNNNNNNNNNNNNNNNNNNNNNNNNNNNNNNNNNNNNNNNNNNNNNNNNNNNNNNNNNNNNNNNNNNNNNNNNNNNNNNNNNNNNNNNNNNNNNNNNNNNNNNNNNNNNNNNNNNNNNNNNNNNNNNNNNNNNNNNNNNNNNUUCGUAUGUGGGGAGGAGGAGGGGGCGGGGGGCUUACCGGAGUGGGCAGGGCGACGGCGCCGGUGAGGAGGACGGCGAGGAAGACGGCAGGGCGACGAGGAGGCCGGCGAGGAGGACGACGAGGAGGCUGGCGAAGAGGACGGUAGGGCGACGGCGGGCAGCCUGGCGGCGUCGAUGCGGGCAGUCCGUUGCCGCGCCGGGCAGGAGAUGCGAGCGAGAGGAAGAAGAGAACGAAAUGGAUUUUCGUCCGUGCCGUAUAUAUAGUAGGAUCUUUAGUCCCGGUUCGAGAGACACCCUUUAGUCCCGGGUCGUGGCUCCACCCGGGACUAAAGGCCCUUUUUCGGCAGACCAAAAGGCGGGAAGCAGGGGCCUUUAGUCCCGGGUCGGGGCUCGAGCCAGGACUAAAGACAUCCUUUAGUCCCGGGUGGAGCCACGACCCGGGACUAAAGGCCCGUGCUCGGCACGCGGCAGGCGAGGGGCUUUAGUCCCGGGUCGUGGCUCCACCCGGGACUAAAGCCCCUCCGCUGGCUGCACGAUAAGUUUAGUCCCACCUCGUCCAGCGAGGGGGACUAACACUUGUUUAUGAGCCCCGUCGCAGCAUCUCCAUCGAGCUCCUCUCUAAAGCAGGCUUACGGGCCUAAACUGACUGUAAAUUUAAAAAUUUCAACUAUAUUUGAAAUUAUGGAGAAAAUUAAACCUGAAUUCAAAGUGAGGUCACUUUGAAUUUAGGUUUAAUUUUCUCUAUAAAUUCUCAUAUAGUUUCAAUUUUUUUCUAUUUUCAAAAUUAACUAUUUUGUUAUAUUCAAUUAAAAACUAUGUUUAUUAAAAUUCUUUUUGCAUAUUUGAGAAUUUGACAAAACUAUGAUAAUGAAAAGUGUUUGAAAUUCAAUAAAUAAUUCAAAACUAUUUUCUAUUUUCAAAAUUAAUUAUUUUGACUAUCCAAACUAUUAAUUAUUUUGUUAUUUUCAAUUAAAAACUAUGUUUAUUAAAAUUCGUUUUUGCAUAUUUGAGAAUUUGACAAAACUAUGAUAAUGAAAAGUGUUUGAAAUUGAAUAAAUAAUUCAAAAUUAUUUUCUAUUUUCAAAAUUAAUUUUUUGACUAUCCAAACUAUUAACUAUUUUGUUAUUUUCAAUUAAAAACUAUGUUUAUGAAAAUUCUUUUUGCAUAUUUGAGAAUUUGACAAAACUAUGAUAAUGAAAAGUGUUUGAAAUUGAAUAAAUAAUUCAAAACUAUUUUCUAUUUUCAAAAUUAAUUAUUUUGACUAUCCAAACAAUUAACUAUUUUGUUAUUUUCAAUUAAAAACUACGUUUAUUAAAAUUCUUUUUGCAUAUUUAAGAAUUUGACAAAACUAUGAUAAUGAAAAGUGUUUGAAAUUGAAUAAAUAAUUCAAAACUAUUUUCUAUUUUCAAAAUUAAUUAUUUUGACUAUCCAAACUAUUAACUAUUUUGUUAUUUUAAAUUAAAAACUAUGUUUAUUAAAAUUAUUUUUGCAUAUUUGAGAAUUUGACAAAAUUAUGAUAAUGAAAAGUGUUUGAAAUUGAAUAAAACAUUUGGUAUUCUUCGUGCAUUUACUUAUUUUUUUUGAGCUAGUUGACCCUGAAAUUGAAAAGCACUACAAAUGAACUCUCAAAAUGUUGAAAGUUGGCAUGCUAUCAUCAUUUCACCCACAUAGCAUGUGUUAAAAAGUUGAGAUGGCUACGACAAAAACUGGAUGCACUUCGUGUACAAAACGGACAAUCUCUCUCGAAGUAUCAGCGUUUCGAACGAGAACUCAUCUCUUACAAAGGGAUUUCAUUUUUUGAACUUAUUUGAACUCCAUAAUUUUUGUGUGUUCAAAAUGCACCAUUCAAAGGCACAUCACAAAAUUUCAACAAUUUCUGACUUCAUUUGGUAUUCUUCGUGCAUUGACUUAUUUUUUUGAGCUAGUUGACCCUGAAAUUGAAAAGAACUACAAAUAAACUCUGAAAAUGUUGAAAGUUGGCAUGCUAUCAUCAUUUCACCCACAUAGCAUGUGUUAAAAAUUUGAGAGGCUACGAGAAAAACUGGAUGCACUUCGUGUACAAAACGGACAAUCUCUCUCGAAGUAUCAGCGUUUCUAACGAGAACUCAUCUCUUACAAAGGGAUUUCAUUUUUUUGAACUUAUUUGAACUCCAUACUUUUUGUGUGUUCAAAAUGCACCAUUCAAAGGCAUAUCACAAAAUUUCAACAAUUUCUGACUUCAUUUGGUAUUCUUCGUGCAUUUACUUAUUUUUUUUGAGCUAGUUAACCCUGAAAUUGAAAAGCACUACAAAUGAACUCUGAAAAUGUUGAAAGUUGGCAUGCUAUCAUCAUUUCACCCACAUAGCAUGUGUUAAAAAGUUGAGAGGGCUACAACAAAAACUGGAUGCACUUCCUGUACAAAACGGACAAUCUCUCUCGAAAUAUCAGCGUUUCGAACGAGAACUCAUCUCUUACAAAUGAAUUUCAUUUUUGAACUUAUUUGAACUCCAUACUUUUUGUGUGUUCAAAAUGCACCAUUCAAAGGCACAUCACAAAAUUUCAACAAUUUCUGACUUCAUUUGGUAUCCUUCGUGCAUUUACUUAUUUUUUUUGAGCUAGUUAACCCUGAACUUGAAAAGCACUACAAAUGAACUCUGAAAAUGUUGAAAGUUGGCAUGCUAUCAUCAUUUCAUCCACAUAGCAUGUGUUAAAAAGUUGAGAGGGCUACGACAAAAACUAGAUGCACUUCGUGUACAAAACGGACAAUCUCUCUCGAAGUAUCACCGUUUCGAACGAGAACUCAUCUCUUACAAAGGGAUUUCAUUUUUUUGAACUUAUUUGAACUCCAUACUUUUUGUAUGUUCAAAAUGCACCAUUCAAAGGCACAUCACAAAAUUUCAACAAUUUCUGACUUCAUUUGGUAUUCUUCGUGCAUUUACUUAUUUGUUUUUGAGCUAGUUGACCCUGAAAUUGAAAAGCACUACAAAUGAACUCUGAAAAUGUUGAAAGUUGGCAUGCUAUCAUCAUUUCACCACAUAGCAUGUGUUAAAAAGUUGAGAGGGCUACGACAAAAACUGGAUGCACUUCGUGUACAAAACGGACAAUCCCUCUCGAAGUAUCAGCGUUUCGAACGAGAACUCAUCUCUUACAAAGGAUUUCAUUUUUUGAACUUAUUUGAACUCCAUACUUUUUGUGUGUUCAAAAUGCACCAUUCAAAGGCACAUCACAAAAUUUCAACAAUUUCUGACUUCAUUUGGUAUUCUUCGUGCAUUUACGUAUUUUUUUUGAGCUAGUUGACCCUGAAAUUGAAAAGCACUACAAAUGAACUCUGAAAAUGUUGAAAGUUGACAUGCUAUCAUAAUUUCACCCACAUAGCAUGUGUUAAAAAGUUGAGAGGGCUACGACAAAAAAUGGAUGCACUUCGUGUACAAAACGGACAAUCUCUCUCGAAGUAUCAGGGUUUCGAACGAGAACUCAUCUCUUACAAAGGGAUUUCAUUUUUUGAACUUAUUUGAACUCCAUACUUUUUGUGUGUUAAAAAUGCACCAUGCAAAGGCACAUCACAAAAAUUCAACAAUUUCUGACUUCAUUUGGUAUUCUUCGUGCAUUUACUUAUUUUUUUUGAGCUAGUUAACCCUGAACUUGAAAAGCACUACAAAUGAACUCUGAAAAUGUUGAAAGUUGGCAUGCUAUCAUCAUUUCAUCCACAUAGCAUGUGUUAAAAAGUUGAGAGGGCUACGACAAAAACUGGAUGCACUUCGUGUACAAAAUGGACAAUCUCUCUCGAAGUAUCAGCGUUUCGAACGAGAACUCAUCUCUUACAAAGGGAUUUCAAUUUUUUGAACUUAUUUGAACUCCAUACUCUUUGUGUGUUCAAAAUGCACCAUUCAAAGGCACAUCACAAAAUUUCAACAAUUUCUGACUUCAUUUAGUAUAUUUCGUGCAUUUACUUUUUUUUUUGAGCUAGUUGACCCUGAAAUUGAAAAGCACUACAAAUGAACUGUGAAAAUGUUGAAAGUUGGCAUGCUAUCAUCACUUCACCCACAUAGGAUGUGUUAAAAAGUUGAGAGGGCUACGACAAAAAUUGGAUGCACUUCGUGUACAAAACGGACAAUCUCUCUCGAACUAUCAGCGUUUCGAACGAGAACUCAUCUCUUACAAAGGUUUAUUAAAAUUCUUUUUGCAUAUUUGAGAAUUUGACAAAACUAUGAAAAUGAAAAGUGUUUGAAAUUGAAUAAAUAAUUCAAAACUAAAAGGUUUAGUACAUUCCAUACAUGCAUUACAUAAAAGGUUUAAUACAUUAUUACAUUAUUGCACCAAUAUUCCUAUCUAUUAUUUCUGUUUUCUUCUAGGUCGUAGCCAUGGAGAAUCUUCAUCAUUCAGUAGGAUGCUUGGGUCAGUUUUCACUUUGAAGGGCGGAAUUUCAUGGAACUUAUUAUAAUCUACUCACAUGUCUGUCUUGUCAUCUACUCCCACGAUGUUUCUUUUCCCUGAAAGAACUAUGUGGCGUUUUGGCUCAUGGGACGAUAUCUUCUUUUGCUGAUUUCUUUUUCUCGUUUUUGUAGACAUGUCCUUCACAUAGAAAACCUGAGCGACAUCAUUGGCUAGGACAAAUGGUUCGUCCAUGUACGCAAGAUUGUUGAGAUCCACUGUUGUCAUGCGUACUUUUGAUAUACAACUACCCCGCCUCCUGUCAGCUUCACCCAUUUGCACCGAAACAAAGGGAUCUUAAAAGUAGGUCCAUAGUCAAGUUCCCAUAUCUCCUCUAUGUACCCGUAAUAUGUUUCCAAACAGUGUCCAUUCUCGUCUGUUGCAUCAAAGCGGACACCACUAUUUUGGUUGGUGCUCUUUUUAUCUUGGGCAACCGUGUAAAAUGUAUUCCCAUUUAUCUCAUACCCUUGGAAAGUACAUAUAGUCGAAGAUGGUGGCCUGGCCAAACAGUACAGCUGAUCUCCAAGGGUGUCGUCAUUCAUGAGAUGUGUCUGCAACCAACUGCCAAAAGUCUUCUCGUGUUCCCCUUUAAUCCAAGAGUCAGCCUUCCCCGGGUUUUCGGAGCGUAGAAUAUUCUUGUGUCUCACGAUAUACGGAGCCACCACGGUGGAAUUGUGUAGAAGUGUGUAGUGUGCUUGAGAGAAAGAAUGCCCAUCGAUACAUACUUUUGCUUUCCUUCCUAGUGUGCCUUUUCCUGUCAGCCUACCCUCAUACCGAGAUUCAGGAACACCAAUCGUCUUAAGGUCAGGAAGAAAGUCCACACAAAACUCAAUGACCUCCUCUGUUCCAUAGCCCUUGGAGAUGCUUCCUUCUGGCCUAGCACGGUUACGAACAUAUUUCUUUAAGACUCCCAUGAACCUCUCGAAGGGGAACAUAUUGUGUAGAAACACAGGACCGAGAAUUCUAAUCUCUUCGACUAGGUGAACUAGGAGGUGUGUCAUUAUAUUGAAGAAGGAUGGCUGGAACAACAACUCAAAGCUGACCAGACAUUGGACCACAUCAAUCUGUAACCCUGAUAGACUUUCUCGAUCGAUUACCUUCUGAGAAAUUGCACUGAGGAAUGCACAUACCUUCACAAUUGUCAAGCGAACAUUUUCCGGUAGAAUUCCCCUCAAUGCAACCGGAAUAAAUUGCAUCAUAAGCACGUGGCAGUCAUGAGACUUUAGGUUUUGGAAUUUUUUGUCUUUCAUAUUUACGAUUCCCUUUAUAUUCGACGAGAAGCCAGUCGGGACCUUGAUACUGAAAAGGACUUCAAAGAAGAUUUCCUUCUCUUCCUUAGUAAGAGCGUAGCUGGCACGCCCUUGAAACUGCCCUGGAUGCAUGCCAUCUCUUCCUUUAUGACGUUCCUGGUCCUCCCGUGCUUCCGGUGUAUCUUUUGACUUCCCAUACAAGCCCAGGAAGCCUAGAAUAUUCACGCAGAGAUUCUUCGUCAGGUGCAUCACGUCGAUUGCCGAGCGGACCUCAUGGACUUCCCAGUAGGGUAGCUCCCAAAAUAUAGAUUUCUUCUUCCACAUGGGUACGCGCUUAUCAGGGCCGUUAGGAAUAGGUUGGCUGCCAGGACCCUUUCCAGAGAUUACUUUUAAAUCUUUGACCAUAUCAAAUACUUGAGCACCAGUAUGGAUGACAGGCUUCCCCCGGGGUUCUGCCUUGCCAUUGAAAUGCUUGCCUUUUUUCUUUAAGGGAUGCUUGGGCGGAAGAAAACGACGAUUGUACGGGUACACAUUCUUCCUACAUUUGUCCAGAUAUAUACUUUCUGUCUGACCCAAACAGUGCGUGCAUGCAUUGUAUCCCUUGUUUGACUGUCCUGAAAUGUUACUAAGAGCAGGACAAUCAUUGAUGGUUACGAAAAGCAACGCUCAAAGGUCAAAUUCCUCUUGUUUGUGCUCGUCCCACACACGUACACCUGGUUCGGCCCACAACUGUAAAAGUUCAUCAACUAAUGGCCUUAGGUACACAUCAAUAUCGUUGCCGGGUUGCUUUGGACCUUGGAUAAGCACUGGCAUCAUAAUGAACUUUCGCUUCAUCCACAACCAAGGAGGAAGGUUGUAGAUACAUAGAGUAACGGGCCAGUUGUUGUGACUGCAACUCUGCUCCCCAAAAGGAUUCAUGCCAUCUGUACUCACACCUAACCAUAAGUUCCUUGCGUCAGCUGCAAAUCUCGGGAACUCUCUCUCGAUUUUUCUCCACUGUCGACCAUCAGCGGUGUGCCUCAACUUAUCGUCUUUCAUACGAUCUUCCAUGUGCCAUCGCAACAACUUCGCAUGAUCUUUAUUUCUAAACAGACGUUUCAACCGUGGUAUUAUAGGAGCAUACCACAUCACCUUGGCAGGAACCCUCUUCCUGGGUGGCUCGCCCUCAAUAUCACCAGGGUCAUCUUUUCUGAUCUUAUACCGCAAUGCAGUGCAUACCGGGCAUUUAUCCAUAUUCUCGUACUUCUCACCGCGGUAGAGGAUGCAGUCAUUAGGGCAUGCAUGUAUCUUCUGCACGUCUAAUCCUAGAGGGCAGACAAGCUUCUUUGCUUCGUACGUGCUGGCGGGCAAUUCGUUCUUUUUGGAAGCAUCUUCUUCAUCAGUACCAGAACCUUUUCGAAUGACGAGUCAGUCACACUGAUCUCUGCCUUCCACUUCAGCAAUUCCAGUGUGCUACCCAGCUUCUUCUGGCCAUCUUCACAAGUUGGGUACAACAAUUUGUUGUGGUCCUGUAACAUCUGCUCGAACUGCAACCUCUCCUUUUCUGUGUCGCAACCUCGCCGUGCUCAGAAAUGACCCGGCCAAGAUCAUCAGCGGCUCAUCUGAUUCCCGUUCUUCAUCCUGAUCUUCUUCUUCAUUGUCUUCCAUUGCGGUAUCAUCAUACUCAGGGAACAUAGAUCGGUAGUUGUCAUCAUCGUUCUCUUCUUCUUCAUCGUCGUCUUCCAUCAUAACCCCUCUUUCUCUAUGCUUGGUCCAAACAUUAUAGCCCGACAUAAAACCGGACCGAAGCAGGUGGCUCUGAAUGACUCUUGAGGAAGUGUAAUCCUUCUCAUUCCGACAUUCAACACAUGGACAAAACAUAUAGCCACCACCAUGCUUGUUCGCAUCGGAUGCAUCUCGAAAAGAAUGCACGCCUUCUCUGUAAGCGGCUGUGCGUCGAUCACCGUACAUCCAUGGAUGGCUCAUCUGCGUUAUACGACAGUAUAUCAAAUACAAUCACGAUCCUAAAAAUUAGUACCGCACGGUCUAAACGAGGAAAUAUAGUUGCUAACCUUUUAGAAUAAGUAGAAAUAAAGAGGAAGAGGUUUAAGCGUGGCUCGGGCAUCUCAUAUCGUAGUUGUGUUCGGUGAACUGAAGCGGCAUCGCUCUAACACACAUUUCAACAAACACCUCUAGUGCAUCAAAAAAUGGAGAGCUAGCACACACCCACGCUCUUUCAUCCAAGAAAAAUGCAAGGAAGAGGGGAGAGGGGGGCUGUGCUAUAUAUAUAGGCAGAGGACUUUAGUCCCGGUUUGAGACACAAACCGGGACUAAAGGUGGCGCACAUGCGGGUUGCACACCGCAUAGCCCUUUAGUCCCGGUUUGAGACACAAACCGGGACUAAAGGCUCCUUACGGGCCGGGACCAAAGCCUCGUGGGCGGCAUUACGAUUUGGGGCGACGUGGCCGGGCCUUUAGUCCCGUCCCAAAGGGAGGCCGGGACUAAAGGGUCCUGGCCAAAGGCCCGUUUUCCACUAGUGCAUAUAUAAGACCGGGACUAAAGGGUCCAGGCCAAAGGCCCGUUUUCCACUAGUGCAUAUAUACCAUAUUUUCCUCCUCCACCGUGAUGGAAACUUCCAAUGCAGAUGAUAUUAUUAUACAUAUUUUAAAACAUCCUGUAUGCGGAUUUUUAAUUCUAGAAAACAAAUCAUUUUUAAUUCUGGAAAACACAUCAAAUUAACAGUAGCAUCAAACCAGCAGUCAACCAACAUUGUACUUUUUGAAUCACGUUCUUUAGUUAGAUAUGUAAUGGGGUCGCUAUCAUCUUUCCUCAGCACCAUAUAUACCAUAUUUUCCUCCUCCACCGUGACGAAAACUUCCAAUGCAGAUGAUGUUAUUAUACAUACUCCCUCCGUCCCAAAAUAACUGUCUCAACUUUGUACUAGCUUUAAUACAAAAUUAUACUAAGCUCAAGACAUUUAUUUUGGGACGGAGGGAGUAUUUUAGAACAUCCUGUAUGCGGAUUUUUAAUUCUAGAAAACAAAUCAAAUUAACAUUGACAUCAAACUAGCAGUCAACCAUCAUGUACGCUAUAAGAAUUACCUUCUUUCAUCCACAUGUCUAGUGUCUCUUAGGCUGCCUCCAUGCUGCCGUCGUUUUCAUCUAGUGAUCGAGCAGCUCCAGCUCUUCGGCCUCAAGAAGCCACCAGUGCUCACAUGGACAUGCGCCUAGAACCUGCACACCUGCGACAAUGAUUAUAAGGUGGAAAUCUUACACCACCGCUGCUGCCCUUUCUCAUCAGGGAGAUCAAGGAGUACCUGGCAAUUCGAGUCCCAGAAUAACCUGUAAAUUUGCAGGAGAUGCGGGAAAGUCAAUUAGCAGGAAAUCGAUGCACGUGAAAAUCCUAGAUGACUGGGAACUACCUACGGACACAAAAUAACUACUCAUAGAUCGAAGGAAAAGGUCAUGAAUGGGAUAAGUGCUUGACCGCUUGAGGAAGGUGACAUGGGGUCCUGGGGUUACCUUGGGAAAAAAGAAGAAACCAUGGAUCUACGUAUAUCUCUCCCUAAUAAUAAAGUAAAUUCGGUUUCUAGUCAUCCGUCUUAAAAAUUAUUCCUAAAGUUUGCACAGAUUACCCACCAUGCCACCGGUAAGUAAUAGAAAAUGUUUCACAAAGCGAAAAAUCUUGUACUGGGCCGGCCCAUGUAAAAAACCUCCUAUAUUACGCUCUGCACGGUCGGAGAAUAUCCAGCACACCGUAUGGAGCGGGCCAUGCACAGACGUCUGCUUUUAGUUCCGUUUAUUUACUUAUUUUCAGUUCUGUUUUAUUUUUUUCUUUUAAAUAAUUAAAACUUCAAAUAAUCAUUAAAAUUUUACUAAACUGAAAAUUGUAAAUCAACAAAUUUAAAAAAUUAAAAUGUUUGUGACUUCAAAAACUGCUCGGAGUUUUGUAAAAAAUGCUCGCAUAUACAAUAAAAUGUUUGUACAAUAAGAAUAGUUCAUGAUCUCAAAUACAAUUCCAUGUAUUAAAAACUAUUAAAGGCAUUUAACAAAAUGCUUUCUAAUUCAAAAUAUGUCCUAAAAUUUUAAAAAUAGCUAAUGCCUGUUUUGAUAGUUUCUUUUUUUUAUUUAAAAUUUUCCCUUCCAUUUUUGUUUACUUAUAAUUUAAAUAAUUUAGAAUUACAAAAACUUUUGCAUAUUAAAAAAGAGGAAUUUGGAUUAAAAUGCUGACGAAUUUUAUUUUGAAUUAAAAAUAGGAUUCAAAAAAGCGCCGAAUUUUUAUAUUUGUUUUGCAAAUUCUAAAACAAUGUCCAUGAAUUUCAUAAAUAUAUUACUGAUUUAUAAAAAUGUUUGUUUAUUCAGAAAAACUUCAUGUGUUUCAAAAAAUGUUUCUGAAUUUAAAAUAAAAUCCUCCAACAUAAAAAAUUACGUUCGUCUUUUCUUGAAUUGAUGGCCAAUUCAAAAGAAAAUAUUUAAACCCGUUCGAAAUAUAAAAAAAUAUUCACGAUUUUUAGUAAAUGUUCGUAAAUUGUAAAAAUGUUCUCGAUUUUAAAAUCGUUUCCAUAUUUGUAAAAUUGUUCAGGAAAGAUCUAAUGUAUGUAGUUAAACAUUAAUGCUUCUAAGUCUUUGUGAUAAUAUACCUGUGUGAAUUUUAAAGAAUUAACUGUUGGAUGGAUUGGAUUAUUAUUGUAUGUUUUCUAAAAGAAAUCUGGAAAUUCAGAUAAAUCUUUGAAUUAAUAAGAUUUUUGACAACCAUGAUAUAUAUUUUUUGAAAAUGUAAAGAUUGCUUCAACUUGUGAAUAAAUUUAAAGAAAAAACAAUUUCUUGCGUUUGUACACAAAAUUUUUAAAUCAAGCGAUGAUAUGUGAACAUAAUGUGGUCACCAUCAUUGGAGAUUAUGUUUUUUUCUUCCGUGGCAACGCACGGGAACAAAGAAAGAUAACUUGACCACAAGCUUAUUUUUUUAUUUAUUUAAAAAAACCAUGUUUCUCACGGCAGGGAUUGCACCAACCUCCGAGAAAAAAAGGAGCGUGCACCUAUAUUGUGUUAGCCAGCGAUCUUUUCUUUGACAUGUAUUUUUUUACCAAACUGUGAAUUAGUUUGAAGUGUAGAUAUUAAUCUGAGGGCUAGCUACCUCUAAAUAACGUGAUGAUAUAGAUGGCUAUUUUUUCAAAUAUAAUUUGAAAUAUAUAAUGAUUGAAGCUGGAAAAUACAUGAAUUAAUCUAGACCGUCCUAACUCGGUCCCACCGGAUUAACGGCUCGUAAAUUCUAAUUAAUGUGGUAAUUUCUGGAGAGUCAGUAAUUAGUAUAGGUAUAGAUGAUUGAAGCUGGAAAAUACAUGGAUUAAUCUAGACCGUCCUAACUCAGUCCCACCGGAGUAACGGCUCGUAAAUUUUAAUUAAUGUGGUAAUUUCUGGAGAGUCUGUAUAGAUAGAUUAGGAACGCAACUUCCUCAAUCUAUUCUCAAUCUUUAAAUAGGUAGGAGGAUGUGUCUGCUUCAGCUAGCCGUGCCAUCGAACCGGGUGCUCGAAGUGGGACAUUUUUUGUAAGCCGAACUAAAGAUGAGAUGAAUCGGAAGCAGGAUUAUGGUUGCCAACUACAAUAACUUUGUUUGUGAUUUGUUCAUGAUGUGUGAGUAGUCCCGCCAGGCUAAUGGCCAAGGCAUAGCCUCACAACCCCUAUGUAUGUGUAUUAAGUGAUUGUUGAUUUACUUUAACAUUUAACAUUAUUUCUGUGUGUUACACAACAAUCUUGUCUCUUGCCACAAAGCAGGUACCCAAGAUACCGAAGACCAAAAAAGGAGAGGUAAAGGACAAAGAGGACUGGAAGGCUAUGCCGAACGUUGGCGACAUUAAGAUCAGUAUGGUAUUUAGAACCGAGUCUCUCGGGAUUUCCCUAAUAUAAUAGAGGUAACCCCAUGAGACAGACAUGGCUUUGAUGGGCUAAGAGAAGUUCAAUGCGGUGGCAGUAUGUCGUCAUGUUAUUUGAAACUUUUUGUACAUGAAAUAUGAAUACAUUUUCUAUAUGCCUGCAAAGUUUCAUUACCAUAUGACAUGGGGGGAGCUCAGGACAGAAAAAAAUAAAAUAUAUGUUCCAAAGUACAAAAAAACCUUUCUUAAAACUUUGAUUUUUGUUUUUCUUGUCUAGAGCUCUCCCGAUGUCAUAUCGUCAUGAAAUUUCGGUGACGCAUUGAAAACUUGUUCAUCUUUCAUGGGUUCAUAUUAUUUUAAAAUAUAUAUUAUUUUUAUUUUACUGUUCAUCCAAAGAAGCAGAUGAACUCGAGCACUGAAACUCCCUCCUUCCCUGAUCAUCUCUUGAAUUAAACUCUUAGUCCAUGUAAAAUGCAAGGUGCUAGUUAGUUCCUGCAAAAAUAAACCAAUUUUACUAAGCACCAGUUUUUGUUUUUAUAGCAGACGUGCCUAAAUAAACGCAUGUGCUUGGCUCCGUUGUAUCGCUCCCUCUAGGGAAAUAAGAGAAUCAACCCCAGUGCCCCGGCCGCCGCCCCCUCCCCCCUCUCCUCCACCUCGUCAUCCCCGAGACAUGCCCGGCUAAUCCCGGCGCCCUCCGGUGAUGGGGACGGAGGGGAUCUAGGCUGCCGCCCGACGGUGUGGAGGGAUCAGCGGCGCGAGAUCGCCCUUCGGUCUUUGUCUUUCCCGACAGUUCGGCACUGCUCCGGUGGCUUCGUGGGAAGGGCGGACCAGGAGGGGAUGUGGCCAUGGGUUGACUGGUCGACGGUGCAUUCGGCGAGAUCUCAUCUGGCCGGUGCUGCUGGCGGUGGUAGCCAUAUCCUCCAUUGGAGGUGGUCGGCCUGAGGCUGGAUGGUCAGAUCUCGAUAUCCGCCGUCUAGUUCCAGCUGUGAGUCGGGAAGACAAAGUUGCCGAUGAAAACCGAGUCGAUGGCAGGCGAUGAUGGUGUUCUGUGUCGUUACCUUGAUGAAGGCAUCGUCGUGUAACUAUUGUCGUCCAACUCGUGCUGCUCCGGGGGAAACCCUAGGAUCUAGUCUUCCAGAUUGGACGAUGGCGGUAUUGCGGUGUCGUCUUCUCUCUUGGGAGCAUCGUUUGUGGAGCAAAGCUGAAAGACAGAGGCAGGAGGUGGAGCGGCUUCGUCUUGCACGAAGCUUUCGGUGGAGAUGUCAAGGCAUGCCUGGCCGACAGGUGAUAUGCUCGAGCUCAUACCUGGUCGGCAGGUGCUCCGCACGACAGAUUUCCAGAAUGUUCGCGUGUGGACGGACGAGCGUGGGAUGAUGGCGCCGUUGGGCGCCGUGGUGGCGUCGAUGGAUGGACGGACUUGCAACGAUGAUGCAGAUCUCUCUUCUGAAGAUGGAUCAACAGUUAGAUGAUGAUGGCGGCGUCUAAAACGUAUGCAUGUGGUGUACGCUUUAUGAAUGUUGCACCGGUUGUGGGUUCCGAUAUGUUAUGUGGAUGGAUUGACAAUGCCUCUUGUUUUAGAUAUGGGGAGUGAGGGCACUCCAUAUUAUAGAAUUUUAUAGGUGUGAGUGGUGGCUUCGGGUGGCUUGAUAUAUGUUCUUGUUUGACCUAUGUUAAAUAAUAAAUAAAGAUGGCCGUAUGCAUCGAUUUAUGCAAAGAACGGGGUUUUUAACCUCCUUUUCCAAAAAAAAAAAUAUCUCUGUAAUCAGCCUCCAUUGUGCAUGAUCAAAGUUGAUAAAGCGUGAUAUAUAUACAAUGGUUUUGCUUAAAAGAAACAACAACGUGUGUUUUCCAGUACAUGCGGUGAGCAAAAUAUGAUUAUAAACGAAUGCAACCCAGCAUCUCAACUAGCUGAUUUAUGUGUAAUGAUACAUGUACACGCUCACAGGCAUUUGUUAAUGAGUAACGCAGCUGGAUAAUUAUCAGCUACUAGUACUAGAGCAAUUUCCCCACGGGGACAAGCUCUUAAAAACAACACUAAAGAUUGACAAAAGCACGGGCUUUCAGACCCAGCAAUGAUAAAAGCUUAGCCGCCAUCCAAUUUGGAAAAGCUCUUUGGCGCCUUCACCAGUCUCCACUCACCAGACCCAUUCGGGCCAAGCUUCACCAACCCCGCUUUCGAGAUCCUAUAUAUAGCGCUCACUUCUGCUCUCUAGAAAACCAAGCAGCUCUGCGCCAUUACAACAGUCAUAGUUCACAUCAUUUGUUGUACUUGUACUAGCUUGAUCAUCAUAGCAAUGGCCUCCACCAACAGCUGGACCCAUGAGAUUGAGUCGUCGGUCGCUGCAUCACGCCUCUUCCGUGCCGGCGUUAUGGACUGGCACACCUUGGCCCCCAAGCUCGCGCCACAGAUCGUCACCAGCGCGCACCCUGUCGAGGGAGAAGGCGGCAUCGGCAGUGUCAGACAGUUCAACUUCACCUCAGGUAUGCAUCAUAUAUAUACAACUCAUAUCACCUGCAGUCUGGUACAUAUGGUCAAAGCAUAACACAUAGUUGAUCUUGCAGCCAUGCCCUUCAACCUCAUGAAGGAGAGGCUCGAGUUCAUUGAUGUGGACAAGUGCGAGUGCAAGUCGAACCUCAUCGAGGGUGGUGGCAUCGGCACAGCGAUCGAGACGGCCACGUCACACAUUAAGGUGGAGCCGGCAGCCAACGGUGGGAGCGUAGUGAAGGUGGAAUCGGCAUACAAGUUGCUGCCAGGCGUGGAGGUCAACGAUGAGAUCACCAAGGCCAAGGACUCCGUGACGGCCAUUUUCAAGGCCGCCGAGGCCUACCUUAUCGCCAACCCGGAUGCCUACAACUAAAUCAGUUGAGAGGGAUUAUAUAUGAUUAUGCUUUCCCUAGUUUGAGUUUUGCAUGCUUUCUUCCUGAUCGAAUAAAGCUUCUCCAACCUCCAAGUAGUGACAGCAAGAGAGCUGACCAUGGUGUGGACUUGAGAAGUUUAAAAUUUUUGUAUUUGUAACAACUAUCAAAGGGUGUUAUUGUUUGAUGUUGCUGCUUGCUUGCGCACGUUCCUUGUCAUUUUGUACUAGAAUAAAAGGAGGUAUCUGAAACACAAACAUAACUCGUAUAUAUAUUUUGAAUUGGAAGUUUGUGGGCUGAGAAAUUCUUAUGUUUGCUUGACUGAACAUGAUUUCACUCGCUCUUUUCAAAUAGGAAGAGCUAUUUUGAAUGUACAAUCCAUUGUGUUUUUAUUUUUGGCAUCACAUUUGCCUCAAUUAGGGUUAUGCAGUUUGUUCGGAUGUAGCUUUUUUGACGAUUCGUCCAAUCCUCUCUCGUUGAGCUACUCGGAAUCUCUGUCCGCAAUCAUGACCCUUCUAUGCAUGCCUCAUAGCCCCAACAGCCACCAAAUCCUGCCUAUAAUAUGCCCUCAACUUCCUAGAACCCACUCCAUGAGCCCUCUCCGCUCAGGCUACUUGGAUUUAACCCACAAUUGCGGCCUAUGUACCAAGCUCCGACGGUGAUUCCGGUGAGCCCGGGUAAACCCAGAACAUGCCUUCUCGCCUAUUGAUACUACAAACUCUGGCGCAUGUUUUUCAGAUGCCACGCCUUCCCAUACCGUACAUACACAGACGCGAGCGCGACAUACAUGAACACUUUGCCAUGCCACCGCAUGUCUAACUCACCAAUCGCGCUACUCCGAGUUCAUGAAGCGAUUCUUGUGAGUGUUAGUGAAUUAAAUACCGUGCUCUUUGACGCAUGCCCCUCGUAUCCAAAAUUAUAUUUUUAUUGCAAUAGUUCUUCCAAAGUGUUCCUGAGAAAAAAAAAACAUGUUAGCUAGACAAAAUAAAAUAAUUACUUCACUGGUGGAAAAAAGGCCUUUGGUCGCGGUUCGCAACUGCCAUUAGUCGCGGUUGCGCAACCGCGACCAACUAAGCGCGACUAAAGCCCCCCACCUUUAGUCGCGGUUUCUUAAGAACCGCGACUAAAGGCCCGUCCACGUGGGCGCCAGGCGGCCGUCGGGGCGGAGGACCUUUAGUCGCGGUUCUUCUGGCCAACCGCGACUAAAGNAUUCUACGGUACUACAUACAUGCAUAUGAAUGUACAAUUUUAAACAAAUUUGAAAUUAGAACCAAAAAGAAUUCAAGAGGAAUAUACAAUAUAUAUUCAAUAUCAUCGGAUGACCAUAUACAAUUUUGAACAAGUUUCCAUACAUAAUUUAAUGCAUAUAAAGUUCUACGUCCUCGUAAUGGUGUUCUCCUUUAGGAUGGAGGACUUCCCUGCUGAACCAUCCAGCUAGUUCCUCUUGAAGUGGUCGGAAGCGAGCUUCUGGACUAAGCAUCAUCCGGAGGUUAUUCCUCCCCGCAUUGGUAUCACUCGGAACCCACUCAGAGGUGUAUCUCCGGAUCAUCUCACAGACAUAGUAUCCACAUAGAUUGGUCCCCGCUGGCUGAAUAUCCCCAGCAUUCUUAGGCUUUGACCUUUUGAAUUCUAGCUCUUUUUUGAAUUCACCGACCUUUGUAUCUACGAACCGUCUCCAAACCCUACGAGGCAAAGAAAAUUAAAUGAACAAGAGAGUUAUUAGUUACUUGAUAUUAGGAAAUGAACGAAAUAGGCCGAUCGAUAUAGAGCGCAAAUGAAUGAAAAUAAUUACUUCUGCAGCAUUCUUCUCAUGCCGCCCCAAAGCUUUGGAUCCAUAUUCAGAGAGUCGUGGACGAGACAUUCUGAGGUGUNNNNNNNNNNNNNNNNNNNNNNNNNNNNNNNNNNNNNNNNNNNNNNNNNNNNNNNNNNNNNNNNNNNNNNNNNNNNNNNNNNNNNNNNNNNNNNNNNNNNAAAUUUCUAAACUGACGCUUAUAUAGCCCCACCUUUAGUACCGGUUGGUGGCACCAACCGGGACCAAAGGUCUCUUUUCAGCAGCACAAAGGGCGGGAAGCAGAGCCAUUGGUACUGGUUGGUGGCACAAACCGGGAUCAAAGGUCUCUUUUCAGCAGCCCAAAGGGCGGGAAGCAGAGGCCUUUGGUCACGGUUGGUUGCACCAACCGUACCAAUUCCCCCCUUUAGUCCCGGUUGGUUCCACCAACCGGGACCAAAGGACUUGUGCGGUGCGGUGCUAUGUUUAGUCCCACCUCGCUAGCCGAGAGGGGCUCGGAGUGGUUUAUAAGCCAUGCCAAACCAACCACUUCGAGCUCCUCUCUACUACAGGCUUACAGGCCUAAAAUCACUCUCUGUGCUUGUGGGCCUAUUGGGCCUACUGCGGGCCUGCAUCCUGGCCCUAGUAAUGUGUUUCUAAUUACUUAUUUAUUUUCUAUUACGAUAAUUCUUUUUGCUAUUAAAGUUUGUAACAAAAUUCUAAUUACUUAUUUAUUUUAUUUUAUGNUAUUGGGCCUACUGCGGGCCUGCAUCCUGGCCCUAGUAAUGUGUUUCUAAUUACUUAUUUAUUUUCUAUUACGAUAAUUCUUUUUGCUAUUAAAGUUUGUAACAAAAUUCUAUAUAAUUUUAGUUUCGAUAAUACUAGAGGUUUAUAAAAGAUUUUUAGUUGAUUCCUUUUGCUGACUUCAUUUGUUAUUUUUCAUGCAUUUACUGAUUAUUUUGAGCUAUAAGACCAUGAAAUUGAAAGCAUUUGAAAUGAACUCUGAAAAGGUUCCAAGUUGGCAUGGUAUCAUCAUUUCACCAACAUAGUAUGUGCCAGAAAGUUGAGAGGGUUACGGCAAAAACUGGAUGCACUUCGUGUACAAAACGGACAAUCUCUUUGGAAGUAUCACGGUUUCAUAGGGAAACUCGUAUGUUACAAAGGGAUUUAAUUUUUUUGAACUUAUUUGAACUCCAUAGUUUUUCUGUGUUCAAAAUGCACCAUUCAAAGCCACGUCAUCAAUUUACAACCCUUUCUGACUUCAUUUCUUAUUUUUCAUGCAUUUACUGAUUAUUUUGAGCUAUAAGACCAUGAAAUUGAAAAGCAUUUGAAAUGAACUCUGAAAAGGUUCCAAGUUGGCAUGGUAUCAUCAUUUCACCCACAUAGCAUGUGCGAGAAAGUUGAGAGGGUUACGGCAAAAACUGGAUGCACUUCGUGUACAAAACGGACAAUCUCUUUGGAAGUAUCAGGGUUUCAUACGGAAACUCGUCUCUUACAAAGGGAUUUCAUUUUUUUGAACUUAUUUGAACUCCAUAGUUUUUUUGUGUUCAAAAUGCACCAUUCAAAGCCACAUCAUCAAUUUACAACCCUUUAUGACAUCAUUUGUAAUUUUUCAUGCAUUUACUGAUUAUUUUGAGCUAUAAGACCAUGAAAUUGAAAAGCAUUUGAAAUGAACUCUGAAAAGGUUCCAAGUUGNNNNNNNNNNNNNNNNNNNNNNNNNNNNNNNNNNNNNNNNNNNNNNNNNNNNNNNNNNNNNNNNNNNNNNNNNNNNNNNNNNNNNNNNNNNNNNNNNNNNAAGAGGAAUAUACAAUAUAUAUUCAAUAUCAUCGGAUGACCAUAUACAAUUUUGAACAAGUUUCCAUACAUAAUUUAAUGCAUAUAAAGUUCUGCGUCCUCGUAAUGGUGUUCUCCUUUAGGAUAGAGGACUUCCCUCCUGAACCAUCCAGCUAGUUCCUCUUGAAGUGGGCGGAAGCGAGCUUCUGGACUAAGCAUCACCCGGAGGUUAUUCCGCUGAGCAUUGGUAUCACUCGGAACCCGCUCAGAGGUGUAUCUCCGGAUCAUCUCACAGACAUAGUAUCCACAUAGAUUGGUCCCCGCUGGCUGAAUAUCCCCAGCAUUCUUAGGCUUUGACCUUUUGAAUUCUAGCUCUUUUUUGAAUUCACCGACCUUUGUAUCUACGAACCGUCUCCAAACCCUACGAGGCAAAGAAAAUUAAAUGAACAAGAGAGUUAUUAGUUACUUGAUAUUAGGAAAUGAACGAAAUAGGCCGAUCGAUAUAGAGCGCAAAUGAAUGAAAAUAAUUACUUCUGCAGCAUUCUUCUCAUGCCGCCCCAAAGCUUUGGAUCCAUAUUCAGAGAGUCGUGGACGAGACAUUCUGAGGUGUGAACUUUAAUUACUAGCAGAAUCCAGUGGAACCUGCGGACACGAUACAUGCACAGUACGUCAUGCAUAACUCAUCGAUUAGCCGGCCACAUACCAUGCAUGGAGUAAACAAAAGAGAAUGUGCUCAAGACAGAAACACUCACCCAAAAUGGUAAGGAAAGAAUAUCACUUUUGAGUUCCUGCUUUGUAAGAAACUGCCACAGGUCUGCCUCCAUGUCGGCGGGGUGAUGCUCCAACACAUAUCCAUUAACGAUGUGUGGGUCAAUGAACCCAACAUCAUGGAUGUUCCUUACUCUGCAUUCCUUAAUCUUCAUUCUGCAUGUAUAAUAGCGGACACAACAAUAUAGUUACGACAUAUAUAUAGUGCAGGCAAUAUGAACGAGAUGGGGUAGAAAUAAAUCACUUACAGAACGUAGCAACUGAUGAUAGAUUUGUCGAGCUCGCGCAGAUUGAAAAGCUGGAACAAUUCACUCAGAUGAAUUUGUACAUAGUAAUGUUUGAAGUGAUGCUCAUAUCUAACUUCCGCAUAAAUAUAUUCUUUGGCGUUUUUAUUUUUUAUGUAACCCUUGUACCAUUUCAGCAGACCUUUCAUUUGUGGAGGUAGAUCCUAUUCCUGCGCAGGCUCGACGAGAGGCCCAUUCUUCACAUAUGUAAUUACUACCUCCUUCACUGGCGCCUCAUCAAGGCCUAACAGUUCACGAAGAGUAAUACCUAAGUUGGCCGCUUGUUCUCUGGCACUCGUUACAGUCAAUCCAUGUGCUGCCGCAGCUGCUAUGAUAUCGGGGUCAUCCGGACCGGCGGCUUUCACUAUAAGCGGGGCAAUCGAUUGUUUACUUUGUUCCCCGAGUUGGGCAACUCGUUUCCCGCUUUUUUUACUUUCUAAUUCCGUUUUCUCGGCCUCCUCCAAGGCUUUGUUCUCCUGGUUCUCCGCCCGCUCUUUCUUCUCCUUCAACAUGAAUGCCUGCCUACGAAGUUCACGUGCAUAGUCGUCAGGCAGAUUCUUCGCGGCUUGGGACGGUGUGCUCAAAAAUGACUUAGCCCACUUCUUUUGCUCAUCAGAAAAUACUGGCUUGGGCUCGGGCUCUCUUUUCUUCUUGCAGUCCGCCUUCCAUUUCUCAUGAUCAGCAGCCGCGGCCGCGGCAGUUUCCUCGGCACUACGUUCCCAAGGCCUUGUGGGGAGAGGCUUCAGUGAUGGCUCCGGUACCUUUGUGGUCUUAGGUACAUAAGGGUCCGGGUUAAUAAUCCAGGACUGCUUCUGCUUCUUUGCCGGAGGUGGAUUGGGGGGCGGCAUCUGAUCACCCGCCGGACGAGGACUGGGGGGCGGCGUCUGAUCACCCGCCGGACGUUGUGGACUGGGGGGCGUCGGCUGACGUGACGGAGGUGUAGGUGAACCGCCACCACCACCACCGUCACCGCCACCACCACCACCGUAGGGGGGUGGACUUGUUGUCCUUGGCGCCUCGCCUGGAAACUUGAUAAACUUCUUUUGCCAUAGAAUGAAAUGGCGCUUGACAUCUCCAAGUCUUUUCUCCCCUUCAGGUGUAGCAAUGUCAAUCUCCAGGUCCUCAAACCCUUGGACUAUGUCCUCCACCGUGACACGAGCAUAGCCAUCUUGAAUGGGGUUGUUGUGGUGGAGUGCUCCAGGUAAACAUGGUAAAGCACUGCCGAUGGCUACCUUCAUGGACAUGUUCCCGAUAGGAUAAUACAGAUGACAUUCUUUCAUCUCCUUUAUAUCGUCCACGGGGUAGCGAGGAGGCUCCGGUGCAGUAAUUUCGACCACCAGAGGCUCCGGUGCAGUAAUUUCGACCACCAGAGGCUCCGGUGCAGUAAUUUCGAUCGUCGGUGCAUCUGCACCAGCUGGUGGGGCCUCCAUGGAAGCCACGCUGCUUCUCCGCUGCUGGCUUCCGAGAUCCGCUGGAUGAUCUUCAUGCUGCGCCCGAGCUACAUCUCUUUCGGCUAAUAGUACACUCACGGUUUUAUUCAUCACAUCCAUUUCCGAUGCCAACCGCGCCACAACAUCUGCUUCCCGAUCCAUCUUUCUCUUACGGCUUCUGUAACCGUACGGGUCAUCGUUCUGGGGGAACCCUAUUUUCCACGGAAUGUGCCCCAUGCCUCGUACACGUCCUCCGUGUUCAGGAUUCCCGAGGGCUUUUGUCAGCGCGUCGUUCUCUCUGUUGAACUUGAUCUUCCCCUCUUGAGCAUCCCUCAUUGCGUCAAUAAGGGCUUGGGUGGGUUUAAUUAAUUUGCCCCGGUAAACACACUCCCCUGUCUCCGGGUUCAGCGUUCCCCCAUGCCCGUACCACCAGCUUUUGGCCCUUGGGUCCCAUCCCUCCGUACCUGGACGGAUUCCUCGCGCCCUCAGCUCGUUCUCCAUCUUCUCCAACCUAGGCANNNNNNNNNNNNNNNNNNNNNNNNNNNNNNNNNNNNNNNNNNNNNNNNNNNNNNNNNNNNNNNNNNNNNNNNNNNNNNNNNNNNNNNNNNNNNNNNNNNNGCAGAUGAAUCGGCAAUGGAUGUACGUUAACCGACUCUCCGGCGAGUUCACUACGGGUUUGAAAGAUUUCCUCGUAGUGGCUAAUGCGAACAAGCGGGGGGGUUUUGUUAUCUGUCCAUGUGUUAACUGUAAGAAUCAGAAGGGUUACUCUUCCUCAAGAGAUGUUCACAUGCAUCUGCUUCGGCACGGUUUCAUGCCAAGCUAUAAUUGUUGGACCAAGCAUGGAGAAAGAGGGGUUAUAAUGGAAGAAGAUGAAGAAGGGGAUGAUUUCAUCGAUGAAAGCUAUCUUGCUCAUUUCGGUGAUACUUUCAUGGAGGAUGCUGAAGGUGAAGGGGAAGGUGAAGNNNNNNNNNNNNNNNNNNNNNNNNNNNNNNNNNNNNNNNNNNNNNNNNNNNUUGAUGAUCUUGGUCGGACCAUUGCUGAUGCACGGAGACGCUGCGAAACUGAAAAGGAGAGGGAGAAUUUGGAUCGCAUGUUAGAGGAUCACAGAAAGGCGCUGUACCCCGGAUGCGAUGAUGGUCUGAAAAAGCUGGGCUGCACACUGGAUUUGCUGAAAUGGAAGGCAGAGGCAGGUGUAGCUGACUCGGCAUUUGAAAACUUGCUGAAAAUGUUGAAGAAUAUGUUUCCAAAGGAUAACGAGUUGCCCACCAGUACGUACGAAGCAAAGAAGGUUGUCUGCCCUCUAGGUUUAGAGGUUCUGAAGAUACAUGCAUGCAUNNNNNNNNNNNNNNNNNNNNNNNNNNNNNNNNNNNNNNNNNNNNNNNNNNNNNNNNNNNNNNNNNNNNNNNNNNNNNNNNNNNNNNNNNNNNNNNNNNNNUUUUUUGAACUUAUUUGAACUCCAUGCUUUUUGUGUGUUCAAAAUGCACCAUUCAAAGGCACAUCACAAAGUUUCAACAGUUUCUGACUUCAUUUGGUAUAUAUUUCGUGCAUUUACUUAUUUUUUUUGAGCUAGUUGACCCUGAAAUUGAAAAACACUACAAAUGAACUCUGGAAAUGUUGAAAGUUGGCAUGCUAUCGUCAUUUCACCCACAUAGCAUGUGUUAAAAAGUUGAGAGGGCUACGACAAAAACUGGAUGCAGUUCGUGUACAAAACUGACAAUCUCUCUCGAAGUAGCAGGGUUUCGAACGAGAACUUAUCUCUUACAAAGGGAUUUCAUUUUUUUAAACUUAUUUGAACUCCAUACUUUUUGUGUGUUCAAAAUGCACCAUUCAAAGGCAAAUCACAAAAUUUCAACAAUUUCUGACUUCAUUUGGUAUAUUUCGUGCAUUUACUUNNNUUUUUUUGAGCUAGUUGACCCUGAAAUUGAAAAGCACUACAAAUGAACUCUGAAAAUUUUGAAAGUUGGCAUGCUAUCAUCAUUUCACCCACAUAGCAUGUGUUAAAAAGUUCAGAGGGCUACGACAAAAACUGGAUGCAGUUCGUGUACGAAACUGACAAUCUCUUUGGAAGUAGGAGGGUUUCGAACGAGAACUCAUCUCUUACAAAGGGAUUUCAUUUUUUUUAAACUUAUUUGAACUCCAUACUUUUUGUGUGUUCAAAAUGCACCAUUCAAAGGCACAUCANNNNNNNNNNNNNNNNNNNNNNNNNNNNNNNNNNNNNNNNNNNNNNNNNNNNNNNNNNNNNNNNNNNNNNNNNNNNNNNNNNNNNNNNNNNNNNNNNNNNAAGGGGUGGGAGAGGGUGUCGCGGUAGAGCGCGAGACGGGGCGGCAGACGACGGCGUCACGGAGAGGGAGACCCGGGACCAUACUUUUUUUCUCAUCACUGCCGUGUGUACUAACCACACGAGUAUGAGACCCGGGACUGUGCAGGUGCAUCGAGAAAUCUUAGGGCUCGACAAUAUGUUUUCUCUUCGUGGGAUGCUAGCGGUCGCAUCAACUGAGCGUUUUCUUCCCGACGUCUUCUAUUCUCAAGAUGAAGUGAUGACCUCCGGGGGGUUUCUUUGUUCUUGCAUAGUCUUCCCGACGGCUGUGGCUGAAUAUCCGACACAUGAAAAAGUUUUAACUAGAGUUUUUGACCGUGAACCUGCUGCUUCAGCUUUGCACUGGCCGACCGCCGAUUCGCUGGUUCAUUUGCUAGUUUUUAAUCAUAAAAGAAAAUACUUUCUUUGUUCCUAAAUAAUUGUAGUUAAAAAAACUAGACUAUCUUUUUUUGACUAUAAUUAUUUAAAAACGGAGGGAGUAAAUAUUAUGUAAGUAUCUCAUUAUUAAAAGAGGAGUUGGUUCCGUUGCCUCUCCUACUCCCUUUGUUUUUUCGUCCCAUGACUCCCUCUCUUCUUAACCAAAAUAGAUAGUCUUAAACUCAACCAAAAAUGGUGAACUUUUCCAAAUUCGCUAAUUUUUUUCAAUUUAGAUUGAUUAAUUAUUUAAAUUGAUGAUUUUUUAACUCGAUGAUCUUUUUUAUAUUCGAUGAAACUUUUUCAUAUUUGAUAGUCUCUGUUCUUUUUCAUAUUCGAUGAAACUUUUUAUAUUCGAUGAAACUUUUAAAUAGAUAGUCUCUGUUCUUUUUCUUCCAAGACGUUCUUCCAAGACGUUCUUUUUCUUCCAAGACGUUCUUCCAAGACGUUCUUUNUUUUCAUAUUCGAUGAAACUUUUUAUAUUCGAUGAAACUUUUAAAUUGAUAGUCUCUGUUCUUUUUCUUCCAAGACGUUCUUCCAAGACGUUCUUUUUCUUCCAAGACGUUCUUCCAAGACGUUCUUUUUCUUCCAAGACGUUCUUCCAAGACGUUCUUCCAAGACGUUCUUUUUCUUCCAAGACGUUCUUCCAAGACGUUCUUUUUCUUCNNNNNNNNNNNNNNNNNNNNNNNNNNNNNNNNNNNNNNNNNNNNNNNNNNNNNNNNNNNNNNNNNNNNNNNNNNNNNNNNNNNNNNNNNNNNNNNNNNNNUGUAGAUGCAUAGAGUCACGGGCCAGGUGCUAUGGCUGGAGCUCUGCUCGCCAAAAGGAUUCAUGCCAUCUGUACUUAGACCAAAUCUUAUGUUCCUUGCGUCAGCUGCAAAAUCUUUGAACUCUCUGUCGAUCUUUCUCCAUUGCGUUCCAUCUGCGGUGUGUCUCAACUCCCCGUCCGACUUACGGUCCUCUUUGUGCCAUCGCAACAACUUGGCAUGCUCUUUGUUCCUGAACAAACGUUUCAACCGUGGUAUUAUAGGAGCAUACCACAUCACCUUGGCGGGAACCCUCUUCCUGGGUUUCUCGCCCUCAACAUCGUCACCAGGGUCAUCGCCUCUGAUCUUAUAACGCAAUGCAGUGCAUACAGGGCAUUCAUUCAAAUUCUCGUAUUCACCGCGGUAGAGGAUGCAGUCGUUGAUGCAUGCAUGUAUCUUCAGAACCUCUAAACCUAGAGGGCAUACAACCUUCUUUGCUUCGUACGUACUGGCGGGCAACUCGUUAUUCUUUGGAAACAUAUUCUUCAACAUUUUCAGCAAGUUUUCAAAUGCCGAGUCAGCUACACCUGCCUGUGCCUUCCAUUUCAGCAAAUCCAGUGUGCAGCCCAGCUUUUUCAGACCAUCAUCGCAUCCGGGGUACAACGACUUUCUGUGAUCCUCUAACAUGCGAUCCAAAUUCUCCCUCUCCUUUUCAGUUUCGCAGCGUCUCCGUGCAUCAGCAAUGGUCCGACCAAGAUCAUCAAUGGUCUCAUCACGUGCCUCUUCUUCACCUUCACCUUCCCCUUCACCUUCCCCUUCACCUUCAGCAUCCUCCAUGAAAGUAUCACCGAAAUGAGCAAGAUAGCUUUCAUCGAUGAAAUCAUCCCCUUCUUCAUCUUCUUCCAUUAUAACCCCUCUUUCUCCAUGCUUGGUCCAACAAUUAUAGCUUGGCAUGAAACCGUGCCGAAGCAGGUGCAGGUGAACUUCUCUUGAGGAAGAGUAACCCUUCUGAUUCUUACAGUCAACACAUGGACAGAUAACAAAACCCUUCUGCUUGUUCGCAUUAGCCACUACGAGGAAAUCUUUCAAACCCGUAGUGAACUCGCGGGAGAGUCGGUUACCGUACAUCCAUUGCCGAUUCAUCUGCAUUAUUAUAAUNNNNNNNNNNNNNNNNNNNNNNNNNNNNNNNNNNNNNNNNNNNNNNNNNNNNNNNNNNNNNNNNNNNNNNNNNNNNNNNNNNNNNNNNNNNNNNNNNNNNCAAAUACCUCAGCACCAGUGCGUUCCGCAGGCUUCGGCCGGUGAUCUGCCUUGCCGUUGUAAUGCUUGCCCUUCUUUCUUACUGGAUGAAUUUUCGGAAGAAAUCGACGAUGCCCAAGGUACACGUUCUUCUUACAAUUUGGGAAAUGUACACUUUCAGUCUCAUGUAAGCAGUGCGUGCAUGCAUUGUAUCCCUUAUUUGACAGUCCCGAAAGGUUACUAAGAGCAGGCCAAUCGUUGAUGGUUACGAAAAGCAACGCUCGUAGGUCAAAUUCCUCUUCUUUGUGCUCAUCCCACACACGGACACCAGGUCUGCCCCACAGCUGUAAAAGUUCAUCAACUAAUGGCCUUAGGUACACAUCGAUGUCGUUGCCGGGUUGCUUCGGACCUUGGAUGAGCACUGGCAUCAUAAUGAACUUCCGCUUCAUGCACAACCAAGGAGGAAGGUUGUAGAUGCAUAGAGUCACGGGCCAGGUGCUAUGGCUGGAGCUCUGCUCGCCAAAAGGAUUCAUGCCAUCUGUACUUAGACCAAAUCUUAUGUUCCUUGCGUCAGCUGCAAAAUCUUUGAACUCUCUGUCGAUCUUUCUCCAUUGCGUUCCAUCUGCGGUGUGUCUCAACUCNGUACUUAGAGCAAAUCUUAUGUUCCUUGCGUCAGCUGCAAAAUCUUUGAACCAUCUGUCGAUCUUUCUCCAUUGCGUUCCAUCUGCGGUGUGUCUCAACUCCCCGUCCGACUUACGGUCCUCUUUGUGCCAUCGCAACAACUUGGCAUGCUCUUUGUUCCUGAACAGACGUUUCAACCGAGGUAUUAUAGGAGCAUACCACAUCACCUUGGUGGGAACCCUCUUCCUGGGUUUCUGGCCCUCAACAUCGUCACCAGGGUCAUCGCCUCUGAUCUUAUAACGCAAUGCAGUGCAUACCGGGCAUUCAUUCAAAUUCUCGUAUUCACCGCGGUAGAGGAUGCAGUCNGUACUUAGACCAAAUCUUAUGUUCCUUGCGUCAGCUGCAAAAUCUUUGAACUCUCUGUCGAUCUUUCUCCAUUGCGUUCCAUCUGCGGUGUGUCUCAACUCCCCGUCCGACUUACGGUCCUCUUUGUGCCAUCGCAACAACUUGGCAUGCUCUUUGUUCCUGAAUAGACGUUUCAACCGUGGUAUUAUAGGAGCAUACCACAUCACCUUGGCGGGAACCCUCUUCCUGGGUUUCUCGCCCUCAACAUCGUCACCAGGGUCAUCGCCUCUGAUCUUAUAACGCAAUGCAGUGCAUACAGGGCAUUCAUUCAAAUUCUCGUAUUCACCGCGGUAGAGGAUGCAGUCGUUGAUGCAUGCAUGUAUCUUCAGAACCUCUAAACCUAGAGGGCAGACAACCUUCUUUGCUUCGUACGUACUGGCGGGCAACUCGUUAUCCUUUGGAAACAUAUUCUUCAACAUUUUCAGCAAGUUUUCAAAUGCCGAGUCAGCUACACCUGCCUCUGCCUUCCAUUUCAGCAAAUCCAGUGUGCAGCCCAGCUUUUUCAGACCAUCAUCGCAUCCGGGGUACAGCGCCUUUCUGUGAUCCUCUAACAUGCGAUCCAAAUUCUCCCUCUCCUUUUCAGUUUCGCAGCGUCUCCGUGCAUNCAGCAAGUUUUCAAAUGCCGAGUCAGCUACACCUGCCUGUGCCUUCCAUUUCAGCAAAUCCAGUGUGCAGCCCAGCUUUUUCAGACCAUCAUCGCAUCCGGGGUACAACGACUUUCUGUGAUCCUCUAACAUGCGAUCCAAAUUCUCCCUCUCCUUUUCAGUUUCGCAGCGUCUCCGUGCAUCAGCAAUGGUCCGACCAAGAUCAUCAACGGGAUCAUCACGUGCCUCUUCUUCACCUUCCCCUUCACCUUCAGCAUCCUCCAUGAAAGUAUCACCGAAAUGAGCAAGAUAGCUUUCAUCGAUGAAAUCAUCCCCUUCUUCAUCUUCUUCCAUUAUAACCCCUCUUUCUCCAUGCUUGGUCCAACAAUUAUAGCUUGGCAUGAAACCGUGCCGAAGCAGAUGCAUGUGAACAUCUCUUGAGGAAGAGUAACCCUUCUGAUUCUUACAGUUAACACAUGGACAGAUAACAAAACCCCCCCGCUUGUUCGCAUUAGCCACUACGAGGAAAUCUUUCAAACCCGUAGUGAACUCGCCGGAGAGUCGGUUAACGUACAUCCAUUGCCGAUUCAUCUGCAUUAUUAUAAUAUANGGUCUCAUCACGUGCCUCUUCUUCACCUUCACCUUCCCCUUCACCUUCCCCUUCACCUUCCCCUUCACCUUCAGCAUCCUCCAUGAAAGUAUCACCGAAAUGAGCAAGAUAGCUUUCAUCGAUGAAAUCAUCCCCUUCUUCAUCUUCUUCCAUUAUAACCCCUCUUUCUCCAUGCUUGGUCCAACAAUUAUAGCUUGGCAUGAAACCGUGCCGAAGCAGAUGCAUGUGAACAUCUCUUGAGGAAGAGUAACCCUUCUGAUUCUUACAGUUAACACAUGGACAGAUAACAAAACCCCCCCGCUUGUUCGCAUUAGCCACUACGAGGAAAUCUUUCAAACCCGUAGUGAACUCGCCGGAGAGUCGGUUAACGUACAUCCAUUGCCGAUUCAUCUGCAUUAUUAUAAUAUAAAAUAUAUAAUUAACCAUCAUGCAUUUGUUAAACUAACUAGCUACAAACAAUAUAAAUUAAACAAUGAACUACACACAUGCAUAUUUUAUCAAUGACACAUCAAAGGUUCAUCAAGUUGCUAACCGCGAUCGAGGAGUGUGGCUCCAACACUUCAUGUCAUGUUUGUUUCAUGCUCUUGGGGCAUUUCAUCAAACACCUUAUGUGCAUAAGAGGAACCAAAAGCAANUCGCAUUAGCCACUACGAGGAAAUCUUUCAAACCCGUAGUGAACUCGCGGGAGAGUCGGUUACCGUACAUCCAUUGCCGAUUCAUCUGCAUUAUUAUAAUAUAAAAUAUAUAAUUAACCAUCAUGCAUUUGUUAAACUAACUAGCUACAAACAAUAUAAAUUAAACAAUGAACUACACACAUGCAUAUUUUAUCAAUGACACACAUGCAUGAAAGGUUCAAGUUGCUAACCGCGAUCGAGGAGGAAAAAAUAAAUGACGAACCUCAAGUGUGGCUCCAACACUUCAUAUCAUGUUUGUUUCACGCUCUUGGGGCAUUUCAUCAAACACCUUGUGUGCAUAAGAGGAACCAAAAGCAAACCUACACCCCCUUGUGAAGCUUGUGAAGAGAAGUGGCACCAAAUGGCUAAGUGAGUGUGCUGAACUGGUAUAUAUAGGGGAGGAGAUUUAGUCGCGGUUGGCAUGGCCAACCGCGACUAAAGGCCUUUGGGCACCUUUAGUCACGGUUGGCCUGGCCAACCGCGACUAAAGCCCCUCACGUGCACCAGCUGGCCACCGAGCGCCCUGGCCCAGGCCUUUGGUCGCGGUUCGUCUGCCGAACCGCGACUAAAGAAAUCAUUAGUCGCGGUUCCUACAGUUUCGCGACUUAUGGGGCUGGACGGAAGCCUCUUUUUCUACCAGUGUACUAUGUGUUAUGACCCGGCAACCCCGGAGUGACAAUAGCCGGAACCACUCCCGGAGAUGACCGUAGUAUGAGGAGUUCAUGUAUUCACCAAGUGUUAAUGCGUUGGUCCGGUUCUUUAUUAAAAGGAGAACCUUAAUAUCCCGUAGUUUCCAUUAGGACCCCGCUGCCACGGGAGGGAUGAACAAUAGAUGCCAUGCAAGUUCUUUCCCUAAGCAUGUAUGACUACAUACGGAAUACAUGCCUACAUUAGAUUGAUGAACGGGAGCUAGUUACUUAUCUCUCCAUGUUAUAGUUGUAACAUGAUGAAUCACAUCCGGCAUAAUCAUCCAUCACCGAUCCAAUGCCUACAAGUCUUUUACUACCGGUCCUUGCUACGUUAUUUUGUUGCUGCUGUUACUUUGCUGCUACUACUGUUACUCUGCUGCUACUGGUUACUGUUGCUACUGCUGCUAUCAUACUACCUUGCUACUGAUACUUUGUUGCAAACACUAAAUCUUUCAAGUGUGGUUGAAUUGACAACUCAACUGCUAAUACUUGAGAAUAUUCUUUCGCUUCCCCUUGAGUCGAAUCAAUAAAUUUGGGUUGAAUACUCUACCCUCGAAAACUGUUGCGAUCCCCUAGACUUGUGGGUUAUCACUGCCCAUCCCCUGCAGUAUGAUAAGGUCAAGACAUUAGAUAUUUGAAGAAACUUGAAGGCAAAAGCUAAAAAAAGAGUAAAUGUACUUACCUAUCCCCUUCAGGCUUAAUCACCGGCCUCUGCUUGCCGGUAGCCGGCACGACCGGGAGACGUGUACUACCAUGCUUGUACACGGUGGCCCCGUCCACCUACACAUCGCCCUCACUAGCCGUAAACUCAUCCCCGCCAUCAACAGAACAGCCACCCGGACACUCGGUCCAAUCCGGCACCUUGGACCGAUCCGGCCAGACACCCCAUUCGGACCUCUCCAAGUCGGCCGAAGCGUGAGAGGCAGGAGUCUCCUGGGACGUAGCCUCAGGAACCGGAGUCUCGUGGGCCGAAGGCACCUCGACCCGAGACUGAUCCUGGACCGGAGUCUCAUGGGCCGAAUGCCUGUCCACCCGAGGCUCUUGGACCGGAGUCCCUGUAGCCUCCUCCUCAAACGGGUCCACCAUAGUAGUCCUGUGCUCGGGUGAAUGAGCUGGUGGUGGUGGCGAGGACGACGCAACAGUCCGCCUACCUCUUCCUCGGCCACCACCUCUCCUUGUAACCUUCCCCUUCUUCCCUACCCGACCAGCACCUCUCCCAGUGGGCAAUGCCACCGACAAAGAAGUACCCACGGGUGGUGUCGUCAGACUGUCUUCCAAGGCUCUAUGGAGAGAUAGGGGUGGAAUGGAAGUACCACCCCUCGUGCGGGCUCCCGAAGAAGAACCCGUCGAGCGACCUGGACCCGCGCCCACCAUCUUUCAACACCUGCUGACCUGUCAUGAUAAAGAUUAAGAGAAAUUAGUACAACAUAAAAAAUUGAAAAGCUAAGAACUAAAUAACAACUACAAUAACAUCAACCACUACUACAACAACUACAAUAACAACUACAACAACUACUACAACAAUCCCUAGCACUGCCCACGUCGGUUAGCUUCUUUAGCCUGGUUGUGUAAACCAAGUUGGAUGGGAGCAAUAUAUAUGCACACACACUAGAUGAUAGGUAGGUACAAGUAAAUGUGAUAAAAACAUAGCAACAAGGUGGAUGGUGUGUAGGCAUAGCAAUAAGAUGAAUUAUUUAUUUAACUUGCUAUUAAAUGAACUAUACUAGCGUUGGACAAAUUGCACAUCCACUCCUCCUACAAAGUGAGGUUGUUGUACUCCACUAGAUAUUAAGAUCAAAUAAAAAUAUACAAGGAAGUAAUUUUAUUUAGCUACAAAUUUUUGUGUCAAAAUAUUUUUGAAGCCAAUAUACCACAUCUUGUUAUGUAUUGAAUACAUAUAAUCGAGAAAAUCAAUUGAUGAGUGAUGUUGUGAUACAAAAUGAACAUGUAAAGAGUAUCAUCUUUUAUAAUUAGAGCCCAUGGUAGCGAUGGUCUAAAGAUGUUUAGUACAAUGAUGACGAUAUGGUGGACGUGCUCCAUUGACUAAAAGGGAGCACACUGAAUUUACUUUAUGGAUUUUUUAGCUACCUUGAAUAAAAGAGAGUCCUCCAAAAUUAAUUCAUUGGCUAGAAUGAAUGUUCAUGCUAUUCUUGAAAAAUGUUCCUUACAAUAAAUGAGUUUUUUGUCAUAAUUAAACUAUACAUGGUUAUAAUACAUACUAAUAAUAUCAAUAAAUCGCAACAUAUUCCGUAUAACCAAAUCUCAACAAAAUAUAUAUACUGCAAUAAAUUCCAAAAUAUAUAUAUAGUACAUUCAUUGCAAGAAAACUCAACAAAAUGUUGGAAUUAAAAUUUAUUUAUUGAUUCAUAUAUAGGGGUGGGGUGUGGGGGCUCACCAGCAGGGGCGGCUGUGGCGUCGUGGGCGGCGGGGCCGGGGGUNAGUUGCGGUUGGCCUGGCAAACCGUGACUAAAGGUGCCCGAAGGCCUUUAGUCGCGGUUGUCCUGGCCAACCGCGACUAAAGCCCCUCACGUGCACCAGCUGGCCACCGAGCGCCCUGGGCCCAGGCCUUUGGUCGCGGUUCACCUCCAGAACCGCGACUAAAGGUCCCAUUAGUCGCGGUUCCUACAGCUUCGCGACUUAUGGGGCUGGACGGAAGCCUGUUUUUCCACCAGUGCUUGUUGUCUACUUUGUACUAAAUUAUCUAUGUGCCAAAGUUUCAUGACCAUACUAUGACAUGGGGGAGCUCAGGACAGAAAACAUAAAAAAAACCUUUCUCGAUUUUUUUCAUUUUUUUUUAUUUUUUGUGUCCAGAUCUCUCUUGAUGUCAUAUCGUCAUAAAAUUUUGAAGACACAUAGAAAACUUUUCAUCUUUCAUGGACUUAUAUAUUCUUUUUUCAAAAGUUUGCUAUGUUGUUUUGAUUGUACUGUUUGCCCAUAGAAGCAGAUGAGCUCGACCACUGAAACUACCACCUUCCCUAACCAUUUCUUGAAUAAAACUCUUAAUUCCAUGGGAAAUGCAAUUCGGCUAUGUUAAGAAAAUCCUAACAAAAAUGUUAUGUUUUCUUUGUCACAUCCAAAUGCUACCUGGAAAUUUUUAGGCCAAAAGGUUAAGUAUUUUAGCCUGUGCAAAAUAAAAAAAUUAAGCAUCAAUUGUUACCCCAAAAUUUCACACCCAAUUUUUUCCCCGACGAAACACCACUGCUCCGUUUCGGAUGAAAAUUGUCAGGCAUGCUAAUUGAGACAGUAACACGAACAUCUACCAAAAAAUCCAGAGUUUUUAAAAGUAUUUACAAUUAUUUCUUGAAUUACUAUUCAUCCGGGUGCAAAUGCACCCAGGAGUCAAGACACCUCUGCCUCAAGUCCAUGUACAAUGCAAGGUGCUAGUUAGUUGCUUGAAAAAUAAAAUAAAAAAAAUUAAGAACCCGUUUUCGUUUUUAUAGCAGACGUGCGUAAAUAAACACAUGCCCUAUAAUACAAAUAAAAUAAAAUAAACAUCGCUGCUUAAAAAAAAAUUCAUUUCCACAUGCAGGCAUCUCUUUAAUCAGCCUGCAUUGUACAUGAUCAAAGAUGAUAAAGCGUGAUAUACAAUGGUUUUGCUUAAAAAAAAACUAACGUGUGUUUUGCCAGUACAUGCGGCGCCCAAACUAUGAUUACAAAGGAAUGCAACCCAACAUCUGAACUAGCGGAUUUAUGCGUAAUGAUACAGGCAUUUGUUAAUGGGUAAUGCAGCUGGCUAAUCACCAACCACUAGAAUAAUUUUUCCACGCGGACAAAAGCUCAAGCUUUCACAGCCAGCAAUGAUAAAAGGUUAGCCGACCGACGGUGCCAUCCAAUUUGGAAAAACUCAUGCCUGGCUUUGGAGCCUUCCCCAGUCUCCACUGACCAAACCCAUCCGACUAAGCUUCACCAACCCCGGCGCCGGUUUUGAGCCCCUAUUUAUAACGCUCACUUCUGCUCUCCAGGAAACCAACGAACGUUGCGCCAUUACAACAGUCACAACUCACAUCCCUUAUAUCGGUUGUGCGAGUUUGAUCAUCACAGCAAUCAAUGGCCUCCACCAACAGUUGGACCCAUGAGAUUGAGUCGUCGGUCUCUGCAUCGCGCAUCUUCCGUGCCGGUGUCAUGGACUGGCACACCCUGGCCCCCAAACUCGCGCCACAGAUCGUCACCAGCGCCCACCCUGUUGAGGGAGAAGGCGGCAUCGACAGUGUCAGGCAGUUCAACUUCACCUCAGGUAUGCAUCAUAUAUAUACAACUCAUAUCACUUGCAGUCUGGUACACAUGGUCAAAGCAUAACACAUAGUUGAUCUUCCAGCCAUGCCCUUCAACCUCAUGAAGGAGAGGCUCGAGUUCAUUGACGUGGACAAGUGCGAGUGCAAGUCCACCCUCAUCGAGGGUGGUGGCAUAGGCACGGCGAUAGAGUCGGCCACCUCGCAGAUCAAGGUGGAGCCGACAACCAACGGUGGGAGCUUAGUGAAGGUGGAAUCGACAUACAAGCUGCUGCCAGGCGUGGAGGUGAACGAUGAGAUCUCCAAGGCCAAGGACUUUGUGACGGCCAUUUUCAAGGCUGCCGAGGCCUACCUUAUCGCCAACCCGGAUGCCUAUAACUAAAUCAGUUGAGAGAGAUCAUAUAUGAUUAUACAUUCCCUAGUUUGAUUUUUGCGUGCUUUCUUCCCGAUCUAAUAAAGUUUCUCCAACUUCCAAGUAGCGAAAGCAAGAGAGAUGACGACGGUGUGGACUAGAGAAGUCUAAAAUGUUUGUAUUUGUAACAAUUAUCAAUGGGUGUUGUUGUUUGAUGGUGUUGCUGCUUGCUUGCGCACGUUCCUCAUGUUUUUGUACUGGAAUAAAAAGAAUUAUUUGAAACAUAUAAAGAGCUUAUAUAUGUAUUUUGAAUUGGAUGUUUAUGUUCCGAGAAGGUCUUAUGUUUGCUUUCUUUUUCAAAAGCAGGAUGGCCCCCACGUCUGCAUCAUAACGAUGCAUGCAGUCAUAUAUUAUUUAAUGCAAAAUUCAACAGCAACCGAACAACAUCAAUCCAUAAAUAAAGCAAAAAAAAUAAACUCUAAGGUCGUAUACCUCGUGAGAGUAACUCACCAUAUAGCCACUAACCCUAUGUUACAAUAGACAUCAGAAACGGAAAAAAAUACAUAACUCCUAGGCUAUGCCUUCAGGAAGAAAUCGUCACACAUGCGCCGAUGAUGGCCAGAACACCACAAGCUUGAACUUCGGAUUCUCAUCCCAAAGUCAAGCUUCAAUCCACCACCUUCAGCAAUGAAACGACGCACGCGCGCGUCACGUAGCUCGAUUAGAGAUCGUGUGUUUCUGCCGGAGCGCAUAAACUCGUCGUUGAAGCCGUCCAUACCAUCGCCCUUAUCCGUCUACCCACACCUCGGUAGCCGGAUACCUCUAGAGAAGAAAAUGUAAGAAAAAGACGUCCCAUACAAUCUGCAUCCCGCUACUAUCGAACCACCUUCAAUCCAACAGCAACAGACUAAACUUGACACCCCCGCCAGAGCCAUCGUGCAUCACCUGCGAGUAGCAUGCAUGACUUGAUGUCUUCGAAUAAGACAUCAUGUGUAGCAUCCAACGGUGGCUUCAACUUUCAGUGACAUGCACUACCCGACAACUCUGAAAGAGGCACAUGUUUCACCUACCGAGCCACAUCAAACCCAAUUUGUUGAUAGAGGGGGCGUCCCAUACCGGCACCAGCCUCAGAAAUGUUGUCACCGCCAUGAUAUCUAGACUCCGAGUCAUCGCCAAUACGCCACCGGAGUCCGCCCCGUUGAGGAAGAGGGGUUGUUGCCCCGAUUACGGGCACUAUAUGGACCACCCAUUUUCGCGCCUGCCGUUCUCGUCGCUUAUACAACGGCAACUACCGCCGCGAUCCCGCAUCAAACGCCGGAGGAAGAUCCGUCCGCCACACAUGUCCUGCGUUAUCCCCGGAUGCGGGAUCCCAAGAUCCGCCGCCACAAGGACCCACCACCUAGCCUGUCAUCCCCAGCGAAGGGGACGCCGCCACCGUCAUAUUCGGUUCCUGGCCGGAGUUGUCGCCGCCUGCCCCAACACCGGGCCUGGGCUGGACGCCGCCGCCGCCAAUGGCCAGGCCCAGCCCCACCUCUAUCCUCUGGCCAUCUCACCCCGCACCUCCACAAACGCUUCCACCAGGAGCCACCACGCCACCAUGGACCGAGGAAGAGGUCGCACCUCCACAUAUAUAGCGUCCUUCUGGCCUUACAACCCGGUAAGGAGGAGGAGCCCUCCGUCGCCGCGAUUGAACACGCGGGCCAUGCCCGACGUUGUCCCCCGACGAUAACAAAGGAGAAGGAGGGACUGGAUCAAGGCGGCUGGGGGCCUAGGGUUGGCCCAUCCGAUCGCCAUGGAGGGACGAGCGACAGGGGAGUCUACAAGCUAGGGAAAAAAAUAUUUUGCUUUCUAUCAAAAUUCUCUCCUUAAUUUUAUGUUUGCUUGAGUGACAUAAAUUUAUUUGCUCCUUUAUAUAGGAAGAGAUGGUUUCAAUGUAUAUUCCUUUUUUUCAUCAUUUUUUUGGCAAGUGCCUCUCUUAGGUUCAAGCAGGUCUUCAAUUGUAGCUUGGUUGACUCGUCCUUUCCUCUCGCAACUAGAAACUCGGAAACCCUAGCCGCCACAUGUGUUUCCAACCCUCUAGCCACCGCCUCCGUUGGGAAAUGGCCAUGUGGCGCUAGCGGCGGCGGGGAUGGUUACGGCAGAUUCAGACAUGUGGUAACGGCAAAUGUGUGGUUGAGCAAUGGUGGUUCUAGACCUGUGGCGCUCACCAACCAUGUUGCAUCUGCUGACAGCGUCCAGAGAUCCUCGAAGAAAGGGUCCUACAUGGCGGCGGGCUCGAGCUUUGGCUCAUAUUUGGCCAAAAUGGCAUUGACAUAUUGGUUUAGGUUGACCUUUGGCUCCUAUUUUGCGUGAAACGACGUUGGGUCUUGGUUUAGGAUGGUUCUAGGGAGUCCCUAUGUGUUGGUCGGGACGGCGAAGCGGCAACAUUGCCCCCAUUUCAGGAAUAAUGGCCCAUGCACCAUCCUCGUUUCGUUGGUGCAACUUAGUGUCGGUGGACGACGUAUGAAGGUGUGUCUUCGGAAUUUGGUCGGCUUUGAUCUCCGACGGAUCCGUGUGUAUUCGUCCAAUGAUAGUGGUCUACAAGCUAUUUUUGGUGUUUUCUUCCCCGGGGCAGUGAUUUGUUAUGCAUGUCGCGACCACCGACGUCUUCUGGUCUACAUUAAUGACUUCCUGAAUUUUGCUUCUACAAGUUGUUGGUUGUAAACAAGUUUGCUCCAUAGAAGCGAAGACCCAGAGUAGGCAUUGGGCUUUACUCACAGUGCAGUAUGGUGGAUGCAAGAGGACGAAGAUUUUGUCACUGCUAAAGAUUUAAAUGUAUUUUUUUCUUUUAUAAGGAUGUGUUUGUAAGGACUUGUGAUACAUAGUAUAUGGCCAUACGACUUUUCACACAAAAAUGUCAAGUUGCUACCUAUGUGCCGAGCCACAGGUUUCUUGUGAGAAACUAGGGCUUAGAGUGUUAAUGUUGUCACAUUGCAUUUUUUUCAACUUUUGAUGUGAAAAUACCAUUCAUAUGCAUAUAACAUUUUUAUAAUCACUAGAUUGUUUAAGGUAUUUUUUAAUGGUCCAUAUUAGAUCUAUUUGCAUAAAAUGGUACUUUUGUUGUGAUGUAUAAAAUAUUUUCCUGCAAGUUUAUGGAUUUAUAAUAUUUUAAUUACCAUAUUUUCUACUGAACUGAAACAUCAUUUCAAAUCUAUUAAAAAUAAAAAGAAGUAGGAAUUAAACACUACACUAGGCAGGGCCAACAGUGCAGCGCAACCCAAGUGACCUCUAGCAGACCCCGCAAAAGAGGUAAAUCCGUAAAAGUACGGCGAGUAUGCGGUUUAAGCCAUUUUUUCGGCCAGAAUAUAGCCCGCAUACUCGCCCGACCCGUAAAAAAAAUUGCCGCGGCCCGCAAAACGCACGCCCGACCACUAUAUCUACGUUUUCGCGGCGCGUUUGCGGGUAGAAACCCUAUCCCCNNNNNNNNNNNNNNNNNNNNNNNNNNNNNNNNNNNNNNNNNNNNNNNNNNNNNNNNNNNNNNNNNNNNNNNNNNNNNNNNNNNNNNNNNNNNNNNNNNNNNNNNNNNNNNNNNNNNNNNNNNNNNNNNNNNNNNNNNNNNNNNNNNNNNNNNNNNNNNNNNNNNNNNNNNNNNNNNNNNNNNNNNNNNNNNNNNNNNNNNNNNNNNNNNNNNNNNNNNNNNNNNNNNNNNNNNNNNNNNNNNNNNNNNNNNNNNNNNNNNNNNNNNNNNNNNNNNNNNNNNNNNNNNNNNNNNNNNNNNNNNNNNNNNNNNNNNNNNNNNNNNNNNNNNNNNNNNNNNNNNNNNNNNNNNNNNNNNNNNNNNNNAGGAGUAUGACCGUCGGCAUGUCGCCGCGGGCUGGUCCUACGCCGGUAGCUCCUCCUCUUCCGCGCGCCUUCUCCCUUUGAAGAGGCAGUGGUCGGAGGAGCCGGAGGACGUCGUCGCCGUCAAGGAGGACCCCGAGGAGCUCGGUCGCCGCGGAGUCGUCGGGCCGGAGGACUUCGGCGCCGACGUGGGCGCGGUUGCGGCUGCCAUUGCCGAGCGCAGCUUGCACGAGGAGGCGGAGCGCCGGCGCCACGACGAGGAGAUCGAAGACCUUCAGUGGCGACAGGCGGUCGAGGCCAACCUCACCGCCAAGGCGAAGGACAACGAGUGGCGGCGCAUCCGCGAGGAACAGAAGGCGAUGUACAUCGAUCUCGGCAGCUCCGACGAGGAGGACUGAGCUCGCACUGAUGUAGUAUGUAGUAUGUAAUCUAUGUAGUAUGUAGUAUGAACUUCCCGCGAAACUAUAUUUUUAAAUUAUACAGUUUCAUUUAUGGUUUUUGAUCGAUCACGUUUAAUUUUAACCCGUAAACAAAAUUUAACUGAAACUGCAAACGCCGUUUUGCGGUUCCAGAUUUUGAGGAAUGUGCUAGAGUUGCUCUAAGGAGCCCAUGACGCAAUUCCUUAAUCGAACCGGUAUGGAGUCGCGAUAUAACGUGAUAUGGCUGAUUUAUGACCGCUCAAUGGUCAACAUGGCACCCGAGCUCUCGUUCAAAAAAAACAUGGCACCCGAGCUCUGCCUCCGCUGACAGGCGGGCCACGUCCAAUCAUCGUCAACUAUGGCAGAUUUCUCAUGCGCACGACGCAAAGCACGGCAGUGGUCAUGACCAUACGUUGUACAUGCCUCAGAGCCCCAACAGACUGCUCGGACCCAUACUACAACGACAAUUCUAAACAGACGUCGAUUUUAUUUGUUUUUCAUUCGUUUGGAUUGUUUAUCAGUUUCUCUCUAUCCGUUUUUUUAAAUUAAUCAGCACAUGCAUUCAACGAGAAGUGAACAUCAGCAAUGUGAUAAUAUAAUAAUGGAAAAAGGUGGGUGAGGGUGGACCAACAAAUGAAAUAAGCAGGUAGAGAUGGAUGUGUGGUUGUGUGACAAGUAGUCCAGGCCGGCCACAUGCGGACACAGAAAGGACGCGCGUGUCCGCUUUGUGUCCGCGCCUACGCAUUUCAGUCCGAAAUUUGAACCAGAAAUGGAUCAGCGCGAACGCAAAGCUGACGCGUUUUGAAAAUGAGUCCGCGCGUCGGGCCAUCACUUUUGUCCGCAUGAAUCCAAACGGACGGCAACGUAUAAAAUGAAUCGUCUUAUUGGAGUUGCUCUAAUAUCCCCUCGACUUCCCCAACCGAAGAACCGACUCCAUGGUCCCAACACUAUUGAGUCCGCUUGGAUUAAACCCAGGACUACCGCCUUUGUAGCAAGUUACAAUGUGAAACCAAUUCACGCGAGCCUAUGUAAACUCCGAGCCCGAGCAACUAUAAUAAGGUACAGUCAGCAGGUUGUAAGGAUUAAAUUAUAAUAUUUUUGCUUAGUAGGAUGGAAGAGAAGAUAAAAGAAAAGGAAAGUGGACUGCAGAUUAACAAUCGGUUGUAGCACGGGCUUUAAGAAAACAUUGUGAGAAUGUAAAGUAUGUCAUGUAUUAAUAAAGUAAUACUAUUUCUUAACAAUUUGUUACUAUACGUGUUAACUAGGACGAUUAUAUAUAACAUGACAACUCCUUAUAACCAGCAGUUGACUAUACUAUUAACCAUGCUUUUAGACCACCUGAUCUGGAAAUCGUUUCUGAAAUGUCACGCAUGCCAAUCAACCAUAGGAAGCGAGCACAACAUUGUCUAUUGGCUUCGCUAUGCCGCCGCACGUCUAACCGACCAAUUGCCAUGACACGAGGACCACCGGGGCACUACUCCGCGCGCCUUGAUGAACGAUAUGUGUGGGUGUUGAUCAGGGCCGGGCCCACAGUGGUGCCAUCUGUGCGGCCCGCACAGGGCCCAUGAUUCUGAGGGGCCCAAAAAAAUAUAAAUAGGCCUAGUAUUAAACUGGAGUGGUGGACAGUACUCCGUUAGUGUUGGGCCGCAGCAGCGAUGGUCAGGCCUCGAUCGCGAGCGACGAGGGCGAGGGCAAGGCUGGCGCUGCUAUCUAGGCGAGGGCGAGGCUACCGAGGCGACUCCAUCAAACCGAUUCAACCAAGCCUGUCAAACGUCGCCGCCUCCUCUUAUCCCCUCGUCCUCCACUCCUCGUUGAGUAGCACGUGCCAUGCCCUCGUUCCUGGCUUCCUGCCGCCGUCGCUAAUCAGGUCUCGUUGUUAAUCCUGCGGCCACGCAUGCUGCCGGCUGCCAGCCUGCCGCUGCCGCUGUUAAUCAAGUCCUGCUUUUAAUCCUGCGGCCACGCAUGCUUCUGGUUGCUUGCCUGCCGCUCCAGAAUCCAGAUCUUGUAAUUAACUUUUGACAGAGAUUUUUCUCUAUUAAUUUUUUUUCUAAUCUUGUAAUUAGCCCUGCUGCUUAGCAUUAGCAAAUUCUUUUUCUAUUAACUUCUUUUUCUAAUAUUGUAAUUAACUUUUAACAUAGAUUGUUAUUUCAUUGAUUUUUACCUCCUUCAUUAGAAAUCACAGUGUAUUCAUAUUAUCGGACAUGACCCAAAACUAGAAGAAGAUUGAUGAUGUACGAACAAAUAGCAACGACGAGUUGAAUAUGUAUGACUUUUUAUAUGUUCACUUGUUAUGUAAGGCAUUAUACUUCAUAAAUUAUAUUUUUUAUGCAUCAUAUAUAUAUUAUAAUUGCUCAUUAAUUUUUUAUAGAUAGGGCCUUAGUUUUUAGUUUGGCACAGGGCCCUUGAUUUCGCCCGCCCGGCCCUGGUGUUGAUGAGUUAAGCUAAUACCAUGCUGUUUUAGACAUGCUUCUCGCAUCAAUAAUUGUAUUUUCAUUGCAAAUGUUCUUCCAAAGUGUUUUCGGCAAAAAUAUGUUAGCUAGACGAAAUAGAAUAAUUGCCAUUUGACUACUUAAUUUGUAAAAAAUUAUACAAAAUGUGUUUUUAUCGUUUUGGCCUAACAGGCUUGCAUAGUAACCAUUGCCGCCGCAACAACCGUGCUAAGUUUUCAAGUGAAUCAAGCGGUAGCUAUAUCUAGGCAUACCGAGCAUAAACGAACUAAAACCUUCUCGUUAUUUCGGUUCCAAAAACCAAGUUGCCUACGUAUUGUGUGUUGCUCGAUUAGAAUAGUGCCUAAAACUUGGGAACAUUGCAUAGAAAGAAAAAAACAAUCCCUACAAAUUCACCCAAGAUCUAAUCGAAAAGAUGCAUAGCAACAAAUAGCAACAAGUGGGGAGAGUGUCUUCGUGCCCUUAUAGACUCAAGAGAAAGCAUUUAUAAAACGAUUGACAUAGUCGAACUAUCUUCAUGAUCCAAUCCGAUCGAGCACCACAGGAACGACACCUUCAAGAUGUGCAUAUGUACGACUCAAUGACAUCUCCUUCUUCUCGAUCCAACAAUUGAGGAGGAGAUGUAGAUAUAAUCUAGACCAAUAGCACGAGGCGUGGUGGUGGUGGUGGUGGAGAGGAGGACUUUCUGCAGGGCUUCACCAAGCGGUAGGGAGUAGGAAGUGGAGGGAGAGAGGGAGUGAUGUCGUCGGGUGAAGGGUUGGGUUGUGCCCUGAGGCUCCCCCCCAACCCCCCCCCCCCACCCCCACCCCUUAUUGAUAGGAGUGUGGGAGGGGGCGGUCAUCUCUGACUCCGCAUCCAUAGAGAAGGGGCGGCGGCCAGGGGUUGGCUUGCCCUCCAAGCCUGGUGGAGGCGGCCCUCCCCUUACAGUUUUCCCAAACCCUAGCCACAUGGGCCUUGGGGUUUUGGUGUGCCUGGCCCGUGUAGGCCAGGGCGCCCCCCUAAAACCCAUGCAGGCCUCCAAGACAGGUACGAUCCAUCGCUGGUCUCCUGGAAUCUUUUGGACCCCCCAGUACAAUAUCAUGAAUUCCCGAGCUUUUCUGGAACCCCAAAAAACCACUUUCUAUAUAUGAAUAUUAACCUUCAAAGCUCCUUGUGAUGUCCGAGAUCUCAUUCGAGACUCAUAAUAAUAUUCAACCUCACCGUUAUGAAUAUUCCAUUACUACCCUAGCGUUACCAAACGUUAAGUGUGUGACCCUACGGGUUGGAGAACAUGCAGACAUGAUCGGGACACCACUCUGAUCAAUAAUCAAUAGCGGGAUCUCGAUGCCCAUAAUGAAUCUCAAAUAUUCAGCGAAGACCAUUGUUGAUCUAAGCCAGAAUGUCGCGGAUCCAGAUAAUCCCAUUUACAAUUCCCUUUGUCUCACAAUAUAUUAGUUGCCCGAGAUCCAAUUGCCUAUAUCACCAUACCUAAUUCAAUCUCGUUAUUGGAAAGUCUCUUUACUCGUUUCGCACUACAGUAUCCCCGUGAAUAAACACACAGUCACAUGCUUAGAAGCUACUUAGAAUGAUGUAUUACCGAGAGGGUCCAAAGAUAUAUCUCCGCCACAUGGAGUGAUAAAUCAUAGUCUUGAUCCAUUCAACCCUGCAAAUACUCUCAGAGAUACCUAAAGAGCACAUUUAUGAUCACCCGGUUAUAAAGUGACGUUUGAUACCCACAAAGUGUUCCAUUCUUUAGGUAUUAGGGAGUGGCAUGAUCUCAUGAUCUAAGGAACAUAUACUUGGCAUUAAGAAAGUUGUAGCAAAUAAAGCUAAGUGACACUGUCAAAUGAUAAGCUUACGAUUGCGUAUGUCCAUCACAUCAUUCUUCUAAUGAUGUGAUUUCAUUAUUAAAUAACAAGUCAUGUCUAUGAUUAAAAAAUCUUAACCAUCUUUGAUCAAUGAGCUAGUCAAAUUAGAGGCUUACUAGGGACACGGUGUUUGUUUAUUUAUCCACGCAUGUAUUUGAGAUUUCGGUUAAUACAAUUAUAGCAUGGAGAAUAAACACUUAUCAAAAACAAAAAAUAUGAUAAUUAUAACUUUAUUAUUAUUGCCUCUAGGGCGUAUUUCCAACAGGAUAGCGCCCCUUUCUUAGGCACUACAUACACUCUUUGUAGGGGUUAUAAUUUGGAGAAUUUUUGUGUGUGGUUUGAGAGGGGGGAGGGGGAGAGGGCAGCCGGCAAUGCACCACUUUGUUUCUUCUCUAUAGGGAGAGAUGGAAGAGAGGGGUUUGGGUCGGUGAGGGCCGGUGCACAUCGAUUUAGCCAAAGUAGUACAACUCUAAGAAAACGAUGCUAUAAUAUGUAACAAAACGUCUAAAAGAAAAGGGUUACAAUAUGUAGCAAAACGCCUAAAGAAAGGCGCUACAUAGCCAUGGUGGGCCUUAGACCUGGCCACGCAUGUAGUAUACCGUCUGUCUGUCGGAGGGCGCUAUAACAUGCAUAUCACUAGUAGAAAACGGGCCUUUGGCCUGGACCAUUUAGUCCCGGCCUGCCUCUGGACCGGGACUAAAGGCCCGGCCACAUCGCCCCAAUUCUCAAUGCCUCCCUCGAGGCUUUAGUCCCGGCCCGUAAGGAGCCUGUAGUCCCGGUUCGUGUCCCAAACCGGGACUAAAGGGCUACGCGGCGGGCAGUGGUGGUGGCAACCGUUCGUAUCCCCCUUUAGUCCCGUUUGGUGGCUCAACCCGGGACUAAAGGACUAACAUGUGGCCUGCCGUAGUGGGGCGACCGUUGGUAUACCUCUUUAGUCCUGGUUGGUGGUUGAACCCGGGACUAAAAGCCUAACACGUGGCCUGCCGUAGUGGUGGCAACCGUUUGGUAUACCUCUUUAGUCCCGGUCGGUGGCUCAAACCGGGAUUAAAGGCCCAAACAGUUUGCAUCCCGCGUCGUUUCGGGCGAUGAAAAGCACGAACCGAAGCGUACAGUCGCCAUUUCUCUGUUCUUCUUCUCUCUCGCGUCGCCCUCUCUGUUCUUCUCCUCUCUUCUUCCCUUCUCUUCUUCCACCAUGCCAACUAGCUUCCAUGAGGUGGUCGCGCAUGGCACGACGAAGCUCCGUGUCGUGUACACGAACCUGAGCACGGAGGUGCCGUUUUUCCUUCAACAGUUGUAGGAACGAUGGUUUGACCACGCAGCAGAUCAUGAGAAGUUCUUCGGACUUGAUCUGGAGUACACGGCCGAUCAACGCGAUGUUGCCGUCAUCCAAAUAUGAUUCGCAAGCCAUGUCUUGAUCUUCCAAUGGGCGAGGUAAGUUUUGAGGCUUUCUUUGAUCCAAGAUAAUGACAUUGUAUAAGUUUAUUUGUUUCUAUCAUAGUUGGUUCCCUUCAAAUAGUUGUAGUGAAACAAUUUUGAUUAGUUGAAGGGGAGCACAAUCUAAUUCGAAUAGUUUUCCAUAAUCUGAAAAAUCGUAUUAGAAUCAACUAGUGUUUAAUAUGUUCCAUUGGAAUCAUAGUUGGUUCCCUUCAAAUAGUUGUAGUGAAACAAUUUUGAUUACUUGAAGGGGAGCACAAUCUAAUUGGAAUAGUUUUCCAUAAUCUGAAAAAUCGUAUUAGAAUCAACUAGUGUUUAAUAUGUUCCAUUGGAAUCAUAGUUGGUUCCCUUCAAAUAGUUGUAGUGAAACAAUUUUGAUUACUUGAAGGGGAACACAAUCUGAUUGGAAUAGUGUUCCAUAAUCUAAAAAAUCGUAUUAGAAUGAACUAGUGUUUAAUAUGUUCCAUUGGAAUCAUAGUUGGUUCGCUUCAAAUAGUUGUAGUGAAACAAUUUUGAUUAGUUGAAGGGGAACACAACCUGAUUGGAAUAGUGUUCCAUAAUCUGAAAAAUCGUAUUAGAAUGAACUAGUGUUUAAUAUGUUCCAUUGGAAUCAUAGUUGGUUCGCUUCAAAUAGUUGUAGUGAUCUCUCUAGGUUCCAUUGCAUAUGUUCUAUUUGAAUCCUAAAGAUAAGUUUCUCUUUAGUUGUAGUGAAACAUGUUUCCUUAUUGCAGCAGUAUGUAACAUUUGUUCUAUUUUAAUUUGUUUUUGUUGCAGGAGUGACAAGCAUUGUCGAGGACUCAUGGAGUUCCUUCUCAGCGGCGUCACUUUUGCUUCCGUUGACAUAAGGAACGACAGGCUGAAGAUGAGGCACAGCUUCGGUAUUGAGAUACCAGUUGAUUGCCUCGUUGAUCUCCAAACGAUAUUCAGGCUUCGACAUGACAGGACUUCGAUGGCUCAUAUGGCAGUUGCCUUGAUUGACGAGUCAUAUGGUGAUAUGAAGACCAGUUUCCCAAAGUAUCAGCACAAACUUUGGGAGAAGGGCCCACUUGAUGAUAUCAACAUUGAGUAUGCAGCAAAAGAUGCAUACGUUUCAUACGAGUUGUACCGCAAGAUUCGAGUCGUCAACUAUGGCCAGCGUCACCUCGAGGAACGUGGACAUUCUGAUUUUGAUGAUUCAGAGGAGUACUGUUCUGAACGUCGAACACUUGUAUAUAUAUCUAUGGUAGCUAUUAUUAUGUACUGUUUGGGCAAGUAUCAUGUACUUCUUGGACCAAUUUAUAUAUGUCUAGUUUCUGUUUGUGCCAUUAUAGUUUCCAAAUUUGAAUGGUUUAGCCCUUUCUAACUUCAUUUGCUACUUUUGAAUGGUUUAGCCCUUUCUAACUUCAUGGUAUCAUGCAUUUCGACCACAUAUAUAUACAAAAAGUCUUCAGUUCAAAUAAGUUCAAAAAAUGAAAUCCCUUUUGUAACAGAUCUGUUUUUGAUUAAAACAAUCACUUCUCCUUCUUCUCCUUGUGCUAGAUAUUGGUUAUGCACUAGGGGAAGUAGGAGUAGCGACCAUCAUCGACGGUUGAAAAAUCAGGUGAGCUAGUGUCCACCAUAUAUGAGAGAAGAAGAAAUCCCUUUGUGAUGUGCCUUUGAAUGGUGCAUUUUGAACACACAAAAAGUAUGGAGUUCAAAUAAGUUCAAAAAAAUGAAAUCCCUUUGUAAGAGAUGAGUUCUCGUUCGAAACCCUGCUACUUCGAGAGAGAUUGUCAGUUUUGUACACGAACUGCAUCCAGUUUUUGUCGUAGCCCUCUCAACUUUUUAACACAUGCUAUGUGGGUGAAAUUAUGAUAGCAUGCCAACUUUCAACAUUUUCAGAGUUCAUUUGUAGUGCUUUUCAAUUUCAGGGUCAACUAGCUCAAAAAAAAAAAGUAAAUGCACGAAAUAUACCAAAUGAAGUCGGAAAUUGUUGAAAUUUUGUGAUGUGCCUUUGAAUGGUGCAUUUUGAACACACAAAAAGUAUGGAGUUCAAAUAAGUUUAAAAAAAUGAAAUCCCUUUGUAAGAGAUGAGUUCUCGUUCGAAACCCUCCUACUUCAAGAGAGAUUGUCAGUUUUGUACACGAACUGCAUCCAGUUUUUGUCGUAGCCCUCUGAACUUUUUAACACAUGCUAUGUGGGUGAAAUGAUGAUAUCAUGCCAACUUUCAAAAUUUUCAGAGUUCAUUUGUAGUGCUUUUCAAUUUCAGGGUCAACUAGCUCAAAAAAAUAAGUAAAUGCACGAAAUAUACCAAAUGAAGUCAGAAAUUGUUGAAAUUUUGUGAUUUGCCUUUGAAUGGUGCAUUUUGAACACACAAAAAGUAUGGAGUUCAAAUAAGUUUAAAAAAAUGAAAUCCCUUUGUAAGAGAUGAGUUCUCGUUCGAAACCCUGCUACUUCGAGAGAGAUUGUCAGUUUUGUACACGAACUACAUCCAGUUUUUGUCGUAGCCCUCUCAACUUUUUAACACAUGCUAUGUGGGUGAAAUGAUGAUAGCUUGCCAACUUUCAACAUUUUCAGAGUUCAUUUGUAGUGUUUUUUAAUUUCAGGGUCAACUAGCUCAAAAAAAAUAAGUAAAUGCACGAAAUAUACCAAAUGAAGUCAGAAACUAUUGAAAUUUUGUGAUGUGCCUUUGAAUGGUGCAUUUUGAACACACAAAAAGCAUGGAGUUCAAAUAAGUUCAAAAAAAUGAAAUCCUUUUGUAAGAGAUGAGUUCUCGUUCGAAAACCUGAUACUUCGAGAGAGAUUGUCAGUUUUGUACACGAAUUGCAUCCAGUUUUUGUCGUAGCCCUCUCAAAUUUUUGACACAUGCUAUGUGGGUGAAAUUAUGAUAGCAUGCCAACUUUCAACAUUUUCAGAGUUCAUUUGUAGUGCUUUUCAAUUUCAGGGUCAACUAGCUUAAAAAGAAAUAAGUAAAUGGACGAAAUAUACCAAAUGAAGUGAGAAAUUGUUGAAAUUUUGUGAUGUGCCUUUGAAUGGUGAAUUUUGAACACACAAAAAUUAUGGAGUUCAAAUAAUUUUUAAAAAUGAAAUCCCUUUGUAAGAGAUGAGUUCUCGUUCGAAACCCUGCUACUUCAAGAGAGAUUGUCAGUUUUGUACACGAACUGCAUCCAGUUUUUGUCGUAGCCCUCUGAACUUUUUAACACAUGCUAUGUGGGUGAAAUGAUGAUAGCAUGCCAACUUUCAAAAUUUUCAGAGUUCAUUUGUAGUGCUUUUCAAUUUCAGGGUCAACUAGCUCAAAAAAAUAAGUAAAUGCACGAAAUAUACCAAAUGAAGUGAGAAAUUGUUGAAAUUUUGUGAUGUGCCUUUUAAUGGUGCAUUUUGAACACACAAAAAGUAUGGAGUUCAAAUAAGUUCAAAAUAAAUGAAAUCCCUUUGUAAGAGAUGAGUUCUCGUUCGAAACCCUGCUACUUCGAGAGAGAUUGUCAGUUUUGUACACGAACUGCAUCCAGUUUUUGUCGUAGCCCUCUCAACUUUUUAACACAUGCUAUGUGGGUGAAAUGAUGAUAGCAUGCCAACUUUCAACAUUUUCAGAGUUCAUUUGUAGUGCUUUUCAAUUUCAGGGUCAACUAGCUCAAAAAAAAAAAGUAAAUGCACGAAAUAUACCAAAUGAAGUCAGAAAUUGUUGAAAUUUUGUGAUGUGCCUUUGAAUGGUGCAUUUUGAACACACAAAAAGUAUGGAGUUCAAAUAAGUUCAAAAAAAUGAAAUCCCUUUGUAAGAGAUGAGUUCUCGUUCGAAACCCUGCUACUUCGAGAGAGAUUGUCAGUUUUGUACACGAACUACAUCCAGUUUUUGUCGUAGACCUCUCAACUUUUUAACACAUGCUAUGUGGGUGAAAUGAUGAUAGCAUGCCAACUUUCAAAAUUUUUAGAGUUCAUUUGUAGUGCUUUUCAAUUUCAGGGUCAACUAGCUCAAAAAAAAAGUAAAUGCACGAAAUAUACCAAAUGAAGUCGGAAAUUGUUGAAAUUUUGUGAUGUGCCUUUGAAUGGUGCAUUUUGAACACACAAAAAGUAUGGAGUUCAAAUAAGUUUAAAAAAAAUGAAAUCCCUUUGUAAGAGAUGAGUUCUCGUUCGAAACCCUCCUACUUCCAAAGAGAUUGUCAGUUUCGUACACGAACUGCAUCCAGUUUUUGUCGUAGCCCUCUGAACUUUUUAACACAUGCUAUGUGGGUGAAAUGAUGAUAGCAUGCCAACUUUCAAAAUUUUCAGAGUUCAUUUGUAGUGCUUUUCAAUUUCAGGGUCAACUAGCUCAAAAAAAAAAGUAAAUGCACGAAAUAUACCAAAUGAAGUCAGAAAUUGUUGAAAUUUUGUGAUUUGCCUUUGAAUGGUGCAUUUUGAACACACAAAAAGUAUGGAGUUCAAAUAAGUUUAAAAAAAUGAAAUCCCUUUGUAAGAGAUCAGUUCUCGUUCGAAACCCUGCUACUUCGAGAGAGAUUGUCAGUUUUGUACACGAACUGCAUCCAGUUUUUGUCGUAGCCCUCUCAACUUUUUAACACAUGCUAUGUGGGUGAAAUGACGAUAGCAUGCCAACUUUCAACAUUUCCAGAGUUCAUUUGUAGUGUUUUUCAAUUUCAGGGUCAACUAGCUCAAAAAAAAUAAGUAAAUGCACGAAAUAUAUACCAAAUGAAGUCAGAAACUGUUGAAACUUUGUGAUGUGCCUUUGAAUGGUGCAUUUUGAACACACAAAAAGCAUGGAGUUCAAAUAAGUUCAAAAAAAUGAAAUCCUUUUGUAAGAGAUGAGUUCUCGUUCGAAACCCUGCUACUUCGAGAGAGAUUGUCAGUUUUGUACACGAAUUGCAUCCAGUUUUUGUCGUAGCCCUCUCAACUUUUUAACACAUGCUAUGUGGGUGAAAUGAUGAUAGCAUGCCAACUUUCCACAUUUUCAGAGUUCAUUUGUAGUGUUUUUCAAUUUCAGGGUCAACUAGCUCAAAAAAAAAAGUAAAUGCACGAAAUAUACCAAAUGAAGAGAGAAAUUGUUGAAAUUUUGUGAUGUGCCUUUGAAUGAUGCAUUUUGAACACACAAAAAGUAUGGAGUUCAAAUAAGUUCAAAAAAAUGAAAUCCCUUUGUAAGAGAUGAGUUCUCGUUCGAAACCCUGCUACUUCGAGAGAGAUUGUCAGUUUUGUACACGAAUUGCAUCCAGUUUUUGUCGUAGCCCUCUCAACUUUUUAACACAUGCUAUGUGGGUGAAAUGAUGAUAGCAUGCCAACUUUCAAAAUUUUCAGAGUUCAUUUGUAGUGCUUUUCAAUUUCAGGGUCAACUAGCUCAAAAAAAAUAAGUAAAUGCACGAAAUAUACCAAAUGAAGUCAGAAAUUGUUGAAAUUUUGUGAUGUGCCUUUGAAUCGUUAAUUUUGAACACACAAAAAGUAUGGAGUUCAAAUAAGUUCAAAAAAAAUGAAAUCCCUUUGUAAGUGAUGAGUUCUCGUUCGAAACCCUCCUACUUCGAGAGAGAUUGUCAGUUUUGUACACGAACUGCAUCCAGUUUUUGUCGUAGCCCUCUCAACUUUUUAACACAUGCUAUGUGGGUGAAAUGAUGAUAGCAUGCCAACUUUCCACAUUUUCAGAGUUCAUUUGUAGUGCUUUUUAAUUUCAGGGUCAACUAGCUCAAAAAAAAUAAGUAAAUGCACGAAAUAUACCAAAUGGAGUGAGAAAUUGUUGAAAUUUUGUGAUGUUCCUUUGAAUGGUGCAUUUUGAACACACAAAAAGUAUGGAGUUCAAAUAAGUUCAAAAAAAAUGAAAUCCCUUUGUAAGAGAUGAGUUCUCGUUCGAAACCGUGCUACUUCGAGAGAGAUUGUCAGUUUUGUACACGAACUGCAUCCAGUUUUUGUCGUAGCCCUCUCAACUUUUUAACACAUGCUAUGUGGGUGAAUUGAUGAUAGCAUGCCAACUUUCAACAUUUUCAGAGUUCAUUUGUAGUGCUUUUCAAUUUCAGGGUCAACUAGCUCAAAAAAAAAAGUAAAUGCACGAAAUAUACCAAAUGAAGUCAAAAUAACAAAACAGAUAAUAGUUUGGAUAGUCAAAAUUAUUAAUUAUGAAAAUAAAAAAUAUUUUUGCAUUAUUUAUUCAAUUUGAAACACUUUUCAUUAUCAUAGUUUUGUCAAAUUCUCAAAUAUGCAAAAAGAAUUUUUUAAUAAACAUAGUUUUUAAUUGAAAAUAAAAAAAUAGAUAAUAGUUUGGAUAGUCAAAAUUAUUAAUUAUGAAAAUAAAAAAUAGUUUGCAUUAUUUAUUCAAUUUGAAACACUUUUCAUUAUCAUACUUUUGUCAAAUUCUCAAAUAUGCAAAAAGAUUUUUUAAUAAACAUAGUUUUUAAUUGAAAAUAACAAAAUAGAUAAUAGUUUGGAUAGUCAAAAUUAUUAAUUAUGAAAAUAAAAAAUAGUUUUGCAUUAUUUAUUCAAUUUGAAACACUUUUCAUUAUCAUAGUUUUGUGAAAUUCUCAAAUAUGCAAAAAGAAUUUUUAAUAAACAUAGUUUUUAAUUGAAAAUAACAAAAUAAGUUAAUAGUUUGGAUAGUCAAAAUUAUUAAUUUUGAAAAUAGAAAAUAGUUUUGAAUUAUUUAUUUAAUUUCAAACACUUUUCAUUAUCAUAGUUUUGUCAAAUUCUCAAAUAUGCAAAAAGAACUUUUAUUAAACAUAGUUUUUAAUUGAAAAUAACAAAAUAAGUUAAUAGUUUGGAUAGUCAAUAUAAUUAAUUUUGAAAAUAGAAAAAAAUUGAAACUAUAUGAGAAAUCAUGGACAAAAUUCGACCUGAAUUCAUUUGAAUUCAGAUUGAAUUUUAUCCACAAUUUCGAAUAUUGUUUCAAUUUUCAGUAAGUUUAGGCCCGUAAGCCUGCUUUAGAGAGGAGCUCGAUGGACAAGCUGCGACGGGGCUUAUAAACAAGUGUUAGUCCCCCUCGCUGGGCGAGGUGGGACUGAACUUAUCGUGCAGCCGAGGAGGGGCUUUAGUCCCGGGUGGAGCCACGCCCCGGGACUAAAGACCCCCUUUAGUCCCGGUUGGAGCCACGCCCCGGGACUAAAGACCCCCUGCGUCCUGCCUCUUGGUCUGCCCGAAAAGAGGCCUUUAGUCCCGGGUCGUGGCUCCACCCGGGACUAAAGGGGGUCUUUAGUCCCGGCCCGAGCCACGCACCAGGACUAUAGAUCCACCUAUAUAAGCGGGACUUCGAAAAUUUGCAACCCAAUUCGUCCAUUUCUCUUCUUCUUCCUCUCGUUCUCCUGCCCGGCGCGGCACAACGACGAACUAACCGACGCCGUCAGGCUGCCCGCCGUCCUGCUCGCCAUCGGUCGUCCUCCUCGCCGCCGCGCCGUCCUCCUCGCCGCCGCACCGUCCUCCUAGUCGUCGCGCCAUGCUCCUCGCCGUCGAGCCGUCCUCCGCGCCGUCCUCCUCGCCAACACUCCGGCAGUAAGCCCUCAGCCCCCUCCUCCCCAACACUCCGGCCAGUAUAGAAGAAAAGAAGAAAAAGGAGAAGAGAAGAAGAAAAAGGAGAAGAAAGGAAGAAAAAGGAGAAGAAAAGAAGAANNNNNNNNNNNNNNNNNNNNNNNNNNNNNNNNNNNNNNNNNNNNNNNNNNNNNNNNNNNNNNNNNNNNNNNNNNNNNNNNNNNNNNNNNNNNNNNNNNNNNNNNNNNNNNNNNNNNNNNNNNNNNNNNNNNNNNNNNNNNNNNNNNNNNNNNNNNNNNNNNNNNNNNNNNNNNNNNNNNNNNNNNNNNNNNNNNNNNNNNNNNNNNNNNNNNNNNNNNNNNNNNNNNNNNNNNNNNNNNNNNNNNNNNNNNNNNNNNNNNNNNNNNNNNNNNNNNNNNNNNNNNNNNNNNNNNNNNNNNNNNNNNNNNNNNNNNNNNNNNNNNNNNNNNNNNNNNNNNNNNNNNNNNNNNNNNNNNNNNNNNNNNNNNNNNNNNNNNNNNNNNNNNNNNNNNNNNNNNNNNNNNNNNNNNNNNNNNNNNNNNNNNNNNNNNNNNNNNNNNNNNNNNNNNNNNNNNNNNNNNNNNNNNNNNNNNNNNNNNNNNNNNNNNNNNNNNNNNNNNNNNNNNNNNNNNNNNNNNNNNNNNNNNNNNNNNNNNNNNNNNNNNNNNNNNNNNNNNNNNNNNNNNNNNNNNNNNNNNNNNNNNNNNNNNNNNNNNNNNNNNNNNNNNNNNNNNNNNNNNNNNNNNNNNNNNNNNNNNNNNNNNNNNNNNNNNNNNNNNNNNNNNNNNNNNNNNNNNNNNNNNNNNNNNNNNNNNNNNNNNNNNNNNNNNNNNNNNNNNNNNNNNNNNNNNNNNNNNNNNNNNNNNNNNNNNNNNNNNNNNNNNNNNNNNNNNNNNNNNNNNNNNNNNNNNNNNNNNNNNNNNNNNNNNNNNNNNNNNNNNNNNNNNNNNNNNNNNNNNNNNNNNNNNNNNNNNNNNNNNNNNNNNNNNNNNNNNNNNNNNNNNNNNNNNNNNNNNNNNNNNNNNNNNNNNNNNNNNNNNNNNNNNNNNNNNNNNNNNNNNNNNNNNNNNNNNNNNNNNNNNNNNNNNNNNNNNNNNNNNNNNNNNNNNNNNNNNNNNNNNNNNNNNNNNNNNNNNNNNNNNNNNNNNNNNNNNNNNNNNNNNNNNNNNNNNNNNNNNNNNNNNNNNNNNNNNNNNNNNNNNNNNNNNNNNNNNNNNNNNNNNNNNNNNNNNNNNNNNNNNNNNNNNNNNNNNNNNNNNNNNNNNNNNNNNNNNNNNNNNNNNNNNNNNNNNNNNNNNNNNNNNNNNNNNNNNNNNNNNNNNNNNNNNNNNNNNNNNNNNNNNNNNNNNNNNNNNNNNNNNNNNNNNNNNNNNNNNNNNNNNNNNNNNNNNNNNNNNNNNNNNNNNNNNNNNNNNNNNNNNNNNNNNNNNNNNNNNNNNNNNNNNNNNNNNNNNNNNNNNNNNNNNNNNNNNNNNNNNNNNNNNNNNNNNNNNNNNNNNNNNNNNNNNNNNNNNAUAUAUAUACAUGUGCGGCUUCCAUUGGAUUCUGUUGGACAUUUAAAUUGAUAAGGGAAGAGUUGAUGCCUUCGAUCCAUUAUCGAGACCCUUGGAACAGUUCCAAAGCCUGCAGGACAUGCUCCAAGGGUAAUUUUAAUCAUUCUUGCGCUCUAUCGGUCUCUUUCGAUGAUUUUCUGAUAUAUCAAUUAAUGAAAAACUUAGCAAAUCAUUAUCCUUGUCGGACAGGGUUUGGAAUCGGUUCAAGUGCGUGACUCCCGGUAACUUUCCUGAAAAGCUGACCUUUAGAGCGGCUCAGGUAAGUAGUAGUAUGAUAUACUUCUAUUAAUUUUCAAUAUAUUUAUGAUGUUAGAUUAUUAUUUUGAUUAUAUAUAUUCCAUUCUCGUAAAGUGCGACCAGCAGCCACGGGGAACGCAUCUAUGCGAAUACUAUGUUUGCGAGACCAUUCGCACGUUUACCUCUGAGUUCAAGGAGCACAGAUUCGACGUAAGCAAUGAACAUUCACACGUCUAUUUUUACCCGUCAUUCUUUGUUAUCAUGAUUGAUAUUCAUAUUCAUCUCCUCUUCUUAUAUAGCACACGGCCAUGAGGACGAAGGUCCUACCAGAGCAACGCGCGAUUGCUGUUGCAGAGGAGCUUGCGGAAUUUCUAAGGACGGAAGCUAUAGAAGACAAAGGACGAUUUAGUGUAGCUAAGGGUCAUUACUGAUGUUCGUCCAUGUAAUCGAAUAGACGAGCUCUAGUCCCGAUAAUUCCGAUCUCCAUAUAAUUGUAUAUAUAUGAUCGCUUGUAAGAUAAGUUAAUCAUAUAUAUAUNCAUCACGUUAAUCUCCUGAACACCUAAACCCUAAAACCCUAAAAUAAUUUCAUUCAAAAAAAACCCAAAAGCCAGCAAAAACCCAAAAUCUGAAAAUCUUUAGUCCCGGACCGUGUAACGAACCGGGACUAAAGGGCCUCCCCUGGGACGCUACGAGGCGCCCACAUGGAGCACCUUUAGUCCCGGCGUGUAAGAGGGUCGGGACGAAAAGGUUAUGCCUUUAGUCCCGUCCCUUUAGUCCCGGUUGGUGAACCGGGACUAAAGCCCCUUACGGGCCGGGGCUACAGGCCCUGUCCCACUAGUGUAUAUGAUAGCACGUGGACGUUGAACGCUAUCCGAAAAGGUUAGUCCCGUGAAGUAGUUUCAUGAAAAGUUUAUUCUUUGAAUUUGUCUCGGCUUUGGGUUAUUUCUGUUUAUUUCGCCCAAGUGGGGUUGUGCCGGCGGGUAUAUGCGUGAGAACACGUGUCCUCGUGGAGUGCGCAUGGGCAUAGUUUGCUGUGUCACUUGGUGUGAGCAGCGGCUGCCUGGGUGUUCUCUUUCAUCAAUUCACAUUAACCACAUGCCAUAGCAGCACACUUCAAAGCUCAACUACUGGUGCAUGGGUGCCAGGCAUUGAAGCAUCUGCGGGCAGCGGCAGCGGCAGCGGCAGCGGCAGCAUAGGUGGACGACCGAUCAACCAUCAGAAGCAGGCCCAUCAGCUGGGGUAAGUACCAAACUGACCUCACAACGCAAUUUCUCUGCUCCAUCCCUGCCUGCUGCACGGCUCGUCCUUGGGGGAAUUAAACUGCUGCAUCGGCGCUGCACACCUAGGUUCGCUGCAGCGGUAGGGGGAAUUAAACUGCUUUGCAAGCAGCCGGCUAGCCGCUGCCUCAUCAUCAUUGCUCACGCCUAUUUAAAGAUACCCUCCCACUUCCUCUGCCUACCAUCAUUAGAGCAAAUACAAUAAGAUACAGUCAGCAGGCUGUAAGACAUAAAUUAUUAUAUUUUUACUGAGUUGGAUGAGAGAAAAAAAGAGAGAGAAGGAAAGCCAGCUCUAGUACGUGCUCCUAGGUACUUUGUGAGAAUGAAAGGUGUGUCGUAUAUGAUAAAAGUAGUACUCUUUUAUAGCUAACUAUUGUACAAGCUAGCUAUAAGAUGGACCACCACAUUCGCCACAUUCGCCAUUCGCCAUCUGCGUAUAUAGUACUCUUUUAUAGCUAACUAUUGUAUAGCUUCCUUCCUCACCGAGGCCACCACAUUCGCCAUCUGCUUCGCCUUCGGCCGCGCCAUGCAGCAGCAUGCUCCCGCCUUCUUCCUUCCCGGCCCCGCUGCCACGCACGCGCGCAACCGUGUCCUCGACGUGGCUGCCGCCUGCCGGCGUCCUCCUGUACACGGUCAUCGGCGUCCGAUGUGGCCGCCGACGUCCUCUUCAACAUGGUCAUCGGCGUCCUCCUCGACACGGUCACCGGCCUCCUCCUUGACACGGUCAUCGGCGUCCUCCUCAACACGGUCAUCGGCGUCCUGUGCAUCGCCGUCCUGGUCAUCCUCCUACUACUACUAUUUGCCUCCUGCGUCGUCGCUGCCCUCGCAGCCAUCAUCAUCUAUCGCCACCGCGCCCGGGUGUCCAGGACUGGUGAGCGGCGGGUCGCUGUUCUUUCAUUCGUGUUGUUGUUCCUCCUCGCCGUGGUCAUGGUUCUCGUAGCCGUCCUCUUUCUCGAGACUAUAGACGACGAGGAGUAAGAAAAUAGAUUACGUACACGCGGCCGCCGCCGCGAUGGCAGAUGGUUAAUGCCGUAUAAUGAGCUGCUACUAGUAUUACUGCAAUGUCUACAAUCUACAUAGUGGUAUAUCUAUUAAGGGAAAUUCUAUUUAGAAGCGUCGCAUGAUGGACAUUCUGUGCAGCGGCUUGCAUGCUUUCUUCUCAUGCAUGCAUGCAUGCAAUGAUGUCAUGAGAUUCGUUUUAAAUGAUCGGAAUUCAAAAACUUUUAUCUCUUAAACCGUUAAUCUGAUCGAUGAUUCGUUUUCGCCGUUGACUUUGUUUCGAUGAAAUCUUCAAAACUAGAUCCCAUAUCAACAUGUUUUGACAACUUUUUUUUUGCUCGUACUUACCACAUUUGCUCUACUUACUUGUCAUAUUAGUAAGUACUUACUUGUCUGAUAAAAAAUAACUUAAUCGCCAAUUUUUUUGAAAGCUGCGUAUAAAUAUGACAUCUAGACAUAAUAAAAAUGGCAAGCACAAACAAUUUUUUUAGGCGAUUACGCGCAAAAAUAUGACAACUCAACGUAUUUAAAAUCGAUGACCAUAAAAAAUCUUUUUUGAUCAUCGUUUAUAAAUAUGAUAACUCGACAUAGUUAAACUAACAAACACACAAAAUAGUGUUUUUUUUGGCAAAGUUGUAUGUAAAUAUGAAAAAAUUUCAUAUUUAAAUUGGCAAACACAACCUAUGACGAUGCUUUUAUAUCAUGUAUAAUGAAAACUGUUACAUGGUUUUGUAGAAAAAACAUUAAAAAUGUCAAUUAAGUUAUUUUUUUAGGCAAGUAAGUGGUUAAUAAUAUGGCAAGUGGGGUAAAAAAUAUGGCAAGUAUGAAUGAAAAAAAUAGUUAACGGAACGUGUCGACAUGGGAUCUAGUUUCGAAGAACUCGUCGAGAGAAAGUAAAUGGUGAAAACGGAUCAUCGAUUGAAUUAACGGUUUUGUAGAUAAAACUUUUUAAAUUUCAAAAUAAAAAAGAAUCUUGGUGACAUCAUUGCAUAACAGUUUUCAUUAUACAUAAUGAUAUCAUUGCACGCAUGCAUGCAUUAGAAAAAUAUGUAAUGGGUGAUUAACAUGAGGUUAAUUUUUGCAUUGGAAUGUGAUUAAGUGAGCCGCCGCACGGCAAGACGGAGGUGCAGCGCCGCUCCCUAGCGUUGUCCAUCUAUUAAUAUCGCAGCUGUAAUGUAAUGUUGUUUCUCUUUCGGUUUUGCUAAAAUGCAUCUAGAUGUAUCUUAAAUAUCACACAUCUAAAUUUUAUGUUACUGAUUUUAUACGUGGGUAUUUUUUCUAUUUUCUUAUCUUAUUAUUCCUAAGCUUGAUUAAGUCACUUAGACACGCAAUAACUAAGGCAUAUCCAUAGACACAACCUUUCUCUUUUAUAUUUACGCUUGAUAUCGGAUACUUCUCCCCUUUUGGUGUCAUGGAGCUUACUUUGGAUGAUGGUGGCAACAUUAAAAAAUGAAUAAUACAUUAAAGGACUGUAGGAAAAAAUAUCCAAAAUUAAAAAGCAGUAAAGAAGAACUAACCAAUCGAAAACUUAAAAUAAAUUUUCUAUAUCUAAAUAGCUAGCUCAUACCAACUUUUUUUUAACAUCCAUGCAUGUCAUAUCAUCCAUAGCAUGCAUGAUAAUUGAUAAAAGACUCACCCCCAUUACCGUGUGUCUCUCAACAUAUGCAAGCAUCCGCUUCAUUAUGAAACAUGCAUGGAAAAAAGAUUCAUCUGACCAUGUGAACAUACAUGAAAAUUUUCAUUCUAUUAUGAUAUCUAUAAUUAAUAAUCAUUUUGCAACUAUACAGUAAUCAAGCAAAACAAUUAUUUGUAUUUUUAGUCUUAAGUUUUUUCAUUAUUACUUAAAAUAUUCAUGUUCGUACAAUAAAUUAUAUUAAAGUAUGUUGUAAAAUAUUCUCGCAACAACAUGCGGGGCUAUCAUCUACUCCCACCGUUUCUAAAUAUAACUCUUUUAAGAUAUUUCAUUACGGACUACAUAUGGAGUAAAAAAAAUGAAUCUACAGUCUAAAAUAUGCCUAUAUACAUAUGUAUGUAGUUUAUAAUGAAAUCUCUUAAAAACAGAAAUUUAGGAACAGACAGAGUAAUUAACAAAAUGAGUGCACCACCUAUUCAUAAUUCAUUCCACACUGACACAUAUUUAUUGAGUGAUCCGAAAAAAUGUCAGACAUAGAUACAAAACUACUCCCUCCGUUCCUAAAUAUAAGACAUUUUAGGGAUUACACUAUAGACUAGAUACGGAGCAAAAUGAGUGAAUCUAUAUCCUAAAAUAUGACUACAUACAUCCGUAUGUAGUUCAUAAUGGAAUUUCUAAAAGGUCUUAUAUUUAGGAACGAAGGGAGUAGAAGCGAAAACGUUCCACAAAUACGGGGCGCACUCAGUUAGUUCAUACCAAUUGAAGAACACAUUAAGAGACAAUCCUACUACGUAAGAUAUAUAUAAUUAAGGAAAUAAAUACUGUAUAUUUUUUCAAUAAAUAACCAUGUGAACUUGUAUCUUUAUAGGCAUAUUUUAUUCACAUGAUUUUAAAAUCUGGAACAUUAAAAUCUGGAACAUGAAAAACAAUGUCAUGCCCUUUUUGCAACAUACUACCUCCGUCCGGAAAUACUUAUCCUAGAGAUGAAUGUAUCUAGAUUUAUUUUAAUUGUAGAUACAUCUAUUAUAUGUAUUUUUAGGACAAGUAUUUCCGGACGGAGGAAGUACAUGUAUUUAUUUGCUUGAUUGCAUGACGAAAAAUAUAUAUUUUCAAGAGGUUUGAGUGAACGCUAGAAUUCUUAUGAAAUGUAAUAGAAAUAGAAAUUUAGAAAGUUCCCUAUAAUAGAAUUUCUAUGAAUCAAAUGAUCAAUGCAGGAAAAUCUUAACUUUAGUACCUCAAAAGUUAAGUCCCAGUGUAGCACGACGACCACACGGACAAUGCACGCAGCGUCGUGAGCUCUAGCUGCGCGAGCACGGACGCGACCUCAGCGGUUAGCUGCGUGAGCGCACACACAAGCUACGUCGGCGGCCAGUGGCCAGCGUGAGCACGCACGGCUGCGGGAGUCGUGGGGUUUGACGGCCAGCGCUUUAGAACAUGGUUAAUAAUAUACUCCUUCCGAUCCUGACCGGGAAAGAGACGCGGCUCGCGCUAGCGCACGACCGCCGCCGCCGGCGGCUGAUCUUCCUCCUCCGUCCACCUCCGGCCCAGCCAAACGCAGAUCCGGAACCCCGCCAGCGUCCUCUCUUCAUCCAUCCUGAAGCCCGGCGCCGUCUUCACCGGCUCUCUCCUCGCGGCGGGUUUCGAGUUGGGGCCUCCCCUCUUCCUGCCCCGNAUAUGAAUAAAAAUAAGAAAAUAAGAUUAGGAAAAAUGAAAAUAAGAAGAGGAGGAGAAGAAAAGAAGAAAAAGUGUAUAUUGUAUAGUGUAUAUGCUUAAGUGUAUAGUGUAUAUAAUGUAUAAUGUAUAGGGAGAGGAGGAAUUUUGCAAUAGUGUAUAUAGUGUAUAGUGUAUAAGNUAUAGGGUAUAGUGGAUAAGAAAAGGAGAAAAGAAGAGGGGGGGGAGAGGAGAAAAGAAGAGGAGGAGAAGAGAAGAAAGAAGAGGAGGAGAAGAAAAAUGAAAAUAAGUGUUAACAGUUUAAUUUUGCUAUUGUAUAUGCUUAAGCGUUAAUAGUUUAUUUUUAGCAAGAAAAUUAAUAGAACUAGUUUAUUUUUUUAGUUCAUUUUACGAUGCCUAUCCCGCAUCCUCGUCGUCGACUCGGCGGAGGACACCUGCUUGAUCAGAGGGCCCUGUCCGGGACUGGGCUCCGCCCGGCUGGUAUUGGGAGGUGCUACCUUCCGGGGGGCGUAGGUUGGUGAGGAGCCAGCCCGUCGUUGACCCGAUCCUUGUUUAGUGGCGGUCGCGUGGGCCAGUGAGGGUGCCAAGGCUUCCGGACACCGCGGAGGUGGUACGUCACCGUGUCAGCGAGGAGGAUGAGCACGUCCGUCGCUACAUGGUUGCGUUGGAGGGCAGGUUCGAGCAUACCUGGCAGGUUCUUCGGGGAUCUCACUGGAGCUAUGAUCUUGUGAUGGUUCCUUCUCUUUGGGUGUCCACCGCCCGCGCCGAUACCCGUCGGGCGCUACGGUUCUAGUUGUAUUAGUGAUGCUAUAUGUAUGAUAGUAUUCGAGGAGUAUUAAUGAUAAUAUUCGACGAUGUACGGACAAAAGUGAUGAUGUAUUAGCUUAUAAUUGAAUGCAUGCUACUUUGAAUACUACUUUAUUUUACGAUUUGGUUUUGCUUAUUGAAUGCUCAAAUUGGAAAAGUACUCCUACUUUGAAUACUAUGCAGAAAUCUAGGAGUCUCAAAUUGGAAAAGUACUCCUACUUUGGUUUUUGGUACAAAGGUUAAGAGAAUCCGUUUUUUGCAGAACUAUGGAUCCACAUAUCAGGAACCUCGAAGAGGAAGAACUUCUGGAAGAUAUAAUCAAAGACGGCCCCGACGUUGAACCAGCUGAAUCUCCGUCGUCAUAUCUAAACCAGGACGUUGGAAUGGAGGUCGAGCGACACGAAGAUGAAGCCGAUGGGGCAGGAGAUAGGUCCAAUGACGGAGAAGGUGAUAGCUCCACUGAUGGAGAAGCCGGUGAAGAGGAGAAGUCCGGCGAGGUAUACAUAUGAAGUUCGACAAUCACUUGUAAUAUGUGAAAAAUAUUGGAGAUACCUCUAUAUUGUAUACAUAUACAUUCAUUUGACGAAUGUUUCUCCCUCUUAGGCCUCCACAUCGAGCAAAACUACGAAACAAGGCCCGACUAGAAAGUUGGAUGCACGGACGCAUUACACAUUUGUAAUAUGUGAAAAAUAUUGGAGAUACCUCUAUAUUGUAUACAUAUACAUUCAUUUGACGAAUGUUUCUCCCUCUUAGGCCUCCACAUCGAGCAAAACUACGAAACAAGGCCCGACUAGAAAGUUGGAUGCACGGACGCAUUACACAUUUGAGGUGAUAUUUCCUACGGGCGAACCCAAGCUUCCUAAGAAUGCUGCUGACACAUUCAAGAAGCAAUGCGGAGAUCUCGUUAGGGAUCACGUCCCAAUCAGCGUUCGGGAGUGGAACAAGCGCAAAGGGGCAGCCGAUAGUGACUAUGUCGCCGAAAGGUACAAAGAUAAUCUUUGGAAUGAUCUCAUGUCACAUUUCAACCUGCCAGAAUGUGAGAAUGAAGACGCCGCAGACAAACUGAGGGCCAAAGUCAAGCAGUGGACUCUGAAGAAGAUGGCCGAACUGUUCCGUAGCUGGAAGAAGAAGCUAUGGAAAAACUAUCCGAAGACACAAAAAGUGCCAGUAUUCGAGGGGUAUCUAGCCAAGCAGGCGAAUCACUGGAAGGCAUUUCAAGAGUACAAGGAGUCAGAAGAUGCCCAGGCAUUAUCAGAAAAGAACAAGAUAAAUGCCGACAAGAAGAAAUAUCACCACAAGCUGGGGCCAGGGGCUAUGAGACUGCCAUCCCAAAGUGGGAUAAGAAAGAGCAAGAUCUGAUAGAUAAAGGCGUCGUACCUGAACCACUCCGUGAUGAGUGGGAAUUGAGAGCAAGAAAUUGGUUCCUUGCGCAUGAUGGGUCGUACGACGAAACAACAGGGGACCUCAUCUGCAAUGACAAUCUUAGGAUACCCAGGGAGAAUUGGAAAAGGAUAGUGAAAGAAAUUAAGGAGGGAAGAAGAAAGUUCACUGCAGAUAGAGAGAAAGAUUUGCUCACACUGGUCCUCGGCAAUGACGAACAUGGAGGACGAACGCGAGGCUUCGGUCCUUCUUACCCGUGGUGGCUUGGGUUUGCCAGAGACCAAGACACUUACAGAAGCCGAGAGAGAGCAAAGAAGCGGCAGCAGGAUGAGGAGAAUGACAAGUUCAACCAGUUGCUUGCCAGGAUUAACGAGCAACAGAAGCAUAUUGAUGAGCUUAGAGGAGUACCGCGCCAGGAAGAUCCUGCAGUUGAUAUUACCGGCGCCCCAUCUAAGCGGAAAAGUAGCUUGGCUGAAUCUGAGGCCCCGCCCGACGAUGAACGAAGAAUGAUAGAGGGCGGUCCCGGCUACCCCGUGGAUGGAAUCAAGGAGUCAACAUCAUGUGAACUCCAUCAGAAAUUCAAGAACAUAUCCAUGAAGGUGGCCGUCGGACAAGCUUUACCUUCUGGCCCUAAUGCACGCUGGCAUGGCCGUGAGAUUCCAGCUGGCUUUGGUAAAGUCGGGGUGGAUGAAAUCAUGACGGGGUUUAAUGAUAUGGAGCUCGACAUAGCUGGACCCGAAGAUGAGAGGACACUCGGAGAAGUACUGGGUGGAGUCAUCCUAUGGGACAAGCACUAUAUCAAGCUUCCAGGCUCGGCCCCAAGGACAACACCGCCUCCGAGUCGUCGCAGGUCACAUACACCUCCAUUACCUCCAAGCCCUCCACAUGACGUCGGCCAGCACAACACGAGUCCAUCUCGAUCACCGCAGCCGGACUUGGGUCGUCCGUCUCCGCCGCCGCCCGCACAUGAUACUAAGCGGAAGCAUGCCAGCAAGAACGCUUCGUCGAUGAUUUCUAAGGGAUGGAGCUCCCCAAAGCGCAAACUAUCGCCCCUCCCAAAGGUACCUCAUGCUAAUCUUCCUAUCAGACCUUAUGAUCGUACCCCCGAGGAAAAUGCCAGGAUAGCAAAGGAACAACAUGAUGCGCAGAUGAAAAGGAAGAAACCCGAGCCCCGCCCGAAAUACACCGAGAAGAACAUAGCAUGGGCAAAAGACUUCAUAACCACUCCAUCACAGUAUGACUUACACUAUAAGCCUGAUGACUAUACACGCACAUUGCAGAAGGAAGUGAAAAAGAGCAGGUCACAUGCAAGUGCAAGUGGGAGCAAAUCAAGUUCAACUACAAGCAAGAAAAAAUCAGACGUUCCUCAGCUUGGACAACAGGCCAAACAGUCGAUCCCACCCCUCAAGGUGUUAACCGAGAAUGUUCCCUCUCCGGUGCAGGGGCAAGCUUUUGAAAAAGCAAAGGAGUUGGCGGAUGAAUGUGGUAUCUUGGUUGAAAAUUUGCUGGCUUCCCAAGACGACAGGAUACCCAAGGCUGUGGUAGCCCCUUAGCCACAGUUUGUCAUGGGAGAGCCUUUGGCGAGCAAAGAUGAUCUCCCAACAAAUGUGCGUUACUUGCAUAAAUGGUACUUAAGUGAAUCAAAUAAUGGGAGAACGAUGAUCGUGCUGAGUGUCCCACAUGAGUACUACGGCCGCUCCGAAGAAAUCCAUAUCGACUUUGAUGAACUCUUCCAGAUGUACAAUGGCGACGCCCUCGACAAAUCGCUUAUGAGUUGCUAUUGUCUGUAAGUUUUUCAAUUCGUUGUCUACAUAUAACUUGUUUAGUUAUUUCAAUUCAUUGUCUAUAUGUAACUUGUACUCUAUUAUGCAGAAUGAAGAUUCUGGAGUGUAAAAGUAAGAGCAUCCUAAAUAUUGGGUUUAUUGAUCCAGAUAAAAUACAUAUAGCGACGCUAACUAAUUAUCCCAAGGAGACGGAGGAAAACCUUCUAAGGUUUCUAAGAGAUCAAAAUUUCUGUGAUCACAUACUGUUUCCAUACAACUUCAGGUGAGGUUCUUUACUCUGUUGUGUCCAUUCACUUAUAAGUGUAAUUGAUAAGUUACUCACACACACNNNNNNNNNNNNNNNNNNNNNNNNNNNNNNNNNNNNNNNNNNNNNNNNNNNNNNNNNNNNNNNNNNNNNNNNNNNNNNNNNNNNNNNNNNNNNNNNNNNNCCGUGAUGUGUUUGGUGUCCAUUUUCGAAUGAUUCGAGAUACCAUUGAUGAUACAUGAAAUUUGGAGUGAUUUAGUCAUACUCCUGCCUAGGCGUAUAAUAUGCAUACUCGUAGUCUUCAUAGCCGCUGUCGUCGUUGUACUGGUAGUCGUCGCCUUCUAAGUUGCCGCCGUCGUCGUCGCUGCUGUCGUCGCUGUCGUCGGGCGGCGCUCGUGGCUCGAACUGAGGGUAGCGCAGGCGGGGGAUAUCGCCGGCCGUGAUGUAGUCCAUGACGCUCUGCAGAGUCCGGCCGUACCACCAUAGCCGACGGCCGGCCUCGUGGAAGUUCCCAGGAGGCAGACCGUCCUCCUCAUACCUGGCGAGCGCCCUCUCACGCCGAUUGAUGAAGAAGGCGUCCCAAGUAUGCUGGUUAUCGGGAUGCCAGCGGGGAUUCAUCCGCUGCUCCGGCGUGAGGUCGAGGUAGUAGUGGUUCGUGAUGGCCGCCCGGCGCGCAGUACCCUGAGGGACGGGAGGGACCGGCACGCUGCCGGCGCUUAGGCUCCAGCCGGUGGGGACGCGGUAGCCCGGUGGACAAGGGUAGUUCGAGGCGCAAAGCUCCUCCACCUGCUGGUAGGUUAGAGUGGGUGCGGUGGAAGCCAUGAGAGAGUGAUGAGAGAUUGUAGAGAUGUGAUAAUGCUGGCCAAGCCGGGCUACAUAUAUGUAGUGAGAAAUGGCGGGAAAAAUGGGAGCGGGAUGACAGGAGGCGGGAAGACAGGAGGCGGGAAGAAAGUGGCGGGAAGAAAGAGGCGGGAAGACAGGGAAGAAAUGGCGGGAAGAAGAGGAAUCCAGAGCUGGUCAUCUAACCUUUAGUCCCGGCUGGUUGGUGCAACCGGGACUAAAGGCCAGACCAACCGCGACUAAAGGUCGUUGCGCGCGGGGAACGCAAAAACGACCUCUCAGCGGGCGGAUAGGAGAAGAAAGGGGCGGCGCGCUCACGGCUCGGGCGAGAGGCCUCUCAGCGGGGCAUCACAGCCACCGCACCAGGCAGGCGUGAGCAAGAUGGGUCGAGGCCGAAGGCCGGCCCAGGCCGGGGGGGAGAGAGGCUCUGGCCAAUGUUCCCUUUAAAUGGAUUCUCUUUUUUCUGUCCCGUUUUAGGCAGAUUCAAUGUAUUGUCUCUAUGCAUAUUUUUCCUACGAAAAUAUGCUUAGAAAACAGAAAAUAAAAUGUUUGAAGUUUCUAUAAAAGCAAUGAUGAUUUUUCUGAAAAGAAAAAGAUAAAAGGUUCUGAAAAUAAAAGAAGAUUUGGGGGGGGCCUUUAGUCGCGGUUGGUCUGGCAAACCGCGACUAAAGGUUACCCUUUAGUCGCGGGUCGCCUCCCCAACCGCGACUAAAGGGGGGNNNNNNNNNNNNNNNNNNNNNNNNNNNNNNNNNNNNNNNNNNNNNNNNNNNNNNNNNNNNNNNNNNNNNNNNNNNNNNNNNNNNNNNNNNNNNNNNNNNNAAGCCAUGAGAGAGUGAUGAGAGAUUGUAGAGAUGUGAUAAUGCUGGCCAAGCCGGGCUACAUAUAUGUAAUGAGAAAUGGCGGGAAAAAUGGGAGCGGGAAGACAGGAGGCGGGAAGAAAGUGGUGGGAAGAAAGAGGCGGGAAGACAGGGAAGAAAUGGCGGGAAGAAGAGGAAUCCAGAGCUGGUCAUCUAACCUUUAGUCCCAGCUGGUUGGUGCAACCGGGACUAAAUGUGGUUUUUGUGUCAUCUAAGAAAACUGUCGGUGGGAUAAGGACGUUUGAAUUAAAUUAGUGUUAUUUUUCUGAAUUUUUUGAUAUAUUAUUUGUAUUUUUAACAUUUUGAAUUGAAUUAGUUUUAUUUUUCUUAAUUUUUUGAUAUAAUUUUUGUGUUUUUAACAUAUUGAAUUGAAUUAGUUUUAUUUUUAUGAAUUUUUUGAUAUAUUAUUUGUAUUUUUAAGAUAUUGAAAAAGAAAAGUAUUUUGAAAAAUACCUUUAGUCGCGGUUGGCCAGAACAACCGCGACUAAAGGUCGUUGCGCGCCGGAACGAAAAAACCCUUUAGUCGCGGUUGGUUUAGCCAACCGCGACUAAAGGUUACCUUUAGUCGCGGGUCGCCUCCCCAACCGCGACUAAAGGGUUUUUGGCGGGUUUAAAGGGUUUUUGGCGGGUUUUUGCGUUCCCGCGCCCCCCCCCCCUUUAGUCGCGGUUGGGGAGGCGACUAAAGGGGGGGGGUUAUAAAUACAAGGGCCUGCCGCCGUCUNNNNNNNNNNNNNNNNNNNNNNNNNNNNNNNNNNNNNNNNNNNNNNNNNNNNNNNNNNNNNNNNNNNNNNNNNNNNNNNNNNNNNNNNNNNNNNNNNNNNUAGAGCGCGAGACGGGGCGGCAGACGACGGCGUCACGGAGAGGGAGACCCGGGACCAUACUUUUUUUCUCAUCACUGCCGUGUGUACUAACCACACGAGUAUGAGACCCGGGACUGUGCAGGUGCAUCGAGAAAUCUUAGGGCUCGACAAUAUGUUUUCUCUUCGUGGGAUGCUAGCGGUCGCAUCAACUGAGCGUUUUCUUCCCGACGUCUUCUAUUCUCAAGAUGAAGUGAUGACCUCCCUUUCUUUCCCCCGUUCUUGCAUAGUCUUCCCGACGGCUGUGGCUGAAUAUCCGACACAUGAAAAAGUUUUAACUAGAGUUUUUGACCGUGAACCUGCUGCUUCAGCUUUGCACUGGCCGACCGCCGAUUCGCUGGUUCAUUUGCUAGUUUUUAAUCAUAAAAGAAAAUACUUUCUUUGUUCCUAAAUAAUUGUAGUUAAAAAAACUAGACUAUCUUUUUUUGACUAUAAUUAUUUAAAAACGGAGGGAGUAAAUAUUAUGUAAGUAUCUCAUUAUUAAAAGAGGAGUUGGUUCCGUUGCCUCUCCUACUCCCUUUGUUUUUUCGUCCCAUGACUCCCUCUCUUCUUAACCAAAAUAGAUAGUCUUAAACUCAACCAAAAAUGGUGAACUUUUCCAAAUUCGCUAAUUUUUUUCAAUUUAGAUUGAUUAAUUAUUUAAAUUGAUGAUUUUUUAACUCGAUGAUCUUUUUUAUAUUCGAUGAAACUUUUUCAUAUUUGAUAGUCUCUGUUCUUUUUCAUAUUCGAUGAAACUUUUUAUAUUCGAUGAAACUUUUAAAUAGAUAGUCUCUGUUCUUUUUCUUCCAAGACGUUCUUCCAAGACGUUCUUUUUCUUCCAAGACGUUCUUCCAAGACGUUCUUUUUCUUCCAAGACGUUCUUCCAAGACGUUCUUCCAAGACGUUCUUUUUCUUCCAAGACGUUCUUCCAAGACGUUCUUCCAAGACGUUCUUCCAAGACGUUCUUUUUCUUCCAAGACGUUCUUCCAAGACGUUCUUUUUCUUCCAAGACGUUCUUCCAAGACGUUCUUUUUCUGCGAGCCCUGUCGGCAUCGAUGGGCGCGGGGACGAGGGCGGCUAUGAGCGCAGCGACGAGCGCAAUGCUUCGAGCGGAGGAAGCGAGGAAGGCGGCGACAGGAAGCGAGGAAGGCGGGCGCGGCGCGGGAAAGAUGAAAGGAUAGGGGUGAACCCUUUAGUCGCGGGCGAGGGCNNNNNNNNNNNNNNNNNNNNNNNNNNNNNNNNNNNNNNNNNNNNNNNNNNNNNNNNNNNNNNNNNNNNNNNNNNNNNNNNNNNNNNNNNNNNNNNNNNNNAUGACGCUAGGGUUAUAGGGAAUUGUUGUACGAGGUUACCGAAAGUUGUUCGGAGUCCCGGAUGAGAUCCCGGACGUCACGAGGAGCUCCGGAAUGGUCCGGAGGUAAAGAUUGAUAUAUAGGACGGAUGGGUUUGGACACCGGAAGUGUUUCGGGCGUCACCGGUAACGUACCGGGCCCACCGGGACCACCGGAGGUGGUCCCGGGGGCCCACCGAAGGGGGGCAACGACCCCGGGAGGCUAGAUGGGCUAAGUGGGGAAGGGAAUCAGCCCCUAAGUGGGCUGGUGAGCCCCCACCCAGCCCAUGCGCACCAGAGAAAGGGGGGAAGGGGAGAACCCUAGCUUAGGUGGGCCUAAGGCCCACCAGAGGGGUGCGCCACCCCUCCUCCCUGCCCUGGCCGCCGCCCCCUCUCCCAUCUGGGGCUGCCGCACCCCUUGGGGGUGGGAACCCUAAGGGCUGCGCCCCUCCCUCUCCCCCUAUAUAUAGAUGAGGGUUCGGGGCUGUUUGACACACGGUUUCAUCUCUCUCUCGGCGCAGCCCUGCUCCUCUCCCUCCUCCUCUCUGCCGGCGCUUGGCGAAGCCCUGCCGGGAGACCUCGUCUCUCNNNNNNNNNNNNNNNNNNNNNNNNNNNNNNNNNNNNNNNNNNNNNNNNNNNNNNNNNNNNNNNNNNNNNNNNNNNNNNNNNNNNNNNNNNNNNNNNNNNNCGGUGGCGGUGGCGGUGGCGAAAGGGCGGUGGCAAAAGGAGGGGGCGAGGAAGGGGUGGGAGAGGGUGUCCGGAUCGUGAAGUUUGUAUGCUUGCAAUCUAUAGAGGUUGUGCUUUUGAUCUUUUGUUCGAGGGGUUGUUGUGGACUGUUCAAGGGACAUCAAGAACAACCUACACCAACUCUUCUUCCUCUGCAUCUUCAUAGUGAUCCAGGACCUUGAUCGUAGGGCUAUUUUUCUUUUGUUUUCUACUGUAUUUCAAAACAGUGACAUCAUGAGCAAUUCUAUGAGGCCAACCGCGACUAAAGCCCCUCACGUGCACCAGCUGGCCACCGAGCGCCCUGGCCCAGGCCUUUGGUCGCGGUUCGUCUGUCGAACCGCGACUAAAGAAAUCAUUAGUCGCGGUUCCUACAGUNCGAACCGCGACUAAAGAAAUCAUUAGUCGCGGUUCCUACAGUGUCGCGACUUAUGGGCUGGACGGAAGCCUCUUUUUCUACCAGUGUGCAUACAUGUAUCCCUAUGAAUGCACACAAGCACACUUUAUCCCUAUGAGCAUCUUCGAGAAAUUGGACCGGCAUAUCAUUUUGAAAUAUACGAAGUCACCGUAGGCACCGUAGGCAUAUCAUUUUGAAAUUGGGUCGUCUAAUUUGUGGCUCGGUUGUGUUGCUACUCUUGCCCCUCUUUUCCCUAGCAAGCUUUCUCAUGGUUUUAUGCUUUGGGGGAAAUCCCAAUUCCCUUCCUCUUGGGAAGAAAUUUUUAACUAAGCUUUCUCAUGGUUUUCUACAAAGUUAUUGACAAAGAUUAGUGUGGGGAUAGAGACGGCCGGCGGCGAGGGCGAGGGGCGACGGCGGGCGACGGCGGGCGGCGUACNNNNNNNNNNNNNNNNNNNNNNNNNNNNNNNNNNNNNNNNNNNNNNNNNNNNNNNNNNNNNNNNNNNNNNNNNNNNNNNNNNNNNNNNNNNNNNNNNNNNGAAUUCUUUUUGGUUCUAAUUUCAAAUUUGUUUGAAAUUGUACAUUCAUAUGCAUGUAUGUAGUACCGUAGAAUAUGUGAAACUCCUUCAAAAUUAAAAUAAAGCACAAAAGAAAUAAAACAAUACAAACUAAACAGAAAACAGGUUUAGGGGGGGGGGGCUAAACCCUGUGGCGGCCUUUAGUCGCGGUUGGCCAGAAGAACCGCGACUAAAGGUCCUCCGCCCCGACGGCCGCCUGGCGCCCACGUGGACGGGCCUUUAGUUGCGGUUCUUAAGCAACCGCGACUACAGGGGGGGCCUUUAGUCGCGCCUAUUUGGUCGCGGUUGCGCAACCGCGACUAAUGGCAGUUGCGAACCGCGACCAAAGGCCCUUUUUCCACCAGUGGUAGGUGACUACAACUUGCAAGAUAGGAUCUAAAACACACAUAUAUUGGCGACAACAUAAUAGGUUCAGAUCUGAAAUCAUGGCACUCGGGCCCUAGUGACAAGCAUUAAGCAUGACAAAGUAGUAGCAACAUCAAUCUCAGAACAUAGUGGAUACUAGGGAUCAAUCCACUAGUAGAAAAUAGGGCUUUGGUUCGGGCCUGGCCAGCCCAUUAGUCCUGGUUCUUCACGAACCGGGACCCAUGGGGGGCAAUAGUCCCGGUUCAUGAGCCUAGGGGCCGGCCGGGGCCUCGUGGGCAUUGGUCCCGGUUCGUGUGGACCCAUUUGUCCCGGUUCUAGGCACGAACCGGGACCAAUGGGCCGCGCUCCUGGCCCACAUCCAUUGGUACCGGUUUAUGCCUUGAACCGGUUUAGAAGGCAGCCCCGGUUUAUGCCUCGAACAAAUGUAAUUCUAUCAUGGAAAAAUCUAAAGGGAAGUGUGCGCACGUGAACCCUCCCGUGCGGCGGGCUUACGCUGGAUUCCCUUUCUCUGAUCAGAAUUCAAAAACUUUUAUCUCUUAAACCGUUAAUUCGACCGAUGAUCCGUUUUCGUUGUUGACUUUGUUUCGACGAUAUCUUCAAAACUAGAUCCCAUGUCCACAUGUUUUGACAAUUUUUUUUCUCGUACUCACCUCAUUUGUUGCACUUACUUGUCAUAUUAGUAAGUACUUACUUGUCUGAUAAAAAAUAAUUUAAUCACCAUAUUUUUGAAAAUUGCGUAUAAAUAUGAUAUUUCGACAUAAUCAAGCUGACAAGUACAAACAACUUUUUUUAGAUGAUUACGCGCAAAAAAAUGACAACUCAACUUAUUUAAAACCGGUGACGACAAAAAAUCUUAUUUGAUCAUCGUUUGUAAAUAUGACAACUCGACAUAGUUAAACUAACAAGCACAUAAAAUAGUUUUCUGACAAAUUAUAUGUAAAUAUGACAAGUUGACAUAUUUUUCAAAUUGGCAAACACAAUUUAUGACAUGCUUUUAUAUCAUGUAUAAUGAAAACUGCUACAAGGCUUUGGACGAAAUAACAUUAAAAAGUGUAAAUCAAGUUAUUUUUUUCAGACAAGUAAGUGGUUAAUAAUAUGGCAACUUGGUCAAAAAAAUGUGGCAAGUAUGAAUGAAAAAAAUAGUUGAUGAAACAUAUCGAUAUGGGAUCUAGUUUUGAAGAAUUUAUUGCGAGAAAGUCAAUGUUGUAAACGGAUCAUCGAUUGAAUUAACGGUUUUGUAGAUAAAACUUUUUGAAUUUCAAACAUCAAAUGCAUGAAAAAUAACAAAUGAAGUCAAAAAGGGUUGUAAAUUGAUGAUGCACGAAGUGCAUCCAUUUUUUGCCGUAACCCUCUCAACUUUCUCGCACAUGCUAUGUGGGCGAAAUGAUGAUACCAUGCNNNNNNNNNNNNNNNNNNNNNNNNNNNNNNNNNNNNNNNNNNNNNNNNNNNNNNNNNNNNNNNNNNNNNNNNNNNNNNNNNNNNNNNNNNNNNNNNNNNNNNNNNNNNNNNNNNNNNNNNNNNNNNNNNNNNNNNNNNNNNNNNNNNNNNNNNNNNNNNNNNNNNNNNNNNNNNNNNNNNNNNNNNNNNNNNNNNNNNNNNNNNNNNNNNNNNAGUAAAUGCAUGAAAAAUUACAAAUGAUGUCAUAAAGGGUUGUAAAUUGAUGAUGUGGCUUUGAAUGGUGCAUUUUGAACACAAAAAAACUAUGGAGUUCAAAUAAGUUCAAAAAAAUGAAAUCCCUUUGUAAGAGACGAGUUUCCGUAUGAAACCCUGAUACUUCCAAAGAGAUNNNNNNNNNNNNNNNNNNNNNNNNNNNNNNNNNNNNNNNNNNNNNNNNNNNNNNNNNNNNNNNNNNNNNNNNNNNNNNNNNNNNNNNNNNNNNNNNNNNNNNNNNNNNNNNNNNNNNNNNNNNNNNNNNNNNNNNNNNNNNNNNNNNNNNNNNNNNNNNNNNNNNNNNNNNNNNNNNNNNNNNNNNNNNNNNNNNNNNNNNNNNNNNNNNNNNNNNNNNNNNNNNNNNNNNNNNNNNNNNNNNNNNNNNNNNNNNNNNNNNNNNNNNNNNNNNNNNNNNNNNNNNNNNNNNNNNNNNNNNNNNNNNNNNAGUAAAUGCAUGAAAAAUAAGAAAUGAAGUCAGAAAGGGUUGUAAAUUGAUGACGUGGCUUUGAAUGGUGCAUUUUGAACACAGAAAAACUAUGGAGUUCAAAUAAGUUCAAAAAAAUUAAAUCCCUUUGUAACAUACGAGUUUCCCUAUGAAACCGUGAUACUUCCAAAGAGAUNNNNNNNNNNNNNNNNNNNNNNNNNNNNNNNNNNNNNNNNNNNNNNNNNNNNNNNNNNNNNNNNNNNNNNNNNNNNNNNNNNNNNNNNNNNNNNNNNNNNNNNNNNNNNNNNNNNNNNNNNNNNNNNNNNNNNNNNNNNNNNNNNNNNNNNNNNNNNNNNNNNNNNNNNNNNNNNNNNNNNNNNNNNNNNNNNNNUAACCCUCUCAACUUUCUGGCACAUACUAUGUUGGUGAAAUGAUGAUACCAUGCCAACUUGGAACCUUUUCAGAGUUCAUUUCAAAUGCUUUCAAUUUCAUGGUCUUAUAGCUCAAAAUAAUCAGUAAAUGCAUGAAAAAUAACAAAUGAAGUCAGCAAAAGGAAUCAACUAAAAAUCUUUUAUAAACCUCUAGUAUUAUCGAAACUAAAAUUAUAUAGAAUUUUGUUACAAACUUUAAUAGAAAAAAAUAUUAUCAUAAAAGAAAAUAAAUAAGUAAUUAGAAUUUUGUUCAAAACAUUAAAAGCAAAAAGAAUUAUCAUAAAAUAAAAUAAAUAAGUAAUUAGAAUUUUGUUACAAACUUUAAUAGCAAAAAGAAUUAUCGUAAUAGAAAAUAAAUAAGUAAUUAGAAACACAUUACUAGGGCCAGGAUGCAGGCCCGCAGUAGGCCCAAUAGGCCCACAAGCACAGAGAGUGAUUUUAGGCCUGUAAGCCUGUAGUAGAGAGGAGCUCGAAGUGGUUGGUUUGGCAUGGCUUAUAAACCACUCCGAGCCCCUCUCGGCUAGCGAGGUGGGACUAAACAUAGCACCGCACCGCACAAGUCCUUUGGUCCCGGUUGGUGGAACCAACCGGGACUAAAGGGGGGAAUUGGUACGGUUGGUGCAACCAACCGUGACCAAAGGCCUCUGCUUCCCGCCCUUUGGGCUGCUGAAAAGAGACCUUUGAUCCCGGUUUGUGCCACCAACCAGUACCAAUGGCUCUGCUUCCCGCCCUUUGUGCUGCUGAAAAGAGACCUUUGGUCCCGGUUGGUGCCACCAACCGGUACUAAAGGUGGGGCUAUAUAAGCGUCAGUUUAGAAAUUUUGAUCACUCCCCCUCUCUCCAUUCGAUCCCGACGCCGCCAGGCUGCCNNNNNNNNNNNNNNNNNNNNNNNNNNNNNNNNNNNNNNNNNNNNNNNNNNNNNNNNNNNNNNNNNNNNNNNNNNNNNNNNNNNNNNNNNNNNNNNNNNNNNNNNNNNNNNNNNNNNNNNNNNNNNNNNNNNNNNNNNNNNNNNNNNNNNNNNNNNNNNNNNNNNNNNNNNNNNNNNNNNNNNNNNGACGCCGUCGCCGCCCCCGCCCCGCGCCCCGUGCCCCGCGACGCCGCCGGCCCCUACUCGUCGCCGCCCCGCCCCGGCCCGCGCCGCACCUCACCGUCGAUCGUCGCCGCGCCACCCCGCCCCGCGCCGCACCUCCCCGUCGCCGUCGCCGUCGCCAUCACCGUCCCUGACACCGUCGCCGUGAGCAAUGAUUUUUUUUCUCCUAAAAGAUUUAUACCUAAAUAUUAUGUUUUAUGAUCCUGAAUCUUCACAACAAAGGGUUAACGACAUACAAACAUUUACCACAUGAAUUUAUGCCACGAUGGAUUUCUGUAAGUCCACUAAUGAAUUUUGGAUUUUGGACCAGUCUUUCUGCCGGAAGUCAGCCACAAAACUGGGCAUCAUGUUAUGCCAACAAUGUAUACAUAACACUGAUAGAUUAAUCUUAAGAAAUAAUUUACUGCUAGCUGCAUGUAGUUUAUACCCAAAAAGCUCUAAAAGGUACAUGACACAAUAAAUGGUGGAAAAAAGAUAGAGCAGUGAUAAAAUUCUAUUAAUUUGCAAGCAUACAUAGAUGAUCCCUAGUUGGCAAGUACAUUUGAAAGCACAUAUAUGAAUAGAUGAUCCCUAGUUGGCAAGACUACUUUAUUUAACUAUAUAUAGAAGUAGUUCCCGCUUUAUUUAACUAUGUAUGAUGAUGAUUAAUUAGUAGGACUUGUUGUUAUAUAUGAUGAUGCAUGAUGCGAGCAUGAAGAGUUAUUAUAUAUAGAUGUUCAAUUCUUUCGAUAUAUAUAGUGUGUCACGAUUAUAUUGUUGUUUACACACAUUUACCACAUUAAAAUAGGAAAUGUCUGACGAUGGAUAUUGGGAGUGUGAAUAUUGCGGCGACUCUCGGGGUAUGUGCGACAUGCCUCACCUGCGAGACGAUAGGUUCUUCAGCAUGAAGCUUGACGAGAACGGCGAUAUGUACCUCCCUUGCCAUGCAAGAAGUUAUGUGUUGGAGAGGCUCGGUUUCGAAGAGCACGAGAGAAUUGAGACGAGGAGCGCUAAGCUAAGGACUAUAUAUGGUCACACAUUUGUUAUCCAAGUAUUUAAUUUAGUUUUUCAAACAGAAUUUGGGUGCCCAAAGUGGGAAGAUCUUUGCAAGGCAUAUGGAUUUCAGAAGGGAAUGGAAAUCACCUUUGAUCUUCAUCCUGAAGAUAAUAUGCCAGACAACAUCGACAUUUGGGUGGUUGUCGAUGAUAUGCUUCCUGUUUUACCUCCAUGUGAGUUUCUCAACCAUAUUUGUCAAGUAAUUUGCAUUUAUAUUUAUAAAUAGUUGGUGUAGUCAACCUGUUUUCCUCUCGCAAUUUACAUGUCAUGUGGUGUUCAUCGUCUAUUAAAACUUUGGCCACACGUUGCAGGUUCCUAGUUAUUGGGCCAUAGUUAUAAUUAUAUCAUGUUGCAUGUUGUACAAACAACAACAACAACCCAAAUUGUCCUUUGAAUGAUCGUAGCACAUGUGGUCAUUUUGAAUGGUUUAUAUAAUUCCCACAUCUUGUGGACAAUUACAAAAUUUCUAAGUAUUUUUGAAACAUUAAAUUAUUACAAAAUUUGGGUGGUUGUCGAUGAUAUGCUUCCUGUUUUACCUCCAUGUGAAGUAAUUUGCAUUUAUAUUUAGAAAUAGUUGGUGUUCAUCUAUAUACUAAAUUUGUUAAAUUAUAAUUUACAGCUUAUUUCGUUGCUUCGAUUGAAUUACGAAAAUUAACUGACACGACACACUACACGUAUGGAUCACACCUAACUUGGAAGGAGAAGGAUGAUCUUCUCCACUUUCUUGUUGCUGGUGUUCUGGCUUCUAGGGAUACCUUCCCGUAUCAUUUUGGAAUUGGCCAAAAUUAUUCAUUUUACAUGCCACUAGUGCAUAGGUUGAGUCCAGAUGACAUUCGCUGAAAUGUCUUGGUAAGAGUUUCCUAAUUAAGUACGCUCCGCUACUGCAUAAAUGGUGUUGAUUACAUUGCUAACUAGGUUAUUAUUAUGUUCUUCAACAACAACUGCCACAUGAUGUAGUGCCUCCGUUAAUGGACCCAGGAGGUCAAAUGAGAAUUAGAAGGCCGCUGAGGGCUGAGUUCUAUGCUCCAUAGUUGAUUAACUUCAAAUCAAGAUCAAAAAGACUCCAAAUUAAAGCAUGGAGAGAAAUAAAGAAGGUUUGCAAGCCACAAGCUGGAGACCGUUGGAUCUCUGUGAUUCAUCAUGGAGCCAUAGGUCUUAUUCUGUUUUAUGACAUUAUAUCUAAGAGCGAGGACUAGGUCUUAUGAGAGACAAGUUAUUAUAGUUUAUAUUAUUACUUGACAUGAUCGAUUAAUUAGGAUGCAUGAUGCAUAUGAUGACUAUAUUUAUAUUAUGAUGUUUCUCUGUUUUAUUUUAUGUGUAUCAUAUGAUAACUUGGUAUAUGGUUAAGUUGAUGAUGAGUUGUUAGAUGAUCGAUUAGAAUACUAUUGCCAUUCGACGAAAAUGAGAUGAAAUGAUAUAGUGUAAAAAAGAUGCAUAUAUGUGCAUGUAACUCGUGUCUACAUUUUGUACAUAUGUUCGACAAAGCACGACGGAUGACCAAGCACGGAGAUAUAUAAGAGAGGACACUUUUCUCUAUUAGCUAGCUAAUAACAACCUAAAUUAACCCCUAAACCAGCCCCUUUAAAAAAACCUCAGCUCCAGCCACGGGCUGACGCGUGCAUGCCUUUUGGUCCCGGUUUGUGUCAUCAACCGGGACUAAAGGCCCCCCUGCCUGGCCUGGCCGCAACGGCCACAUGGAGGCCCACCUGUCCUGGUUCGUGUAAGAGCCGGGACCAAAGGCAAAGGGCAUUAGUAACGACCUUUUUGUCCCGGUUCCGAAACCGGGACAGAAGGCCCUUAUGAACCAGGACAAAAGGCUCUUUUUCUACUAGUGAUCCCGGUCAAAACUAACUCGAUUACAUGAUAGAUCUCAUCCAACUCAUCACCGUCCAGCAAGCCUACGAUGAGAUUACUCACGAACGGUGAGGAGCAUCAUGGAAUUAGCGAUGAAGGAAGGUUGAUGAUGACGAUGGCGACGAUCUCCCCUCUCCGGAGCCCAGAACGGACUCCAGAUCUUCCCUCAAGAUGAAGAAUAGGAGGUGGCGGCACGCCCGUAUCGUAGAACGCGAUGAAUCCCUCUCCUUGAUUUUUUCCCUAGCGAAACGGAAUAAAUAAAGCUGAGUUUGGAGGCGGUGGAGCCACGUGGGCCCUACAAGCCUGCCAGGCGCGGCCAGGGGGGUGGUCGCGCCUCUUGGGCUUGUGGCCCACUGGCUCACCCCCUCCGGCGGAUCUUUGCGCAUAUAUUUUUCAUUAAUUCCAGAAAAAUUCUCCGUAAAUUUUCAGGUCAUUUCGAGAACUUUUAUUUCUGCACAAAAACAACACCAUGGCAAUUCUGCUGAAAACAGCGUUAGUCCAGGUUAGUUCCAUUCAAAUCAUGGAAAUUAGAGUCCAAAACAAGGGCAAAAGAGUUCGGAAAAGUAGAUACAACGGAGACGUAUCAACUCCCCCAAGCUUAAAGCCUUGCUUGUCCUCAAGCAAUUCAGUUGACAAACAGAAAGAGACAAAAUAAAAACUUUGACGAACUCUGUUUGAUCUUGUUGUUGCAACUAUGUCUAACUCAUAACGAAAAUUUCAGCAAGAUCACAAGCAAACCACAUAAGCAAAUGACAUCUAGGUCUCACGGUAAACUCAUAUCAAUGGCAUAAUCAACUAGCGAGCAAAUAAUAAUAAGUCUCAAACGUCAACACUUCAAUCAAAACAAUCAUGAAGCGGUACGAAUAGAUGGUAUCUCGCUAGCUCUUUCUGAUACCGCAAAACAUAAAUGCAUAGCACCUUCAAAGACCAAGGGCUGACUAAACAUUGUAAUUCAUGGCAAUGAAGAUCCAGUCACAGUCAUACUCAACACAGUUAAAAGCAAAGCAUAAAAAUGAGAGAGGUUCUCUCUAAUUGGUGCUUUUAUAAGAGGAGGAUGACUCAAGAGGAACAUAAAUAGACAGGCCCUUCGCAGAGGGAAGCAUUGAUUUGCAGAGGUGUCAGAGCUCAAGCUUUGAAAACAGGGAUAAUAAUUUUGGGUGGCAUGCUUUCAUUGUCAACGCAAUGACUAAGAGUUCUCAACAUCUUCCAUGCUACACAUGCUAUAGGCGGUUCCCAAACAGAAAAGUAAAGUUUUGACUCCCCCACCACCAAUCAAUCACACUCCAUGGCUAGCCGAAUCCUCGGGUACCGUCCAUACCAACAUCAAUCCUGGGGGAGUUUUGUUUGCAGUUAUCUUUUCGAUUUGAGCAUGGAACUGGGAAUUCCAAUUACCGACCCCUUUCUCGUGAAUGAUAGUGAAUAAACAUAUAUCAAGGAUAACACGCCUAGCAUCGAAGAUACUAAUAGCCCCCUGUCACCACAUGAGCGGUUCGGGCAUGCAAAACAGAUUACUUCUUGAAGAUUUAGAGAGUGGCACAUGCAAAUUUACUUGGAACGGCAGGUAGAUACCGCACAUAGGUAGGUAUGGUGGACUCAUAUGGAACAACUUUGGGUUUAUGGAAGUGGAUGCACAAGUAGUAUUCUCGCUUAGUACAAGUGAAGGCUAGCAAAAGACUGGGAAGCGACCAACUAGAGAGCGACAACAGUCAUCAAAAUGCUUUGAGAUUAACUAACAUUGAGUGCAAGCAUGAGUAGGACAUAAAGCACCAUGAACAUGAAUAUCAUAGAGGAUAUGUUGAUUUUGUUUCAACUACAUGCAUGAACAUGCGCCAAGUCAAGCCACUUGAAUCAUUCAAAGGAGGAUACCAUCCUAUCAUACUACAUCAUAGUCAUCUCAACAUUCAUGUUAGCAACCAAGGCAAACCAUUAUAAGCUCCUAGCUAAAUAAGCAUGGCAUCAGCAACUAUGAUCUCUAAGCUGUCAUUGCAAACAUGUUUCUCUUACAACAAAGCUGAAUCAGGCACGCUGAGCUAGUCAUAUUUACAUAAACAAAAUAGAUCGAGUUCAUACCAGCUUUUUCCAGGCUCAUUCACUUCAUCAUAUAUCGUCAUUAUUGCCUUUCACUUGCAUGACCGAACGAUGUGAACAAUAAUAAGAGUGCUCGUGCAUUGGACUAAAGCUGGAAUCUACAGGCAAACACAAAGGAGAAGACAAAGUAAUACAACUCUAUGACAGCUAAACACGUAUGCAUGCAAGAGCCACUAAACAUUGUAACCAUGGUCUUCUACCUUGACCCAAAGAAAAAGAAAACUAUUUACACGGGAAAGCUCCCAACAAGCAAAAGAAAAAAAAGAAAGUAUUUUUGGGUUUUCUUCAAACUAGACAGACACACUAAACGAAAACGAGAAAAAGAAAAUAAACUAGCAUGGAUGAUACCGUGGCAAAGUGUGAACACCAACGAACAAAGUGAAAGCAUAGGCAAGAAUGUAAAGUCGAUGAGAAACACAUACUCCCCCAAGCUUAGUCUUUUGGCCUAAGUUGGUCUACUCCCAAGGAGGGAAAUAACCAGCUCCGGGGUACUCCGGAGUGGACUGAGGAUGCCACUGCUGUGUGAGCUCCUCUAGCUCCCACUGGUAAACUGGCGUCUGGUACUCGACUGGUGGCUCGGGCACGGGCACCUGUGGUUGGGCUAAGCCCCAAUAUGCAUAGAUGUCUGAGGGCAUAAUAAUGUACCUUCCUACAUGAAGAUUGAACAAAGAAGGAGCAGGCAAAGUAAUAGUCUCACGAGUACCCUGACUAAAUAACAUGUUAUAAAUCAUCCUUCUAUUUAUAUCUCUAUCAAGAAAGUCAUGGCGAACCAUGCUAUCGUAAUCUAGAUAUCUCUCGGGAAGAAGAAUCUCUUCUUCCCCUUCCAGUCUAAUAGGUAUAUCAAAGUGUCUAGCAAGACGAGUAAAAUAGAUACCUCCAUAGACAAUGCCUUUAGAACAGUUCGUGUUCAACGGUUGAGCUACUAUAGAGCCCAAGCAAUAAGAUCUAUCAUUAUAAAGGGCUUCGCGCAAGACCGCAAGAUCUGGGGAACUAAGUGACCCAGCUUUCCCACGGCCAAUCAAACAUUUUCCCACAAAUAAUGAGAAGUACCGAAGCACGAGAAAAUGAAUGCUAGCAUCUCUAGCGCAAGACACUCCUCUCUUCUGUCCUACAACAAUUGUAUCGAUGAAAGCCUCCAAGUCCCGUGGACGAGGUUCAUGAAUAUCCCCAACAAAAGGAAAUUUGCAAACAUUGCAAAAAUCCUGGAGUGACAUGCGCUGGGGGAUAUCAUAAAGUUUGAACUCAACCAUAGGAGGAUUCUUCCUCGGAUAGAAGUUAAAGCUUUGUACGAAGAUAUUAGUGAGGAGGAGGUAUUGCGGACACUUAUCUUCAACGAAGACGGUAAGGCGUGCGUUCUCCACGAAGUGAUAAAAGUCCUCAUAAAUUCCAGCGGCGCGUAAGAACACAUCGCUUGGCCACUUGCACGGUCGAACUUCCGCGAUUCGAGGGACCAGAUACUUGGGCUUCUUCUCACUUCCAUCAUCCUUGGGGCCACGGCUUGAAGAGCCUCUUAAGAACUUCCUCAUCUUUUCCCUUUUCUAUCUUUGAAAAUUUCUGAAAUUUUUAGUGACUCUAAGGAAAAGUGAACAAGGCUCAACAAAACUCAUAGCAGCUACUCCCAUAAGUGCCUAGAGGCCAUAUUACGCAUCAAAACUACUUGAGACCAGCUAAAAUUAGCAUGCAAAGCUCAAGAACAGGGUCACCAAGGUAGAAAAAAUACGCGAAGUAUAAGGCACUAGAGCAAAAACUAAUUGGACCAAUGGAGGAGUCACUUACCAAGAGUAAUUUCCCCAAAACAGUUUGGAGAAUGGUGCUUUGAGCAAAGAGAUCAAAAAUCCCAGCAAGAGGAGCAAGAACACGGGUUUGAUCUAUGAAAUGAUUUUUUCUGGAGGUAGGAGAACCAGAUGAGAGCAAGAAUGAGUGGAGGGGGUGCCUAUGGGCCCCACAAGCCUGGGUGGCACGGCCAGGUGUGUACCCGCGCCUCCGGGGCUUGUGGCCCACUGGUGCACCCCCCAGACUAGCUCUAAUUCCCAGUAUUUUUCAAAAAAUCCAGAAAAAAUCAUACUUGAUUAUCAGGACGUUUGGAGAACUUUUAUUUUCGGGGUACUUUUCCAUGGGACGCUAAAACAGAAAACAGGGAAAACUAAACUAAAUCUAUCAUUUUUCUUCUAAGCAACCGAAGGUGAAAGCUUGGAAUAGAGGUUUGUGACUUCUCGAUUCACCCAUCUCAUGGUCAUCGAAGGAAAUCCGUCAAUGAGGUUGAUCAAGUCUCCUCGACAAACCUUUUCGAAUCGCAAAAUAAGACGGAGAAUUUUUGAAUAGUCACUAGGUUACCUCAAUGGGGAUGUGUAUCUCCCGAACAAGCAAAUCAUACUUCAUCUUAACAGGAGGAAUAGGGCAUUGAAAGCUCCCAAUAAGAAUCGAUGAAGCCUUUUCGAUAUCAUUGAUGCAAUGUACUCGAUAUUGUUUCUUCGGAAAGUGCACCGUAUGCUCAUUACCUUUGACAUGGAAAGUGACAUUGCCUUUGUUGCAAUCUAUAACAGCCCCUGCAGUGUUUAAAAAGGGUCUUCCGAGGAUGAUAGCCAUGGCAUCGUCCUUGGGAAUAUCCAAGAUAACAAAGUCUGUUAAGAUAGUGACGCUAGCAACCACAACAGGCACAUCCUCGCAAAUGCCGAUAGGGAAAGCAGUUGAUUUGUCGGAAUUUGCAGAGAGAUUUCAGUGGGUGUCAACUUAUCCAGUUCAAGCCUACGAUAAAGAGAGAGAGGCAUAACACUAACACCGGCUCCAAGGUCGCAUAACGCAGUUCUAACAUAGUUGCCUUUAAUGGAGCAAGGUAUAGUGGGCACUCGAGGAUCACCUAGUUUCUUAGGAGUUCCACCCUUGAAGGUAUAAUUAGCGAGCAUGGUGGAAAUCUCAACCUCAGGUAUCCUCCUUUUAUUAGUCACAAUAUCCUUCAUGUACUUAGCAUACAGAGACAUUUUGAGCAUAUCUAUCAAACGCAUUUGCAGAAAGACAGGUCUGAUCAUUUCAACAAAGCGCUCAAAAUCCUCAUCAUCCUUUUUCUUGAAUGGUUUGGGAGGAAAGUGCAUGGGUUUCUGAACCCAUGGUUCCCUUUCUUUACCAUGCUUCCUAGCAGCGAAAUCGUUUUUAUCAUGUCUCUUAUUCUUAGGUUGUGGGUUAUCAAGAUCAACAUGUUCAAUCUCCACAUCCUUAUCAUUGCUAGGUUGAGCAUCAUCAUGAACAUCACUAUUGAUAUUAUCAUUAGGCUCAUGUUCAUCACGAGAUUGUGUUUCAGCAUCACAGACAGAGACAUCGUUUGGACUCUCAGGUGUAGCAGUAACAGGGUUGCUAGCGUGCAGGUUCCUAUCAUCUUUCUUCUUCUUUCUAGGAUGACAAGGUGCAUCAGUGCUAACUCCUUGAGAAUCUUGUUCAAUUCUCUUCGAAUGACCCUCAGAAUACAAGGGUUCCUGGGUCAUUCUACCGCCUCUAGUGACGACUCUGCAGAAUUGUCAUUUAACUCAUUGAGCAAGUCAUUCUGAGCUUUAAGUACUUGUUCUACCUAAGUAGUAACCAUAGAGGCAUGUUUACUCAGAAGCUUAAGAUGAUUGACGUUUCUAUCCACACAAGCACUUAUAUGACUAAGCAUACGAGCAUUCUGUUCCAAUUGUCUGCUAACAUAAUCAUUGAAACUUUGUUGUUUGGCAACAAAGUUAUCAAAUUCAUCCAAGCAUAAGCUAGCAGGUUUAUCAACACGAAUAUCACUCUCAUCAAACCUAUGCAGAGAAUUUACUUCUACUACGUGUAUCGGGUUAUCAAGACCAUGGAUCUCUUCGAUAGGUGGUAGAUUUUUCACAUCUUCAGAUUUAAUGCCUUUCUCUCGCAUAGAUUUCUUGGCUUCUUGCAUAUCUUCAGGACUGAGGAGUAGAAUACCUCUUUUUUUGGAGUUGGCUUAGGAGGUGGUUCGGGAAUAGUCCAAGCAUUCUCAUUGCACAAGAUGUUAUUCAAUAGGAUCUCAGCUUGUUCUAUAGUUCGUUCCCUAAAAACACAACUGACACAACUAUCUAGGUGGUCUUUAGAAGCAUCAGUAAGUCCAUUAUAGAAGAUAUCAAGUAUUUCAUUCUUCUCAAGAGCGUGAUCAGGCAAAGCAUUCAGCAGCUGGAUAAGCCUCCCCAAGCUUGUGAGAGACUCUCUUCUUCAGCUUGAGCAAAGUUGUAUAUUUCCUGCAAGGCAGCUUGCUUCUUAUGGGAAGGGAAAUAUUUUUCAGAGAAGUAGUAGACCAUAUCCCGGGGGCUACGCACACAACCAGGAGCAAGAGAAGUGAACCAGGUCUUAGCAUCAUCCUUUAGCGAGAAAGGGAACAACUUGAGGAUAUAGUAGUGGCGGAUCUUUUCCUCACUAGUGAAUAGGGUGGCUAUAUCGUGAAGUUUGGUAAGAUGGGCUACAACCGCUUCAGACUCAUAACCGUGAAAAGGAUCAGAUUCGACCAGAGUGACUAACUCAGGAUCGACAGAGAGUUUAUAAUCCUUAUCGAUCACAAAGAUAGGCGAAGUGGCAAACUUCGGGUCGUAUUUCAUCCUAGCGUUCAGAGAUUUUUCUUUCCUCUUGCGCAGUAAUUUAUCAACAUCAUAGCUAUCCUUACACGCGAGAAAAUCCUCAGCUAUCUCUCCCUCCAUAACAUAACGCUCGGGCAUAACAGGCAAUUCAUGCAUAAUAGCAGGUUCUACUUCAAUAGUAUCAGCAGGUUCAGAAGUAUCAUCACAUCUAGUAGCAACUCUAGCAAUUUGUGCAUCAAGGAAUGCACCUAGUGGCAAAGCAGUAUAAAGUAUAGCAUCAUCAGGCAUAGUAUCAAGCAUAGCAUCAUCAGGCAUAGUAUCAAGCAUAGCAUCAUCACGCAAAGCAGUAUCACGCAUGUCAUCAUCAUAAGCAUCAUGGGCAGCAGAAGUAGCAUCAUCAAGCACAGGCGACAUAUCAAGAUUUCUAGCAGGAGUUGAUGUCGCAAACUUACUCAUAACUGAAGGUGAAUCAAGUGCAGAGCUAGAUGGCAGUUCCUUACCUGUCCUCGUAGUGGAAGGCAAGACUUUAGUUCUUGGAUCUAUCGGAUUCCUCAUAGUGACCAGCAGACGUCAAUCCCAAGUGACUCAGAGAAUAUAGAUGUACUUCCCCGGCAACGGUUCCAGAAAAUAGUCUGGAUAACCCACAAGUAUAGGGGAUCGCAACAGUUUUCGAGGGUAGAGUAUUCAACCCAAAUUUAUUGAUUUGACUCAAGGGGAAGGGAAAGAAUAUUCUGAAGUAUUAGCAGUUGAGUUGUCAAUUCAACCACACCUGAAAGAUUUAGUGUUUGUAGCAAAGUAUCAGUAGCAAGGUAGUAUGAUAGCAGCAGUAGCAACAGUAACCAGUAGCAGCAGAGUAACAGCAGUAGCAGCAAAGUAACAGCAGCAGCAGCAAAGUAACGUAGCAAGGACCGGUAGUAAAAGACUUGUAGGCAUUGGAUCGGUGAUGGAUGAUUAUGCCGGAUGUGAUUCAUCAUGUUACAACUAUAACACGGAGAGAUAAGUAACUAGCUCCCGUUCGUCAAUCUAAUGUAGGCAUGUAUUCCGUAUGUAGUCAUACGUGCUUAGGGAAAAGAACUUGCAUGACAUCUAUUGUUCAUCCCUCCCGUGGCAGCGGGGUCCUAAUGGAAAAUAUGGGAUAUUAAGGUUCUCCUUUUAAUAAAGAACCGGACCAACACAUUAACACUUGGUGAAUACAUGAACUCCUCAUACUACGGUCAUCUCCGGGAGUGGUUCCGGCUAGUGUCACUUUGGGGUUGCCGGGUCAUAACACAUAGUAGGUGACUACAACUUGCAAGAUAGGAUCUAAAACACACAUAUAUUGGCGACAACAUAAUAGGUUCAGAUCUGAAAUCAUGGCACUCAGGCCCUAGUGACAAGCAUUAAGCAUGGCAAAGUAGUAGAAACAUCAAUCUCAGAACAUAGUGGAUACUAGGGAUCAAUCCCUUUCAAAACUAACUCGAUUACAUGAUAGAUCUCAUCAAACUCAUCACCGUCCAGCAAGCCUACAAUGAGAUUACUCACGAACGGUGAAGAGCAUCAUGGAAUUGGCGAUGAAAGAAGGUUGAUGAUGAGGAUGGCGACGAUCUCCCCUCUUCGGAGCCCAGAACGGAAUCCAGAUCUGCCCUCCAGAUGAAGAACAGGAGGUGGUGGCGCCUCUGUAUCAUAAAACGCGAUGAAUCCUUCUCCUUGAUUUUUUUUCGGGCGAAACGGAAUAAAUAGAGCUGAGUUUGGAGGCGGUGGAGCCACGUGGGCCCCACAAGCCUGCCAGGCGCGGCCAGGGGGGUGGCCGCGCCUCCUGGGCUUGUGGCCCAGUGGCUCACUCCCUCCGGUGGAUCUUUGCGCACGUAUUUUUCAUUAAUUCCAGAAAAAUUCUUCGUAAAUUUUCAGGUCAUUCCGAGAACUUUUAUUUUUGCACAAAAACAACACCAUGGCAAUUCUGCUGAAAACAGUGUUAGUCCGGGUUAGUUCCAUUCAAAUCAUGCAAAUUAGAUUCCAAAACAAGGGCAAAAGAGUUCGGAAAAGUAGAUACGACACAGGCGUAUCAGGCAUACCCUCGUGGAGUCCGCAAGCCGAACAACGUCCUUGGUGUGCUUUGCCGGACAAAUUUUCUGGGGUUUGUCAUGUUGCCUAGUGAGGGUCAGGUUCCUACACUAGGAUUUUCCUGGGAGGACUACCAAGCUGCGGAGGCCCCGCUUGAGGAAAUUAUAGAUGGUGUCUUGUGCCACACGAGGGCUGAGAUGGUGAUCAAGAGCUUUUGGGUAAAUUAUCCUUUUACACAAUCUAAAAUUAACAAUAUAGCUAAUUAUUAUACUAAUCGGUGUUGUCUCGUUUGAUUGUAGACCUUCUAUAGGUGUGAGGAGGGAUAUGAGGAGGAGGCGGCCAAGGUUCUCGAGGCCGAGUGUAGGCGGUUAUUACAUAACUUACGCCAUGAGGCUCGGCCGCAGGCUAUUUGAGACUACGCCACGCGUGGUAUUAAGAAGCAAAAGAAGGAGUGUCAUGGAAAGUAUCUGAAAAAGAAGCAAUAGAUGAAGGUAAUUACCUAUUCUUAAGGCCUUCUACGUAGUUCUCUUGAUUUCAUUCAUAGGCGUAGCACUCAAAAUUCUUUCUAAUAAAUUGUAGGUGCCCCCAAGAUGGUGUGCGAAUAAGAUGGAUUGUUGGGAGGUGUUGGUGGAUGAGUGGUGCACAGGGAACUGGCAAGCCGUCCACGAUAAUGCGAAGGAUCAGCGGACCAAAUGGUUGGUGUGCCCCACCAUCAAGGCAGCGCCAACUUACUUCAGUUUGGACGAAACUAGGUAUGUGGUUUGCUUCAUGAUUCAUGCAAUUCAUUCUUCAUGCUAGCUUGAGCCCCUUACUAAUACUUUUUUCCUCUCUUUUAGGCGCAUCACAAUAAGACAGAGAUGCCACACUUGUACGACAUUUAUGGCAUGGCCCAUGGUGCCUCCUGCAAGAAGGCGAAGGCAUUCUGUGAGUCUGACCUGGAUGAUCCAAAUAACUUCACCAACAUAUCAUCCCACCACAAGAUCGUGACAUACAGGGACACGGGGAAGGCUAGGAUGAUAUCUGGUGGCGGGAGGCCCCAUGGCUCGAUAGCCAUUGGAGAUGGGAUAAUACGUUGUCCACUCACUCUCCCGGAGAUCAAGGCACCCCAGUCGAGCUCCUAUCCUGAGAUAACGCCUCGUCCACGGCCAGUCGAUCUUGCCAUCGAGGUUAGUUGUACGGACUCAGAAAACUUUCAUCCAUUUCAUUAUGUGUGUGACCAUCGAUCAUUACUGUGGUAACGAGGAAUGGUGUUGCAGGCUGCUCUUCAGAAAGAGAGAGCGACAAACCAGGCUGCUCUUGAGCAAGAAAGAUUGGCAAGCUAGGCUGCUCUUCAGGAUGCUCUUGAGGAGAGGGACCGGACCACGACACAAAUGAUUGAGGAGGAGAGGGCCCGGGAUGACGCGGGUCAACGGGCCCUGUACGAGCUUUUUGUGGUAAUUUUUUUUUCACAUUAGCCAAAUCAUGUCUGUAAUGUCUGUUUCAUUACUAACCAAUACGACCGACUCUUCAGAGUCUGUGUGAGAAGAACGGUCAACUCCCUCCGCCGAUGCCCGUCUUCUCUACGAUUGGCACGGUGAGUUUCAUUUGAAUUGUCAUUAUAAACUAGUAUUAUCAAUUGAGUGUCAUCAUGCUAACUGAGACAUUGUAAAAUAUCUUUUCUGCAGAAUAACUCCCGAGCGGCAUCGCACGACACUUCUCGAGGACAACCAUCUCCAAACGAAGCCGGCGCGAGCAACCCUGGUGUUUCUUCUCCUUGAUGACCACGACGGUAAGUUUUCUCUAGUUCAUUUUUUUGACAGAAUUAGAUAAUUUAGCUCCUCCUCCUCUGAAAUGACAUAUUUAACCCAAGUUAGCUCCAAAACAACAUAUAGUUAGCUUGGCUUCCACCUAAAUGACAUAAUUAGCUUAGUUAACUCCAAAAUGACCUAUACUUAGCUAAGUUCUCUCCUAAAUGACAUAAUAAGGCUUAUGUAGAUCCAAGAUGACCUAUUCCCCCAAACUUAGGUAUAAAAUGGCCUAUAAUUAGCUUAACUAGCUCCAAAAUGGCUUAAUAAGCAUAGUUUCUCCAAAAUGACCUAUUUAACCCAAGUUAGCUCCGAAAGGACCUAUAAUUAGCUAGGCUUCCACAUAAACGACAUAAUUAGCUUAGUUACCUCCAAAAUGGAUUAUUUAAUAUAAAUGACCUAUACUUAGCCAAGUUCUCUCCUAAAUGACAUAAUAAGGCCUAAGAGAAGAAGAGAAGAAGAAAAAAUAAGAAGGAGAAGAAGAGAAAAAGGAAGAAAAGAAGAAUAAGUAGAAGAAGAGGAUAAAGAAAAAUAUAAAUAGAAAUAAGAGGAAGAAGAAGAAGAAUAAGAAGAAGAGGAGGAGCAAGAAGAGGAGAAGAGGAGGAGGAGGAGGGGGAGGGGGAGGAGGAGGAGAAGAAGAGGAGAAGAGGAGAAGAAAGAGGAAAAAUGAAAAGAAGGAAGAAGAAGAAGAAGAGAAGAAGAAGAGAAGAAGAAGGAGAAGGAGGAGGAGGAGAAGGAGCCCUCGUUCUUCUCCUUCUUCUCUCCUCCUUCUUCUUCUGCCUGCUUCUUCUCCUUCUUCUUCUCCUUCUUCUCUCCUCCUUCUUCUCCUCCUCCUUCUCCUUCUUCUUUUUCAUCUCCUUCUUCUCUUCUUGCUUCUUCUCUUUCUUCUUCAAUUUAGCUUAUUUUCCCCAACAAAUACAUACUUAGCUAAUUAUCCUCCAAAAUGCCAUAAUUAGCUUAGUUAGGGUAAAAACAUCAUAAGAACCUUGGUUAGCUCAGAACUUAGCUAAUUAUCCUCCAAAAUGACAUAAUUAGCUUAGUUAGCUCAAAAAUGGCCAAUUUAAUAAAAAAUGACUUAUACUUAGCUAAGUUCUCUCCUAAAUGACAUAAUAAGGCCUAAGAGAAGAAGAAAAGAAGAAAAAAAUAAGAAGGAGAAGAAGAGAAAAAAGAAGAAAAGAAUAAUAAAUAGAAGAAGAGGAUAAAGAAAAAUAGAAAUAGAAAUAAGAGGAAGAAGAAGAAGAGGAGGAGGAAGAAGAGGAGAGGAGGAGGAGGAGAAGAAGAAGAAGAGGAGGAGGAGAAGAGGAGAAGAAAGAAGAAAAAUGAAAAGAAGGAAGAAGAAGAAGAAGAAGAGAAGAAAAAGAGAAGAAGAAGAGAAGAAGAAGGAGAAGGAGGAGGAGGAGCCCUCCUUCUUCUCCUUCUUCUCUCCUCCUUAUUUUUCUCCCUCCUUCUUCUUCUCUUCUUCUCCUUCUUAUCUCCUCCUUCUUCUCCUUCUUCUUCUUCUCCUCCUUCUCUUUCUUAUUUUUCUUCUCCUUCUUCUCUUCUUGCUUCUUCUCUUUCUUCUUCAAUUUAGCUUAUUUUCGCCAACAAAGACAUACUUAGCUAAUUAUCCUCCAAAAUGACAUAAUUAGCUUAGUUAGGGUACAAACAUCAUAAGAACCUUGGUUAUCUCACAACUUAGCUAAUUAUCCUCCAGAAUGACAUAAUUAGCUGAGUUAGCUCCAAAAUGGCCUAUUUAAUAAAAAAUGACCUAUACUUAGCUAAGUUCUCUCCUAAAUGACAUAAUAAGGCCUAAGAGAAGAAGAGAAGAAGAAAAAAAUAAGAAGGAGAAGAAGAGAAAAAAGAAGAAGAGAAGAAUAAGUAGAAAAACAGGAUAAAGAAAAAUAGAAAUGGAAAUAAGAGGAAGGAGAAGAAGAAGAAGAAGAAGAGGAAGAAGAGGAGAAGAGGAGGAGGAGGAGGAGGAGAAGAGGAGGAGGAGGAGAAGAGGAGGAGGAGGAGAAGUGGAGAAGAAAGUGGAAAAAUUAAAAGAAGGAAGAAGAAGAAGAAGAAAAGAAGAAGGAGAAGGAGGAGGAGGAGAAGGAGCCCUCCUUCUUCUCCUUCUUCUCUCCUCCUCCUUCUUCUCCCUCCUUAUUCUCCUUCUUUUGUCCUCCUUCUUCUCCUUCUUCUUAUACUCCUCCUUCUCCUUCUUCUUUUUGUUCUCCUUCUUCUCUUAUUGUUUCUUCUCUGUCUUCUUCUCUCCUCCUUCUUCUCCUCCUCCUUCUCCUUCUCCUUCUCCUUCUCCUCCUCCUCCUCCUUAUUCUUCUUUUUCUUCUCCUUCUUCUCUUCUUGCUUAUUCUAUUUCUUCUUCAAUUUAGCUUAUUUGUCAUAUAUAUGUAGUUGUUGUUCUUCUUCUGACUUUCUUAUUCCCAUUUUGCAGAUUGGAUGUACUACAUGCAUGGAAGCUGGCAUUGGAGUGCUUUAGUUCUAGUUUUUAUUUGAGUUGAUGAAUGCUACGGCAACAAAAGUCCUUCUCCGGCAACGCCGGGAAUUCUUCUUGCUACUUCUCUUGCUUGCGUCGGUUUUUCCCUUGAAGAGGAAAGGGUGAUGCAGCAUAGGAGCAGUAAGUAUUUCCCUCAGUUUGAGAACCAAGGUAUCAAUCCAGUAGGAGAAUCUCGUCAAGUCCAGAGUACCUGCACAAACACAAAGAGCUUGCACCCAACGCUAUAAAGGCGUUGUCAAUCCCUUCAAGAUUGAUUGCAAGGUGAGAUCUCAAGGCGGAAAGUGCAACGAAGGAAAAGUGUAAGGCUAAAAAUAUGGUGUGGAGUAGACCCGGGGGCCAUAGUGUUCACUAGAGGCUUCUCUCAAAAUAGCAAAUAUUACGGUGGGUGAACAAAUUACUGUCGAGCAAUUGAUAGAACCGCGCAAAGUCAUCACGAUAUCUAAGGCAAUGAUCAUACAUAUAGGCAUCACGUCCGAGACAAGUAGACCAAUACUUUCUACAUCUACUACUAUUACUCCACACAUCGACCGCUAUCCAGCAUGCAUCUAGUGUAUUGAGUUCAUGACAAACAGGGUAACGCCUUAAGCAAGAUGACAUGAUGUAGAGGGAUAAUCUCAAACCAAUGAUGAAAACCCCAUCUUUUACCCUUGAUGGCAACAACAUGAUGUGUGCCUCGCUACCCCUUAUGUCACUGGGUGAGGUCACCGCACGGUAUGAAACCAAAACCAAGCACUUCUCCCAUUGCAAGAAUCAUAGAUCUAGUUGGCAAAACAAAACCCACAACUCGAAGAGAAUUACAAGGAUAUUAAGUCAUGCAUAAGAGAGAAUAGAAGAAACUCAAAUAAGAUUCAUAGAUAAUAUGAUCAUAAAUCCAAAAUUCAUCGGAUCUCGACAAACACACCGGAAAAGAAGAUUACAUCGGAUAGAUCUCCAUGAAGAUCAUGGAGAACUUUGUAUUGAAGAUCCAAGAGAGAGAAGAAGCCAUCUAGCUACUAGCUAUGGACCCGUAGGUCUAUGGUGAACUACUCACGCAUCAUCGGAGAGGUCAUGGUGUUGAUGAAGAAGCCCUCCGUGUCCGAAUCCCCCCUCCGCCAGGGCACCAGAACGUGCCCCAGAUGGGAUCUUGCAGAGGCAGAAGCUUGCGGUGGCGGAAAAGUACUUUCGAUGAUCUCCUAUUUUUUCUAGGAUUUUAGGGAAUAUAUAGGCGUAAAACCUAGGGCACAGGUGGCCCAGGGAGCCCACAAGCCAGGGAGGUGCGGGCCCCCUGGACGCGCCAUGAGGACUUCUGGGGUCCCUACAGGCCCCGUGCCUUGAUUCUCCAGCUUCCCGAUCUUUUUCUGUUUCAGAAAAAAUCUUUUUGGCAGUUUCAUUCCGUUUGGACUUCGUUCAAAAUCCUCCUCUGAAAGGGGUCAAAAACAUGGAAAAAACAGGAACUCGCACUUGGUACUGAGUUAAUAAGUUAGUCCCAAAAAAUAUAUAAAAGGCAUGCAAAACAUCCAAAUUUGACAGGAUAAUAGCAUGAAACCAUCAAAAAUUAUAGAUAGUUGGAGACGUAUCAAGCAUCCCCAAGCUUAACUCCCGCUCGUCCUCGAGUAGGGAAGUGAUAAAGAAUGAUUUUUUGAUGUGGAAUGCUACCCAGCAUAGUUGUCCUUUGCAACUUCUUUCAUGUGACACUAGUGGAAAACGGGCCUUUGGCCUGGACCCUUUAGUCCCGGCCUCCAUCUGGGCCGGGACUAAAGUCCCGGCCACGUCGCCCCAAAAUCGCAAUGCCGCCCACGAGGCUUUGGUCCCGGCCCGUAAGGAGCCUUUAGUCCCGAUUUGUGUCUCAAACCGGGACUAAAGGGCUACGCGGUGUGCAGCCCGCAUGUGCGCCACCUUUAGUCCCGGUUUGUGUCUCAAACCGGGACUAAAGUCCUCUGCCUAUAUAUAUUGGCCACAACCCCCCUCUCCCCUCUUCCUUGCAUUUUUCUUGGAUGGAAGAGUGUGGGUGUGCUAGAUCUCCAUUUUUCUUGGAUGCAAUAGAGGUGUUUGUUGAAAUGUGUGUUAGAGCGAUGCCACUUCAGUUCACCGAACACAACUACGAUAUGAGAUGCCCGAGCCACGCUUAAACCUCUUCCUCUUUAUUUCUACUUAUUCUAAAAGGUUAGCAACUAUAUUUCCUUGUUUAGACCGUGCGGUACUAAUUUGUAGGAUCGUGAUUGUAUUUGAUAUACUGUCGUAUAACGGAGAUGAGCCAUCCAUGGAUGUACGGUGAUCGACGCACAGCCGCUUACAGAGAAGGCGUGCAUUUUUUUCGAGAUGCAGCCGAUGCGAACAAGAAUGGUGGUGGCUAUAUGUUUUGUCCAUGUGUUGAAUGUCGGAAUGAGAAGCAUUACACUUCCUCAAGAGUCAUUCAGAGCCACCUGCUUCGGUCCGGUUUUAUGUCGGGCUAUAAUGUUUGGACCAAGCACGGAGAAAGAGGGGUUAUGAUGGAAGACGACGAUGAAGAAGAAGAGAACGAUGAUGAAAACUACCGAUCUAUGUUCCCUGAGUAUGCUGAUACCGCAAUGGAAGACAAUGAAGAAGAAGAUGAGGAUGAAGAACGGGAACCAGAUGAGCCCGCUGAUGAUCUUGGCCGGGUCAUUUCUGAUGCACGGCGAGGUUGCGACACAGAAAAGGAGAGGUUGCAGUUCGAGCAGAUGUUAGAGGACCACAACAAAUUGUUGUACCCAACUUGUGAAGAUGGCUAGAAGAAGCUGGGUAGCACACUGGAAUUGCUGAAGUGGAAGGCAGAGACCGGUGUGACUGACUCGUCAUUCGAAAAGUUGCUGGUACUGAUGAAGAAGAUGCUUCCAAGAAAGAACGAAUUGCCUGCCAGCACGUACGAAGCAAAGAAGCUUGUCUGCCCUCUAGGAUUAGACGUGCAGAAGAUACAUGCAUGCCCUAAUGACUGCAUCCUCUACCGCGGUGAGAAGUACGAGAAUAUGGAUAAAUGCCCGGUAUGCACUGCAUUGCGGUAUAAGAUCAGAAAAGAUGACUAAUGGGGUUAUAGUCCUAGGGUAGGGUCAUAGGCCUGCCCUAUAAGUCCUACCCAAGGACUACCCUUCAUAAGGGAUAAGACCCUUAGUCAGUUCCGACUGAAUUAAGGACUUCCCAUCAUCCAGUCGGUAACGAAUCCUCUACCAUCCAGUCGGAGACGAGAAUUCAGAAUGUAUCAAACUAACCGACCGGAUUCCACUCUGUGCAUCAUAACCCCCCUGGAGGGAAACGGUCAUACGUUUCCAUGUGCCUUUAUUAGCAUUUAAGACAUACGUUACCUGUAACGUAGGCAUUUAUUCGCCACUACUCCACCCCUGUGCACCGGACCGAUGUGGAGGGCAGCGCACUCUAUAUAAGCCGCCCUCCCCCACUGGUGCAAGGGUUAGCUAUUCACUAUAAUCCAUAUUCCACUCGACAACAAGCUCCUAGAGCACUAAGACAUAGGGAUAUUACCUCCACCGUAGACGGGCCUGAACUCAUACAACCUCGCCGUAGCUAAGGCUCUGCCCAUCCUUUCGUACCCUACACAUCUACUAUCAGACUUAUACCCACGACAGUUGGCGCCCACCGUGGGGCACGCGUCUAAGCGACUUCCGGCGAGUUUGCGACUACAUCUUUUCGUCAUGUCGUCCGGUGGAGAUUCGAGCAUGGGUCGCGAGAUCCUCUUCGGCGCUCUCUCCUUCAUCAUCGACGAUUCGGCAUGGCUUCGGGACGCCCCUCUCGACGUCGAGGCGCUCCCCCAUCGCGAGGCUACGCACUUCCAUGUUGGCGCCCGCGGCAUUCUCCUUCUCCAGCGGUCGGCUCCGGUGUUGACCUACACCGCCGUCACGCGCCGCAACAAGCGGUCCCGCCGUCCGCGGCUCCAGCGUUGGGUGCAACACGCCCAGGCGCGCCAGAACGCGUCUUCACAAGUGGCGGUCCUAGAGUCGGUUGUGGUUGCCCCGCCGUCCCAGCGCUCGGACUCGGUUCCGGCUGAGUUUCCUUCCGAGUACUUGGGUCGCGGGCCUGCAACAGAAGUACACAUGGCCAACUCCCAUGAAAGUCCCCGCCAAGCUGGCCGGAUCGAGCACGAGAUCGGUGAAACAUCCGGUGCUCGCCAUCCACCUCGCCGUUCUGCCAAUCGGCACACUCGGCGGAGCAAUGUGGAGUUGUUCCGCACACCCAUCCUUAACUUGGCUGCCGCUGCCAAGAUAGCCGAUUCCCUUCAGCCGACUGAUUCAAAGGCUGGCACGGGGAUCGAGCAAAUCCGCGCACUGCUGCACACGGCGCAACAGCAAAAUUCGGCGGUCUCCGAGUCGCACAACAGGAUCCACAAUAGUUCUGUUCAUGCGAACACGCAUCGGUCAGUUCACAACCCUGGUUGUCAUCAGCGACACACGGGAGGCUGUCGUUCCAUAAAUCCCGAAGACCGUCGCCGUUCACGCACCCCUCCACGGGGUGGGCCCUACGGGCCCCGACAUCAUGAUGAUUGGCGUUCAGUCGGUGACACUAACGACCCAAGGCCCUGUUGGAAAUAUGCCCUAGAGGCAAUAAUAAAAUGGUUAUUAUCAUAUUUCCUUGUUCAUGAUAAUCGUCUAUCGUUCAUGCCAUAAUUGUAUUAACAGGAAACAGUGAUACAUGUGUGAAUGAAUAGAUCACAAUGUGUCCCUAGCAAGCCUCUAGUUGGCUAGCUCGUUAGUCAAUAGAUGAUCAUGGUUUCUGAUCAUGGGCAUUAGAUGUCAUUGAUAACGGGAUGAGAUCAUUGGACAAGACCCAAUCCUAAGCCUAGCACUAGAUCAUAUUGUUCGUAUGCUAAAGCUUUUCUAAUGUCAAGUAUCUUUUCCUUCGACCAUGAGAUUGUGCAACUCCCNCACCGACACCACGCCGUCAUGUUGCUGGACUUCUUCCCCAACCACUCCCUCCUCCUUGCUGGAUCAAGGUGCGGGAGACGUCACCGGGCUGCAUGUGUGUUGAACGCGGAGGUGCCGUUGUUCGGCACUAAAUCGGAAUCGCUGCGAGUACGACUCCAUCAACCGCGUUCUAGCAACGCUUCCUCUUAGCGAUCUUCAAAGGUACGAAGAUGCUCUUACCCCUCUCUCGUUGCUGGUCUCUCCAUAGGAAGAUCUGAACAUGCGUAGGAAUUUUUUUGAAUUUAUGCUACGUUACCCAACAGUGGCAUCCGAGCCAGGUUUUCUAUGCGUAGAUUCUAUGCACGAGUAGAACACAAAAUUUGUGGGCGAUGGUUUGUCAAUUUGCUUGCUGUUACUAGUCUUAUUAUUUUCCGGCAGUAUUGUGGGAUGAAGCGGCCUGGACCGACCUUACAUGUACGCUUACGCGAGACUGGUUCCACUGACAGACAUGCACAUCGUGCAUAAAGGUGGCUAGCGGGUGUCUGUCUCUCCUACUCUAGUCGGAUUGGAUUUGAUGAAAAGGGUCCUUAUGAAGGGUAAAUAGCUUUGGCAUAUCAUCGUUGUGGCUGUCACGUAGGUAAGAAGGCGUUCUUGCUAGAAACCCAAAUCAGCCACGUAAAACUUGCAACAAUAAUUAGAGGACGUCUAACUUGUUUUUGCAGGGUUUGACAUGUGAUGUGAUAUGGCCAAAGUUGUGAUGUUGCAUGUAUGAUGUAUGAGAUGAUCAUGUUAUUGUAAUAGGUUUCACGACUUGCAUGUCGAUGAGUAUGACAAUCGGCAGGAGCCAUAGGAGUUGUCUUAAUUUAUUGUAUGAGAUGCAACGCCAUGUGCUUACUACUUUUACUUCAUUGCUAACGGUUAGCUAUAGUAGUAGUGAUAGUAGUAGUUGGCGUGACGACUUCACGGAGACACGAUGAUGGAGAUCAUGAUGAUGGAGAUCAUGGUGUCACGCCGGUGACGAUGAUGAUCAUGCGAUGCCUGAAGAUGGAGAUCGAAAGAGCAAAGAUGAUAAUGGCCAUAUCAUGUCACUAUAUGAUUGCAUUGUGAUGUUUAUCAUGUUUCACAUCUUAUUGCUUAAAACGACGGUAGCAUAAUAAGAUGAUCCCUCUUAAAAUUUCGAGAACGUAUUCCCCUAAGUGUGCACCGUUGCGAAGGUUCGUUGUCUCGAAGCACCACGUGAUGAUCGGGUGUGAUAGAUUCUAACAUUCGCAUACAACGGGUGUAAGCCAGAUUUACACACGCGAAACACCUAGGUUGACUCGACGAGCUUAUCAUGUACAGACAUGACCUCGAAUACAAGAGACCGAAAGGUCGAACAUGAGUCGUAUGGUUGAAUACGACCAGCAUGAAGUUGCUCACCAUGGUGACAAGUCCGUCUCACGUGAUGAUCGGACACGGGUUAGUCAACAUGGAUCAUGUAUCACUUAGAUGACUAGAGGGAUGUCGAUUUAAAUGGGAGUUCAUACUUAAUUUGAUUAAAUGAACUUAAUUUUCAUGAACUUAGUCUAAAAGUUGUCUUUAUAAAUAUUGUAGAUGUCAAACGUCAACCUCAACUUCAACGCAUUCCUAGAGAAAAACAAGCUGAAAGAUGAUGGUAGCAACUAUGCGGACUGGGUUCGCAACCUGAAGCUCAUCCUUGAAGCAGCUAAAAAGGCUUAUGUCCUUAAUGCGCCGCUAGGUGACCCUCCCGCUCCCGCAGCAGCCCAGGACAUUCUGAACGUCUGGCAAGCGCGGAGUGAUGACUACUCUUUGGUCAGGUGUGGCAUGUUAUACAGUUUAGAAACGGGGCUCCAAAGGCGUUUUGAGCAACACGGGGCAUAUGAGAUGUUCCAGGAGCUGAAGCUAGUUUUUCAAGCUCAUGCCCGUGUCGAGAGAUAUGAAGUCUCCGACAAGUUCUUUAGCUGUAAGAUGGAGGAGAACAGUUCUGUCAGUGAGCACAUACUUAAAAUGUCUGGGUUACACGGUCGUCUGACUUCACUUGGAGUCGAACUUCCGGAUGAUGCUAUCAUUGACAGAAUCCUCCAGUCUCUCCCACCAAGCUACAAAGGCUUUGUGCUUAACUACAACAUGCAAGGGAUGGAGAAGACCAUUCCCGAGUUGUACUCGAUGCUCAAGUUUGCAGAAGUAGAAAUCAAGAAGGAGCAUCAAGUGUUGAUGGUCAACAAGACCACUAGUUUCAAGAAAGGCAGGGGUAAGAAGAACUUCAAGAAAGACGGCAAAGCUGUUGCCGCGCCCGGUAAGCCAGAUGCUGGGAAGAAGAAAAAGAACGGACCCAAGCCUGAGACUGAGUGCUUCUAUUGCAAGGGAAAGGGUCACUGGAAGCGGAACUGCCCCAAAUACUUAGCGGACAAGAAGGCCGGCAACGUUAAAGGUAUAUGUGAUAUACAUGUUAUUGAUGUGUACCUUACCAACGCUCGUAGUAGCUCCUGGGUAUUUGAUACCGGUGCUGUUGCUCACAUUUGCAACUGAAAGCAGGAACUGCGGAAUAAGCGGAGACUGGCCAAGGACGAGGUGAUGAUGCGCGUCGGGAAUGGUUCAAAGGUCGAUGUGAUCGCCGUCGGCACGCUACCUCUACAUCUACCGUCGGGAUUAGUUUUAAACCUUAAUAAUUGUUAUUUAGUACCAGCUUUAAGCAUGAACAUUGUAUUAGGGUCUUGCUUAAUGCGAGACGGCUACUCAUUUAAGUCAGAGAAUAAUGGUUGUUCUAUUUAUAUGAGUGAUAUGUUUUAUGGUCAUGCUCCGCUGGUGAAUGGUUUAUUCUUGAUGAAUCUCGAUCGUGAUGUUACACAUAUUCAUAGUGUGAGUACCAAAAGAUGCAAAGUUGAUAAUGACAGUCCCACAUACUUGUGGCACUGCCGCCUUGGUCAUAUCGGCGUUAAACGCAUGAAGAAGCUCCAUACUGAUGGACUAUUAGAGUCUCUUGACUUUGAAUCAUUUGACACAUGCGAACCGUGCCUCAUGGGCAAGAUGACUAAGACUCCAUUCUCAGGAAUAAUGGAGAGAGCAACCGACUUAUUGGAAAUAAUACAUACUGAUGUGUGUGGUCCAAUGAACGUUGAAGCUCGCGGUGGUUAUCGUUAUGUUCUCACCCUCACCGAUGAUUUGAGUAGGUAUGGGUAUAUCUACUUGAUGAAGCACAAAUCUGAGAUGUUUGAAAAGUUCAAGGAAUUUCAGAGUGAGGUUGAGAAUCAACGUGACAGAAAAAUUAAAUGUCUACGAUCCGAUCGUGGAGGUGAAUAUUUGAGUCAUGAGUUUGGCACACACCUAAGAAAGUGUGGAAUCGUUUCACAACUGACGCCGCCUGGCACACCGCAGCGCAACGGAGUGUCUGAACGUCGUAAUCGCACUUUAUUAGAUAUGGUACGAUCUAUGAUGUCUCUCACCGACUUACCGCUAUCAUUUUGGGGAUACGCAUUAGAAACUGCAGCAUUCACUUUAAAUAGGGCACCGUCUAAAUCCGUUGAGACGACACCUUAUGAACUUUGGUUUGGCAAGAAACCUAAGUUGUCCUUUCUUAAAAUUUGGGGCUGCGAUGCUUAUGUGAAGAAACUUCAACCAGAAAAGCUCGAACCCAAAGCGGAGAAAUGUGUAUUCAUAGGAUACCCUAAGGAAACUAUUGGGUAUACCUUCUAUCUUAGAUCCGAAGGCAAAACCUUUGUUGCCAAGAACGGAUCCUUUCUAGAGAAAGAGUUUCUCUCGAAAGAAGUAAGUGGGAGGAAGGUAGAACUUCAUGAGGUAAUUACACCCCCUCUCGAACAGGAAAGUAGCGCAGCGCAGGAAGUUGUUCAUGUGGCACCUACACCGACUGAAUAGGAAGUUAAUGAUAAUGAUCAUGAAGCUUCGGAUCAAGUUACUACUGAACCGCGAAGGUCCACAAGGGUACGCUCCGCACCAGAGUGGUACGGCAACCCUGUGAUGGAAAUCAUGUUGUUAGACAACGGUGAACCUUCGAACUAUGAAGAAGCAAUGGCGGGCCCAGAUUCCAACAAAUGGCUUGAGGCUAUGAAAUCCGAGAUAGGAUCCAUGUAUGAGAACAAAGUAUGGACUUUGGUGGACUUGCCCGAUGACCAGCGAGCCAUAGAAAAUAAAUGGAUCUUCAAGAAGAAGACUGAUGCAAACGGUAAUGUAACCGUUUACAAAGCUCGACUUGUCGCAAAGGGUUUUCGACAAAUUCAAGGAGUUGACUACGAAGAGACUUUCUCUGCUGUAGCGAAGCUGAAAUCAGUCCGAAUCAUGUUAGCAAUUGCCGCCUUUUAUGAUUAUGAAAUUUGGCAAAUGGACGUCAAAACAGCGUUCCUUAACGGGAACCUUAAGGAAGAGUUGUAUAUGAUGCAACCUGAAGGUUUUGUCGACCCUAAGGGUGCUAACAAAGUGUGCAAGCUCCAGCGCUCCAUCUAUGGGCUGGUGCAAGCAUCUCGGAGUUGGAACAUUCGCUUUAAUGAGGUGAUUAAAGCGUUUGGGUUCAUACAGGUUUACGGAGAAGCCUGUUUGUACAAGAAAGUGAGUAGGAGCUCUGUAGCUUUCCUCGUACUAUAUGUGGAUGACAUAUUAUUGAUGGGGAAUGAUAUAGAGAUGUUGGAGAGCAUAAAGGCCUAUUUGAACAAGAGUUUUUCGAUGAAGGACCUUGGAGAAGCUGCAUACAUAUUAGGCAUCAAGAUCUAUAGGGAUAGAUCGAGACGCCUCAUAGGUCUUUCGCAAAGUACAUACCUUGAAAAGAUAUUGAAGAAGUUCAAUAUGGAAAACUCAAAGAAAGGGUUCUUGCCAGUUUUGCAAGGUAUGAGAUCGAGUAAGACUCAGUCGCCGACCACGGCAGCAGAUAGAGAGAAGAUGAGUUAUGUCCCCUACGCUUCAGCCGUGGGCUCUCUAAUGUAUGCCAUGCUGUGUACCAGACCUGAUAUAAACCUUGCCAUAAGCUUGGUAGGGAGGUACCAAAGUAAUCCCGGUGUGGAACACUGGACAGCGGUCAAGAAUAUCCUUAAGUACCUGAAAAGGACUAAGGAAAUGUUUCUCGUUUAUGGAGGUGACGAAGAGCUCGUCGUAAAGGGUUACGUCGACGCCAGUUUCGACACAGAUCCGGAUGAUUCUAAGUCACAGACUGGAUACGUGUAUGUGUUGAAUGGUGGGGCAGUGAGCUGGUGCAGCAGCAAGCAAGAAUUCGUGGCAGCAUCUACAUGUGAAGCGGAGUACAUAUCUGCUUCAGAAGCGGCUCAUGAAGGAAUUUGGAUGAAGGAGCUCAUCACCGACCUUGCAGUGGUUCCAAGCGCGUCGGGUCCUAUGACACUCUUCUGUGAUAACACUGGAGCCAUUGCCAUAGCCAAGGAGCCCAGGUUUCACCGGAAGACGAAGCACAUCAAGCGCCGCUACAACUCCAUCCAGGACCAUGUCCAGAGUGGAGUGAUAGAUAUUUGUAAAGUACACACGGAUUUGAAUAUUGCAGACCCGUUGACUAAACCUCUUCCACGAGCAAAACAUGAUCAACACCAUAAUGCUAUGGGUGUUCGAUACAUCACAAUGUAACUAGAUUAUUGACUCUAGUGCAAGAGGUAGACUGUUGGAAAAAUGCCCUAGAGGCAAUAAUAAAAUGGUUAUUAUCAUAUUUCCUUGUUCAUGAUAAUCGUCUAUCGUUCAUGCCAUAAUUGUAUUAACAGGAAACAGUAAUACAUGUGUGAAUGAAUAGAUCACAAUGUGUCCCUAGCAAGCCUCUAGUUGGCUAGCUCGUUAGUCAAUAGAUGAUAAUGGUUUCUGAUCAUGGGCAUUAGAUGUCAUUGAUAACGGGAUCACAUCAUUGGGAGAAUGAUGUGAUGGACAAGACCCAAUCCUAAGCCUAGCACUAGAUCAUAUUGUUCGUAUGCUAAAGUUUUUCUAAUGUCAAGUAUCUUUUCCUUCGACCGUGAGAUUGUGCAACUCCCGGACACCGUAGGAGUGCUUUGGGUGUAUCAAACGUCACAACGUAACUGGGUGACUAUAAAGGUGCACUACGGGUACCUCCGAAAGUGUCUGUUGGGUUGGUACGAAUCGAGAUCGGGAUUUGUCACUCCGUGUGANNNNNNNNNNNNNNNNNNNNNNNNNNNNNNNNNNNNNNNNNNNNNNNNNNNNNNNNNNNNNNNNNNNNNNNNNNNNNNNNNNNNNNNNNNNNNNNNNNNNNNNNNNNNNNNNNNNNNNNNNNNNNNNNNNNNNNNNNNNNNNNNNNNNNNNNNNNNNNNNNNNNNNNNNNNNNNNNNNNNNNNNNNNNNNNNNNNNNNNNNGAUGACGUGCUACGGAACGAGUAAAGAGACUUACCGGUAACGAGAUUGAACAAGGUAUAGGUAUACCGACGAUCGAAUCUCGGGCAAGUUCUAUACCGACAGACAAAGGGAAUCGUAUACGGGAUUGAUUGAAUCCUUGACAUCGUGGUUCAUCCGAUGAGAUCAUCGUGGAGCAAGUGGGAGCCACCAUGGGUAUCCAGACCCCGCUGAUGGUUAUUGGCCAGAGAGGUGUCUCGGUCAUGUCUGCCUGUCUCCCGAACCCGUAGGGUCUACACACUUAAGGUUCGAUGACGCUAGGGUUAUAGGGAAUUGUUGUACGAGGUUACCGAAAGUUGUUCGGAGUCCCGGAUGAGAUCCUGGAUGUCACGAGGAGCUCCGGAAUGGUCCGGAGGUAAAGAUUGAUAUAUAGGACGGAUGGUUUUGGACACCGGAAGUGUUUCGGGCUUCACCGGUAACGUAUCGGGACCACCGGAGGUGGUCCCGGGGGCCCACCGAAGGGGGGCAACGACCCCGGGAGGCUAGAUGGGCUAAAUGGGGAAGGGAACCAGCCCCUAAGUGGGCUGGUGAGCCCCCCACUCAGCCCAUGCGCACCAGAGAAAGGGGGGAAGGGGGAAUCCUAGCUUAGGUGGGCCUAAGGCCCACGAGAGGGGUGCGCCACCCCUCCUCCCUGCCCUGGCCGCCGCCCCCUCUCCCAUCUGGGGCUGCCGCACCCCUUGGGGGUGGGAACCCUAAGGGCUGCGCCCCUCCCUCUCCCCCUAUAUAUAGAUGAGGGUUCGGGGCUGUUUGACACACGGUUUCAUCUCUCUCUCGGCGCAGCCCUGCUCCUCUCCCUCCUCCUCUCUGCCGGCGCUUGGCGAAGCCCUGCCGGGAGACCUCGUCUCUCCACCGACACCACGCCGUCNNNNNNNNNNNNNNNNNNNNNNNNNNNNNNNNNNNNNNNNNNNNNNNNNNNNNNNNNNNNNNNNNNNNNNNNNNNNNNNNNNNNNNNNNNNNNNNNNNNNNNNNNNNNNNNNNNNNNNNNNNNNNNNNNNNNNNNNNNNNNNNNNNNNNNNNNNNNNNNNNNNNNNNNNNNNNNNNNNNNNNNNNNNNNNNNNNNNNNNNNNNNNNNNNNNNNNNNNNNNNNNNNNNNNNNNNNNNNNNNNNNNNNNNNNNNNNNNNNNNNNNNNNNNNNNNNNNNNNNNNNNNNNNNNNNNNNNNNNNNNNNCACCGACACCACGCCGUCGUGUUGCUGGACUUCUUCCCCAACCUCUCCCUCCUCCUUGCUGGAUCAAGGUGCGGGAGACGUCACCGGGCUGCACGUGUGUUGAACGCGGAGGUGCCGUUGUUCGGCACUAGAUCGGAAUCGCUGCGAGUACGACUCCAUCAACCGCGUUCUAGCAACGCUUCCGCUUAGCGAUCUUCAAAGGUACGAAGAUGCUCUUACCCCUCUCUUGUUGCUGGUCUCUCCAUAGGAAGAUCUGAACAUGCGUAUGAAUUUUUUGGAAUUUAUGCUACGUUACCCAGCAGGCCCGACGCGAGAGGGCAUAUCGCCUAGCGGAGAGUCGACAGGGGCCGAGCCCACCGCGAUGGUCAUGAUACUGACCGUCCGAGUGGAAGCAGGACCAUCGUUUCUGAUCCCGAGUGUUUCAGUCGAGCCAUCCGUUCGGCUGACAUCCCUCCCAACUUCCGAUUGGCGACGGGAAUUAGCAAGUUUACAGGAGAGUCCAAGCCAGAAACGUGGCUGGAUGACUACCGAGUGGCAGUCCAGACCGGAGGAGGGGACGACCACGUCGCCAUGAAGCACCUCCCUCUGAUGCUCGACGGCUUGGCGCGAGCGUGGCUGAACCAAUUGGCCCCCUCAAGCAUCUACAGCGGGGCAGAUCUGGCCCGAGUGUUCAUCAGGACCUUCGAGGGGACGUGCAAGCACCCUGCUGGCCUCGUGGAGCUCCAGCACUGUGUCCAGAAGCAGAAUGAGCCCCUGCGCGAUUUCAUUCAGCGUUGGACGACCCUCUACCACACGGUGGAGAACGUCAAAGAACACCAAGCAGUCUGCGCCUUCCAGGCAGGCGUGCGGUACAGAGAUCUGUACCUGAAGUUCGGUCGAACAGGCGACAUCUCCAUGAGCGAGAUGAUGGAGAUAGCGGCACGCUAUGCAAAUGGCGAAGAAGAGGACCGCAUCCGUAGCGGCAAGCACAAAACAGUCGCCGAUGGGGAUGGGAAUAACACUCGGAAGCAGAAGCAGAAAGCUCCGUCCACUCCGUAGGCAGAAGCCGCAGCUGUUACCAAUGCCAAGUUCAAGGGCAAGGGGAAGGCUCAGUUCACCCCCAAGAAGAAGCAGUUCAACAACCCCAUCCUGGACCAGCCAUGUCCGAUUCACACGAAGAUGGAUGAAGAGGGCAACGCCAUAUAUCCGAAGCAUACCACUCGGCAAUGUCGCCUCCUGAUCCAGGGGUUCGGCGAAGGGCAACCGAGUGACAAGGAUAAUGAACAGGAUGAGGAGGACAAGGAGGAUCCGUUCCCCCAAGUCCAUGCAACACUGAUGAUUUUUGCUGACGUUGAGAGCAAGAGUCGACUGAAGUUGGUGAACAGGGAGGUGAACAUGGCCACGCCUACCAACCCCAAGUUCCUCAAAUGGUCUCAGACUGCGAUCAUCUUUGACUAGUCAGAUCAUCCAGCACACGUACCCACCCCAGGGAGACAGGCUCUGGUUGUCGACCCGGUGGUGGAAGGAGUCCGACUGCGCAAAGCCCUCAUGGACGGCGGCAGUGGCUUGAACAUCAUGUACGCCGACACUCUCAAGGGGAUGGGCAUUCCGAUGUCCAAACUCAGCGAGAGCAGCAUGCAGUUCCAUGGAGUCGUCCCUGGACGAAAGGCCAAGUCACUCGGCCAGAUCGCGUUGGACGUCGUUUUCGGCUCCGACAAGAACUUCCGCAAGGAAAAGCUGACGUUCGAGGUGGUGGACAUCCAGAGCGCGUACCGCGCAAUUCUGGGCCGCCCGGCGUAUGCGCGUUUCAUGGCCCGUCCAUGUUACGUGUACCUGAAGCUAAAGAUGCCAGGCCCGAAAGGUGUGAUCACUAUCACGGGCAAUCGACAGCGGGCCGAAGAGUGUCUGCAGCAGUGAUCAAGGAUCGCCGAUCAGCAGAUGGCUGUCCUCGAGAUUGACAAGUACAAGAAAACAGUCGACCCCGCUGACUUGAUGCGUGCGAAGAAGCCAGCUUUAGAGUCUGCAUUCCAGUCGGCGGGAGAGACGAAGAAGGUCAGCAUCCACCCGACGGACGACACCGCGGCCCCGACGAACAUCUCCACCACCCUCGAUCCCAAAUAGGAAGUCGAGCUCACCCAAUUCCUCCGUGAGAACUGGGACAUCUUCGCAUGGAAGCCCUCUGACAUGCCAGGUGUACCCAGGGAGUUGGCUGAGCACCGACUGCAUGUGGAUCCCACCGCUCGGCCUGUCCGAGAACGCCUGCGUCGGUCCGCCGCGCACAAGAGGAAGGCAAUCGGAGAAGAAGUGGCCAAGCUUUUGGCAGCCAACUUCAUUCGCGAGGUACACCACUGCGAGUGGCUCGCCAAUGUUGUCAUGGUGCCCAAGAAAGACAAGUCGCUCCGAAUGUGCAUCGACUUCAAGCAUCUCAAUAAGGUCUGCUCGAAAGACCAUUUUCCACUCCCCCGCAUCGAUCAAAUUGUCGAUUCGACUGCGGGUUGCGAGCGUUUGUCAUUUCUUGAUGCCUACUCGGGCUAUCAUCAGAUCCAUCUGUAUGGCCCCGAUGAAUUAAAAACAGCCUUCAUCACCCCAUUCGGGGUGCUUCUGCUACAUCACUAUGCCAUUUGGUUUGAAGAAUGCAGGAGCAACUUUUAUGCGCAUGAUCCAAAAAUGCCUCCUCGACCAGAUCGUUCGGAAUGUGGAGGCGUAUAUGGAUGAUAUCGUAGUCAAGUCACGCAAAGGUUCCGACCUGCUGACUGACUUGGCAGAAACAUUCGCCAACCUUCGUAGGUACGAUAUCAAGCUCAACCCCGCCAAGUGUUCAUUCGGUGUUCCCAGCGGAAAGUUACUCGGUUUCUUCAUUUCCGAACGAGGGAUCGAUGUCAACCCCGAAAAGAUCGGGAUCAUCGUCCGAAUGGAGCGGCCAGUCAGAAUACACGAUGUUCAACGGCUCACAGGUUGCCUAGCGGCUUUGAGCAGGUUUAUCAGUCAACUUGGCGAGAAAGCACUUCCUCUGUACCGACUCAUGAAGAAAUCAGAUACUUUCCAGUGGAUAGAUGAAGCCCAAGUUGCAUUCGACGACCUCAAAGUCCUACUUUCCACCCAGCCGGUUCAUACUGCUCCGCUUAGUAAAGAGCCCCUUCUUCUGUACAUCGCGGCUACAAAUCAAGUCGUCAGCACUGUUCUUACAGUCGAACGAGAAGAAGAAGACAAAGCAUACAAAAUUCAGCGGCCAGUGUAUUACGUCUCCGAAGUCCUGACUCCUUCCAAGCAGAGGUAUCCCCACUAUGAAAAACUUAUCUACGGGAUUUACAUGACUGUGAAGAAGGUGGCUCAUUAUUUCCAAGACCACUCGGUGUCUGUCGUUUCUGAUACUCCGUUGUCGGAAAUCCUCCACAAUCGGGACGCAUCGGGCCGAGUGGCGAAGUGGGCAAUGGAGAUGUUGUACUGCGACAUCAAGUUCGAGGCCAAGAAAGCUAUAAAGUCUCAAGCUCUGGCUGACUUCAUAGCGGAAUGGGUAGAACAACAGCAACCGACCCACAUCUACUCGGCUCAUUGGACAAUGUUCUUCGAUGGGUCCAAGAUGUUGAAUGGCUCCGGCACUGGCGUUGUGAUCGUAUCGCCAAAGGGCGACAAACUCAAGUAUGUGCUGCAGAUACACUUUGAUUCCUCCAACAAUGAGGCAGAGUAUGAAGCUCUCCUGUAUGGACUGCGCAUGGCCAUCGCACUCGGCUUCCGUCGCCUGAUGGUCUAUGGCGAUUCGGAUUUGGUGGUUAAUCAAGUGAUAAAGAGUGGGACGUCAGGAACCCCAUCCUGACUACAUACUGCAAUGCAGUGAGGAAGCUCGAGAAGAAGUUUGAAGGUCUAGAACUCCACCAUGUUCCGCGACUGAAGAACCAAGCAGCUGAUUAGUUGGCAAAACUCGGAUCCACUCGGAGACCAGUCCCGAGUGACGUCUGCCUCGAGCACCUCCACCUUCCCUCCGUUAAGGAAGAUCCUUUCACAGAGGAACCAGUACAACCAAAGAGUUCGACAGAUCCGACUGAAGUCGACGUACCUGCUGUGGUUGAUUUGAUCAUGGAGAUUCUUGCCGUCAUCCCCGAUUGGACUGUGCCGAUCAUCGCAUACAUCCUGAGGCAGGAAUUACCAGAAGACGAAGUCCAAGCCAGGCAGAUCGUCCGCAGGUCAAAGUCGUUCACUGUCAUUGAUGGCCAGUUGUACAAGGAAAGGAUUUCAGGCGUUCUUCAACGAUGCAUCUCCCCUGAGGAGGGAUAGUUAAUCCUGGAAGAAAUCCACUCGGGAACCUGCGGUCAUCACGCCUCUUCAAGAGCAAUCGUCGCCAAAGCAUUCAGAGCUGGCUUCUUCUGGCUGCAGGCGAACGAAAUGGCUAAAGAUAUGGUCGACUGAUGUGAAGGCUGCAGUUCUACUCCAACAAGUCCCACAAGCCCACAUCUGCGUUGAAGACAAUCCCCCUUGUUUGGCCUUUUGCAGUAUGGGGAUUAGAUACAGUCGGUCCAUUCAGGACAGGCCAAGGGGGAUACACACAUCUGUUGGUGGCAGUCGACAAGUUCACAAAAUGGAUUGAAGCCAAGCCCAUCAAGAAGCUCGACGCCCUAACGGCCAUCAAGUUUGUCAGGGACAUCAUCUCCAGAUUCGGGGUACCUCACAGCAUAAUCACGGACAACGGCACAAACUUUGACUCGGACAUAUUCAAAGGUUUCUGUGCAAACCAAGGUAUCCGAGUGGAUUUUGCAUCUAUGGCGCAUCCUCAAACAAACGGACAAGCAGAGUGGGCGAAUGGACUUAUUCUGCAAGGUUUGAAGCCUCGAUUCCUGCGAGAGGUGGGACAUGCCGCUGGCGCAUGGGUCACCGAGCUACCUUCAGUGCUUUGGGGUCUCCGCACAACCCCGAAUAGAUCUACAGGGCGAUCCUCGUUCUUCCUCGUUUACGGAGCAGAAGCGGUCCUUCCGAGUGACUUGCUCCACAACGCUCCACGAGUUGAACUCUUCUCCGAAGCUGAAGCAGAACAAGCAAGGAAACACGGAGUGGACCUUCUAGAGGAGGAGCGCGAGAUGGCACUGACUCGGUCAACCAUUUAUCAACAAGAUCAGCGGCGCUUUCACACGCGGCACGUCAGGAGUCGUACAUUCCAAGCAAGCGACCUGAUGCUCCGAGUGGAUCAGCAAAGACCUCACAAGUUGGCUCCCGCCUGGGAAGGACCCUUCAUCAUCUCCAAGGUGCUGAACAAUGGAGCAUACAGACUCUACAACAUCGAUAGAGAAAGGGACGAGCCGCGAGCAUGGAAUGGAGAUCUCCUGAAGCGCUUCUACACGUGACCGUCGACUGAAGCAAUGUAAAGAACAAGUAUUGGUGAAAUAAUUCAAUGCAGAUUGAGUUUUUGCAGAUUCAAAAUUCUUCCGCGGUCGCAGACUCCAGUCUCAAAAAAAAACUUAGCUACGAUCAAGAAUCGCCUAAGUACUAACUUUCUCCAAGUGUGCACUAAACGUCGCACUCGGNGGGGACUUAGCUGCGAUCAAGAAUCGCCUAAGUACUAACUUUCUCCGAGUGUGCACUAAACGUCACACUCGGGGACUUAGCUGCGAUCAAGAAUCGCCUAAGUAUUAACUUUCUCCGAGUGUGCACUAAACAUCGCACUCGGGGACUUAGCUGCGAUCAAGAAUCGCCUAAGUAUUAACUUUCUCCGAGUGUGCACUAAACAUCACACUCGGGGACUUAGCUGCGAUCAAGAAUCGCCUAAGUAUCAACUUUCUCCGAGUGUGCACUUCACGUCGCACUUGGGGACUUAGCUGCGAUCNNNNNNNNNNNNNNNNNNNNNNNNNNNNNNNNNNNNNNNNNNNNNNNNNNNNNNNNNNNNNNNNNNNNNNNNNNNNNNNNNNNNNNNNNNNNNNNNNNNNNNNNNNNNNNNNNNNNNNNNNNNNNNNNNNNNNNNNNNNNNNNNNCAAGAAUCGCCUAAGUACAAAUUUUCUCCGAGCGUGCCAUAACCGUCACACUCGAGGACUUAACUGCGAUCAAGAAUCGCUUACAUAGAAAGCGUCCUUCGACUGUAUCCUACAGAUACACUCGGGGACUCAGCAGACCCUCAUUCAGGCUCUUGUGGAUGUCAAGACCACUGACAAUUACAUGAGUAGCAGAACCUCAUUGAGGCUCAUGUAGAUGUAAAGACCACUGACAAUUACAUGAGUAACAACUCGCUCCGAGUACGACCUUACAGUCGCACUCGAAGACUUAGCCGCGAUCACGAAUCACCUAUGUACUCAAAUGCCUUCGACUGUAUCCUACAGAUACACUCGAGGACUCAACAGACCCUCAGUGAGGCUCAUGUAGAUGUCAAGACCACUGACAAUUACAUGAGUAGCAGAACCUCAUUGAGGCUCAUGUAGAUGUCAAAACCACUGACAAUUACAUGAGUAACAACUCGCUCCGAGUACGACCUGACAGUCGCACUCGAAGACUUAGCCGCGAUCACGAAUCGCCUAAGUACUCUAUUACCUUCGAGUGUAUCCUAUAGAUCCACUCGGAGACUCAGCAGACCCUCAGUGAGGCUCAUGCAGAUGUCAAGACAACUGACGGUUACAUGCUCCGCAUGUUUGCCAUUGGCUUCACCAAGAAACGCCAAACAAAAACACGAGCCAAAAUCGUAUCAACAACUCUUUGGCAAAAGAAGAGCAAAAGAUUCGAUUCAAAUUCAAAGUUCACCUAAAGAUAGUUGGCUCGGUGUAGAUCAAGCUUAUCCACACCGAACCAAGAAUGUGACGACCAACAACAGUGGCCAAAGUUUAUUACAACCAACACUCGGCAUACCGAGGUAAAAGUUUUCUCAAACGUCGUCAGGACUAGCGUUGGGACUGGCAGGCUCACGAAUGUGUCGAGGUCGAUCCCGUCGGCGAUGCGGGUGGCGCUCUCAAGGAAGGUCUCCAUGAAGUCUUCGAAUCGAAGCUUUUUCAUGUUGGCGACCUGCAAUGCCUUCAGCUUCUCUUCGCGAGCCUCCUUGCAGUGCACUCGGACCAAAGACAAAGCGACAUCCGCACCACAGCGAGCCGCAGACUUCUUCCACGCCUGCACUCGGUUCGGGACCUCCUCCAGCCGAGUCAUCAAGCCUUCCAUCUCGUGUCGAGGCUCGUCUUCAGGCCAAAGCUCCUUGUCGAUUCGGCCGACGACUUCUCUUAGUCGACCGAUGAAAGGUCCAACUUUGCCCAGGCGAAUGUGCGCUCGGAGCAUAUCUCGAUUGGCGUCCUCUCCAAGUGGAAUGUUCUCAAGCAUCAACCGCUCAACAUCAGCUACUUCAACCUCCGCGUCCAUGCAAAAAUCUGCAAAGACAGGACGAGCAAACAGUCAACGCAGAAUGAAAUGCACAGUUCACAAGCACUCGGAAAAACAGAACUUACCACCGAGAAGCGCUAUCAUCUUCCGGGCCCAAUCACUGACGUAAUUUUCUUGUGCUAUGCACCGCCUGUUCAACACUUUCAUCUACCCCAUCAGCUCCGUCCUUUGUUUCCCCAUUUUCUCCACUUCAGCAGUCAAUGCCUUGUUUGCCUCACGGGCUUGCUCCAAGGACUUUUCUCGUUCCGCCAGAACAUUCUUCAUACCAGCCAUUGCAACCAUUGCUGCAUCCAGUUCACCAGCAAACUGAACCUUUUCAGCCCUUAGAGUCUCGUACGCUGCUCCCAUCUCGCAAGUUUUCUGCAAGUCAGCGCCAAGAGACGGUCUGACAAAUUCAACAAGUUCUUCAGACCCCUGCCGACGCAAGCAGUCGAUAGCGGUCUCGAGGACUACACCCAGUGGGUUCACUAAAAGUGACCCCACUGGCAUGAAACUCAAACAUGUCCGCCCUAUUGAGCUACAUGACAACAAAUAAGCCUAUGCGGCUACUACUACCCUACCUGAGUAAAAUUACUCUCGGGGACUCAUCUAGUAGGUGCACUCCGAGUGCCCCAACUGUUAACAUUCGAACAGAUUAAUUUUUGAUCUGAUCAAGUUAAAGAAAAUGUGUAUAAAGACAACUGCCGGUGCAAGCACUCGACAGAAGUCUCGGGGACUACACCCAUUGGGUUCACUAAGAGUGAACCCAUUGCAAAAAAUCAUAUGAUAUCCGAGCACACCUAGUGGGUUACAAGAGGAAAGUAAAUACUUACUAGCCCACUUACUCGGAUAUCGUCCCGCAGUUCCAAGCUUCGCUUGUACAAGGACGCGAUGGAGUCGUACGCCUUCUUGGCCUCUCCCGCCAUCAGCUCCGCCUGCACCAUGGCCCCCUUGGCAGCUCCCACCUGAUCUUCUGGGAGGCGCUGGACGCUGUACUCGACAGUCGACGGGCCUGGCAUCAUAGGAGGCUCCUUGGGCAUCCCAAGGCUUGCUCCAGUCGGUUCAGCAGCGAUCGGUGCCGUUUCAGUCGACGACAUCGUCUCAAUCGGCGGCGCGUCCAUGGGGAGAGUGGUAACCGGCGGAACAACCUCAAGGACAGGCACCGCAGCUUGCUCGGACGACCUAUGGUCGCCCUCCUCCACAUAGAUCACCUCUGAGGAAAACCCGACCGAACGGCGUGAGACCACAGGAAAAGGACAAGACCAAAGACAUAAUUCAUGAUGCAGUAGUAUAAACUCUCAGAAUCGCCACGACGCACCUGGCUGGGAUGUGACAACGUUGUCCAUGUCCAUGGGAUCAUGCCCUUGGCGUGCCGGAGAGGUGGCAGAGGUAGCAGCUCUGUCGAGUGCCAUUCAUUCGACCAAUAAGCAGAGAUUCGAUCAAAUACUGAAAGAAGAUAGAAGAACCAUGCACUUACAUUGAGGUGACGGGAACUGUGACCCUCAUCCGCGGCAGAGCCUUCCGAGGCUUAGAUCCACUCGGUUUAGCCACCUUGGAGGGCUGACCCGCAGGUUCAACGGUAGAGUCCCUGGUCCUCUUUGUGCUCCGAACACUCGGAGCCACGGGAACGGCUGGCGAAGCACUCGGUACCACAGGAGCAGCUGGCGGAGCUGGCGGCGCACUCGAGAAUGCUGGAGGAGCUGAAGGAGCCACAGUUUCAUGACGGCGCUUAGUCCGAGGCUCUAGCGGUGGAGGUGGCGAGUUGUGCUCCUCAUCUGCCUCUUCUUCUUCUGUGGACUCCUCUUCCGUCUCCCCACUGUCGGAGACGUACUCGCCGCUCUCCACGCUGCCCUCCUGGCUGCCUUCCUCCUCCUCGGCUGGAUUCCCGUUCGAGACGGGAGAAAACCAGUUAGUCCACUCCUGCACAAGAUAUAGUCGACGACAUCAGACGUCAGACAGUGAUUCAAGAAAGCAAUAAAUCUAAGACAGUUGUGUGCACUCGGCAAGUUGUACUCACUGCGUUUGGAGGAGGGUUGUCCGCCCGGAAGGCCUUCACUCGCCGAGCUCCUCUAGGGUUUUCGCAGGCGCCGGUGAUGUUGAGGACCCACGAUGCCACCAUCUCCCCGCUCACGCACUCGACAUUAGUCCGAGUGGAGUCCUCAGGCCCUGUGUAAUGCCACAUGGCGUGGUGUCGAGCUUGCAGAGGCUGGAUACGCCGACCCAGGAAAACCUCCAGCAAAUCUAUGCCAGUGACUCCCCUUCGGACGACCUCUACAAGCGCAUCGACUAGAGGCUGGAUCUGGGUUUUCUCCGCCUUCGUGAGCACAAGCUUCCUAGGAGGAGCCGGUCGGUCUAAGCUAAAAGGAGGGAGUCCAGUGGUAGCAUUCGGGCAAGCAACGUCCUGGCAGUAGAACCAUGUCGACUGCCAGUUCCUAACAGAUUCACUCAACUGUAGAGCAGGAUAGCUACUUUUACUUUUCUUUUGGAAGCCUAAGCCUCCGCAGAGCUGGAGAAGGUGGGUUUUGUCAUCCGACUGGCUAAGCCGUUUGAUGGUCUGGGAUCUAGCAGAGAAGAUAUGUUUGUAAAGCCCCCAAUGGGGAGGACAGCCGAUGAAACACUCGCACAGCACAACGAAGGCAGAGAGAUGAGCUAUGGCAUUGGGAGGAAAAUGGUGGAGCUGCGCCCCGAAGUGGUUCAUGAUACCUUCGAAGAAGGGGGUGAGGAGGCAGAGAGAAACCUCUGUACACAUGGCUCAGCAGCAAGAUGCGCUCCCCCUCCUGGGGCGCCGGCUCGGUCUCGCCUUCCGCCGGCAACCUCCAUGACUUGUGCGCAAUCAUCCCAUGCUCCACCAACUCCAGCAGGUUCUCCUCCGUCACCGUGGAGGGGAGGAAAUCCCCCUGGAUCCACCCCACCGGUAGCGUUCGCUGCCGCCACUGGGCAGGAGCCGCCGCCUUCCCCUUCUUCUUCUUCGCCUCUAGCUUGCUAGUCUGCCCCUUUGUCAUGGCGGAGGCUGCGGAUCCGUGAGGGAGAAGAAGAAGGAAGGAGCUUGGGAUGCGCAGGAGGUGGCGAGAGAAGCGAGGCAGGCAAGUGCAAGAUAUCCGACGAGUGUAACGAAAAAGCGUCGCCGCUGAGGUUUAAAUAAGGUUCCGACUUGGUCAUUGGCAAGUGGCCCCAAAAUCUUAUCCCCCGACCGGUCGCGGUGGUAUCAGUGGAGGAGAUGAAGGCGCGGGAAUCGAGGCGUCAGGUACUACUCGAGCGCGAUGUCGUCAUCCCCGCUGAGCGCGCGACAACCGAAAUUUGAGGAUCCCGGAAAAUCCGCCGCUGUCAGUUGACUGGUCACGUCAGAAGAUACCACGGAAGCACUCGGUUCCCGACAGUUCGUUUCACAAAUACUUCCACUCGGAUCGUUGGUCGAAGAAGAUAAAAUGGAUCGAGGCAAGCAACGCCAAAGUCGCAUCCAUACCAGUCGGAUCCAUACUUCAAGCAUCGCUUCGUCGUUCCAACUCCAAUCCAUUCGGGGACUAAUGAUGGGGUUAUAGUCCUAGGGUAGGGUCAUAGGCCUGCCCUAUAAGUCCUACCCAAGGACUACCCUUCAUAAGGUAUAAGACCCUUAGUCAGUUCCGACUGAAUUAAGGACUUCCCAUCAUCCAGUCGGUAACGAAUCCUCUACCAUCCAGUCGGAGACGAGCAUUCGGAAUGUAUCAAACUAAUCGACUGGAUUCCACUCUGUGCAUCGUAACCCCCCUCGAGGGAAAUGGUCGUACGUUUCCAUGUGCCUUUAUUAGCAUUUAAGACAUACGUUACCUGUAACGUAGGCAUUUAUUCGCCACUACUCCACCCGUGUGCACCGAACCGCUGUGGAGGGCAGCGCACUCUAUAUAAGCCGCCCUCCCCCACUGGUGCAAGGGUUAGCAAUUCACUGUAAUCCAUAUUCCAAUCGACAACAAGCUCCCAGAGCAUUGAGACGUAGGGCUAUUACCUCCACCGUAGAGGGGCCUGAACUCAUACAACCUCGUCGUAGCUAAGGCUCUGCCCAUCCUUUCGUACCCUACACAUCUACUGUCAGACUUAUACCCACGACAAUGACCCUGGUGAUAUUGAGGGCGAGCCACCCAGGAAGAGGGUUCCUGCCAAGGUGAUGUGGUAUGCUCCUAUAUUACCACGGUUGAAACGUUUUUUGAGAAAUAAAGAUCAUGCGAAGUUGUUGCGAUGGCACAUGGAAGAUCGUAUGAAAGACGAUAAGUUGAGGCACCCCGCUGAUGGUCGGCAGUGGAGAAAAAUCGAGAGAGAGUUCCCGAGAUUUGCAGGUGACACAAGGAACUUAUGGUUUGGUCUGAGUACAAAUGGCAUGAAUCCUUUUGGGGAGCAGAGUUGCAGUCACAUCACCUGGCCCGUUACUCUAUGUAUCUACAACCUUCCUCCUUGGUUGUGCAGGAAGCGGAAGUUCAUUAUGAUGCCAGUGCUUAUCCAAGGUCCAAAGCAACCCGGCAACGAUAUUGAUGUGUACCUAAGGCCAUUAGUUGAUGAACUUUUACAGCUGUGGGCCGAACCAGGUGUACGUGUGUGGGACGAGGACAAACAAGAGGAAUUUGACCUUCGAGCGUUGCUUUUCGUAACCAUCAAUGAUUGGCCUGCUCUUAGUAACAUUUCAGGACAGUCAAACAAGGGAUACAAUGCAUGCACGCACUGUUUGGAUCAGACAGAAAGUAUAUAUAUGGACAAAUGUAGGAAUAAUGUGUACCCGUACAAUCAUCGUUUUCUUCCGCCAAAGCAUCCCUUAAAGAAAAAAGGCAAGCAUUUCAAUGGCAAGGCAGAACCCCGGGGGAAGUCUGUCAUCCGUACUGGUGCUGAAGUAUUUGAUAUGGUCAAAGAUUUAAAAGUAAUCUUUGGAAAGGGUCCUGGCAGCCAACCUGUUCCUAACGGCCCUGAUAAGCGCGUACCCAUGUGGAAGAAGAAAUCUAUAUUUUGGGAGCUACCCUACUGGGAAGUCCAUGAGGUCCGCUCGGCAAUCGACGUGAUGCACCUGACGAAGAAUCUCUGCGUGAAUAUUCUAGGCUUCCUGGGCUUGUAUGGGAAGUCAAAAGAUACACCGGAAGCACGGGAGGACCAGGAACGUCAUAAAGGAAGAGAUGGGAUGCAUCCAGGGCAGUUUUAAGGGUGUGCCAGCUACGCUCUUACUAAGGAAGAGAAGGAAAUCUUCUUUGAAGUCCUUUUCAGUAUCAAGGUCCCGACUGGCUUCUCGUCGAAUAUAAUGGGAAUCGUAAAUAUGAAGGACAAAAAAUUCCAAAACCUAAAGUAUCAUGACUGCCACGUGCUUAUGACGCAAUUGCUUCCGGUUGCAUUGAGGGGAAUUCUACCGGAAAAUGUUUGCCUGGCAAUUGUGAAGGUAUGUGCAUUCCUCAAUGCAAUUUCUCAGAAGGUAAUCGAUCGAGAAAGUCUAUCAGGGUUACAGAUUGAUGUGGUCCAAUGUAUGGUCAGCUUUGAGUUGUUGUUCCCGCCAUCCUUCUUCAAUAUAAUGACACACCUCCUAGUUCACCUAGUCAAAGAGAUUAGAAUUCUCGGUCCUGUGUUUCUACACAAUAUGUUCCCCUUCGAGAGGUUCAUGGGAGUCUUAAAGAAAUAUGUUCGUAAGCGUGCUAGGCCAGAAGGAAGCAUCUCCAAGGGCUAUGGAACAGAGGAGGUCAUUGAGUUUUGUGUGGACUUUCUUCCUGACCUUAAGCCGAUUGGUGUUCGUGAAUCUCGGUAUGACGGUAGGCUGACAGGAAAAGGCACACUAGGAAGGAAAGCAAAAGUAUGUAUGGACGGGCAUUCUUUCUCUCAAGCACACUGCAUAGUUCUACACAAUUCCAUCGUGGUGACUGCGUAUAUCGUGAGACACAAGAAUAUUCUACGCUCCGAAAACCCGGGGAAGGCUGACUCUUGGAUUAAAGGGGAACACGAGAAGACUUUCGGCAGUUCGUUGCAGACACAUCUCAUGAAUGACGACACCGUUGGAGAUCAGCUGUACUGUUUGGCCAGGCGACCAUCUUCGACUAUAUGUACUUUCCAAGGGUAUGAGAUAAAUGGGAAUACAUUUUACACGGUUGCCCAAGAUAAAAAGAGCACCAACCAAAAUAGUGGUGUCCGCUUUGAUGCAACAGACGAGAAUGGGCACUGUUUGGAAACAUAUUACGGGUACAUAGAGGAGAUAUGGGAACUUGACUAUGGACCUACUUUUAAGAUCCCUUUGUUUCGGUGCAAAUGGGUGAAGCUGACAGGAGGCGGGGUAGUUGUAGACCAAAAGUUCGGCAUGACAACGGUGGAUCUCAACAAUCUUAAGUACAUGGACGAACCAUUUGUCCUAGCUAAUGGUGUCGCUCAGGUUUUCUAUGUGAAGGACGUGUCUACAAAAACAAGAAAAAAUCAGCAAAAGAAGAUAUCGUCCCAUGAGCCAAAACGCCACAUAGUUCUUUCAGGGAAAAGAAACAUCGUGGGAGUAGAUGACAAGACAGACAUGUGAGUAGAUUAUAAUAAGUUCCAUGAAAUUCCGCCCUUCAAAGUGAAAACUGACCCAAGCAUCCUACUGAAUGAUGAACAUUCUCCAUGGCUACGACCCAGAAGAAAAUAGAAAUAAUAGAUAGGAUAUUGGUGCAAUAAUGUAAUAAUGUAUUAAACCUUUUAUGUAAUGCAUGUAUGGAAUGUACUAAACCUUUUAGUUUUGAAUUAUUUAUUCAAUUUCAAACACUUUUCAUUAUCAUAGUUUUGUCAAAUUNAUUUUGGGAGCUACCCUAUUGGAAACACCUAUAGGUAUGGUCUUCAAUCGACGUGAUGCACGUGACGAAGAAUCUUUGUGUGAACCUGCUAGGCUUCCUGGGAGUGUCUGGAAAGACAAAAAAAUGAAAUCCCUNNNNNNNNNNNNNNNNNNNNNNNNNNNNNNNNNNNNNNNNNNNNNNNUUUUUGCCGUAACCCUCUCAACUUUUUAGCACAUGCUUUGUGGGUGAAAUGAUGAUACCAUGCCAACUUUCAGCAUUUUCAUAUUUCAUUUGUUGUGCUUAUCAAUUUCAGGAUCAAUUAGCUAAAAAAAAGUAAAUGCACGAAAAAUACCAAAUGAAGUCGGAAAUUGUUGAAAAUUUGUGAUGUGCCUUAGAAUGGUGCAUUUUGAACACACAAAAAGUAUGGAGUUGAAAUAAGUUCAAAAAAAUGAAAUUCCUUUGUAACAGAUGAGUUCUCGUUCGAAACCGUGAUACUUCGAGAGAGAUUGUCCGUUUUGUACACGAAGUGCAUCCAGUUUUUGUCGUAACCCUCUCAACUUUUUAGCACAUGCUGUGUGGGUGAAAUGAUGAUACCCUGCCAACUUUCAACAUUUUCAGAGUACAUUUGUAGUGCUUCUCAAUCUUAGGGUCAACUAGCUCAAAAUAAUAAUUAAAUGCACGAAAAAUACCAAAUGAAGUCAGAAAUUGUUGAAAUUUUGUGAUGUGCCUUUGAAUGGUGCUUUUUGAACACACAAAAUGUAUGGAGUUCAAAUAAGUACAAAAAAUGAAAUCCCUUUGUAACAGAUGUGCUCUCGUUCGAAACCCUGGUACUUCGAGAGAGAUUGUCCGUUUUGUAUACGAAGUGCAUCCAGUUUUUGCCGUAACCCUCUCAACUUUCUAGCACAUGCUAUGUGGGUGAAAAUGAUGAUACCAUGCCAACUUUCAACAUUUUUAGAGUUCAUUUGUAGUGCUUUUCAAUUUCAGGGUCAACUAGCUCAAAAAAAUAAGUAAAUUCACGAAAAAUAUCAAAUGAAGUCAGAAAUUUCAUAAAGUUUUUUUUGUUACAUACUUAAUAGAAAACAAAAAAAGAGUGAACUAAAAAGAAUCAACUAAAAUAUUUACUAAAAUGAAUGAAUUAAAAAUAAUUAACUAAAAUUAUCAAAGUGCUUAUUUGUUGGAAAGAAUCAAGUAAAACAUUAACUAAAAAGAAACAAAAAAAGAUCAACUCAAUAGAAAACUAAAAUAGAAGAGAAAAAAAUAUUUAAUAGCAAAGAAUUAAAAUAUAAACUAGGACUAAAAAUUAUUAAAGGAAAAAAAUGCCGCCUAUUGGGCCAUCACGGCCUACAUACGACUAGAAACCCUACCCGACAGGUGGGCCAGGAUGCAGGCCCGCGGGCCCAAUUGGCCCAACAUGCAGCGAGAGGAGAGUUAGGCCCAUAGGCCUGCAAUAGAGAGAAGCUCAAUUGAGCAAGGCUCGGCAGUGCUUAUAAAGCACUGCCAGCGCCCCUCGCUAGGCGAGGUGGGACUAAAGGUUGCCCUGCGUCGCACCGGAGCCAGCCCAGGUCUUUAGUCCCGGNGUCUUUAGUCCCGGUUCUAGCCAAGACCCGGGACUAAAGGUCCUCCUAUAUAAACGACACUUCGAAGUUUCCAACCCAUCUCCUCUCGUUUUCUUCCUCCUCUCGCUCUCGCUUGCGCACCGGACGACGACGCGAUCGACGCCGCCAGGCUGCCGGACCUCCGCCUCGCUCUCGCCGUCGCCGACGCCCGCCGUCCUCCUUGCCGUCGCCGAUACGCCUCGCCUCGCCAUCACCGUCUCGCCUUGCCUCGCCGUCGCCGUCUCGCCUCUUCGACAUUGUUGCACCGUUGCCGUCUCGCCUCCGGCCCAGAGCUCCUCGCCGCGUCGCUGACGCCGUCGCCGCCCCCAACUCGCCUCGCCUCGCCGUCGCCCCGUUGCUCCGCCUUGAGCUCCCCCUAUCCUCCCUCUCCCUCUCCCCUUGUGCCGCCAUUAUUUUUAUAAUUUAUGAAAGUUUUUUCUUUACAAAGUUUGUAGAAAAACUAUUAAUACCUACACAAUAGAAUCGGUAUUAUUUGAUCCACCGGGAAAUUUAUUUUCAUACUAUUUUUACUAUUGCAGCCACUGAUCCGAGCAAAUUUAGUGAAACACAAGAAAAAAAAAUUAGGAGAAACUAACCUUUUAAAAAUGGAAGAAAAGGGCAGCCAACCUGUGUAGUGAAAUAAGGGCCUCUUUGAUUCGCAGGAUUUUUAAAACGCAGGAAUAGGAAAAAUGGAGGAUUUGAGUGGCAUGUCCAUUCGAACCCUAUAGGAUUAGUAAGGAGUGUUUGAUGCCACAAGAAAAACAAUGGAAUUGUAAAAAUAAGUUGGAGUGGAUGUUAUAUUUCCUAUGAAAUGUAGUACAAGAAGAUUCCAUAGGAAAAGUUCCAAUGGGAUUCAAUCCUAUGAUUCAAAGGACCAAUAUAGGAAAAAAUCCUAAGGGUUUCAAUCCUCCAAAAAUCCUAAGGGUUAGGUAGUUAGUGUUAAUUAAUAGGUUAUUGUUAGUUUAGGGUUAUGUAAAUUUCAGUAAGUUAGUUUAGGGCCUUUUAGUUUAGGUCACAGUUAGUGUUUAAGCAUAUACGAAUAUACAAUCUACAAUUAUCACUUAAAUCACUACAAAAAUCACUUAAGCAUAUAAAUUAGUGUUAAUUAGGUUAGUGUUAGCUAGUUUAGGGCUAUGUAAAUUUAGGUAAGUUAGUUUAGGGUCGGUCCAUGGCUUCAUCAUUACCUGGUAGUAACAGACGCAUGGCGCUAUCAAGCUCUCGAAAGUUGUUUUGGAACGGAGUUCCUGAUAGAAUAAUUCAUUUUUGGUACAAAGUUCAACAAAGUCCUUCCAAAUAGCGAUAUUCGGAUGGCUCGUUUUGAACUGCGAACCAAAAAGCUAAUUAUCCUAUUCGGGAUUCCGUUACAAAACAACUUUAUAAAGCUUCAUAGCAUCAUACUCCUAUUUUUUUUAAACAAUACAAUUGCAGAUGCUUACAUACAUGAAUUUUUACACACACUUAAAACUUUUGUCAAUAUAUAGUUGAACUAGUUGAUUUAAUAAAACUACUUUAUUUUACUAUAUAUACAAUUAGUUUAUUUUUAGCAAGAAAAUUAAUAGAACUAGUUUAUUUUUUUAGUUCAUUUUACGAUGCCUAUCCCGCAUCCUCGUCGUCGACUCGGCAGAGGACACCUGCUUGAUCAUAGGGGCCAUGUCCGGGACUGGGCUCCGCCCGGCUGGUAUUGGGAGGUGCUACCUUGUGGGGGGUGUAGGUUGCUCAGGAGCCAGCCCGUUCUUGACCCGAUCCUUGUUUGGUGGCGGUCGCCUGGGCCAAUGACGGUGCCGAGGCUUCCGGACACCGCGGAGGUGGUACGUCACCGUGUCAGCGAGGAGGAUGAGCACGUCCGUCGCUACAUGGUUGCGUUGGAGGGCAGGUUCGACCAUACCUGGCAGGUUCUUCAGGGAUCUCACUGGAGCUAUGAUCCUGUGAUGGUUCCUUCUCUUUGGGUGUCCACCGCCCGCGACGAUACCCGUCGGGUGCUACGGUUCUAGCUGUAUUAGUGAUGCUAUAUGUAUGAUAGUAUUCGAGGAGUAUUAGUGAUAAUAUUCGACGAUGUACGGACACAAGAGAUGAUGUAGUUUUGAUUAUAAUUGAAUGCAUGCUAAUUUGAAUACUACUUUAUUUUAUGAUUUGGUUUUGCUUAUUGAAUGCUCAAAUUGGAAAAGUACUCCUACUUUGAAUACUAAAAUUAGAGAGCACUAUGCAGAAAUCUAGGAGUCCCGGGUGGAGCCACGACCCGGGACUAAAGUUGUUUUGGAACGGAGUUCCUGAUAGAAUAAUUCUUUUUUGGUACAAAGUUAAACAAAGUCCUUUGACACUAGACAAUGUGACAUAUAGAAGGGUAGAUGAGAUCAGGAAAAAUAGGAUCAUUUUCUACACAUCUAGAAUGUCGCCAUUUUGUUAAAUCCUUAAAGGUUAAGAUAAUCCGUUAGACAUAUUUUAGAGUUUAGGUUCUAGCCAAGACCCGGGACUAAAGGUCCUCCUAUAUAAAACGACACUUCGAAGUUUCCAACCCCUCUUAUAUAGUUUGUUAGUUUAUUAGUUAAUCAAAUGUCCAUUUUUUGCAGAACUAUGGAUCCACAUAUCAGGAACCUCGAAGAGGGAGAACUUCUCAAAGAUAUAAUCAAAGACGGCCCCGACAUUGAACCAGCUGAAUCUCUGUCGUCAUAUCUAAACCCCUCCGGAUAUGGAAUGGAGGUCGACCGACACGAAGAUGAAGCCGAUGGGGCAGGAGAUAGCUCCAAUGACGGAGAAGGUGAUAGCUCCACUGAUGGAGAAGUCGGUGGAGAAAUAAUAAAGUCCGGCGAGGUAUACAUAUGAAGUUCGACAAUCACUUGUAAUAUGUGAAAAAUAUUGGAGAUAGUUCUAUAUUGUAUACAUAUACAUUCAUUUGACGAAUGUUUCUCCCUCUUAGGCCUCCACAUCGAGCAAAGCUACGAAACGAGGCCUGACUAAAAAGUUGGAUGCACGGACGCAUUACACCUUUGAGGUGAUAUUGCCUACGGGCGAACCCAAGCUUCUUAAGAAUGCAGCUGACACAUUCAAGAAGCAAUGCGGAGUUCUCGUUAGGGAUCACGUCCCGAUCAGCGUUCGGGAGUGGAACAAGCGCAAAGGGGCAGCCGAUAGUGACUAUGUCGCCGAAAGGUACAAAGAUAAUCUCUAGAAUGAUCUCAUGUCACAUUUCAACCUGCCAGAAUGUGAGAAUGAAGACGCCGCAAAAAAACUGAGGGCCAAAGUCAAGCAGUGGACUCUAAAGAAGAUGGCCGAACUGUUCCGUAGCUGGAAGAAGAAGCUAUGGAAAAACUAUCGGAAGAUAAACAAAGUGCCAGUAUUCGAGGGGUAUCUAGCCAAGCAGGAAAAUCACUGGAAGGCAUUUCAAGAGUACAAGGAGUCAGAAGAUGCCAAGGCAUUAUCAGAAAAGAACAAGAAAAAUGCCGACAAGAAGAAAUAUCACCACACGCUGGGGCUAGGGGGCUAUGAGACUGCCAUCCCAAAGUGGGAUAAGAAAGAGCAAGAUCUGCUAGCUAAAGGCAUCAUACCUGAACCCAUCCGUGAUGAGUGGGAAUUCAGAGCAAGAAAUUGGUUCCUUGUGCAUGGUGGUUCGUACGAAGAAGAAACAGGGGACCUCCUCUGCAGUGAGGGUCUUAGGAUACCCAGGGAGAAUUGGAAAAAUAUAGUGAAAGAAAUUAAGGAGGGAAAAAGACAGUUCACUGCAGAUAGAGAGAAAGAUUUGCUCACACUGGUCCUCGGCAAUGACGAACAUGGAGGACGAACGCGAGGCUUCGGUCCUUCUUACCCGUGGUGGCUUUGGUCCUUCCUCCCCGUGGUGGCUUGGCCGUGAGAUUCCAGCUGACUUUGCUAAAGUCGGGGUGGAUGAAAUCAUGGCGAGAUUUCAUGAUAUGGAGCUCGACAUAGCUGGACCCGAAGAUGAGAGGACACUCGGAGAAGUACUGGGUGGAGUCAUCCUAUGGGACAAGAACUACAUCAAGAUUCCAGGCUCGGCCCCAAGGACAACACCGCCUCCGAGUCGUCGCAGGUCACCUUAACAUCCAUCACCUCCAAGCCCUCCACAUGACGACGGGAGCACAACACGAGUCCAUCUCGAUCACCGCCGUCGGACUGGGGUCGUCCAUCUCCGCCGCCGCCCGCUAAGGAUACUAAGCGGAAGUGUGCCAGCAAGAACGCUCCGUCGAUUAGUUCUAAGCAACGGAGCUCCCCAAAGCGCAAACUGUCGCCCCUCCCAAAGGUACCUCAUGCUAAUAUUCCUAUCACACCUUAUGAUCGUACCGACGAGGAAAACGCCAGGAUAUCAAAGGAACAUUAUGAUGCGCAGAUGAAAAAGAAGGAACCCGAGCCCCGCCCAGAAUACACCGAGAAGCAAAUAGCAUAUGCAAAAUACUUCACGACCCUUCCAUCACAGUAUGACUUACACCAUAAGCCUGAUGACUAUACACGCACAUUGCAGAAGGAAGGGAAAAAGAGCAGAUCACGUGCAAGUGCAAGUGGGAGCAAAUCAAGUUCAACUACAAGCAAAAAAGAUCAGACGUUCCUCAGCUUGGACAACAGGCCAAACAGUCGAUCCCACCCCUCAGGGUGUUACCCGAGAAUGUUCCCUCUCUGGUGCAGGGGCAAGAUUUGGAAUUAGCAAAGAAGUGGGCGGAUAAAUGGGGUAUCCCGGUUGAAGACGUUCUGGCUUCCCAAGACGACAGGUUACCCAAGGCUGUGGUAGCCCCUAAGCCACAGUUUGUCAUGGGAGCGCCUUUGAUCAGCAAAGAUGAUCUCCCAACAAAUAUGUGUUACUUGCGUACAUGGUACUUAAGUGAAUCAAAGAAUGGGAGAACGAUGAUCGUGGCGCGUGUCCCACAGGAGUACUACGACCGCCCCGAAGAAAUCCAUAUCGACUUUGAUGAACUCUUCCAGAUGUACAAUGGCGACGCCCUCGACAAAUAGCUUAUGAGUUGCUAUUGUCUGUAAGUUUUUCAAUUCGUUGUCUACAUAUAACUUGUUUAGUUAUUUCAAUUCAUUGUCUACAUAUAACUUGUACUCUAUUAUGCAGAAUGAAGAUUCUAGAAUGUAAAAGUAGGAACAUCCUAAAUAUUGGGUUUAUUGACCCAGAUAAAAUACAUAUAGCGACGCUAACUGAUAAACCCAAGGAGACAGAGGAAAACCUUCUAAGGUUUCUAACAGAUCAAAAUUUCUGUGACCACAUACUGUUUCCAUACAACUUCAAGUGAGGGUCUUUACUAUGUUGUGUCCAUUCACUUAUAAGUGUAAUUGAUAAGUUACUGACACACACACACACACACACACACACACAUAUAUAUAUAUAUAUACAUGUGCAGCUACCAUUGGAUUCUGUUGGACAUUCAAAUUGAUAAGGGAAGAGUUGAUGCCUUCGACCCAUUAUCGAGACCCUUGGAACAGUUCCAAAGCCUGUGGAACAGUUCCAAAGCCUGCAGGACAUGAUCCAAGGGUAAUUUCAAUCAUUCUUGCGCUCUAUCGGUCUCUUUCGAUGAUUUUCUGAUAUAUCAAUUAAUGAAAAACUUAGCAAAUCAUUUUCCUUGUCGGGCAGGGUUUGGAAGCGGUUCAAGUGCGUGACUCCCGGUAUCGAGCAUGAGAAGCUGACCUUUAGUGCUGCUGAGGUAAGUAGUAGUAUGAUAUACUUCUAUUUUCAAUACAUUUAUGAUGCUAGAUUUUUAUUUUGAUUAUAUAUAUUCUAUUCUCGUAAAGUGCGACCAGCAGCCACGGGGGACGCAUCUAUGCGGAUACUAUGUUUGCGAGACCAUUCGCACGUUUACCUCUGAGCACAAGGAUUACAGAUACGACGUAAGCAAUGAACAUUCACACCUCUAUUUUUACCCGUCAUUCUUUGUUAUCAUGAUUGAUAUUGAUAUUCAUCUCCUCUUCUUAUAUAGUACACGGCCAUGAGGGAGAAGUACCUACCAGAGAAACGCGCGAUUGCUGUUGCAGAGGAGCUUGCGACCUUUCUCAGGACGGAAGCUAUAGAUGACAAAGGACGAUUUAGUGUAGCUAGGGGCCAUUACUGAUGUUGGUCCAUGUAAUCGAAUAGACGGGCUCUAGUCCCGAUAAUUCAGAUCUCCAUAUAAUUGUAUAUAUAUGCUCUCUUGUAAGAUAAGUUAAUCUUAUAUAUAUAUAUAUGCAUAAACAUGUAUAUUUGGAAUUAUAUGAAAACAAAUUCCCGAACACCAAACGAGGCAUCACGUUAAUCUCCCGAAUACCUAAACCCUAAAACCCUAAAAUCCUAAAGUAAACAAAAUCUGCAGAAACUCUUUAGUCCCGGUCCGUGUUAGGACCCAGGACUAAAGGGUCUGCCCCUGAGGGCGCUCCGAGGCGCCCACGUGGAGCACCUUUGGUCCCGGCUUGGAAUAGUCCCGCCUCUUUGGUCCCGGUUGGUGAACCGGGACUAAAGCCCCUUACGGGCCGGGACUAUAGGCCAUGUCCCCACUAGUGUGACAUGAAUGUUCAGAUCCGUAAGAUUCAGAACAAUAGUUUGCUAUUGACAUGAAAACAAUAAUACUUCAAGCAAACUAGCAAGGUAAUCAUGAACUUUCAAAAUAACAAGGCCAAUGAAAGUUAUCCCUACAAAAUCAUAUAGUCUGGCUAUGCUCCAUCAUCCUCACACAACGAAUGUAAAUCAUGCACAACCCCGGUAUUGGCCAAGUAAUUUUUUUUUGCACUCUUACUUUCUCAAACUUUUUAUAACUAUCACGCAAUACAUGAGCGUGAGCCAUGGAAAUAGCACUAAAAGUGGAAUAGAGUGUGGUGCUGGUUGUGAGACAAAAAGGAGGAGAUGGUCACAUUGACUCGGCGUAUCAAAGGGCUAUGUAGAUGCCCAUUAAUAGAUAUCAAUGUGAAUGAGUAGGGAUUGCCAUACAAAGGAUGCACUAGAGCUAUAAGUAUGUGAAAGCUCAAAAGUAGAACUAGUGGUUGUGCAUCCAACUUGCUUGCUCACGAAGACCUAGGGCAAUUUUGAGGAAGCCCAUCAUUGGAAUAUACAAGCCAAGUUAUAUAAUAAAGAUUCCCACUAGCAUAUGGUGGUGACGAAAUGAGAGGCUUUCAAUCAUGAAGAAAAUGGUGCUAUUACGAGGCACAAGUGUGGAAAAAGAUAGUAGCAUUGUCCCUUCUCUCUUUUUCUCUCUUCUCUUCUUUUUAUUUUUUUUAUUUGGGCUCGUGGGCCUCUUUUUUAUCUUGUUUUUUUUAUUGGGCACUUUGUCCUCUUUUUUUAUUCCUCGCAUGGGAAAAUUCUCUAAUAAUGAUGAUCAUCACACUUUUAUUUACUCACAACUCAAAGCUUAGAAAUGACUCUAUAGGAAAUGCCUCCGGGAGUGUAACAGGAUGUGCAAUGAUCUAGCUUGGCGUAUGACAUUGAAACAUCUCGCUAGCUAUCUUAUGAUCAUGCAAUGGCAAUAUGAGAGUGACGGCACAAGUCAUGAGACGGAACGAUGGGAGUUGCAUGGCAAUAUAUCUCAGAAUGGCUAUGAAAAUGCCAUAGUAGCUAGGUAUGGUGGCUGUUUUGAGGAAGGCAUUUGGUGGGUUUGUGUACCGGCGAGAAUUGCGCGGCACUAGAGAGGCUAGCAAUGGUGGCAGGUGAAAGUGCAUCUAUACCAUGGACUCACAUUAGUCAUGAAGAACUCACAUACUUGUUGCGAAAGUUUUUAUUAGUAAUCGAAACAAAGUGCUAAACGCAUACUCCUAAGGGAAGGGUUGGUAGGUGUUAACAAUCGCGCGAUCCCGACCUCGACACAAAGGAUGACAAUCAAUAGAUCAAUUAUGCUCCGACUUCGUAACAUAGCGGUUCACCAUACGUGCAUGCUACGGGAAUCACUAACUUCAACACAAGUAUUUCUAGAUUCACAACACCUUACUAAUGUAACUCUUAAUAUUACCAAAUCCACGUCUCAAAACUAAUUGAGAGGAAUAAAAACUUCUCCUUAUACUCAAUGCACAUGAAGAUGGAGGUUUUUGUAUCCUCUUUGGGUACCUAUGACCUUUGGGACUACUUUCAUAGCAUAAGCCAACUACCAAGUCACGCACCGCCGUGCUCUAAAAGAUAUAAGUGAAGCACAAAGAGCAAAAUUAUCUAGCUCAAAAGAUAUAAGUGAAGCACUAUGAGCAUUCUAGCAAAAUCAGGAUGAGUGCAUGUCUCUCUCUCUCAAAAGGGUGUGCACCAAGGAUGAUUGUGACACAACAAAAAGAAAAGACUCCUAAGUUACAAUAUGCUCCAAGCAAAACACAUAUCAUGUGGUGAAUAAAAAUAUAGCUCCAAGUAAUGUUACCGAUGGAUUGAAGACGAAAGAGGGGAUGCCUUCCCGGGGCAUCCCCAAGCUUAGGCUUUUUGGUGUCCUUGAAUUUGGCUUGGGAUGCCUUGGGCAUCCCCAAGCUUGAUCUCUUUCCACUCCUUAUCUCUUUGUCCAUGAGAACAUCACCCAAAACAUGAAAAACUUCACACCACAAAACUUAAACAGAAACUCGUGAUAACAUUAGCACAAGAAAACAAACUACCACCUCUUUUGGUACUGUAGAAAACUUGAAUUCUAUCUAUAUUGGUGUUGGGCUACUGUAUUCUCCCUUUUCCAUGGCUAGUACCCCCCGAUACUAACCAUAGUUUCAUCAAAACAAGCAACCAACUCAACAAAAACAUAAUUUGUCAAAAACAGACCAGUCUGUAGCAAUCGGUAUACUUCGUAUACUUAUGAUACCUCACAAAUUCUGAAAAAUUACAACUGCGUGGGAAAAAGGCAUAUCAACGAGCAGCAAAAAGAAUCAACUCAAAAUCUCUUUCUUAAAAAAAAUGAAAAAUCAUCUCGUGAGCGAAACGUUUCUGUCUUUUUCCAGCAGGAUCAAACAACCAUUGCCAAGACUAGUCAUAAAGGUUUUGCUUGGCUCAAACACAAAAAUAAACACAAAAAACACAAUCACAACAGAAUUAUGAAAUUGUGGACACAACAAAACACAAAGAAAAAUAUAAAUUCAUUGGGCUUCCUCCCAACAAGCGCUAUUGUUUAACGCCCCUAGCUAGGCAUAAAAGCGAUAGAAUCUCGUAUCAUCGUCUUUGGUGCUCAAACCAUAAGUGGCCCUCAUCGUGGAUUUAUAAGGCAAUAUUAUUUUCUUUCUAGGAAAGUGAUCCAUGCCCUUCUUUAAAGAAAAUUUAAAUCUAAUAUUCCCUUCCUUCAUAUCGAUGAUAGCACCGAUAGUCCUUAGGAAAGGUCUACCAAGAAUAAUAGGGCAUGUAGGAUUGCAAUCAAUGUCAAGCACAAUGAAAUCCACGGGUACAUAGUUUCUAUUUGUAAUAAUAAUAACAUCAUUGAUCCUUCCCAUGGGUUUCUUGACAGUAGAAUCUGCAAGAUUCAAAUUAAGGGAACACUCUUCAUUCUCAUUAAAACCCAGAACAUCACAUAAAGACUUUGGAAUCGCGGAAACACUAGCACCCAAAUCACACAAAGCAUUGCAUUCAUAGUUUUUGAUUUUGAUUUUGAUAGUAGGUUCCCACUCAUCAUGAAGCUUUCUAGGGAUAGAGACUUCCAAUUCAAGUUUCUCUUCAAGAGAUUUUAUCAUGGCUUCGACGAUAUGAUCGGUAAAGGCCUUGUUUUGGCUAUAAGCGUGUGGAGAGUUUAACAUGGAUUGCAUCAAGGAUAUGCAUUCAAUCAAGGAGCAACUAUCACAAUUAAAUUCCUUGAAAUCCAAGGUAGUAAUUUCAUUACUACUCAACGUUUUAAUAACUUCUACUCCACUUUCAAUGCUUUUAGCAUCAAGAUAGAUGGACUCCGAAUCAUUGGGGCACUUUUCAACCAAAGUGGAUUCAUAUCCAGCCCCAUAAUCAUUAGGUUUGUCACAAGAAAACAAAGAUUCAGUGGGAGUCACACCAAACACUUUAAGAUCUUCGUGAUUCUUAUCACGAGAACACGCCUUUUUAAGCCAUUCAUGUCUAGCACGAAUUUGCACUACUAGGAAAAGGCCUGCUAGUGGCGCACCUAUUUUGGCUACUAAUGGCGCACUAUAGGUGCGCCACUAGCAUCACACCAUUAGAAUUUUUUACUAAUAGCGCACCACAGGUGCGCCAUUAGUAUCUGGUAUACUAAUGGCCCACCAGGCAGUGCUCCAUUAGUAUAGCCCAUGGUGCUUCAUUAGUAUGCCUCCCAGGGCAUAUAUACUAAUGGUGCACGAGGUAGUGCGCCAUUAGUAUAGCCCAUGGUGCUCCAUUAGUAUGCCUCCCAGGGUAUAUAUACUAAUGGCGCACCAGGCAGUGCGCCAUUAGUAUUGCCCAUGGUGCUCCAUUAGUAUCUGGUAUUCUGGCAUAUAUAUGUCUUGUUUCAAAACCACAAAUUCAACAGCACAUAACAUAUAUAUCGAAUAUAUAAUACAUAAUAUGUGCCCAAUAGUUUUACUAGUCCACAACACAUAACAUAUAUGCAAAGUUGCAUAAAAAGUUUCAAGAUCCAUAUAUCAAAAUUCCAUAGCAUCCAUACAUCCAAAAUUCCAUAGCAUCCAUAUAUACAUAUAGUUCCAUAGCAUCCAUACAUACAUAGCUCCAUAGCAAAUAUAAUACACAACGAUACUUUGUGGGCAUUAGUAGGUAAUAUUUGGCACUAGAACAUAUGCCUUCAUGUCCAUAUCGUAGUCCCAAGAGCAUCCGCAUGGCAACCUACAAGAUGAAAUCAUCAACAUGUCAAAUUUAACACUCUAAAUCAUGAGCCCUAUGGCCGGGCGGGGCAGGGGUGUAGGGCGGAGUAAUGUUCUCUAAUGAGACCUAUGUUCUCUUAUAAUAGACCAAUCAUCAACUAAUGGCGAGCGGUAUUUAGAUUGUAUAAUAGACCAAUCAUCAACUCAAUGUUCUCUAAUGAGACCUAUGUUCUCUAAUGAGCAAAAAACAAAACAAAGGAGCUAACUGUACAAGUGAAAAAGGGCAUGGCUCUUUAGAUUGUAUAAUAGACCAACAAGGAUCUAUGAGCUGCAAAUAACAUAACUUAGUAACCACAGAACCUUGCAAAACACAUAUAUUGUGGCAUAGUUCACUGAAAAGAAAGAUGACCGCAAUAACAAGAUUUAAAAACAGCAUCAUCAACUCAAUGGCCGGCAUCACAGUCAGCCAUGGCUCGUUGGCAAAUGCAUUACAAGGCAAGGGAAGAAAGAGGAGACCAGGGACUCACCAAAACCAAGUAUGGUCUUGUUCAUCCGGUAAUUGGUGGUUCCUGUUGUUGUUUUAGCAGCAGCGACAUACUCAAAAUCUACCAAGUAUCAGUACUAGAAAAAGAUGAAUUUGACUAGAGCAAGGAAAUGGAAACACUUCUUUCUUGCAAAUUAACAACCACAUGCAUAGCACAGCUAGCUAAUGACCCAAAGGAAGAAAAAAUAUGAUUAAGCAGCAAAGCCAUGGCCACCACCACAUCUACAUAAUGGGCCAUUAGCCGAAAAGCAAGCCGUUUAACUAGCUAACAAACGGCAACCAGUGGAAUAUUAGCAUAGCACCAGCCCGUUCAGAGAUAUUAGCUACAGGUGAGUAAGCAGAGGGGGGAGGUGCUACCUACUGGGAGCGGUGUGUUGUCGUGGCCAGGCUGGACUUGUCGACCUCGUGCAGGAUCCCUUGGUUGCCUUGGAAGCAAUGGAGCAGACGCCUUGGUGUGCCCCUCCUCCUCGCGGAGGAUAGAGCAUCGAGUUAGGUCUGUCCCUCCUCGAGCAGGACAAGGCCCUAUUCUCGGCUGGUGCCCUCCUGCCGUCGUCGAUGUCCCGUCUGCACCAUGGGAGGUCUGCACCAAAGCAAAAGAAGAGAAGGUUAGUUUGGGCGCCAAUUGAUCACACUAGCAAGAUGAUCAAUUCAGAUUUUCGCAUGCUUGCUAAGAAUAUAUGAUCAGUUUAGGAUGUCAAUCAAGGAGGGAGGCUUUUCAAGAGCAGAACAAAAAAGGUACAUACUCGACGCGAAGCAACAGAGGCUAUCUUGGAUACUAUCAGAGCUUAAUCACUAGUCAAUAGGCAUAAAAUUCAAUUGAUUCCUAGACCAAGUUUGAAAUAGCAAACGAACUAAAAUUUACAGAUCAUCGAGUCUAGUAUUAUGUGCCAUGCUGCUCUAUUAUAAAUCCCAGGUUUAUCCCAGCAUAAAUUAUAUUCCCGUAGCUACUUAGGCUCCAACACACAAGUGCAGCAACCACGAACUGAAAUACCAUUGAUUCAUCAGUACCAAAAUAACCUCCUUAGCUAAAAGGUGGCCAUCAGGAACCACACACGCAUCAUGCAAUGCCGCAACACCAAAUAUGGUAUGAACUAGAACCAUACUUGUUGUCGUUUUGUCACGGCAGAUGUCCUCGUGAAAGGACUUAGUGUUGGAUCCAUCGCAUCUUGGUGGCGACUGAAAGGGGUUGAACGGGAGCGGGACAGAGAUUUACACAGGUUCGGCCCCUCGUGAGGAGGUAAAAGCCUACGUCCUGCUUUGUGUUGUAUUGAUGGUGUUUUGAUUACAAGGAGGGUGUAGCUCGCCUGGCCUAGCACUCGAUGAUUUCUAACCUAAUAUCUCCUUCCCCGGGACUCACCUUUAUAUACAGGUCGAGCCCUUAAGGUUUACAAGAGUCCUUGCCAUUAUGCAGGUCAUGAUUCUUUCUACCUGUAAGUCUCCGUGCUUUCCAAGACUUGAAGAUCUUCCCAAUGAUCGACUCUUCCCGAGGAUCUUGAACCGCCAUCUAGCUCCUGGGCUUUAUUGGGCCAAAGCUUGAAUCACCAAUGGAUGAGUCGCCUGCUUGGUGACCCAGCCCAACCAGGGCGGGUCACACAACAGAUAAUAUCCCCAACAUUCGGCCCCAGAUUGACUUGAACCUGUUCACGCCAACUCUUACCUAGUUAGGGGCGACUCAAUCUGCUCUUUUUAUGCAUCAUACGCUUAACCCGCCAUCUUUCAUGGAAAUAUCCCAGUCGCCGAACCGUUUCUUGUUGACACCAUCUUAUCCCUUUAAUCUUGGAAGAAAUGAUGACGCAAUCUCCAAUGGAUCUUUCAGCACAGAUAUCCCGAAAAUCUUGGCGCUAUUAAAGCGAAUCUUUACCCUGUUUUCAAUUCCCGCGCAAGGCGCCUUGAUUCCAACACCCGACCCAAUAAAUAGGCUCGGGGAAGGAGGCAGGGCGCAUCCCCACCUACCCAUUUUGCUGGUCUUCUUCUUCCUCGCGACCACAUCGAGAGCUCCAUCGCCGCCCGAGGAAAACUCCACCUCCGGCCACCUCGUCUGACGCAUCUCCAGGCCGCUCAAGGACGCUGCACUCACCACGGAUUUCUCUUGGUCGCCACCGGACACCACCAUCAGGUCAGCCUUUCACCAUUAGAAACAUAUCUAAGCUCUUCGGUGUUCAUCGUCCGCCGGUUCCUUAGCGCACCUCGAAUCCUUCCAUUUAUAUACUGAUUAAUUUGCAGUAGUGCUAGGCGCGGUAAUUUCAACCAUAUUCUCAACCGAUUAACUCCUGCCAAGGAACUAAAAACGCUUCUGUCAAAUCAGCUUUACUGUUUUUACCCUAGCCAUAGGCUAUUUUACUUUAUCCAGGACUUUUCCCAUUCAUUUUUUGCCUGCUCUGUAGAUCUAUGUUUUACUGCCUGCUGUAUAAAACCUAUUUGUAGAUCCGUACUUCACCAUUUUAGCAAACACCUCUGAAGCUCUGAGUUGUUUCCCUUAAACAGUAAGAAAUUCCUAAAUCGCCCUUGUAUCCAGACCCGGUCCCUUGUUGGCGAGUCAACAGAUUCCCUUAGUCACCUGACAAAUGUUCGGCGAGUUAAUUGAUCCUCUUAACCAUUCAGUAAGCGCGCGGUGAGUUAAUUUAUCCGUAAUAUAUUCCUUUGUAGCCAUGGGUACCGUUUUCAAAGCCAAUUGGCUCCCGACCAAAGUUGAUGAAGCUUUUCUCAAUGACUGUGUGAAGACGGGAAAUCUUGACCCGAGAGAGGUUAUCGGAUGGCGAUCCGGGUUUGGAGAAGAAAUUCCCAACCCGAAGGAAGGGGAAAUAGUUGUCUUUGGUGAACACCUCGAACGGGGGUUUAAGCCGCGAGGGUCAAAAUUCCUGAGAGAUGCCAUGACUUGCAUGAACGUCCGCCUCCAAGACUUAGGUCCCAACUAGAUCAGUAACUUAUGUUAGUUUAAAGUGUUAUGCGAAGCCUACUUGCGGAUGGAACCUUUAGUUCCUUUGUUCUGGUACUUUUUUCAUUUGAUUCGCCAGACCAAGUUUUCCAAUGGCCCUAGCUUAGACCUUGGAGGCGUCAACGUUCAACACCGUAGGGACAGCUCAUUCCCAUCACUCGCCAUGCCAAGCCAUCCCAAAGGCUGGGGCGAGUCUUGGUUUUAUUGCCAAGAAACUUCUCCUGAGGGUGAAAACAAACUCCUUGGCUAUAGGGAGGAACGCCUUCCUACAAACUUUAAACUUCCAGACAAGCUCACUGAAGAAGAGGAGUCGGAUUUUAUUUCGGUGCUAUCUGAGUUACGAUCUUUGACAAACAAUGGUCUCACUGGGGUUGAUUUGAUCCGCUGCUAGGUAGAAUGGUGCAUCCUUCCCUUCAGUCACCAAGGCGGCUUAAUGUGUGAGUUUGAUGGCACCUUGGACCAUCCCCAAUGCUACUUCCGUACAUCACUGACAGAAAAUGAUACUGUGACCAUCAUCAAGAAGCUGACCGGCGAGCCCUUGGCCAAGUGUAGCCAAAUAGGGCUUAAGCCAUUCUGCAAGAUCAACCCGGCUCCUAAGGUAAAUAACUUAACCCGCCUUUAAUUUAUUCUCUCCGACUUACUUGAAUUCUGAUCCGCAUAAUAAAAAUUGCACUUCAGAAAGGUGAGCGAUUCUGGUCCAAGAGGCCGAAAAAGAUGGCCCUGAAGCAAGCCAAGCCGCCUCCAAAAAAGAAAUCCAAGAGCAAAAGCAAAACCGCCAUCAUUGAACCGUCUGAUGUGGACGAAUCCCAAAUCGGCGACGUAUCUUUAGAGGUAAAAUUAUAUCUUCUUUGUCUUGACAUCCAUUGCUAUAAUUUGUGUUUACACCUCUGCAUCUCUUAUGUAUAGAAUGAUGGCAACGAAAGCCAAGAAGACUCCGUAGAGGUAAUUUCUAUUUCCUCCGACUCAUCUUCUCCUCCGCCUAAGCCGGCCAGGCGGGUCUGUGGGAAGGUUCCCAUGUCUCACCCAAAUGCUUGUCUGGAUCCUAAUUUCCUUUUGAAGAAAGCGCAACAUGCUUCCUAUCGGAAGACUCGGAGUCACUCUAGAGACUUGGUGUUCGGGUUACCAGCGAAAACUCCUACCAAGAAGAGGCAGAAUGAGGUAUCCUUUUAGCAGCGUCCCCCUUUGCUUCCUUUUGGAUCAUACUUAUAACUUGCUCAUAUCUUGAGGUAUUACUUUUGCAGAAUUCUCCCCCUUCGUCAGGCGACUCAGUGAUGUCAGCCCUUCCGCCAAUGAUCCACGUUUCAAGGUAAAUCCUUAUAAUACUUACAUUUGUCCUGAUGAUGAUGAUGUCUGUUUUUAAGCAUAUCCCCUUCUCUUUUUAAGGCACAAGCGAAGAAAAGGAAAACUGGCGGAUCAACUUCCACUACAGCUCUGAAACCUAUUGAAAAACCGGCGCCGACUCAGGCUAACCCGGCAAAGGAUAAACCUGAUGACCAAGCGGACCUCCCAAGUUCUCCCAAGGAAGGCACUGAAACACCGAAUCCGCCGAGUCUGUUGAAAACGGCAGAGGAUCCAUAUGAUGUAAUCAUCACUGGUACUAGCUUCUCUAAGACGGCUUCGGCAGUCUUGUCGAAGCAUGUAUCAACAUCAACCCAUCCUUCUGCUGGACAUGAUAUUUCCAAGGCCAAACUAUCCCAGUACGAAAAUCUUGAAUUUAAAGAGCUCUGCUCCGGCUUUGCAAGUUGCCUGGAGACGAGUUAUGAAAUGGAGAAGAAUCUACUCCUUAUGAUAAAGAAUAGACAUGAGGUACGCCUUAAUGCAUAUCAUCCUUAUUAGCCCCCAAGGGCCAGGUCAUCUGUUGAAAGAUAAGACGGGUCUUGAUAUUAGAAAAAUCUUUCGACCUGUAACCCCCAAGGGCCGGGUCAUCUGUUGAAAGAUGAGUCGGGUCUUGAUAUUUAGAAAAAAUCUUUCGACCUGUGACCCCCAAGGGCCGGGUCAUCUGUUAAAAGAUGAGCCGAGUCUUGAUAUUAGAAAAAAUCUUUCGACCUGUAACCCCCAAGGGCCGGGUCAUCUGUUGAAAGAUGAGCCAGGUCUUGAUAUUAGAAAAAAUAUUUCGACCAGUAACCCCCAAAGGCCGGGUCAUCUGUUGAAAGAUGAGUCGGGUGUUGAUAUUUAGAAAAAAAAUCUUUCGAGCUGUAACCCCCAAGGGUCGGGUCAUCUGUUAAAAGAUGAGUCGAGUCUUGAUAUUAGAAAUAAUCUUUCGACCUGUAACCCCCUAGGGUCGGGUCAUCUGUUGAAAGAUGAGCCGGGUCUUGAUAUUAGAAAGAAUCUUUUGACCUGUAACCCCCAAGGGCCGGGUCAUUGAUGACCCACAAGUAUAGGGGAUCAAUCGUAGUCCUUUCGAUAAGUAAGAGUGUCGAAUCCAACGAGGAGCAGAAGGCUCUGAUAAACGGAUUCCAGCAAGGUACUAACUGCAAGCACUGAAAGUAGCGGUAACAAGUGAUGGUGUAGCGAGGUGAAACGUAGCAAGCAAAAAUUAACAAGUAACAAGUAGUAGCAACGGUGCAGAAAGUGGCCCAAUCCCUUUUGUAGCAAGGGACAAGCCUGAACAAACUCUUAUAGGAGGAAAAACGCUCCCGAGGACACACGGAAAUUUCUGUCAUGCUAGUUUCAUCAUGUUCAUAUGAUUCACGUUCGUUACUUUGAUAGUUUGAUAUGUGGGUGGACCGGCGCUUGGGUACUACCCUUAAUUGGACAAGCAUCCCACUUAUGAUUAACCUCUCUCGCAAGCAUCCACAACUACAAAAGAAGAAUUAAGACAAAGUCUAACCAUAGCAUUAAACUAGUGGAUCCAAAUCAGCCCCUCACGAAGCAACGCAUAGAAUGGGGUUUAAGCUUCUGUCACUCCAGCAACCCAUCAUCUAGUUACUACUUCCCAAUGCCUUCCUCUAGGCCCAAAUAUGGUGAAGUGUUAUGUAGUCGACAUUCACAUAACACCAUUAGAGGAAAAACAACAUACAUUAUAUCAAAAUAUCGAACGAAUAUCAAAUUCACAUGACUAUUAUUAACAUGACUUAUCCCAUGUCCUCAGGAACAAAAGUAACUACUCACAAGACAUAAUCAUAAUCAUGACCAGAGGUGUAAUGAAUAGCAUCAAGGAUCUAAACAUAAACUCUUCCACCAAGUAAUCCAACUAGCAUCAACUACAAAGAGUAAUCAACACUACUAGCAACCUUACAAGUACCAAUCGGAGUUGCGAGACGAAGAUUGGUUACAAGAGAUGAACUAGGGAUUGGAGAGGAGAUGGUGCUGAUGAAGAUGUCUCCCCUCCAACGAGAGGAGUGUUGGUGAUGACGAUGGCGACGAUUUCCCCCUCCAGGAGGGAAGUUUCCCCGACAGGAUCAUCCUGUCGGAGCUCUAGAUUGGAUCUGCUCAAGUUCCGCCUCGUGGCAGCGGCGAAACCAUGAAAAAGCUCCCUUCUGAUUUUUUUUGCAGGUCAGGACGCUUCAUAUAGCAAAAGAGGGGGGCUAGUGGGCCUUCAGGCAGACCACAAGCCUGCCCUGCGCCACCAGGGGGGUGGUGGCGGUGGGCAAGCUUGUGGGGCCCUGGUGGCCCCCCUCCGGUAGUUCUUUCACCUAGUAUUUUUAAUAUAUUCCAGAAAAAAUCCACGUAAAUUUUCAGGGCAUUUGGAGAUGUGCAAAAUAGUGGACUAGGAUUUUCUCCUUUUCCAGUCCAGGAUUCAAGCUGCCUGAAUUCUCCCUCUUCAAAUAAACCUUGCAAAAUAAGAGAGAAAAGGAAUAAAUAUGGUACCACAAGUAAUAUAACAUCCCCAAAAGCAACAAAUAUCAACAUGAAAGCAUGAUGCAAAAUGGACGUAUCAACUCCCCCAAGCUUAGACCUCGCUUGUCCUCAAGCGAAAACCAAGUUCCAUAAACAUGUCCACAUGUUUGGUGACGAAGGUGUCGAUAAAAGAUAAUACGGACAUGAGGGCAUCAUGAUCACACAUAGAACAACAAUAAAUCAUAAAGAUUCUUAUGGGAAAGUAACAAUUCCUUCACAGAGCAAAGCAUGAAGCAAAAACCUUACCGAGAAGUAACCAACAAUAGUCCAUAGUCAUUGAAGCAAUUGCAAUUUAUCACAACAUCAGAAAGAGUCAAAUAAGAGCUUGUAAGGCAAACCCACAUACUCAAUCAUCUUUUUCGUUUUCCACAAUUGUUACAACUCACGUGGUACUCAUGCUGUCAAAGUUUCAGCUGGAGACAAAGGAAGAUAGGGGCUUAUAGUUUUGCCUCCCAACCAUUUACCUCAAGGGUAAAGUCAACAAUAAUAAAGCAUGAGUACUCAACUCCAAGUUGAUAUAUGAAUAUAGAUCUUUCCCAAACAUGUGACAGUAGCCAAGACAAAGGCAAAAAGGGAAUUGGUGAUGAUCACCAUGACUCUUUCAAGGGUAAAAAGUAAAGGUACAAGAUAGGCACUUCGCAGAGGGAAGCAGAGGUUGUCAUGCGCUUUUGAGGUUUGAAUGUGUGUCCUCUUAGUGCGGAGGAACGUCACUUUAUAUUGCCUCCUGUGAUAAAGAACUUUAUUAUGCAGUCGGUCGCUUUUAUGUCUUCCUCAUCACAGUUUCGUACAAAGCUUAUUUUCCACACACUAAUAGAUCAUACAUAUUAGAGAGCAAUUUUUAUUGCUUGCACCGAUGACAACUUACUUGAAGGAUCUUAUUCAAUCCAUAGGUAGGUAUGGUGGACUCUCAUGGCAAAACUGGUUGGAGGUUUAUGGAUGCACAAGUAGUAUGUCUACUUAGUGCGGGAGUUUUGGCUAAUAUGAGGUGGAAGCAAUCGUCACAUGCUAAGGGAUCUCUAAUCAUAUAACAUUGUUUGGAACUAAGCAAACACAAUUCAUUAUGUUGUCUUCCUUGUCCAACAUCUACUCCUAAGCAUGUAAUAGUUUGGUGAGUACUCACAAUUUCAAAAAGUGUCUAAGAUGAUAUAUUUAUAUGUGAACCUCUCUUUCCUUAUUACUUCUUAUUAAUUGCAACAAUGACUGAUGUUUAUGUUGAUUUAUUCUCAACAAGUUUCAAUCAUCAUACUUGUCAUAUGUGAAGUUAUCACUUUCGGUAAGAUCGUCUCAUGAUCUUUCAUGCUAUCAUUCUUUUCAUAAUUUUUGAUCAUGGCACAAAGCAAAGCCCUUGACUAAGACACUCUUUAUUAUAUAGCUCGUAAGCUCAAAUACAACGGGGGAGAGACAAAAGCAAAACACUCGAACUGGAAACUAAAGACUUAUUCCUCUAAAAGAAGAAAUAAAAACUGAAAAGGAAAGAACUAAAACAAAGGUAAAAGCAAAAGAUAUAAAGGUGAUAUGAUACCAGGGCAACUCCCCCAAGCUUGGCAGAAGCCAAGGGGAUUGCCCAUACCAAUGCUUAGUUGUCUUCCUUUGGUGGUGAUGGUGGUGUUGUUGUCGCCUUUGAUUCCAAGAGAGCUAUCAACCUUUAAUUUAUACCUCUGAGAUCUGUGACAUGGUUUUCCAGCAAAACAACUUCACGAGAAAGAGAAAUAUUGCGAGCACGAGUUGUUUCGCAAAACCUCAAGACUUCAAUCAAGGAUGGAGACAGCAUGUGGAGGAAGGGUUGGAGAAAGUCUAUUCCUUCAACGUCUUCAAUGUUGAACAUUGGUUGAACUUCCUCCCUAGCUUAGGUUUUCUCCUUAGCUUGGUCCCUGGCUUCCGUAACUUCUACUCUUUUCAGAUCAGCAUCUACUUCCUCAUGAAUUUGGUGAAGAUCAUUCUCCCCAACAGAUUCUUGAGACAUCUUUGCUCUAAAUCUACGGCAAACAACAAGCUCGAAACGGAAACACAGGAAAACUACGCGAUACGGAGAUCAAAACCUUCAGGCGACUAUAUAUUGAUUUUUUCUGGGCCAGAAGGAGUCCUCCGCAAGAAAACAGAGUCCGGGAGGCACACGAGGUGCCCACAAGCUUGCCCACCGCCACCAGGGGGGUGGUGGCGGAGUGGGCCCUUGUGGCUUCCUCGUUUGCUCUCCGGACUACUUUUUAUUUUUCUAAUUUUCCAAAAAUUCCAAAACUGAGGAAAUUUCCUAUUGGAAAAGUAUCGGAGUCCAAUUUCUUGCCGAAACAGAUACAUCUUCGUUUCCAAGGUCUGAAACAGGCUGAUAAACAUCCCUUAUGUACUCCUUUGGAGUUAUGACAUUGAUGAUAUUGGUCUCAACAUUUAUGGGAGUACCAGAGAUGUAAUGCUUGAUUCUUUGCCCAUUUAGCACUCUAGGAAAAUUUCCUUCCGUGUUAUUGAUUUUGAUGGCACCGGAACGAUAUACUUCCUCGACAACAUAGGGACCUUCCCAUUUAGAGAGAAGCUUGCCUGCAAAGAAUCUCGAACGAGAAUUGUAUAGCAAGACAUAAUCACCUACAUUGAACUCUCGUUUCUGUAUUCGUUUGUCGUGCCAUCUCUUAACCUGGUAUUCUCGUAUGCCUGGGCUCUCCAUUCAUCUAACGAGCUGAUAUCAAACAACCGCUUCUCACCAGCAAGUUUGAAAUCAAAGUUGAGCUCUUUGAUUGCCCAAUAAGCUUUGUGUUCCAGCUCAGGAGGUAAAUGACAGGCCUUACCGUAAACCAUUUUAUACGGUGACAUGCCCAUGGGAUUCUUAUAAGCAGUCCUAUAAGCCCAUAGUGCAUCGUCAAGUUUGCUAGACCAAUUCUUUUGAGAUCUAUUGACGGUCUUUUGUAGGAUCAACUUGAUCUCCCUAUUACUCAACUCCACUUGACCACUAGAAUGAGGAUGAUAAGGAGAUGCAACUCUAUGAUUGACAUCAUACUUAGCUAGCCUCUUGCGGAAAACACCAUGAAUGAAGUGUGAACCGCCAUCAGUCAUCAAGUAUCUAGGGACUCCAAAUCUUGGGAAUAUGAUUUCUUUAAGCAUCUUAAUAGAAGUGUGGUGAUCAGCAUUUUUAGUGGGGAUAGCUUCUACCCACUUAGUAACGUAAUACACAACAACUAAGAUGUGAGUGUACCCAUUGGAACUUGGGAAGGGUCCCAUAUAAUCAAAACCCCACACAUCAAAUGGUUCAAUGACAAGUGAAUAGUUCAUAGGCAUCUCUUGACACUUACUGAUGUUCCCUAUACUUUGGCAUUCGUCACAAGACAAGACAAACUUACGGGCAUCCUUGAAGAGAGUGGGCCAAUAGAAACCUGAUUGCAAUACCUUAUGGGCAGUUCUAUCUCUAGCAUGGUGUCCUCCGUAGGCUUCAGAAUGACACUUCUGCAGGAUCUGUCCCUGUUCAUGUUCAGGCACACAACGUCUAAUAACACCAUCUACUCCUUCCUUAUAAAGGUGAGGAUCAUCCCAGAAGUAGUGUCUCAAAUCAACGAAGAAUUUCCUCUUUUGUUGAUAGGUGAAACUGGGUGGUAUGUAUUUGGCUACGAUAUAGUUUGCAUAAUCGGCAUACCAUGGUGCACUAUGUGAGGUGCGGAUGACAUUUAAUUGCUCCUCAGGAAAGCUGUCAUCAAUAGGUAGUGGGUUAUCAAGGACAUUCUCUAGCCUAGACAAGUUAUCUGCUACAGGGUUAUCAGCACCCUUUCGGUCAACGAUGUGCAAAUCAAAUUCCUGUAGCAGGAGAACCCAUCUCAUCAGCCUAGGCUUAGCGUCCUUCUUCUGCAUAAGGUACUUAAUAGCAGCAUGAUCAAAGUGAAUAGUGACUUUGGAGUCAACUAUGUAAGAUCUGAAUUUUUCACAUGCAAACACGACUCCUAAAAAUUCCUUCUCCGUAGUGGCAUAGUUUCUUUGGGCACUGUCUAGAGUUUUACUAGCGUAGUGAAUGACGUUCAACUUCUUGUCAACUCUUUGUCCUAGAACAGCACCAACAGCAUAAUCACUAGCGUCACACAUGAUUUCAAAGGGCAAGUUCGAGUCAGGUGGUUGAACAAUAGGUGCGGUUAUCAAAGCCUUCUUAAGUAUUUCAAAGGCUUCCUCACAAUCCUCAUCAAAGACAAAAGGAACAUCCUUCUGCAAAAGGUUGGUAAGAGGCCUAGAAAUCUUAGAGAAGUCUUUAAUGAACCUUGUAUAGAAACCAACAUGACCUAGGAAACUUCGUAUACCUCUGAUAUCUGUGGGGCAAGGCAUUUUCUCAAUUGCAUCAACCUUAGCCUUAUCAACUUCAAUGCCUCUUUCAGAGAUUUUGUGUCCUAAGACGAUACCUUCAUUAACCAUAAAGUGGCACUUCUCCCAAUUCAAGAUGAGGUUGGUUUCUUCGCAUCUCUAUAAGACUCGAUCAAGGUAGCUGAGGCAAUCAUCAAAGGAAGACUCGUAAACGGAGAAGUCAUCCAUGAAAACCUCGACAAUCUUUUCACAAAAGUCAGAGAAUAUAGCCAUCAUACAUCUUUGGAAGGUGGCAGGUGCAUUACAUAAGCCAAAAGGCAUACGUCUAUAGGCAAAGGUACCGAAAGGGCAGGUGAAAGUGUUUUUCUCUUGAUCAGAUUGUGCAACAGGUAUUUGCGAGAAACCUGAAUAACCGUCUAGAAAGCAGAAGUGUGUGUGUUUUGAUAGCCUUUCUAGCAUUUGGUCGAUGAACGGCAAAGGAUAAUGAUCUUUCCUGGUUGCCUUGUUCAGUUUCCGGAAGUCUAUCACCAUUCUAUAGCCGGUAAUAAUCCUUUGUGGGAUUAGUUCAUCCUUAUCAUUAGGAACGACGGUGAUACCUCCCUUCUUAGGUACGCAAUGUACUGGACUUACCCAAUCACUAUGAGCAACGGGAUAGAUGAUUCCUGCUUCCAGAAGCUUUAACAUUUCUUUUCUAAUGACCUCUUUCAUCUUAGGAUUUAAUCUCCUUUGAUGAUCAGCAACUGGUUUAAAGUCAGGAUCGGUUUUAAUCUUGUGCUGACAUAGAGUAGGACUAAUACCCUUAAGAUCAUCAAGAGUAUAUCCAAUAGCAGCGCGGUGCUUCCUCAGAGCUUUUGGUAACUUCUUCUCUUCACGCUCUGAGAGGAGAGCACUAAUAAUGACAGGAUAUAUCUCCUUCUCAUCAAGAUAGGCAUACUUAAGAGUAUCAGGCAACUGUUUAAGCUCGAACACAGGAUCACCCUGUGGUGGGGGAGGAUCCCCAAGCAGUUCAACAGGCAGAUUAUUCUUGAGAAUAGGAUGUUGUUCUAAGACAAUUCUAUCUAUCUCAUCUCUCUCCCCCAUAUGCAUAUCAUUUUCAUGCUCAAGCAGAUAUUGCUCUAAAGGAUCCGUAGGAGGUACGGCAAUAGAGGCAAGAGCAAUGAUUUCAUCUCUACCAGACGACUCUCUUUCAUGGGGUUGUCUUCCAAACUUGGAGAAGUUAAAUUCAUGAGACACACCCUCGAAACUUACUGUGACAGUCUGCUUAAUGCAAUCAAUGUGAGCAUUGACAGUGUUGAGAAAGGGUCUACCAAAUAUGAUGGAACAAAAGCUAUCUUGUGCAGUACCAAGGACGAGGAAAUCAGUAGGAUACUUUGUCUUACCACACACGACUUCUACGUCUCUCACAAUUCCCAAAGGGAAGAUAGUGUCUCUAUUAGCUAGCGUGAUAGUGACAGCAAUGGGUUCUAUCUCAGCAGGUGCAAUCUCAUCUUUGAUUUCAUCAUAGAGAGAACGGGGUAUUGCACUAACACUAGCUCCCAUAUCACAUAAACCAUGGUAGCAGUGAUCUCCUAUCUUAACAGAAACAACGGGCAGGCCAACUAUAGGUCCAUGCUAGUCUUUCGCGUGAGGUUUAGCAAUUCUAGCAGAGUCCUCACAGAAUUUAAUAAUAUGCCCAUCUAUGUCUUCGGCUAAGAGAUCUUUGAUAAUAGCAACACUAGGUUCAACUCUAAUCUCCUCAGGGGGUGCAAGUGGUCUAAUGUAACCCCUACGUAUCACAGUUGGAGCUUUAGAAUAAUCCUUUAUCCUAGCAGGGUAUGGUGGUUUCUCAGUGUAAGCACAAGGAACAACAGGAUCACUAAAAGCUAUGAUUUUCUCCUCAACUAGAUUGGUUUUGGCUAUGUUGCAUUCUACAGGAGGAUGAUAUUUAAACCACCUCUCUUUGGGAAGAUCAAUAUGAGCAGCAAAAGAUUCACAUAGAUAAGCUACUAUCUCAGAGUCAAGUCCGUACUUAGCGCUUAAAUCUCUAGAAGUGUUUGUCUCAACAAAAGAUUUAACGCAAUCAAACUGGAAAUUCAUACCUGACUCCUUACCUUCCUCCAGCUCCCAAUCUUCAAAGUUGCGUUUGAUUCUCUCCAAUAAAUUCCACGUGUGAUCAAUAUCCUUCUUCAUAAAAGAACCGGCAAAAGAAGUGUCAAGCAUGGUACGAUCUUCAUGAGAAAGCCGAGCAUAAAAGUUUUGAGUGAUGACUUCUCUCGAGAGCUCAUGAUUGGGGCAUGAAUAUAGCAUUGAUUUAAGCCUCCCCCAAGCUUGAGCUAUGCUUUCCCUGUCAUAAGGCCAAAAGUUAUAAAUAAAGUUCCGAUCACGAUGUACUAAAUGCAUAGGAUAGAACUUUUGAUGAAAUUCCAAUUUCAACCGAUUGUAGCCCCAUGAUCCAGUAUCAUCACAUAGCCUAUACCAUGUCAACGCCUUAUCCUUCAAAGAUAAAGGAAAGACUUUCUUCUUUACCUCAUCCUCGGGUAAACCUGCAAGCUUAAAUAAACCACAAACUUCAUCUACAUAGAUUAGAUGCAAGUCUGGAUGUGAAGAUCCAUCUUGUGUGAAAGGAUUAGCCAGCAGUUUCUCAAGCAUACCCAAAGGAAUUUCAUAAAAGAUAUUUUCAGUAGGUACCUCAGGUUGAGGAGCAACUCCUCGUGCUUCCGUUCAUGGUGAAGAUACCCCGAACAAACUCCUCAAAGGAAGAGUUUCCAUAGUGACAAGUGACAAUAAAUUUCAGCACAGUAUAUAAAUGUUUCCUUACCAAUUUCCACUUACCAAAGGCGCUUCACUCCCCGGCAACAGUGCCAGAAAAGAGUCUUGAUGACCCACAAGUAUAGGGGAUCAAUCGUAGUCCUUUUGAUAAGUAAGAGUGUCGAACCCAACGAGGAUCAUAAGGCUCUGAUAAACGGAUUUCAGCAAGGUAAUAACUGCAAGCACUGAAAGUAGCGGUAACAAGUGAUGGUGUAGCGAGGUGAAACGUAUCAAGCAAAAAGUAACAAGUAACAAGUAGUAGCAACGGUGCAGAAAGUGGUCCAAUCCCUUUUGUAGCAAGGGACAAUCCUGAACAAAGUCUUAUAGGAGGAAAAACGCUCCCGCGGACACACGGGAAUUUCUGUCAUGCUAGUUUCAUCAUGUUCAUAUGAUUCGCGUUCGUUACUUUGAUAGUUUGAUAUGUGGGUGGACCGGCGCUCGGGUACUGACCUUACUUGGGCAAGCAUCCCACUUAUGAUUAACCUCUCUCGCAAGCAUCUACAACUACAAAAGAAGAAUUAAGAAAAAGUCUAACCAUAGCAUUAAACUAGUGGAUCCAAAUCAGCCCCUCACGAAGCAACGCACAGACUGGGGUUUAAGCUUCUAUCACUCCAGCAACCCAUCAUCUACUUACUACUUCCCAAUGCCUUCCUCUAGGCCCAAAUAUGGUGAAGUGUUAUGUAGUCGACGUUCACAUAACACCACUAGAGGAAAAACAACAUACAGCAUAUCAAAAUACCGAACGAAUAUCAAAUUCNNNNNNNNNNNNNNNNNNNNNNNNNNNNNNNNNNNNNNNNNNNNNNNNNNNNNNNNNNNNNNNNNNNNNNNNNNNNNNNNNNNNNNNNNNNNNNNNNNNNNNNNNNNNNNNNNNNNNNNNNNNNNNNNNNNNNNNNNNNNNNNNNNNNNNNNNNNNNNNNNNNNNNNNNNNNNNNNNNNNNNNNNNNNNNNNNNNNNNNNNNNNNNNNNNNNNNNNNNNNNNNNNNNNNNNNNNNNNNNNNNNNAACAUAAACUCUUCCACCAAGUAAUCCAACUAGCAUCAACUACAAAGAGUAAUCAACACUACUAGCAACCUUACAAGUACCAAUUGGAGUUGCGAGACGAAGAUUGGUUACAAGAGAUGAACUAGGGAUUGGAGAGGAGAUGGUGCUGAUGAAGAUGUUGAUGAAGAUGUCUCCCCUCCGACGAGAGGAGUGUUGGUGAUGACGAUGGCGACGAUUUCCCCCUCCGGGAGGGAAAUUUCCCCGGCAGGAUCGUUCUGCCGGAGCUCUAGAUUGGAUCUGCUCAAGUUCCGCCUCAUGGAGGCGGCGAAACCACGAAAAAGCUCCCUUCUGAUUUUUUUCCAGGUCAGGACGCUUCAUAUAGCAAAAGAGGGGGGCUAGUGGGCCUUCAGGCAGCCCACAAGCCUGCCCUGCGCCACCAGGGGGGUGGCGGUGGGCAAGCUUGUGGGGGCCUGGUGGCCCCCCUUUGGUAGUUCUUUCGCCCAGUAUUUUUAAUAUAUUCCAGAAAAAAUCCACGUAAAUUUUCCGGGCAUUUGGAGAUGUGCAGAAUAGUGGGCUAGGAUUUGCUCCUUUUCCAGUCCAGAAUUCCAGCUGCCUGAAUUCUCCCUCUUCAAAUAAACCUUGGAAAAUAAGAGAGAAAAGGCAUAAAUAUGGUACCACAAGUAAUAUAACAGCCCAAAAAGCAAUAAAUAUCAACAUGAAAGCAUGAUGCAAAAUGGACGUAUCAGUCAUCUGUUAAAAGAUGAACCGGGUCUUGAUCUUGUAUAAUUUUGUCUAAAAAAUUAUACAUUAGCCCCCAAGUGUCAGAGAUGUUGCUUGCAAUAAUUCUGAGACUUGCCCCUUGAUAAUAUAUUUUGACAGGAAUCUCUUGCCCAAGUUGAGUCGGCGUUGGGCGACUUAAAGGAAAGUUUAGCCGACCAGCAAGACGCGCGGGCUAAAUCAGAAGAAAAAUGUCAAGUGAUCUUAUCUGAGAUGGAGAAGUUGAAGGCCGCCCACAAGAAGGCUCAGGUUGAUCAAGGCGCCGCGCUAAAGAGAGCGGAAAAAGCUGAAGCAAAACUAGAAACCAUGCAACAAGAGCUGGCCGGCUUAAAGCAACAUAUCUCCAACAUGGCACAGGCUAUUGUUGGUAAGAAACAAACCUUGAUCUUGUACUUUGUAAAAAAACUUAGUAUGAAGAACUUACUGACCAUCAUUAUCCCUUAUAUAGGUCCAGAGCCGCCAACCUUCAGGAUGACUGUAUCUUGAUUUUAAAGGUGAUUUACACAUUAACAGAGCAACUGUAUACCAGAAGCGUGCUGACCGUGAGGGCAGUGAUGGGCGCCAAGGAACCCAUAACAUCAAUCAAAAAGAUGCUUGGCUGCUUAUCUACUCAGAUAGGUGAGGUAACCUGAUCAGCUGCCCGGAAAGGGGUGCUGACUAUGUUGAGUCGGUGCUUAGCAUACGCUCCAGAGCUAAAACCCGAAGAAGUAGCAGCAGGCUUUCCCCAGCUCAAGGACGACACGUCAGAAUUUACUCAAGAUGAUUAUCAGCGUGUUGUCAAAGAAUCUCGCUCGGCGGCGACUCAGCUUGCAGCAAGCUUGGAUUUGUCAAAGUAUCAAGCUGCUUAUGAUGACAAGAAUAAGAAAAUAAAUAUGCCGACCUUUGUGACAACCAGCUUGACUCCGCGUCGGCCCAAGAACCCUUUUGAUUUGGAGGCGGACCUCUCGACAUUUUUGAAUGAUGAAGAUGAAUUCGCCGCCUUAUCCAAGUGUAAUUGGGUGUUGGGCGACUUACAACUUGAAGUCGGCCAGAGCUCAAAGCAAGCUGACCCGGAGACACCAGCAGAGUAGUUCUUCAUGGAAUUCGCCAUCAGAGCCAUGUAAUAGGUUAUUGUAGAAAACAACCUUGUUCUGCGAUUUCUUUAAAACCCUUGUGUCGCCCUCAGGACGCCUUAUAAUGCUUGACCCGCCAUGUCAGUCGAGAUUUUGAUCAUCAAUCUGUUAGGCUAAAAACAUUACAUCAAACCACCUUAGUGAGUAAUGGAUGAUAAUAAAUGAUAACCGACUCAAGAUGUUCUGGCGAGUCGGAAAAAUUUGCAAAACCUUGUGGCAGUGCCAGUAAGGUGAAAGUAAGAAUUUCGUCGGCUCGUUCAAGUCGCGACAGGUUAGGAUGAGUUAUAUAAACUCAAGUGCUACCCGAGGGAGACUCCUUGUGUAAAAAAGCUCAAGUAUUUAGAUCGGCUGAUCACGCACGAGUCAAGCUUCUUUGAAGCAGGUUUAGUGAACCAAUGGUUUUUCUAUUUUUCAUGUGGGGCGCUAGCCGGUACCAUGCAUGUUUUAACCAAGGCGAGUUCAGGGUCCAUAAAGCGGAGUAACUCGCCAAGAGUUCAUGGGUCCAUAUGGCGAUUCGGCCAACAUACAGUCCAGUAUAACCAUUUGUAAUGCAGUAAUUUUUCGCAAGCCAAAUGGGUAGUAAGGCUGAUCUCAAUGAGAGGAAGCCCCCAAGUGUCCUAUGAUUAGGGGAAAGACCGGUCAUAGGAUUAUAGAAGCGUAUACGCUCUUACCACAAAACGACUUGGGAGCAAAUAGCCCCCAAGUAAGCCAGCCUAUUCCACAGAAUCAUAUAAGACGCCUAUGUUUGGAUCGCGCGCUUGUAGCGACUUGAUCCUCUUUGGCUUAUCGAUACCCAGUUUUGUAAUAAGUGCAGCAUGGCGACUUAUGCUCUCUGGUAUGGAUAGCGUCCAUGCUUGGGCGACUUGUCGAAGAGCAAUAAAAAUCCAUACUUUCAAUAAGAUGAAAUAGCAGGAAAGCCCCGGAAUUCGUGGGCAUCAAUUUUAUUGCUUCAUAAAAAUGAAAGACUUAUAAUUUUCAAGAGAAGAAAAAACAGAGCCAAUAGCUCAACUGUAAUAAGGCCGCAAGUGGGCUAUGUUCCAGGGGCGAGUUGACUCAGCCUCCGUGGUUGGCCGGUCAGGCCGAAGAUCCACCAGAUAGUACGACCCGUUGCGAAGGCUUUUCCUGCGACGAAUGGUCCUUGCCAUGGUGGUGAUAACUUAUGCAUGCGAGUGCGAUCUUGGAUCAAUCGAAGCACUAAGUUGCCCUCCUGAAAAGUUCGGCUCUUGACCCGGCGGCUAUGGUAACGCCGCAAGUCCUGCUGAUAAAUAGCCGAUCGGGCAGCAGCCAAGUCGCGUGCUUCCUCCAAAGCAUCCAAAGAAUCUUGACGCGACAACUCGUUAUCCUGUUCCACGUAAGCAGGAACUCUGGGCGAGUCAUGCCUAAUGUCAGUAGGAAGAACAGCUUCUGCUCCGUAUACCAGGAAAAAAGGAGUAAAACCCGUAGAACGGUUUGGGGUGGUUCAGAUGCUCCACAGUACUGAAGGCAACUCCUCAACCCAACACCCUGGGGUGCGCUCCGAGGGAACCAUAAGUCGGGGCUUGAUUCCUUGCAAUACUUCCUGAUUCAGCCUUUCCGCUUGCCCAUUAGAUUGUGGAUGAGCAACCGCAGAUACAUCAAGCCGAAUGUGCUCACGGUGACAAAACUCCUGCAUCGCUCCUUGUGACAGAUUAGUACCAUUAUCAGUAACAAUGCUAUGUGGAUAUCCGAAUCGGAAGAUCAGUUUUUUCAAGAAUUUGACCGCUGUUUCCGCAUCGCAAGCACCAACAGGUUCUGCUUCGACCCACUUGGUGAAUUUAUCAACCGCCACCAGUAGAUGUGUUUUUUUGUUGGAUUAUAUCUUAAAGGGGCCAACCAUGUCUAGCCCCCAGACCGCAAAAGGCCAAGUAAUAGGUAUCAUCCUUAGUUCUUGAGCCGGCACAUGUGCCUCUCGUCCAUAACGCUGACAACCAUCACAUCGACGAACUAUCUCCUCUGCGUCUGCAUGAGCCGUCAACCAAAAGAAUCCGUGACGGAACGCCUUUGAGACCAGGGAACGUGACCUCGCAUGAUGCCCACAAUCUCUGGCAUGGAUGUCGUUCAGAAUUACGCACCCUUCUUCGGAAGAAACACAUCGUUGGAAUACCCCAGAAUUGCUUCGCUUAUAUGAUUCGCCGUUGAUGAUGACCAUAGAUUUUCUCCGACGAACGAUUUGGCGAGCCAACACCUCAUCCGAAGGUAACUCGCCUCGUGCAAGAUAUGCCAAAUAAGGAAGAACCCAAUCCGGCGUAACACGGAGAGCCGCCACAAACUGGGACUCAGGGUCUGGUAUUGCCAACUCCUCUUCUGAGGGCAACCUCACGGAAGGAUUAUACAAAAUAUCCAUAAAAACAUUGGGAGGAACCGGCUUACGUUGUGAGCCGAGACGUGAAAGGGCGUCAGCUGCUUCGUUAAGUCGCCGGUCGAUAUGAUCAACUUGAUAGCCAUGGAAAUGACCCGCCACAUCAAACACGACCCUUCUGUAAGCCGCCAUCAGGGGGUCCCGAGAAUCCCAAGUACCUGAAACUUGUUGAGCCACCAGAUCAGAAUCGCCAAGACAUCUAACACGCGUGAGGUUCAUCUCCUUGGCGAGUCGCAAACCAUGAAGCAAGGCUUCAUACUCUGCAGCAUUGUUGGUGCAUGGAAACAUGAGUCGGAGAACAUAACAGAAUUUGUCUCCCUGGGGCGAAAUCAACACCACGCCAGCCCCCGAGCCUUCCAAUUGCCUAGACCCAUCAAAGUAAAUAGUCCAGUACGUGAGGUCAGGCCUGUCUUCCGAAAUCUGUAAUUCGGUCCAAUCAUUGACGAAGUCGACUAAUGCAUGUGAUUUGAUGGCCGUGCGAGGGGUGUACCGCAUGUGGUGCGGCCCAAGUUCGAUUGCCCAUUUGGCGAUUCGCCCUGUUGCUUCUCGGUUGUGGAUGAUGUCCCCAAGAGGAGAGGAGCUAACCACCAUGAUGGGAUGCUCUUGGAAAUAGUGUUUGAGCUUCCGACUCGCCAUAAAGACCCCAUAGACCAGCUUCUGCCAGUGCGGGUAACGUUGCUUGGAGAGGGUUAGCACCUCGCUAAUGAAAUACACCGGGCGUCGUACCGGAUAUUCCUUCCCAUCUUCCUUUCGUUCGACAGCUACUGCCAUGCUCACCACCUUGGAGUUCGUCGCGAUAUACAGAAGCAUCGGUUCUUUCUCAGUCGGGGCGGCCAAAACUGGUGGGUUGACCAGCUGCUGUUUCAAGGCUUCAAAAGCUUCAUUGGCCUCGUCUGUCCAAACAAAACGGUCAGAUUUCUUAAGCAACUGAUAGAGGGGAAUAGCUUUCUCCCCCAGGCGGCUUAUGAAGCGACUUAAAUCCACGAUACGACCCGCCAUGCGUUGAACUUGAUUGAUAUUCGCUGGUUUCCCAAGCGAAGUAACUGCCUCAAUUUUGUCCGGGUUGGCAUCAAUGCCGCGUUCGGACACCAGGAAACCCAACAACUUUCGUGCGGGAACGCCAAAGACACAUUUGGUGGGAUUAAGCUUCAUUUGAUAUACGCGCAGGUUGUCAAAAGUUUCCCUUAGAUCUUCCAAGAGCGUCUCCCUCCUAUGAGUCUUAACCACAAUGUCAUCAACGUAAGCGUGGACGUUGCGUCCGAUUUGGUCACGGAGACAAUUUUGGAUGCAGCGCUCGUAAGUUGCCCGAGCGCUUUUGAGCCUGAACGGCAUGGACACCUAACAAAAAGCCCCGAAUGGGGUUAUAAAAGUUGUCUUCUCCUGAUCUUCCACAUCCAUCUUGAUUUGGCGAUAUCCGGAAUAAGCGUCCAGGAAACACAGACGCUCGCAGCCCGCCACGGAAUCAACGAUUUGAUCGAUGCGGGGAAGGGCGAAAGGGUCCUUUGGACAAGCUCUGUUAAGGUGUGUGUAGUCAAUGCACAUGCGGAAGGUGCCGUUCUUCUUGAGCACCAGGACCGGGUUAGCCAACCACUUGGGGUGGAAGACCUCUACGAUGAAUCCGGCGGCCAAAAGACGGGCGACUUCUUCCCCGAUUGCCUUGCGCCGUUCCUCAUUGAACCUGCGAAGAUAUUGCUGAAUCGGCUUUGUUUUUGGGUCAACAUUAAGAUGGUGCUCAGCGAAUUCUCUCGGUACACCAGGCAUGUCAGAAGGUUUCCAUGCGAAGAUGUCCCGAUUCUCACGGAUGAAUUCGAUGAGCGCGCUUUCCUAUUUAGGAUCCAGACCCGCCCCGAUAGUAAACUGCUUAGAUGAGUCGCCAGGAACGAAAUCCACCAUCUUAGUGUUAUCCGUUGGUGUGAACUUGAGGGGCGGCUCAACGUCUGUUGUUGGCUUCUUGAGGGGUGACAUAUCUGCAGGAUCAGCAUUGGCCUGGUGAUACUUGAGCUCUUCUGCAGCACAAGCGACUUCUGCGUAAGCCGCAUCCCCUUCCUCACACUCUCUUGCUAUCCUCCUGUCACCAUCAACCGCGAUGGGUCCCUUAGGACCAGGCAUCUUGAGUUUAAGGUAAACAUAGCAGGGGCGAGACAUGAAACGGGCCUAAGUCGGUCGCCCAAACAACGCAUGAUAAGGGCUCUUUAACUUGACCACCUCAAACAUAAGUGACUCACUCCUGUAAUUGGAUGAUGUUCCAAACGCCACUGUGAGUUUAACCCGGCCUAUGGGGUAUGCCGACUUACGUGGGACAAUUCCAUGGAAUACCGUGGUUGACGGCAUUAGGUCUUUCUCCAGCAGGUUCAUCCUUCGAAAGGUGUCGAAAUAUAAUAUGUUGAUGCUGCUACCACCAUCCAUCAGCACCUUCGAUAGGGUAUAUCCCCCAACUUGAGGAGCCACGACCAAUUCUAAGUCGUCGGGGUUGUCAAUUCUGGGCGGGUGAUCCUCCCUACUCCACGAGAUAGACUGCUCGGACCAGUGGAGGUACCUGGGGAGCGCCGGCUCAGAUACACUGUACGCUCGGUGACUUACCUUCUUAUCACGCUUGCAGGCAUUCGUGGUGAACACGUGGUAUUGCCCAUUGCUUAAUUGUUUGGGAUUGUUGCGAAACCCGCCAUGAUCAUCUUGCCCCUGUGGAGCCCCCUACGGGGGUGGCUCUUGAAAUACUCCGGGCGGGUUAUACCGCUGUUGCUUAUGCACUGGAUACUGGCCGCUGCUUGGCUGCGAACCGCCCUGAGCCCCCGGUUCGGGGAAGCCGCCGAACGAGUUCUUACGUUGAUUAGGUGCACUGAACUGUUCCUUCCGUUGGCCCUGGUCACCGUUUUGGCCCUUUUUGAUUGCCUCCGCCCGAAAUUCCUGCAUCACGUAACAGUCCUCCCAAGAGUGAGUCGCCGGCCCGUCCGCCAUGGCAUGGUGCGGGCAGGGGCCCUUAAGUAUCUCAUUAUAAUUGCGCGGCUUCUUGCCACUCUAACCCCUCUUCUUCUGGCGCUCGUUGUCGUUGUUGGCAUUGGUGUUGGCGACGAAGUCCGUGGACCCUUCCGGCUGCCUUCUCUUGUCGUUCCCCCCAUGAUUAUGGUGGGCGCGUCCCUGAAGCCAGGUAUGAUUUUUGGAUGACUCGCCUUUCCUCGGCGAGUUGGCCUUGCUGCCAUCUUCCCUGGAUCUUUGGUAUCGUCCGCUUCGGUGUACCUAGUGAGGGUGUCCAUCAGUUCCCCCAUAUCCUGGACCUUUCGCUUGAGUCGCCCCAGCUUCUGUACCAAGGGUUCAUAGUGGCAGUUUUGCUCCAAGAUCAGCACAGCCUGAGCCGCCGUGAUGCUGUCCGACGAGUGGAUGAUUUCUGUGAUCCGCCGCGUCCAAUGGUGAGCCGACUCAUCGGGGCGCUGAAUGCAGUGUUGUAAAUCGACUAUUGUCAUCGGGCGCUUGCAAGUUCCCCGGAAUUUUUUGAUGAAACGCUCUUUCAGUUCAACCCAAGUUUGGAUGGAGUUGGGUGGCAGGUUUUUCAGCCAAGUGCGCGCCGUCCCCUCGAGCAUCAUUGUGAAGUACCUGGCGCAGACUGCUUCAUUUACAUCGAGCAUGUCCAUGGCGAUUUCUAACUCUCAACCCAUGAUGACGGCUCAAGGUCCGGGGUGUAAUUAGGCACCUUCCUUGGUCCUUUAAAAUCUUUCGUCAUCCGCUCAUUGCGAAGGGCGGGGGCCAACCAUGGCACCCCUACUUGCCUGCCGCCUCCAACAAGUGGUGUUGGGCCGGUUUGAAUGUCCGGGUGAUCCCGACCCGGCGGGUCCCAAUGGUCAGGCGGGUUAACCUGGGGCAGGGGUCGCGGUCCGCUGGUUAUGGCGGGCUGGUCCUCUCGUCGGCUCCUGGUGCGGCUUGCUUGGGGGUGGAAUGUAGCCGAUCGAGGCUGCGCGAGAACUGGGCGUUUUGAACCACCGCCGUCUUCAACAUCUCAAUGGUGUUUCUUGCUUCUAUUUCAACCGGGGUGUUGCCAUAAAUCAGAAGGGAUUCUAAAUGGCGAGUCGCGGCGAGCACGUUGUCCAUGGGGUUGGAAAAGUGACCCUGAGGUGUCUGGAAGCGGGGAACGCGAUCAACUACUGGCUGAAGCGGCGGGUUUGGCGGCUGACCCGGCCCUCCUCCUGGAGCGUCUCCUGCCCCGGGGGUGCGUGGAGUGUCGAAAAGGCGGGUAGGGUUGAGAUCAGGGGGUAAACGCCCCUGGUGCCUCCUUUGAUGAACAGCGCCGGAUGCGCGCUGAUGCCUCUCAAGCCGUUAGUUUUCGAUGUUCAAGCGGGCUGUCUCAGCGAUGAUCUGAGCUUGCCGGGUCUCGAUCCUGGCGGCUUCUGCUUCAGCAUCUCGCUGAGCCUUUGCCACCCCGUCUCUUAGCUUUGCCAACUCGGCAUUUAUCGUGCCCUGGUUUUCUGCCGUUACAGGGGUCGCCAUGAUCCUUGUUAUCUCCGCCGUAAAGUCCACCAAGAUCGCAGCUCGGCUCCUGGAUGUUUCGCCAGUCCCGUCAUUGCCUGCAGGGUUUUGCUGGGGCUGAGUCGCCCCUGCCAUGUACACGGCGAUCUGACGGUGGGUCCGGUCGAGGACCUCCGGGUCCAUUGCCAGUGACAGGCCUCCGAGGCAGCCCCCGUGUAGAUACUGAAUUGAAUCUGUGUCGCCCAUGGAUGAUUCGUCAUCAGUGUUGACCGGCGUAGUCUCCUGAGUCGCCGAUCAUUCUGGUUCCUCAGAUCCCUGUGUGAAACCAAAAAAGACCGGGCGGGUUAGGUUUUGCGUCGCAACAGGGCGGACAUACCUGGCCAGCUCGACGAUGUUGAUGAAGAUGUCCGGCUUAGGCGCAGGCGAUCCAACCAUGCCGACAAAGAUGUUGAUCUUGCCGAAGGGGACUCUGUAGCCAGAUUCAAUUGAAUCGGCCUCGGACGCCCACAGCGAGUUAUUGAUGUAGUACUUUCCGCGGCGGCUCUGAGUCAUGAGCCCCGCCGGUAGCUCCCUGACCCUGGUAGGGCUCCAUUUGAGAACUCAACUCCACCGUGCGUAGGCCCCACGGUGGGCGCCAACUGUCGUGGUUUUGUCAUGGCAGAUGUCCUCGUGAAAGGACUUAGUGUUGGAGCCAUCGCACCUUGGUGGCGACUCAAAGGGGUUGAACGGGAGCGGGACAGAGAUUUACCUAGGUUCGUCCCCUCGUGAGGAGGUAAAAGCCUACGUCCUGCUUUGUGUUGUAUUGAUGGAGUUCCGAUUACAAGGAGGGCGUAGCUCGCCUGACCUAGCACUCGAUGAUUCCUAACCUAAUCUCUCCUUCCCCGGGACUCGCCUUUAUAUACAGGUCGAGCCCUUAAGGUUUACAAGAGUCCUUGCCAUUACACAGGUCAUGAUUCUUUCUAUCUCUAAGUCGUCGUGCUUUCCAACACUUGAAAACCUUCCCAAUGAUCGACUCUUCCCCAGGAUCUUGAACCGCCAUCUAGCUCCUGGGCUUUAUUGGGCCAAAGCUUGAAUCGCCAAUGGAUGAGUCGCUCGCUUGGUGACCGGCCCAACCAGGGCGGGUCACACAACAGAUAAUAUCCCCAACAAUACUUGUCAUCAAGAACCAAUGCAUUAAACCAAACCCAUGAUGGACAUCACCACGUUAGUUUGGUUUCACAAGAACAUGGAGUCGAGUGGCGUCAAGCAAGCAUUAAACCAAACCCAUGAUGGACAUCACCACGUUAGUUUGGUUUCACAACCAAAAUACAAAUUACCAUCAUAUAUGAGCAUAGACACCAUCUUUUAGCUCAUGGUCACUUUGGUUCACAAAUGAACUAUGCAGCACAAGAAUGGCAUUUGUGUAUCCACUAGAAACACAUAAACAGAAAUUGGGGAAAAAGCCUCACAGUCAAGAGGGAUAGAACCAAGACCUUGGGUGGGAAGUCGAGGUUAGGGUCCCCUGACUUGACGAUGUCCUCGUCAUGCUCGUCAGCUUGGGCUUGGGGUCUCGAUCAUCCUCCUCGUCCAUAGAGGCGGGAGCCUGUUGCACCAAACCGAACAGGGAAAUAAAUAGAGAGUUAAUCGGUUUAAAAUAAAAGCUUUGGGUGAGCGCUGCAAGCAGAAUCAUGUUUGGCGAGGGUUGCGGAGAAAAACAUGAAUACCAUGAUUAAGGCUGACUCCUAAUGAUAAUAGUAGCGCUAGCACAUCAAGUAGAAUGAUAUCAUCAUGUACAACAACAACAUGUUCAUAAGUCCGUCUACUAGGACUAGUAGUGCUAGAACAUCAAGCAAAGUCAAACCAUUAUACACAACCAGCAGCAGCAACUCAAUAAAGCCUACAUUUCACACUGACAAUAGACAGGACACGCACCCAUUGCAGUGACUGUAGUUCCCGUUCCCCCGGGAGGCGAACGACAGCGGCAAGUACACCACCGAUGACACCGACAAGCAGCUGUCGGCCUCCCCUUGAAUCUUAGCUUGCCACCCGACACACCCGAGCUCGCAUCGUCGUCGCACUUUGUUCCUGCUGCCGCAGGGGCACCGCCACCAUCCCUUCCGUGGAAUCUCAGAGAACUUCUGCUCAUACAAAGAAGAUAAAUUAGAUUAAAACGCAAAACUGUAAUACAUGAAACAGCCACCAAAAACUGCAGAAAACUUUGCUCGAUUGAUGCCCAGCCUGCCUAUUUUUUAGUUCAGAAGGACACAAAAAAAUUUGUCGGGAUGGGAACCCUAUUUUUCAGUUCAGAACAUCAACAAAAUGGGUUAAGUAGCACUAACUAAACUAUGACCAUUGUUAUCUAUCAAGCAAUCAAUGACACAUAUGGUUUUAGAAAAAGCAAAACUGUGAUGCAUAUGGCAGCCACUAAAAACAGUAACAAGCUCCGGUCGAUUAAUUGAUGCCCAGCCUGCCUUUCAUGCUAGGCAGAGGAAAAUCCCGUGUUAUUUUUAGUUGAGAGUUGAGAAGCAUGCAAAAUUAUUUUAGUACCCUGCUGUGAAGUUGUUUUCUGAUGGUUAGCAGCAGCAUAAGACAACCAACACUUAUAUGUCACCUAAUCGUGAUUGUAUACUACCCUAGCUGCUAUAAAUCAACAAAUCGACCCCACCUCAGUUGUUACAACACUUGAGCAGCCACAAAAAUUUCAGGGCAGUCUAUGUGACAGUAGUAGACGAGUGCAUUGCUCUUGUCCAGUUAGAAAAAAAAGAAUGAAAUUUUCUCCAGUUUCUGUCAUCCAAACUGAACCAAAACAGCCUAAUGGCACCGGCCUCACCUAGAGAGUACAACGAUGAGCUUCCCCAUAGCACCGGCCUCCUUCCUUCCUUGACACAAGAAGAUCGAUCUGAUGGGAAGAAGCUGCAUGCACAUCACAUCGCACGCACGCACGCACGCAUCAGAUGAGGGGAAGGAGAGAACCAGAGGAGGAGGAGGAGGAGGAAGAAGAAUAUGGGGUGGAGGGAUCUGACCUGCUGCACAUCCUACGGGUUCGCCAUGGCUGCAUCAGAUGGGUGGAAGAUAGGGUUUCGGGCGCCGUUGAGGAGGAAAGGAGGUUGGAUCCUCCACGGCGACCAGAGAGGAGAAGAGACGGUGGUGCUUCCCUGCAUCCACAACAAAGCAGAGCAAACAGAGAGGCAUGGGUGGAAACCACAUCCACGACGGCGACCACCUUGGUGGUUGGGUGCGCCCCUCCUGCUCCUCCUCCUCGAGCAGGACAAGGCCGGCGGCUGCAGCGCGAGAAGAAGGCCAUGCUCCUGUAUCUUGCGCCCUCAUCACCGGCGCUCGGCCCGACCAUGACAUAGGCGAUGUGCAGCAAAAGCAUAUGAGCAAAAACCCUAGCCGCGGGCGAGGGUGGAGGCCGCGAGUGGUGAUACUGGUCGGCGGGGUGGAAGGCACGCAGUGAGGAGAGGAAACAGGUGUGCUAUGCACCACCGGGAGUCGCCGGAAUCCUCGAGCGUGGGCGGCGGUGGCGGCGGCCAGGGGUCGUGGGGCAGAGAGAGGGGGGUCGCAAGAGAGAGGGUCGUGGGGGAUUCUGUUCGGUGGGUUUCCUUGUUUUUUUCCAUUUCUUUUCUUCAGAUUACUAAUGGCGCACCACCUACAAAUGCGCCAUUAGUAACCCUGGUUACUAAUGGCGCACCAGCUGGUGGUGCGCCAUUAGUAGUUUUGCAAAAAAAAUAAAAAAUAUAUAGUAGUGGCGCACUGGGUGAGUGGUGCGCCAUUACUAGUUAAACUAGUAAUGGCACACUCUGCCCCGGUGUGCCAUUAGUAGUUUUGGAAUAAAAAAGUUUGUUAGUAGUGGCGCACCGUGUGUUUGGUGCACCAUUAGUGUCCAUCACACUAACGGCGCACCUGCACAUGGUGCGCUACGGCUAUAUAGUAGUGGCGCACCACUUAUCUGGUGCGCCAUUAGUGUCUAUAUUAUCUAUAGCCCUUUUCCUAGUAGUGUUGGGCGGUUCUUUCUUUUCUCUCAAUCAUGGAAACACGCAUAGCUUUCAAAGUUUCAUCCAUAUUGAUCUUGGGAGGAGCACAUCUAACUUUCAAAGCAUCAACAUCACUAGACAUUCUAUCAACGCUCUUAGCCAAAUAGUCAAUUUUGAGUAGUUUUUCCUCUAUGGACGCAUUGAAAAAAAUUUGCGAGUUGAUAAACUCUUUGAUAUUACUCUCUAGAUUAGAGGGUAAUCUAUUGUAAUUUCCAUGAGUAUUGUUGUAGGAGUUGCCAAAUUUAUUAGAGGAGUUACUAGGAAAAUGCCUAGGAACAUAGUUUCAUCUAAAAGCAUUGUUGUUACCAAAAUUAUUCCUACCAACAAAAUUAACGUCCAAGCUAGCGUUGCUACUCUCAAUCAAGGAAGACAAGCGCAUAUCAUUAGGAUCUAAAGGAACACUUCUACAAGCAACCAAAUUCAUUAACUCAUCCAUCUUAGCACUCAACGAGUUAAUUUCUUCUAUAGCGUGUACCUUCUUACUAGUAGGUGACCUUUCAGUGUGCCACUGAGAGUAGUUCAUCAGGAUAUUGUCUAGGAGCUUUGUGGCCUCCCCUAACGUGAUUUCCAUGAACGUUCCACCUGAGGCGGAGUCCAAGAUGUUUCUAGAAACGAAAUUCAAGGCAGCUUAAAUGAUUUGUAUAAUCAUCCAAAGACUCAAGCCAUGAGCGGGACAAUUUCUAAUCAUAAAUUUCAUUCUCUCCCAAGAUUGUGCAACAUGUUCAUGAUCAAGUUGCUUGAGAUUCAUGAUAUCAUUACGGAGAGAGAUAAUCUUAGCCGGUGGAAAAUACUUGGAAAUAUAAGCAUCUUUGCACUUAUCCCAAGAAUCGAUACUAUUUUUGGGCAAAGACGAAAACCAAGUUUUUGCGCGAUCUCGCAACGAGAAAGGAAAAAAGCUUCAAUUUAAUCACAUCAUUAUCCACAUCUUUGUUCUUUUGCAUAUCGCAAAGCUCAAUGAAGGUAUUGACAUGGGAUGCGGCAUCUUCACUAGGAAGGCCAGAGAAUUGCUCUUUCAUAAUAAGAUUCAGAAAAGCGGCAUUGAUUUCGUAUGACUCCGCACUAGUGGCGGGAGCAAUCGGAGUACUAAUAAAAUCAUUAUUAUUAGUAUUCCAGAAGUCACAAAGUUUGGUGUUUUCAUUCAUGGUGACUUCAGCAAGCAAGCAAGCACAGAAGCAAACAAAGAGCAAGCGAGAAAAAAGGGCGAACGAAAAGGCGAACGAAAAAGGCAAAUGAAAAAGGCAAAUUGUGAAGUGGGGGAGAGGAAAACGAGGGGCAACUGGCAAACAAAGUAAAUGCAAGAGAUGAGUUUGCGACACUUACUUGGAUGAGUUCUUGACUUGAUCCUCCCCGGCAACGGCGCCAGAAAUUCUUCUGCUACGGCAACAAAAGUCCUUCCCCGGCAACGCCAGGAAUUUUUCUUGCUAGUUCUCUUGCUUCCGUCGGUUUUUCCCUUGAAGAGGAAAGGGUGACGCAACACAGGAGUAGUAAGUAUUUCCCUCAGUUUGAGAACCAAGGUAUCAAUCCAGUAGGAGAAUCUCGUCAAGUCCAGAGUACCUGCAAAAACAUAAAGAGCUUGCACCCAACGCUAUAAAGGGGUUGUCAAUCCCUUCAAGAAUGAUUGCAAAGUGAGAUCUGAAGGCGGAAAGUGCAACGAAGGAAAAGUGUAAGGCUGAAAAUAUGGUGUGGAGUAGACCCGGGGGCCAUAGUGUUCACUAGAGGCUUCUCUCAAAAUAGCAAAUAUUACGGUGGGUGAACAAAUUACUGUCGAUCAAUUGAUAGAACCGCGCAAAGUCAUGACGAUAUCUAAGGCAAUGAUCAUACAUAUAGGCAUCACGUCCGAGACAAGUAGACCGAUACUUUCUGCAUCUACUACUAUUACUCCACACAUCGACCGCUAUCCAGCAUGCAUCUAGUGUAUCGAGUUCAUGACGAACAAAGUAACGCCUUAAGCAAGAUGGCAUGAUGUAGAGGGAUAAUCUCAAACCAAUGAUGAAAACCCCAUCUUUUUACCCUUGAUGGCAACAACAUGAUGCGUGCCUCGCUACCCCUUCUGUCACUGGGUGAGGUCACCACACCGUAUGAACCCAAAACCAAGCACUUCUCCCAUUGCAAGAAUCAUAGAUCUAGUUGGCCAAACAAAACCCACAACUCGAAGAGAAUUACAAGGAUAUGAAAUCAUGCAUAAGAGAGAUCAGAAGAAACUCAAAUAAGAUUCAUAGAUAAUCGAUCAUAAAUCCACAAUUCAUCGGAUCUCGACAAACACACCACAAAAGAAGAUUACAUCGGAUAGAUCUCCAUGAAGAUCAUGGAGAACUUUGUAUUGAAGAUCCAAGAGAGAGAAGAAGCCAUCUAGCUACUAGCUAUGGACCCGUAGGUCUAUGGUGAACUACUCACGCAUCAUCGGAGAGGUCAUGGUGUUGAUGAAGAAGCCCUCCGUGUCUAAAUCCACCCUCCGACAGGGCACCAGAACGUGCCCCAGAUGGGAUCUUGCGGAGACAGAAGCUUGCGGCGGCGGAAAAGUACUUUCGAUGAUCUCCUGAUUUUUUCUCGGAUUUUAGGGAAUAUAUAGGCGCAAAACCUAGGGCAGAGGUGGCCGAGGGAGCCCACAAGCCAGGGAGGCGUGGCCCCCCUGGCCGCGCCAUGAGGGCUUGUGGGGUCCCUGCAGGCCCCCUGCCCUGAUACUCCACCUUCCCGAUCUUUUUCUGUUUCGGAAAAAAAUCUUUUUGGCAGUUUCAUUCCGUUUGGACUCCGUUCAAAAUCCUCCUCUGAAAGGGGUCAAAAACAUGGAAAAAAUAGGAACUGGCACUUGGCACUGAGUUAAUAAGUUAGUCUCAAAAAAUAUAUAAAAGGCAUGCAAAACAUCCAAAGUUUGACAAGAUAAUAGCAUGAAACCAUCAAAAAUUAUAGAUACGUUGGAGACGUAUCAAUGAACAAUGUGGAACUAUAUGUAUAUGUAUAUAUGGAUGAACAAUAUAUGUGGAACUAUAUGUAUGUAUAUAUGGUUGAAACUUUGUAUGUGUUGGUUCUUUCAAUACAUGGGAUGUACGUUGAUGAACAAAUGGCAUUGAUGAACUUUAUAUGUAUAUCAUAUAUGUGUUGUGACCUAUAUAUCAUAUAUGUGCUAUGAAUUAUAUAUAUGUGCUGUGAAAUAGAAAAAAUAAACAAAAAUGUGAAAAUAUGGGCUCUUUGCCAUCUUCCAGCUGAUGGCAAAGGCCUUUGCCAUCACGCAGCUGACGACAAAGGUGCCACGUGGCACCCAGCUGUGCAACCUGGGCAGCAGCAGCUGGCCAUAUGGGCUCUUUUCUCGUCUGCUGCCUCAGGAGGAUGGCGGCAAAGCGGUAGGGAGGCAGAUGGCAAAGAAUCCGACAUGCGCUGGCCCAACUCUGUGCUGGCCCAUAGAAGCAGAGGCAAAGAUGGGGAGGCAGCAGACAUCAAAGAUGCAGAGGGAAGCAGACGGCAAAGCCUCCGUUAGCCCUAACGGAGGCGUCGCCUGUCGGCUGCCGUCUCAAUCUCUUUGCUGACUGCUCAUUGUCCGACACGGACGGCAAAGAGCUUUGUCGUCCGCUUAUGGUAGGCUGACGGCAAAGAAGCUACAAUGCCAUCGUAGGCUGACACAGAAUCUUUGCUGACAGGUUGCAGAUGGCAAAGCUCUUUGCCGUCGGUGUAUACCUCUUUGCCAUCUGUGAUGGCAGACAACAAAGAAGUUGAUUCCUGUAGUGCUAGCUACUUGUACAUACCCUCAGCGCUGAGGAGGAUUACUCAUACAUUACCAUGGUGAGAAAGAGAGAGUUGUUGAUGGAGAGGUGCAGCCCCACAGAGAUGGAGGCGGUAGUGGCCAUGACGCCGACGACGGGCAGCACCCCCUGUCCCCUUCUUCCUUGGUCUUGGUGCUACAAUGGAGGAGCCUCUCUCCUCUUGGUGGUUGUCAAAGGAGAGGCAAAUUCGUGGCUUUUGGUGGAUGCUCCGAAAUUAAGGUUUUCCUCUCCUUAUAUGUGCCACCAUGGUGUUCCAUAUCUCUUCGAUGGAUGAACCCUUGAUGCAACGACUUUUGGGCACCUUUAGAACCUUCCUAGGGACUCCUCACAGUCCCAUGAGUCCCCAAAGUCGUGUCUUGGCCAAAUACAUCAAAUAUGGUAAGAGUUGGACUCAAUCACGUCAUCCAUUCUCGUAGUCCCAUAUUCAUAUAUUAUCCUUCUAGUAAAACGGGUCUACAGACCAUAUCCAAACUCUGUUUUGGACAAAUUUUUAGUCCAGAAUUAAUGCCAUAAAUUCCCCCACGCUUUUGUAGUUUUAGCUCUUUCCUAUUGACGCGUCUUUGGGGGUCAAACUAACGAUCUCUUAAAAUUGUUGGUGGACAGAUUUCAGGAAAGUGAGAGUCCUCCUUCGACAAGGCUCUUUUUGCGUGUUUUGCCAAUUUUCAAUUAAUUCCUACACAACAAAGUGUAAAACAAAACAUAUGAACUUUGGCAACUAUUAAUAGGUCAAUUCUAAUAAAUCAUAAAAUGAUAGUAAAAACAUAGGACAAAUGGUACAACACAAGCAUGGAGUAUAAAAAAUUACAGAUACGCUUGAGACGUAUCAGCAUAUCCAAGAUUAACCCCUCCUCGUCUGCGAGUAGGUAAGUGAUAAAAAAAGAUAACUUUUGAGGUGUGAAUGAUAGCAUAGUGAAUAUUUUUUAUCAUUGAUAAUUCCAGUCACUUUUCUAGCAUCUUGACCAACAACUUUUUCUCAUAAAAAUCAUGAUGAUAGAGUAGCAAUCAAUUCGCAUGUGAUGGUUCAAACAAUGCAUUCUCUUGAAACAUAACAACCUAUGUUCUUAGUAUUCAAACAAUUUCAAUGCAUCAUGAAGUGUAAGUAAGAGCUACACAUACUCAAUUAUCUUAUAAUCUUCUAUGAUUGCUAAUACUCAAGGAAUAUUUUUAGAACAAACAACAUCCAUCGAACACAGAGAAAGAUAGGGGCUUAAAGUUUCGCCUCCCAACAUACUUAUCAUAAAGAUAAUUGUCAACAAUAAUGAAUCAUGAUCAAAUAUAUUUGACUGCGUAUAUAUGUUUGGAUCUUUGCCAACCACAUGGUGCUUGUCAACUAAUAGAUUGAGGUUGGAAUAGGAAGUUGACUAAACAUGAAAAUUAAAUAACAUGAAAGUAAAUAGAUUGCCCCUUCGCACAGGGAAGCAGGGAUUUGCAUAGGUGCGAGAGCUCAUAGAUGAAUAUGUAUAUUUGGGUGGUGUGCCUUUCAUGCCAACGUCAGAACAGAGUUUUCAAUAUCUUCCAUACUAAUCACAUUAUUGGCGGUUCCAAACAGAAUUGAAAUUUUACUCCCCCUCCACCAUUCAAACACAUUCUAUGGCUAGCCUUAUCCACGGGUACCAUCAAACAAUCAACUUUCUAGGGGGAAUUUUUGUUUAUUUAUUUAUUUUAUUAUGCGGGACUGGGCAUCCUUUUUACCAACCUCUCUCAUGGAAUGAUAAGUGAAUAAAUACUAAACAUGAGAAUAACUCUCUUAGCAUGGAAGAUAAUGACAGUCCCAUCGCUCCAUGAGCGGUACGAGCUCACAAAAUGGAUGUUUAUUUGAACGUUUUAGAGGUGGCACAUGCAAAUUUAUUUGGAAUGUCAGUGAAAUAGCAUAUAUAGGUAGUUAUGGUGGACUCUCGUGCAAUAAACUUGGCUCAAGGAUUUGGAUGCACAAUUAGUAUCUAUACUUAGUACGAAGUUUUGGCUAGCAAAAGGUUCUAAACAAGCACCACACAUUGGAGGAUCCAUAACAAUAUAACUUCUACUCAAAUAUAUCCAAACAUAACCAUUACAUUGUCUUCCUUGUCCAACUUAAACUAUUUGAUCAAGGUUGAAAAUAAUUAAUGGGUAUUCACAAUGAUAAAAGAUGUGCAAGAUAAUAUAUGUUUAUGUGAUAGUUCUCUUCCUUAUACUAAUUGUUCAUAAAUUGCUUGUAUGACUAAUAUUGUGAUUGUCAAACUUCAAUAGAUUUUGUUUCUAAACCAAAUGUGAAACUACUACCAAGUAUAAAGCACGUUGAUAAUUUCAGAUUCAUGAUAUUUCAUUCAUUCACAAUUUACUCUUAGGAUAUAAGUGAAGAACAAGAGUAAACAACAAACUACUCUCAAAAUGAUAUAAGUGAAGAUAAAUGAGUAGUCAAACAAUCAAGUAAUUAAGUCAGGAAUCCCUCUCAAUAAGGAUUUUCAUAUCUGAAAAUUUUAUUCAAACAGCAAACUAAACAAACAUGCACACCAAUAAUAGCACAUAUCAUGUGGACAAAUAAAACUUAGCUUCUAAAUAGGCUAACCGAUAUGUUUCGAUGAAGAGAGCUGGGAUGCAUAGCAUCGCCAUGCUUAGAUGCUUGAGAAUCCUUGAAAUAUUUCCUUAGGGUGCCUUGGGUAUCACCAAUCUUAAGCUUUUGUAUCUCAUUCAAUCUCCUCAUUUCCCGGUUUUACCUAAGUCUCAAAAACUUCACCCACACAAAACUUGAAAAGAACUCGUGACAUAGGCUAGUACACAUGAGAAGAAAUCAACACUUCAUGUACUGCAAAGACAAGUUGCUUAAUUUUUUUCAACAUUAGGUACUGUAUUCUAUCAUUUACACAAUUUAUAUCUACCAAUAUAAGCCAUGAAAACUCAAGGAUAAGUAGUUAACAAAACUAUGACAGCAAUCUGUCCAAACAGAACAGUCUGUACCAAUCAAUUUAAAAAGUGUACUUAUGUAUCUCCAAAAAAUCUGAAAGUUUAGAGCUUGAUAAACAAUUUUUAUAAAAAUACUGUGUAAAUAUUUCAUAUACUUUCCACAUUCCCGUAAAAUCUGAUAAUUCAAAUACUACAACAAAAGUUUAUGUUUUUUGUACAACACACAUCACACAAGCUAUUCAAGUAUUCUCAAGGCAAUUAUUGGACCUUUUUUAGAAAAACAAGAUUAUAAAUAGCAUCUAACAAAGAACAACAAAAUAAAAUUAUUCUCCAAGAAAAACACAUAUUAUGUGACGAAUAAAAAUAUAGCUCCAAAUAAGAUAUAUCGGUAGUGUUGGACACGAAAGAGGGGAUGCCUUUUGGGGCAUCCCCAAGCUUAGACGCUUGAGCCUUCCUUGGAUAUUACUUUGGAAUUGCCUUGGGCAUCCCCAAUCUUAGGUUAUUGCUCCUUACUAUUCAUCUCAUAUCGGUAUCAUACCCAAAACAUCAAAACUUCAAUCACACAAAAUUUAACGGAACUUCGUGAGAUCGGUUAGUAUAAUAAAAAUAGAUCAUUCACUUAAAUACUGUCAAGACAAGAUUCAUAAAUUUUAUCACAGUAUACCUACUAUAUUCUAUCAUUCUCAUAAUUUAUAUCACUCAGUAUAAGCCAUGCAAACACUAAAACAAACAAACUAUGAAAGCAAAAUAGAAUUUGUCAAAAACAAAACAGUUCGUGGAGAUCAGAAUGAACAUCAUACUUACUUGACUCUAAACAUUCUUAAAAAUUAGGAAAACACGGAUCAUUUGCAUUCCAAACCUGUGUAAAAUAAUUAGAAUUUUUUCAAUCUCCAGUAAAAUCAUAGAAAUUCUGCAGUGGAUGUAAAAGUUUCUGUUUUUGCACAGAAUUAAACAAACAACUAUCCACAAUAUCCCAAAGGCUUUACUUGGCACUUUAUUGAAUUGAAAGACACAAACAUGAUUACUACAGUAUCUUAAUCAUGUUAACACACAAAAAUAGAAAGUAUAAAUGUUGGGUUGUCUCUCAACAAGCGUUUUUCUUUAAAGCAUUUUGGCUAGGAAUGAUGAUUUUAAUGAUGCUCACAUAAAAGUAAUGAAUUGAAACACAAUGGAAGCAUCAUGAAGCAUAUGACAAACACAUCUAAGUAUAUAACACUUCCUAUGCAUAGGGAUUUUGUGAGCAAACAAUUUAUGGGAAUAAGAAUCAAUAGCAUAGGAAGGCAAAACAAGUGCAACUCCAAAACUUUGAAUAGAUACGGAGGAAACUUGAUAUUAUUGCAAUAACUCCAAGCAUACGUUCCUCUGUCAUAAUAAUUUUAGGUAGGAUCAUAAAGGAAUUAAAUAAUAUAGCUAUCACCUAAUAAAUUUUUUUCAUUAUGCACAAGCAUAGAAACAUUAUUACUCUCCCCAUAAGCAAAAUUCUUCUCAUUCAUAAUAGUGGGAGCAAACUCAACAAAAUAACUAUCAUGUGAUACUUGAGUGGCAUGGUCCAAUUGAAAAUUAAAAUCAUGAUGACAAUAUUCAUGGUUUUUAUUACUCUUUAGAACAUACAUGUCAUCACCAUAAUCAUCAUAGAUAGCAACUUUAUUGUCAUAGUCAAUUGAAGCCUUCUCUAAAAUAGUGGACUCAUCACUAAAUAAAAUCAUGACCUCUCCAAAUCCACUUUUAUUGUUAUGAAAAGACUCAACAUCCUCCAAAAUUUUGGGGUCAUUAGUACCUAUAGUUGACACUCUUCCAAAACCACUUUCAUAAAUAUAAUCAUCAUAAAUAGGAGACAUGCUUUCAUCAUAAUAAAUUUGCUCAUCAAAACUUGGAGGACAAAACAUAUCAUCUUCAUCAAACAUAGCAUCCCCAAGCUUGUGGCUUUGCAUAUCACUAGCAUCAUGGAUAUUCAGUGAGUUCAUACUUACAAUAUUACUAUCAUGCUCAUCAUUCAACGAAUUCACAUUAAGCAUUUUUAUAAAAAAAAUCCGUAAGACUAUGUAAGCACACCUACACACAAAUAGCAAAUCCUCGCAACCCAACGCAUGGAGGGGUUGUCAAUCCCUCGUGGGUGAAGUAAGGAUAGAUUGAUAGAUGCAAAUAAGAGUGAUAGCAAAUAGAAUGCAGCAAGGUAUUUUUCGGUUUUUUGAUCAUAUAGAUAUGAAAAUAAAAGACCAAAUAAAACAGAAACACAAAUAGCAAAGUAGAGGUUGCAAAUAGAUGGUGUGAAGUAGACCCGGGGGCCAUAUGUUUCACUGGUGGCUUCUCUCGAGAAAAUAGCAAACGGUAAUUACUCUUCGGUAAUUGAUAGAAGAGUAAAUAAUUAUGAUGAUAUUCAAGACAAUGAUCAUGUAUAUAGGCAUCCCAUCCAAGACAAGUAGAUCGACUUAUGUUAUUACUCCACAUCUACUUCUAUUACUCCACACAUUGACCGCUAUCCAGCAUGCAUCUAGUGUAUUGAGUUCAUGGAGAAACGCAGUAAUGCCUUAAGAACGAUGACAUGAUGUAGACAAGAUCUAUCCAUGUAGGAAUAGGCCCCAUAGUUUUAUCCUUGAUAACAAAGAUACAUGCGUGUCAUGUCUCUUUCUGUCACUGAGAUUGAGCAACACAAGAUCGAACCCAUCACAAAGCACAUCUUCCCAUUACAAGAUAAAAGGUCAAGUUGGCCACACUAAAACAAAAUAUCGGAGAAUAAAUAUGAGGCUAUAAUAAUCAAGCAUGAAUAUGUUUUCAUAGAUAGAAUCAUAAACUCACAAUUCAUCGGAUCCCAACAAACCCACUGCAAAAGAAAGAGUUACAUCAUAUGGAUCUGCAAGAGAGCAUUAUAUUCAGAAACAAAACGACACAGAAAGCAUCUAGCUACUGCCUACAAACCCGUAGGUCUAAUAUGAACUACUCAAGAAUCAUCGGAGGAGCACCAAUGAGGAUGGUGAACCCCUUUGUGACCGUGUUCUUCUCCAAAACAGGCUCUAGAUUAGAUUUCAUGCCUUGUGUAACUUGUGGUGGCUGAAACGAUUUUUCGUCAUCUCCUUUAGGGAUUUCUGAAUAUUAGGGUAUUUGUAGAGCUUAGAGGCGGUGGAGAGGUGCCCGAGGGCCCCACUAGAUAUUAGAUCGUGCCAGGGGCCCUAUGCAUGCCCUGGUGUCUAGUGGGCCCCCUGGGCCACGUCUGCUACUUAUUCUUGGCUCCCAAGUUUCCUUCAGGUCAAAAAAAUCUUCGUAAAGUUCGUGGCAUUUGUACUUCAUCUAAUAUGGAUUUUUUGCGAAGGGAAAACUGCAAAAACUAGCAAUUGGCACUAGGAACUAUGUCAAUAGGUUAGUCCCAAAAAAUUAUAUAAAGUUGCUAUAAAAUGAUCAUAAAACAUCCAAGAAUGCUAAUAUAACAGCAUGGAACCAUAAAAAAUUAUAGAUAUGGUGGAGACGUAUCAACAUCCCCAAGCUUAAUUCCAGCUUGUCCUUGAGUAGGUAAAUGAUAAAACAAAAAAUUUUAUGUGGAAUGUUGCCUCACAUGUUCAUCACAUUCUUUUUCUUUCAGCAUGGACAUAUGGACUUAUAGAUGAUGCAAACAAAUAGUAUAUAGUUUGACAUGAAAAUUUCAAUACUCAAGCAUAUCAACAAGCAACCAACUCUUUCAAAAUAUGAACACUAAAGAGCGAUGUCCCUACCACAUCAUGCUCUAUCAUUGAUCCAUUCAUACAACACACUCAAAUAUUAACUACAUACAUUGCUCAAGUAUGACAAUGUUGUUCCUUAGUUGGUACUUUAUAAUAGAAGAUGGAGACUCAAAUUCAAAAAUAAAAAUUGAAUAACAUAAAUAGAUAGGCCCUUCAUAGAGGGGAGCGGGGAUUUGUAGAGGUGCGAGAGCUCAGAGUGAAAAACUUAGACAUAAUUUGUUUAGAGUGGUAUGCUUCUCCUGUCAAUGAAAAUGACUAAGAGUUUCCAAUAUCCUCCAUGCUAAACAAAUUAUUGGUGGUUCCCAAACUGAAAAUAUAGUUAAUUCCUUUUUCCACCAUUCUUUCACAUUCCACGCCUAGCCAUAUCCAUGGGUACCAUCCAUACCAACACUUCCAAGGAAUUUAUUAUUUGACAACAUAAAAUAUAUAUUUUUCUUUUUGGGACUCGGCAUCCCUGUUACCCCAUACUCUCAUGCAAUCAUAAAUGGAUAAACACUCAUCUCGAGAAUAACCUAUUUAACAUGGAAGAUACCGGCCAUCCCUUGCCGCUUCAUGAGCGGUAUGGGCACACAAAACAGAAAUUUAUUUUGAACAUUAGAGUUGGCACCUGCAAAUUUACUUGGAAUGGCAUUGAAAUGCCGCAUAUAGGUAGGUAUGGUGGACUCAUUUGACAUAACUUUGGGUUUAGGAUUUGGAUGCACAAGCGGUAUUCCCGCUUAGUAUAAGUGAAGGCUAGCAAAUAGAUUGAGAAACGCCCAACCAAGGAACAACAAUCAUCAUAAGUAAAUAGUAAACAAAACUAACACCGAAUAAUGCAACACAAGUAGGAUGUAAUUUCAUAGCAUAAUUAUUGACUUUAUGUGCAUGCAUAGGUAAUCACAAACCUUAACACCAAUAUUCUUAAUAAAGCACAAUUACUCAUCAACAUAACUCACAUAUCACUAUUUUCAUAUCGCAAAACUAUUGCAAAGAAUCAAGCUUAAUAUCCAAUGAUCUUCAUGAAAGUAUUUACUAUAUCUUUCCUAGACACUCAUCACUUUGGAACUAAAUUUCAUUUAAAGUAAAUUUCCAUUGCAAAUAACAUGCUCUCAAACAAAUAUAAGUGAAGAACGAGAGCACAAGUUUCUUGAAAAUUUUAAACUCUCAAAAUACUAUAAGUGAAGCAAGAGAGGAUUUCUACAAAAUUUCUGCUACUCCCAAAAUAAUCUAAGUGAAGCAUGAGAGCAAAGUUCUUCAAAAUAACAGCACCACCAUGCUCAAAAAGAUAUAAUUGAAGUCCUUGAGCAAUUCCAUGGCUCAAAAAAAAUUAAGUGAAGCAUAAAAAGCGAUUCUAACAAAUCAUAGCAUAAUUUGGCUCUAUAAAAUGUGUGUGUUCACCAAGGUUUAUUAUGACAAACUAACCAUCAAAUAAAGCAAAGACACAAAUUAUACAAGAUGAUUCAAGCGAAACUUAUCAUAUGUGACGAAUAAAAAUAUAGCUUCAAGUAAAAUUACCGAUGGUUAUUAGAAGAAAGAGGGGAUGCCUUCCGGGGCAUACCCAAGCUUAGUUUCUUCGCACUCCUUAGAUAUUACCGUGGGGUGCCAUGGGGCAUCCCCAAUCUCAGGAUUUUAUCACUCCUUAUUCCUUCAUCCAUCGUGAUCUCACUCAACACUUGAAAACUUCAAUCAAACAAAACUCAACAAAAUUUCUGUGAGAUCCAUUAGUAUAAGAAAACCAAACUUUACUUUAGGUUCUGUUCAUAACUUAUUCCAAUUUUGUUUUUGCAUUGUACCUACUGUAUUCUAACUUGACCAUGGCUUAUACCCCCCCCCCCCGAUACAAAACAUAGAAUCAUCAAAACAAGCACAUAACACAAAGAAAACAGAAUCUAUCAAAAACAGAACAAUUUGUAAAGAUGCGAAUUUUACUCAUACUGUAACCCCAAAAAUUCUGAAACAUUAGGAAAAUGUAGGCAAUUUUCAUAUCACUCUUGUGUAAAGAAAUUCAGUCACUUUUGUCAUUUAUGUGGUUUUUAGAAUUUUUUCUAUUGGAUGCAAAAGUUUCUGUUUUUCAACAGGAUUAAAGCAACUAACACCCCACAUGAUCCCACUGGCUUUACUUGGCACAAACACUAAGUAAAACACAGAAAACACAAUUAUAACAGUAGCAUAAUUGUGCAAACAUUCAAAAACAGAAAGAAAAAAGUGAAAAUAAAUUUAUAGAUGUGGAAUAAUAGUAUUGGAUAGCGGUCUAUUUUAUUUAAUAUUGUAGAUACAUGUUGGAUAGGGUCUAUGAGUGGAGUAAUAGUAAUAGGUGCAAGCAGGAGUCGACCUAUUUGUUUAUGGGCGUGAUGCCUAUAUACACAAGAUCAUUGCCAUGAAUAUCACAUAACUAUCUGCUUUUCUGUGAGUUGCCCAAUAGUAAUUUGUUUACCCAUGUAUGCUAUUUUUUAUGAGAGAUGACAUUAGGGAAAGCUAUGGCACCCGGAUCUAUUCACAACAUAUUGAUAAAACCUUCAUUACCUUGUUUUUAUUUACUUGUUUCUAUUUUAUCUUCUUAUCUACAAUUGUCUACACACCUCACUUGCUUGCAAAUAACAAGACAAGAAGAUUGACAACCCUCUGGCCCGCAUUGGGUGAAAGUUGUUUGUUCUUUUGUGUGCAACCACAGAAGACGGUUAUGGUUGAUAUUACUAUUGGUUUGAUAAAUCUUGGUUUCAUAAUUGAGGGAAAUACUUGCCCAAACUGUGUUGCGAUAACCCGUUCCUCUCCACGAAAAUACCCAACGCAGAGAUAACACUUUCCUCUUCACAAAUAACCCAAUGCAGAUCACAAGUAUCAACAAUGAUAGGUAGCAUUCCACAUCAAAAAUUAUCUUUUUAUCAUUUACCUACUCUAGGACAAGCAUGAAUUAAACUUGGGGAUGCUAAUACGUCUCCAUUGUAUCUAUAAUUUUUUAUUGUUCCAUGCCAAUGUUCUACAACUUUCAUACACUUUUGGCAACAAUUUAUAUUAGUUUUUGGGACUAACUUACUUGUCGAGUGCGAGUUCCUAUUUUUUGUUUUGCAAAAAUUCCAUAUCAAAUGAACUCCAAAUGCAAUAAAAAUUUAUGGAGAUUUUUUUUUGAAUAUAUGUGAAUUUUAGGAAGAAGAAUCAACGUUGCAAGAUGCCCAAGGCUCUCACAAGGCAACAGAGUGCAGCCAGGGAGCUGGCCACACCCGGAUGACUUGUGGCUCCCCCUUAACUUGGUUGGACCCUACUCUCACCACAAGAAAGUUAAUUUUCAAUAAAAAAAAACCCUGAAAAUUUCAGUCUGAUCGGAGCUAGGGAUCUCCGGAUAUUUAAGAAGCGGCGAAGGACGAGAAAACGGUAGCGAAAACAGGAGAGAAACAGAGAUAGAGAGAGAGAUCUAAUCUCGAAGGGGAUACUGCCCUCCGGGAGCCAUGGAGGCCAUGGACCAGAUGGUAAACUCUCCUUCCACCUAGGGAGGAGGCUAAGGAACAAGAACAAUGAGGGAGAUAUCUCCCCCUCUCUCCCGGUGGCGCGAGAGUGCCGCCGGGGCAACAAUCGUGAUGGCGAUGAACACCAACAACUUCGUCGUCGUCACCACAACAUCUCUCCCCCUCUAUGCAGAGGUGUAAAUCCCCUUCUCCUCGAGGUAAUUUAUAUUUAAACAUGGUUCUUAAUGCUAUAUAUUAUUAUUCAAUGAUGUGUGGUUGUCCUAUGAUGUUUGAUUAGAUCUCGUUUGUCCUACGGGUUAAUUAUGGUAUGAGGUCAUUGAUAUGAGUUGUACGUUGAUAUGGUGCUGUCCUAAGGUGCCUUCCGUGAGGCGCACACGUGAAGGAUUCACGCUAGAGGGUUUGCUAUAUGUUCAUGAUUCGCUUAUAGUUGGUGGCUAUAGUGGCAGAAGCUUACACCUGAGUAAGGGAGUUUUUUACAUAUGGGAGUAAAGAGGACUUGAUGUUUAAUGCUAUGGUUGGGUUUACCUUAAUGAUUUCUAGUAAUUGUGAAUGCUUGCUAGAGUUCAGUCAUAAGUGCAUAUGAUCCAAGUACGAAAAGUGUGUUAGUGUAUGCCUCUUCCUCAUUGCACAUGACAAGUAUCUAUCAUGUUACAUUCAAUUGCCUAUGGACAAUCUUUCUCUUGCGUUACAAAAAAGCUUUCUACUAAACAACUAAAUAGACUAAUAUUUAUUAAAACAAUGCCUAACUUUUAUUUUCAUGUUCUUUAUUAUCUUUCAAAACUCUCUAUUACACAUACUAAGUACUUCUAGUUUCCUUCCCACAAAAUAGUUUCAUGCAUACUUGUUCUAGGUAAAUUAAGCGUUAGCGUGCGUAGAAUUGUAUCGGUUGUCAAUAGAACUUGAGAGAAUAUUAAUUCUACCAUUAGCUCCUCGUUGGGUUUGACACUCUUACUUAUCGAAAAAGGCUACAAACAAUCCCCUACACUUGUGGGUUAUCAUAUGGAAAAGAACACAAGGAAUAUCUAAAGUCGGAGUUUUUGAGGCAGAACUUGUGGGUAGAACCAAAAAUGAUCUUAGGGGUCAAGGUGAAAUUGGUAACGCCGAAGUGUUUCUUGUGUGUAGUACCAAAUAGGUCCUUGGUAGUAUUUUUUUGUGUCGGUGAAGCCGAUUUCCCUUAUUCGGAGGGUCAGAAUUGCCAACAGAAACUUGGCAAAAGCAAUAUUGGCCAAUUUGCCAAACAAAAUUUUCAGAAUGAUUUGACACAUUUUGCCAGAAACUUCUCAAAAGAUUUGCAGUGAGGUUUUCUCAACUGGAUGGAGAGUGGAUGGUUCCAAGAAAACAUACAACUAAAAACUGAACCAUACAAGAAACUUCAUCUAGAUGAUGGUCGGCGACUUGGUCACCUAUAUUAUAGUACAUUGACUUAAGGCACCAAGCAAGAAUGCUUGACCAUAGGUCCUACUCAUCAUUAAGCUCAAAAUGGAGUUAUCACUUUUUGUUUAAGAAUUUUAAUGUCUACGUGUCGCUUGAGUUUAUUUAUCUCAUGACUUGGAGUAAAGCUUUUCAAGGAUAUGAGUACGUACAUUUGAAAGAUGUAGAUGAUGUAGCAUGAUUUGUGUUGUCUUCUUUCUCCAUCAAGAAAGAGAGAUUUUUGAUACUUGGUCAUGACAAGAUUGCUUGUGGUGUGAGUUGAUGGCUAUCUUGUGGAGUAAGGAUCAUCCAAGUACCUAUAAAAGGUUAGAUGAAAUACAAGCAGCAUAGAUUUCCAAGGUAUAAGAUAGUGACAUAUGAAUAUUAUCGAUGAAUAGUCAAGUAAGGUCAUGCCCUUGCAUGCAUAUGGGUGAGUCUAGCUCAAGUUUGAAGCAUCAAUGAUGUUCAACUCACUCCUCAAGUAACAAAACGCUUUCUCACCAAGUGGCUUAGUAAAGAUAUCCGCCAAUUAUUUGUUAGUACGAACAUACUUGAGAUUAAUAUCUCCUUUGUCAACAUGACCACGAAUGAUAUGAUGACGAACUUGAAUAUGUUUAGUUCAAGAAUAUUGCACUGGAUUAUGAGCAAUCUUUAUAGCACUUUUAUUGUCAUGCAACAAAAAUUGAUGUAGUGGUCCCCUUGGUCAAAAAUUGAUGGCCCUAUAUUUUACAAAUUUUUAGAUCUCAUUUGUUGCUCUUCAUAUAUCAUGUCCCAUUGAAUCAAAUAAUUGUCCAUUAUGCAUGAUUACUGGUAUUUACAGUUUUCCUUGUGAGCAUUGCACAUUUAGUGUGUUAUUUAUUUUUUACUACUAUUCUUUGUUUUCUUGUAUCUACAUGUGUUUUGAAGAAAGCAUGGACCAAGAACGACGAUAUGACCAAGAAUGGGUUCGAUAAGGAGUCAGCUAGGGUCCAGACUUAACCCUUCUGAAGGUCGAAAAAAGUGACUUUCUAAAGUGCUAUGAAUCAAGAUCUAAGACAAGGAAUGAAUCGACAUCGUUCAUACAACCGCAAUUGUUCGUAUGACGUGCAUACAACAGUCAUUUAUACAAAUUGUUGUUCUCUUGUUCUAACGAGCGCAAGAACGUCAAAUUUCGAGUUCGUAUGAAGAAAUGACGACCAUUUUAUCGUAGAAGAUCGGAACAAAAGAUGGCGUUCCAUGCGACCGUAGUCGGUUAUAUGACGUGCAGUCAACUACAAAAGUUACUCUCCAAACGUAAUUCUUCACCGAUUUCGUCCCCGUUCGAUCCCACGAGAUACUUAACUCGUAAAGAUGAGAUUAGGAGAGGGUUUGGCUGAUCUUGAGCCCUUGGAUGAAUCCGAUCAAAAGAGGAGUCUAGGGAGGCUCCUUAUAUAUUUCAUCCUCCCUUGUCCGUCAGAACACCACCUCAUUCACUAAGAACACAUCCAUCUUCAUCUCCAUUGCCGCUCCAUCCAAAACUACAAAAGAGGGAUAAGAUCAAGAGGGAGAAGUGGGGAUCUAUCACACGAGCACCGACCCGCCCUCCCCACCGUGUCGGCGGCACCAUCUUCAUCACCACCAUCGCCGAUGCCGCCAGCACCAUUAUUACCACCAUGCCUCCUCCCAUUAUCGACUUGAUGUCGUCUUGUAACUUGACCCUCCCCACGGCCUCCCGUCGUGCCUCCAUCGUAGGACUUCGUUGUUGUCGGCAACCCUGUGUCUAAAUCCUCAUUAGCUUAACCAUCUAGGUUAAGUAACCAAUGGCAUGUGGCCCCCUUAUACAAAGUAAUAUGUUUAAUCCACUCUAAAUUAACUAAAUAUAUGUCAUGUGGGUCCUGGAUCCCACAUUUAAGAGAAAGAAAGAAAGAGAGGUUAGAGGGAGUUUUGUUUUUGUUUUUAUUUAGAAAGGAGGUGGGUCCCACCCAUAUUGGGAAAAUUAUGCUGAAAACAUCACUUAGACAGUUAACCCCUUUGACAUGACGAAAACCUCAUCCACAGGUAUUUCUACAAGUACACGUGAUAAAAGAGGGGCAAAGUUCAGGCCGCGAUUUUUGUUGGGGUAAGACGAGUGAAUUCGCCCUANNNNNNNNNNNNNNNNNNNNNNNNNNNNNNNNNNNNNNNNNNNNNNNNNNNNNNNNNNNNNNNNNNNNNNNNNNNNNNNNNNNNNNNNNNNNNNNNNNNNUAACUUUAAUUACUAGCAGAAUCCAGUGGAACCUGCGGACACGAUACAUGCACAGUACGUCAUGCAUAACUCAUCGAUUAGCCGGCCACAUACCAUGCAUGGAGUAAACAAAAGAGAAUGUGCUCAAGACAGAAACACUCACCCAAAAUGGUAAGGAAAUAGAAUAUCACUUUUGAGUUCCUGCUUUGUAAGAAACUACCACAGGUCUGCCUCCAUGUCGGCGGGGUGAUGCUCCAACACAUGUCCAUUAACGAUGUGUGGGUCAAUGAACCCAACAUCAUGGAUGUUCCUUACUCUGCAUUCCUUAAUCUUCAUUCUGCAUGUAUAAUAGCGGACACAACAAUAUAGUUAGGACAUAUAUAUAGUGCAGGCAAUAUGAACGAGAUGGGGUAGAAAUAAAUCACUUACAGAACGUAGCAACUGAUGAUAGAUUUGUCGAGAUCGCGCAGAUUGAAAAGCUGGAACAAUUCACUCAGUUCAAUUUGUACAUAGUAAUGUUUGAAGUGAUGCUCAUGUCUAACUUCCGCAUAAAUAUAAUCUUUGGCGUUUUUAUUUUUUAUGUAACCCUUGUACCAUUUCAGCAGACCUUUCAUUUGUGGAGGUAGAUCCUUUUCCUGCGCAGGCUCGACGAGAGGCCCAUUCUUGACAUAUGUAAUUACUACCUCCUUCACUGGCGCCUCAUCAAGGCCUAACAGUUCACGAAGAGUAAUACCUAAGUUGGCCGCUUGUUCUCUGGCACUCGUUGCAGUCAAUCCCUGUGCUGCCGCAGCUUGUAUGAUCUCGGGGGCAUCCGGACCGGCGGCUUCCACUAUAAGCGGGGCAAUCGAUUGUUUACUUUGUUCCCCGAGCUGGGCAACUUGUUUCCCGCUUUUUUUACUUUCGGCCUUCUCCCGCUCUUUGUUCUCCUUGAACAUGAGUGCCUGCCUGCGAAGUUCACGUGCAUAGUCGUCAGGCAGAUUCUUCGCGGCUUGGGACGGUGUGCUCAAAAAUGACUUAGCCCACUUCUUUUGCUCAUCAGAAAAUACUGGCUUGGGCUCGGGCUCUCUUUUCUUCUUGCAGUCCGCCUUCCAUUUCUCNNNNNNNNNNNNNNNNNNNNNNNNNNNNNNNNNNNNNNNNNNNNNNNNNNNNNNNNNNNNNNNNNNNNNNNNNNNNNNNNNNNNNNNNNNNNNNNNNNNNNNNNNNNNNNNNNNNNNNNNNNNNNNNNNNNNNNNNNNNNNNNNNNNNNNNNNNNNNNNNNNNNNNNNNNNNNNNNNNNNNNNNNNNNNNNNNNNNNNNNNNNNNNNNNNNNNNNNNNNNNNNNNNNNNNNNNNNNNNNNNNNNNNNNNNNNNNNNNNNNNNNNNNNNNNNNNNNNNNNNNNNNNNNNNNNNNNNNNNNNNNNNNNNNNNNNNNNNNNNNNNNNNNNNNNNNNNNNNNNNNNNNNNNNNNNNNNNNNNNNNNNNNNNNNNNNNNNNNNNNNNNNNNNNNNNNNNNNNNNNNNNNNNNNNNNNNNNNNNNNNNNNNNNNNNNNNNNNNNNNNNNNNNNNNNNNNNNNNNNNNNNNNNNNNNNNNNNNNNNNNNNNNNNNNNNNNNNNNNNNNNNNNNNNNNNNNNNNNNNNNNNNNNNNNNNNNNNNNNNNNNNNNNNNNNNNNNNNNNNNNNNNNNNNNNNNNNNNNNNNNNNNNNNNNNNNNNNNNNNNNNNNNNNNNNNNNNNNNNNNNNNNNNNNNNNNNNNNNNNNNNNNNNNNNNNNNNNNNNNNNNNNNNNNNNNNNNNNNNNNNNNNNNNNNNNNNNNNNNNNNNNNNNNNNNNNNNNNNNNNNNNNNNNNNNNNNNNNNNNNNNNNNNNNNNNNNNNNNNNNNNNNNNNNNNNNNNNNNNNNNNNNNNNNNNNNNNNNNNNNNNNNNNNNNNNNNNNNNNNNNNNNNNNNNNNNNNNNNNNNNNNNNNNNNNNNNNNNNNNNNNNNNNNNNNNNNNNNNNNNNNNNNNNNNNNNNNNNNNNNNNNNNNNNNNNNNNNNNNNNNNNNNNNNNNNNNNNNNNNNNNNNNNNNNNNNNNNNNNNNNNNNNNNNNNNNNNNNNNNNNNNNNNNNNNNNNNNNNNNNNNNNNNNNNNNNNNNNNNNNNNNNNNNNNNNNNNNNNNNNNNNNNNNNNNNNNNNNNNNNNNNNNNNNNNNNNNNNNNNNNNNNNNNNNNNNNNNNNNNNNNNNNNNNNNNNNNNNNNNNNNNNNNNNNNNNNNNNNNNNNNNNNNNNNNNNNNNNNNNNNNNNNNNNNNNNNNNNNNNNNNNNNNNNNNNNNNNNNNNNNNNNNNNNNNNNNNNNNNNNNNNNNNNNNNNNNNNNNNNNNNNNNNNNNNNNNNNNNNNNNNNNNNNNNNNNNNNNNNNNNNNNNNNNNNNNNNNNNNNNNNNNNNNNNNNNNNNNNNNNNNNNNNNNNNNNNNNNNNNNNNNNNNNNNNNNNNNNNNNNNNNNNNNNNNNNNNNNNNNNNNNNNNNNNNNNNNNNNNNNNNNNNNNNNNNNNNNNNNNNNNNNNNNNNNNNNNNNNNNNNNNNNNNNNNNNNNNNNNNNNNNNNNNNNNNNNNNNNNNNNNNNNNNNNNNNNNNNNNNNNNNNNNNNNNNNNNNNNNNNNNNNNNNNNNNNNNNNNNNNNNNNNNNNNNNNNNNNNNNNNNNNNNNNNNNNNNNNNNNNNNNNNNNNNNNNNNNNNNNNNNNNNNNNNNNNNNNNNNNNNNNNNNNNNNNNNNNNNNNNNNNNNNNNNNNNNNNNNNNNNNNNNNNNNNNNNNNNNNNNNNNNNNNNNNNNNNNNNNNNNNNNNNNNNNNNNNNNNNNNNNNNNNNNNNNNNNNNNNNNNNNNNNNNNNNNNNNNNNNNNNNNNNNNNNNNNNNNNNNNNNNNNNNNNNNNNNNNNNNNNNNNNNNNNNNNNNNNNNNNNNNNNNNNNNNNNNNNNNNNNNNNNNNNNNNNNNNNNNNNNNNNNNNNNNNNNNNNNNNNNNNNNNNNNNNNNNNNNNNNNNNNNNNNNNNNNNNNNNNNNNNNNNNNNNNNNNNNNNNNNNNNNNNNNNNNNNNNNNNNNNNNNNNNNNNNNNNNNNNNNNNNNNNNNNNNNNNNNNNNNNNNNNNNNNNNNNNNNNNNNNNNNNNNNNNNNNNNNNNNNNNNNNNNNNNNNNNNNNNNNNNNNNNNNNNNNNNNNNNNNNNNNNNNNNNNNNNNNNNNNNNNNNNNNNNNNNNNNNNNNNNNNNNNNNNNNNNNNNNNNNNNNNNNNNNNNNNNNNNNNNNNNNNNNNNNNNNNNNNNNNNNNNNNNNNNNNNNNNNNNNNNNNNNNNNNNNNNNNNNNNNNNNNNNNNNNNNNNNNNNNNNNNNNNNNNNNNNNNNNNNNNNNNNNNNNNNNNNNNNNNNNNNNNNNNNNNNNNNNNNNNNNNNNNNNNNNNNNNNNNNNNNNNNNNNNNNNNNNNNNNNNNNNNNNNNNNNNNNNNNNNNNNNNNNNNNNNNNNNNNNNNNNNNNNNNNNNNNNNNNNNNNNNNNNNNNNNNNNNNNNNNNNNNNNNNNNNNNNNNNNNNNNNNNNNNNNNNNNNNNNNNNNNNNNNNNNNNNNNNNNNNNNNNNNNNNNNNNNNNNNNNNNNNNNNNNNNNNNNNNNNNNNNNNNNNNNNNNNNNNNNNNNNNNNNNNNNNNNNNNNNNNNNNNNNNNNNNNNNNNNNNNNNNNNNNNNNNNNNNNNNNNNNNNNNNNNNNNNNNNNNNNNNNNNNNNNNNNNNNNNNNNNNNNNNNNNNNNNNNNNNNNNNNNNNNNNNNNNNNNNNNNNNNNNNNNNNNNNNNNNNNNNNNNNNNNNNNNNNNNNNNNNNNNNNNNNNNNNNNNNNNNNNNNNNNNNNNNNNNNNNNNNNNNNNNNNNNNNNNNNNNNNNNNNNNNNNNNNNNNNNNNNNNNNNNNNNNNNNNNNNNNNNNNNNNNNNNNNNNNNNNNNNNNNNNNNNNNNNNNNNNNNNNNNNNNNNNNNNNNNNNNNNNNNNNNNNNNNNNNNNNNNNNNNNNNNNNNNNNNNNNNNNNNNNNNNNNNNNNNNNNNNNNNNNNNNNNNNNNNNNNNNNNNNNNNNNNNNNNNNNNNNNNNNNNNNNNNNNNNNNNNNNNNNNNNNNNNNNNNNNNNNNNNNNNNNNNNNNNNNNNNNNNNNNNNNNNNNNNNNNNNNNNNNNNNNNNNNNNNNNNNNNNNNNNNNNNNNNNNNNNNNNNNNNNNNNNNNNNNNNNNNNNNNNNNNNNNNNNNNNNNNNNNNNNNNNNNNNNNNNNNNNNNNNNNNNNNNNNNNNNNNNNNNNNNNNNNNNNNNNNNNNNNNNNNNNNNNNNNNNNNNNNNNNNNNNNNNNNNNNNNNNNNNNNNNNNNNNNNNNNNNNNNNNNNNNNNNNNNNNNNNNNNNNNNNNNNNNNNNNNNNNNNNNNNNNNNNNNNNNNNNNNNNNNNNNNNNNNNNNNNNNNNNNNNNNNNNNNNNNNNNNNNNNNNNNNNNNNNNNNNNNNNNNNNNNNNNNNNNNNNNNNNNNNNNNNNNNNNNNNNNNNNNNNNNNNNNNNNNNNNNNNNNNNNNNNNNNNNNNNNNNNNNNNNNNNNNNNNNNNNNNNNNNNNNNNNNNNNNNNNNNNNNNNNNNNNNNNNNNNNNNNNNNNNNNNNNNNNNNNNNNNNNNNNNNNNNNNNNNNNNNNNNNNNNNNNNNNNNNNNNNNNNNNNNNNNNNNNNNNNNNNNNNNNNNNNNNNNNNNNNNNNNNNNNNNNNNNNNNNNNNNNNNNNNCCGCGACUAAAGGGUAACCUUUAGUCGCGGUUUGCCAGACCAACCGCGACUAAAGGCCCCCCCCAAAUCUUCUUUUAUUUUCAGAACCUUUUAUCUUUUUCUUUUCAGAAAAAUCAUCAUUGCUUUUAUAGAAACUUCAAACAUUUUAUUUUCUGUUUUCUAAGCAUAUUUUCGUAGGAAAAAUAUGCAUAGAGACAAUACAUUGAAUCUGCCUAAAACGGGACAGAAAAAAGAGAAUCCAUUUAAAGGGAACAUUGGCCAGAGCCUCUCUCCCCCCCGGCCUGGGCCGGCCUUCGGCCUCGACCCAUCUUGCUCACGCCUGCCUGGUGCGGUGGCUGUGAUGCCCCGCUGAGAGGCCUCUCGCCCGAGCCGUGAGCGCGCCGCCCCUUUCUUCUCCUAUCCGCCCGCUGAGAGGUCGUUUUUGCGUUCCCCGCGCGCAACGACCUUUAGUCGCGGUUGGUCUGGCCUUUAGUCCCGGUUGCACCAACCAGCCGGGACUAAAGGUUAGAUGACCAGCUCUGGAUUCCUCUUCUUCCCGCCAUUUCUUCCCUGUCUUCCCGCCUCUUUCUUCCCGCCACUUUCUUCCCGCCUCCUGUCUUCCCGCCUCCUGUCAUCCCGCUCCCAUUUUUCCCGCCAUUUCUCACUACAUAUAUGUAGCCCGGCUUGGCCAGCAUUAUCACAUCUCUACAAUCUCUCAUCACUCUCUCAUGGCUUCCACCGCACCCACUCUAACCUACCAGCAGGUGGAGGAGCUUUGCGCCUCGAACUACCCUUGUCCACCGGGCUACCGCGUCCCCACCGGCUGGAGCCUAAGCGCCGGCAGCGUGCCGGUCCCUCCCGUCCCUCAGGGUACUGCGCGCCGGGCGGCCAUCACGAACCACUACUACCUCGACCUCACGCCGGAGCAGCGGAUGAAUCCCCGCUGGCAUCCCGAUAACCAGCAUACUUGGGACGCCUUCUUCAUCAAUCGGCGUGAGAGGGCGCUCGCCAGGUAUGAGGAGGACGGUCUGCCUCCUGGGAACUUCCACGAGGCCGGCCGUCGGCUAUGGUGGUACGGCCGGACUCUGCAGAGCGUCAUGGACUACAUCACGGCCGGCGAUAUCCCCCGCCUGCGCUACCCUCAGUUCGAGCCACGAGCGCCGCCCGACGACAGCGACGACAGCAGCGACGACGACGGCGGCAACUUAGAAGGCGACGACUACCAGUACAACGACGACGGCGGCUAUGAAGACUACGAGUAUGCAUAUUAUACGCCUAGGCAGGAGUAUGACUAAAUCACUCCAAAUUUCAUGUAUCAUCAAUGGUAUCUCGAAUCAUUCGAAAAUGGACACCAAACACAUCACGGGUAAUAUAAUUCACAUGAUCCAUUCAACAAAGUUUGGUACAAUAAAUUAUUACACAUCAUUUCUUCCCUUGUNUGGUAUCUCGAAUCAUUCGAAAAUGGACACCAAACACAUCACGGUUAAUAUAAUUCACAUGAUCCAUUCAACAAAGUUUGGUACAAUAAAUUAUUACACAUCAUUUCUUCCCUUGUGUCCCUGCUUGCUUACGAUUGUGCCGUAUCCAUGGAGCAUCCUCAUCAUUUAACUUAAUGCUUGGGUCGGUGUUCACUUUGAAGGGCGGAAUUUCANGUCCCUGCUUGCUUACGAUUGUGCCGUAUCCAUGGAGCAUCCUCAUCAUUUAACUUAAUGCUUGGGUCGGUGUUCACUUUGAAGGGCGGAAUUUCAGCAAACAUAUUAUAAUCUUCUGACAUGUCUGUCUUGUCCUCCACUCCCACGAUGUUUCUUUUCCCUGAAAGAACAAUGUGGCGCUUUGGAUCAUCGCAUGAUGUACUGAUCGUUUUCUUAUCUUUCCGUUUCCUCGGUUUGCUACUCAUGUCCUUCACAUAGAAAACCUGAGCGACAUCUUUCGCUAGGACGAAUGGUUCGUCAAGGUAACCAAGAUUGUUGAAAUCCACCAUUGUCAUUCCGUAUUGCUGGUCCACCUUUACCCCACCUCCUGUUAGCUUGAACCAUUUGCACCGGAACAAAGGGACCUUAAAGGAGGGUCCAUAGUCAAGUUCCCAUAUCUCCUCUAUGUAACCAUAAUAUGUGACCUCUUGCCCAUUCUCGGUNNNNNNNNNNNNNNNNNNNNNNNNNNNNNNNNNNNNNNNNNNNNNNNNNNNNNNNNNNNNNNNNNNNNNNNNNNNNNNNNNNNNNNNNNNNNNNNNNNNNAUCGCAGCUAAGUCCCCAAGUGCGACGUGAAGUGCACACUCGGAGAAAGUUGAUACUUAGGCGAUUCUUGAUCGCAGCUAAGUCCCCGAGUGUGAUGUUUAGUGCACACUCGGAGAAAGUUAAUACUUAGGCGAUUCUUGAUCGCAGCUAAGUCCCCGAGUGCGACGUUUAGUGCACACUUGGAGAAAGUUAGUACUUAGGCGAUUCNAGCUAAGUCUUUUUUUGAGACUGGAGUCUGCGACCGCGGAAGAAUUUUGAAUCUGCAAAAACUCAAUCUGCAUUGAAUUAUUUCACCAAUACUUGUUCUUUACAUUGCUUCAGUCGACGGUCACGUGUAGAAGCGCUUCAGGAGAUCUCCAUUCCAUGCUCGCGGCUCGUCCCUUUCUCUAUCGAUGUUGUAGAGUCUGUAUGCUCCAUUGUUCAGCACCUUGGAGAUGAUGAAGGGUCCUUCCCAGGCGGGAGCCAACUUGUGAGGUCUUUGCUGAUCCACUCGGAGCAUCAGGUCGCUUGCUUGGAAUGUACGACUCCUGACGUGCCGCGUGUGAAAGCGCCGCUGAUCUUGUUGAUAAAUGGUUGACCGAGUCAGUGCCAUCUCGCGCUCCUCCUCUAGAAGGUCCACUCCGUGUUUCCUUGCUUGUUCUGCUUCAGCUUCGGAGAAGAGUUCAACUCGUGGAGCGUUGUGGAGCAAGUCACUCGGAAGGACCGCUUCUGCUCCGUAAACGAGGAAGAACGAGGAUCGCCCUGUAGAUCUAUUCGGGGUUGUGCGGAGACCCCAAAGCACUGAAGGUAGCUCGGUGACCCAUGCGCCAGCGGCAUGUCCCACCUCUCGCAGGAAUCGAGGCUUCAAACCUUGCAGAAUAAGUCCAUUCGCCCACUCUGCUUGUCCGUUUGUUUGAGGAUGCGCCAUAGAUGCAAAAUCCACUCGGAUACCUUGGUUUGCACAGAAACCUUUGAAUAUGUCCGAGUCAAAGUUUGUGCCGUUGUCCGUGAUUAUGCUGUGAGGUACCCCGAAUCUGGAGAUGAUGUCCCUGACAAACUUGAUGGCCGUUAGGGCGUCGAGCUUCUUGAUGGGCUUGGCUUCAAUCCAUUUUGUGAACUUGUCGACUGCCACCAACAGAUGUGUGUAUCCCCCUUGGCCUGUCCUGAAUGGACCGACUGUAUCUAAUCCCCAUACUGCAAAAGGCCAAACAAGGGGGAUUGUCUUCAACGCAGAUGUGGGCUUGUGGGACUUGUUGGAGUAGAACUGCAGCCUUCACAUCAGUCGACCAUAUCUUUAGCCAUUUCGUUCGCCUGCAGCCAGAAGAAGCCAGCUCUGAAUGCUUUGGCGACGAUUGCUCUUGAAGAGGCGUGAUGACCGCAGGUUCCCGAGUGGAUUUCUUCCAGGAUUAACUAUCCCUCCUCAGGGGAGAUGCAUCGUUGAAGAACGCCUGAAAUCCUUUCCUUGUACAACUGGCCAUCAAUGACAGUGAACGACUUUGACCUGCGGACGAUCUGCCUGGCUUGGACUUCGUCUUCUGGUAAUUCCUGCCUCAGGAUGUAUGCGAUGAUCGGCACAGUCCAAUCGGGGAUGACGGCAAGAAUCUCCAUGAUCAAAUCAACCACAGCAGGUACGUCGACUUCAGUCGGAUCUGUCGAACUCUUUGGUUGUACUGGUUCCUCUGUGAAAGGAUCUUCCUUAACGGAGGGAAGGUGGAGGUGCUCGAGGCAGACGUCACUCGGGACUGGUCUCCGAGUGGAUCCGAGUUUUGCCAACUAAUCAGCUGCUUGGUUCUUCAGUCGCGGAACAUGGUGGAGUUCUAGACCUUCAAACUUCUUCUCGAGCUUCCUCACUGCAUUGCAGUAUGUAGUCAGGAUGGGGUUCCUGACGUCCCACUCUUUAUCACUUGAUUAACCACCAAAUCCGAAUCGCCAUAGACCAUCAGGCGACGGAAGCCGAGUGCGAUGGCCAUGCGCAGUCCAUACAGGAGAGCUUCAUACUCUGCCUCAUUGUUGGAGGAAUCAAAGUGUAUCUGCAGCACAUACUUGAGUUUGUCGCCCUUUGGCGAUACGAUCACAACGCCAGUGCCGGAGCCAUUCAACAUCUUGGACCCAUCGAAGAACAUUGUCCAAUGAGCCGAGUAGAUGUGGGUCGGUUGCUGUUGUUCUACCCAUUCCGCUAUGAAGUCAGCCAGAGCUUGAGACUUUAUAGCUUUCUUGGCCUCGAACUUGAUGUCGCAGUACAACAUCUCCAUUGCCCACUUCGCCACUCGGCCCGAUGCGUCCCGAUUGUGGAGGAUUUCCGACAACGGAGUAUCAGAAACGACAGACACCGAGUGGUCUUGGAAAUAAUGAGCCACCUUCUUCACAGUCAUGUAAAUCCCGUAGAUAAGUUUUUCAUAGUGGGGAUACCUCUGCUUGGAAGGAGUCAGGACUUCGGAGACGUAAUACACUGGCCGCUGAAUUUUGUAUGCUUUGUCUUCUUCUUCUCGUUCGACUGUAAGAACAGUGCUGACGACUUGAUUUGUAGCCGCGAUGUACAGAAGAAGGGGCUCUUUACUAAGCGGAGCAGUAUGAACCGGCUGGGUGGAAAGUAGGACUUUGAGGUCGUCGAAUGCAACUUGGGCUUCAUCUAUCCACUGGAAAGUAUCUGAUUUCUUCAUGAGUCGGUACAGAGGAAGUGCUUUCUCGCCAAGUUGACUGAUAAACCUGCUCAAAGCCGCUAGGCAACCUGUGAGCCGUUGAACAUCGUGUAUUCUGACUGGCCGCUCCAUUCGGACGAUGAUCCCGAUCUUUUCGGGGUUGACAUCGAUCCCUCGUUCGGAAAUGAAGAAACCGAGUAACUUUCCGCUGGGAACACCGAAUGAACACUUGGCGGGGUUGAGCUUGAUAUCGUACCUACGAAGGUUGGCGAAUGUUUCUGCCAAGUCAGUCAGCAGGUCGGAACCUUUGCGUGACUUGACUACGAUAUCAUCCAUAUACGCCUCCACAUUCCGAACGAUCUGGUCGAGGAGGCAUUUUUGGAUCAUGCGCAUAAAAGUUGCUCCUGCAUUCUUCAAACCAAAUGGCAUAGUGAUGUAGCAGAAGCACCCCGAAUGGGGUGAUGAAGGCUGUUUUUAAUUCAUCGGGGCCAUACAGAUGGAUCUGAUGAUAGCCCGAGUAGGCAUCAAGAAAUGACAAACGCUCGCAACCCGCAGUCGAAUCGACAAUUUGAUCGAUGCGGGGGAGUGGAAAAUGGUCUUUCGAGCAGACCUUAUUGAGAUGCUUGAAGUCGAUGCACAUUCGGAGCGACUUGUCUUUCUUGGGCACCAUGACAACAUUGGCGAGCCACUCGCAGUGGUGUACCUCGCGAAUGAAGUUGGCUGCCAAAAGCUUGGCCACUUCUUCUCCGAUUGCCUUCCUCUUGUGCGCGGCGGACCGACGCAGGCGUUCUCGGACAGGCCGAGCGGUGGGAUCCACAUGCAGUCGGUGCUCAGCCAACUCCCUGGGUACACCUGGCAUGUCAGAGGGCUUCCAUGCGAAGAUGUCCCAGUUCUCACGGAGGAAUUGGGUGAGCUCGACUUCCUAUUUGGGAUCGAGGGUGGUGGAGAUGUUCGUCGGGGCCGCGGUGUCGUCCGUCGGGUGGAUGCUGACCUUCUUCGUCUCUCCCGCCGACUGGAAUGCAGACUCUAAAGCUGGCUUCUUCGCACGCAUCAAGUCAGCGGGGUCGACUGUUUUCUUGUACUUGUCAAUCUCGAGGACAGCCAUCUGCUGAUCGGCGAUCCUUGAUCACUGCUGCAGACACUCUUCGGCCCGCUGUCGAUUGCCCGUGAUAGUGAUCACACCUUUCGGGCCUGGCAUCUUUAGCUUCAGGUACACGUAACAUGGACGGGCCAUGAAACGCGCAUACGCCGGGCGGCCCAGAAUUGCGCGGUACGCGCUCUGGAUGUCCACCACCUCGAACGUCAGCUUUUCCUUGCGGAAGUUCUUGUCGGAGCCGAAAACGACGUCCAACGCGAUCUGGCCGAGUGACUUGGCCUUUCGUCCAGGGACGACUCCAUGGAACUGCAUGCUGCUCUCGCUGAGUUUGGACAUCGGAAUGCCCAUCCCCUUGAGAGUGUCGGCGUACAUGAUGUUCAAGCCACUGCCGCCGUCCAUGAGGGCUUUGCGCAGUCGGACUCCUUCCACCACCGGGUCGACAACCAGAGCCUGUCUCCCUGGGGUGGGUACGUGUGCUGGAUGAUCUGACUAGUCAAAGAUGAUCGCAGUCUGAGACCAUUUGAGGAACUUGGGGUUGGUAGGCGUGGCCAUGUUCACCUCCCUGUUCACCAACUUCAGUCGACUCUUGCUCUCAACGUCAGCAAAAAUCAUCAGUGUUGCAUGGACUUGGGGGAACGGAUCCUCCUUGUCCUCCUCAUCCUGUUCAUUAUCCUUGUCACUCGGUUGCCCUUCGCCGAACCCCUGGAUCAGGAGGCGACAUUGCCGAGUGGUAUGCUUCGGAUAUAUGGCGUUGCCCUCUUCAUCCAUCUUCGUGUGAAUCGGACAUGGCUGGUCCAGGAUGGGGUUGUUGAACUGCUUCUUCUUGGGGGUGAACUGAGCCUUCCCCUUGCCCUUGAACUUGGCAUUGGUAACAGCUGCGGCUUCUGCCUACGGAGUGGACGGAGCUUUCUGCUUCUGCUUCCGAGUGUUAUUCCCAUCCCCAUCGGCGACUGUUUUGUGCUUGCCGCUACGGAUGCGGUCCUCUUCUUCGCCAUUUGCAUAGCGUGCCGCUAUCUCCAUCAUCUCGCUCAUGGAGAUGUCGCCUGUUCGACCGAACUUCAGGUACAGAUCUCUGUACCGCACGCCUGCCUGGAAGGCGCAGACUGCUUGGUGUUCUUUGACGUUCUCCACCGUGUGGUAGAGGGUCGUCCAACGCUGAAUGAAAUCGCGCAGGGGCUCAUUCUGCUUCUGGACACAGUGCUGGAGCUCCACGAGGCCAGCAGGGUGCUUGCACGUCCCCUCGAAGGUCCUGAUGAACACUCGGGCCAGAUCUGCCCCGCUGUAGAUGCUUGAGGGGGCCAAUUGGUUCAGCCACGCUCGCGCCAAGCCGUCGAGCAUCAGAGGGAGGUGCUUCAUGGCGACGUGGUCGUCCCCUCCUCCGGUCUGGACUGCCACUCGGUAGUCAUCCAGCCACGUUUCUGGCUUGGACUCUCCUGUAAACUUGCUAAUUCCCGUCGCCAAUCGGAAGUUGGGAGGGAUGUCAGCCGAACGGAUGGCUCGACUGAAACACUCGGGAUCAGAAACGAUGGUCCUGCUUCCACUCGGACGGUCAGUAUCAUGACCAUCGCGGUGGGCUCGGCCCCUGUCGACUCUCCGCUAGGCGAUAUGCCCUCUCGCGUCGGGCCUGCUGGGUAACGUAGCAUAAAUUCCAAAAAAUUCAUACGCAUGUUCAGAUCUUCCUAUGGAGAGACCAGCAACAAGAGAGGGGUAAGAGCAUCUUCGUACCUUUGAAGAUCGCUAAGCGGAAGCGUUGCUAGAACGCGGUUGAUGGAGUCGUACUCGCAGCGAUUCCGAUCUAGUGCCGAACAACGGCACCUCCGCGUUCAACACACGUGCAGCCCGGUGACGUCUCCCGCACCUUGAUCCAGCAAGGAGGAGGGAGAGGUUGGGGAAGAAGUCCAGCAACACGACGGCGUGGUGUCGGUGGAGAGACGAGGUCUCCCGGCAGGGCUUCGCCAAGCGCCGGCAGAGAGGAGGAGGGAGAGGAGCAGGGCUGCGCCGAGAGAGAGAUGAAACCGUGUGUCAAACAGCCCCGAACCCUCAUCUAUAUAUAGGGGGAGAGGGAGGGGCGCAGCCCUUAGGGUUCCCACCCCCAAGGGGUGCGGCAGCCCCAGAUGGGAGAGGGGGCGGCGGCCAGGGCAGGGAGGAGGGGUGGCGCACCCCUCUGGUGGGCCUUAGGCCCACCUAAGCUAGGGUUCUCCCCUUCCCCCCUUUCUCUGGUGCGCAUGGGCUGGGUGGGGGCUCACCAGCCCACUUAGGGGCUGAUUCCCUUCCCCACUUAGCCCAUCUAGCCUCCCGGGGUCGUUGCCCCCCUUCGGUGGGCCCCCGGGACCACCUCCGGUGGUCCCGGUGGGCCCGGUACGUUACCGGUGACGCCCGAAACACUUCCGGUGUCCAAACCCAUCCGUCCUAUAUAUCAAUCUUUACCUCCGGACCAUUCCGGAGCUCCUCGUGACGUCCGGGAUCUCAUCCGGGACUCCGAACAACUUUCGGUAACCUCGUACAACAAUUCCCUAUAACCCUAGCGUCAUCGAACCUUAAGUGUGUAGACCCUACGGGUUCGGGAGACAGGCAGACAUGACCGAGACACCUCUCUGGCCAAUAACGAUCAGCGGGGUGUGGAUACCCAUGGUGGCUCCCACUUGCUCCACGAUGAUCUCAUCGGAUGAACCACGAUGUCAAGGAUUCAAUCAAUCCCGUAUACGAUUCCCUUUGUCUGUCGGUAUAGAACUUGCCCGAGAUUCGAUCGUCGGUAUACCUAUACCUUGUUCAAUCUCGUUACCGGUAAGUCUCUUUACUCGUUCCGUAGCACGUCAUCAUGUGACUAACUCCUUAGUCACAUUGAGCUCAUGAUGAUGUUCUACCGAGUGGGCCCAGAGAUACCUCUCCGUCACACGGAGUGACAAAUCCCGAUCUCGAUUCGUACCAACCCAACAGACACUUUCGGAGGUACCCGUAGUGCACCUUUAUAGUCACCCAGUUACGUUGUGACGUUUGAUACACCCAAAGCACUCCUACGGUGUCCGGGAGUUGCACAAUCUCACNGAACCUUAAGUGUGUAGACCCUACGGGUUCGGGAGACAGGCAGACAUGACCGAGACACCUCUCUGGCCAAUAACAAUCAGCGGGGUUUGGAUACCCAUGGUGGCUCCCACUUGCUCCACGAUGAUCUCAUCGGAUGAACCACGAUGUCAAGGAUUCAAUCAAUCCCGUAUACGAUUCCCUUUGUCUGUCGGUAUAGAACUUGCCCGAGAUUCGAUCGUCGGUAUACCUAUACCUUGUUCAAUCUCGUUACCGGUAAGUCUCUUUACUCGUUCCGUAGCACGUCAUCAUGUGACUAACUCCUUAGUCACAUUGAGCUCAUGAUGAUGUUCUACCGAGUGGGCCCAGAGAUACCUCUCCGNNNNNNNNNNNNNNNNNNNNNNNNNNNNNNNNNNNNNNNNNNNNNNNNNNNNNNNNNNNNNNNNNNNNNNNNNNNNNNNNNNNNNNNNNNNNNNNNNNNNAGGCCUAAAAUCACUCUCUGUGCUUGUGGGCCUAUUGGGCCUACUGCGGGCCUGCAUCCUGGCCCUAGUAAUGUGUUUCUAAUUACUUAUUUAUUUUCUUUUAUGAUAAUAUUUUUUUCUAUUAAAGUUUGUAACAAAAUUCUAUAUAAUUUUAGUUUCGAUAAUACUAGAGGUUUAUAAAAGAUUUUUAGUUGAUUCCUUUUGCUGACUUCAUUUGUUAUUUUUCAUGCAUUUACUGAUUAUUUUGAGCUAUAAGACCAUGAAAUUGAAAGCAUUUGAAAUGAACUCUGAAAAGGUUCCAAGUUGGCAUGGUAUCAUCAUUUCACCAACAUAGUAUGUGCCAGAAAGUUGAGAGGGUUACGGCAAAAACUGGAUGCACUUCGUGUACAAAACGGACAAUCUCUUUGGAAGUAUCACGGUUUCAUAGGGAAACUCGUAUGUUACAAAGGGAUUUAAUUUUUUUGAACUUAUUUGAACUCCAUAGUUUUUCUGUGUUCAAAAUGCACCAUUCAAAGCCACGUCAUCAAUUUACAACCCUUUCUGACUUCAUUUCUUAUUUUUCAUGCAUUUACUGAUUAUUUUGAGCUAUAAGACCAUGAAAUUGAAAAGCAUUUGAAAUGAACUCUGAAAAGGUUCCAAGUUGGCAUGGUAUCAUCAUUUCACCCACAUAGCAUGUGCGAGAAAGUUGAGAGGGUUACGGCAAAAACUGGAUGCACUUCGUGUACAAAACGGACAAUCUCUUUGGAAGUAUCAGGGUUUCAUACGGAAACUCGUCUCUUACAAAGGGAUUUCAUUUUUUUGAACUUAUUUGAACUCCAUAGUUUUUUUGUGUUCAAAAUGCACCAUUCAAAGCCACAUCAUCAAUUUACAACCCUUUAUGACUUCAUUUCUUAUUUUUCAUGCAUUUACUGAUUAUUUUGAGCUAUAAGACCAUGAAAUUGAAAAGCAUUUGAAAUGAACUCUGAAAAGGUUCCAAGUUGNNNNNNNNNNNNNNNNNNNNNNNNNNNNNNNNNNNNNNNNNNNNNNNNNNNNNNNNNNNNNNNNNNNNNNNNNNNNNNNNNNNNNNNNNNNNNNNNNNNNAAGAGGAAUAUACAAUAUAUAUUCAAUAUCAUCGGAUGACCAUAUACAAUUUUGAACAAGUUUCCAUACAUAAUUUAAUGCAUAUAAAGUUCUGCGUCCUCGUAAUGGUGUUCUCCUUUAGGAUAGAGGACUUCCCUCCUGAACCAUCCAGCUAGUUCCUCUUGAAGUGGGCGGAAGCGAGCUUCUGGACUAAGCAUCACCCGGAGGUUAUUCCGCUGAGCAUUGGUAUCACUCGGAACCCGCUCAGAGGUGUAUCUCCGGAUCAUCUCACAGACAUAGUAUCCACAUAGAUUGGUCCCCGCUGGCUGAAUAUCCCCACCAUUCUUAGCCUUUGACCUUUUGAAUUCUAGCUCUUUUUUGAAUUCACCGACCUUUGUAUCUACGAACCGUCUCCAAACCCUACGAGGCAAAGAAAAUUAAAUGAACAAGAGAGUUAUUAGUUACUUGAUAUUAGGAAAUGAACGAAAUAGGCCGAUCGAUAUAGAGCGCAAAUGAAUGAAAAUAAUUACUUCUGCAGCAUUCUUCUCAUGCCGCCCCAAAGCUUUGGAUCCAUAUUCAGAGAGUCGUGGACGAGACAUUCUGAGGUGUCAACUUUAAUUACUAGCAGAAUCCAGUGGAACCUGCGGACACGAUACAUGCACAGUACGUCAUGCAUAACUCAUCGAUUAGCCGGCCACAUACCAUGCAUGGAGUAAACAAAAGAGAAUGUGCUCAAGACAGAAACACUCACCCAAAAUGGUAAGGAAAGAAUAUCACUUUUGAGUUCCUGCUUUGUAAGAAACUGCCACAGGUCUGCCUCCAUGUCGGCGGGGUGAUGCUCCAACACAUAUCCAUUAACGAUGUGUGGGUCAAUGAACCCAACAUCAUGGAUGUUCCUUACUCUGCAUUCCUUAAUCUUCAUUCUGCAUGUAUAAUAGCGGACACAACAAUAUAGUUAGGACAUAUAUAUAGUGCAGGCAAUAUGAACGAGAUGGGGUAGAAAUAAAUCACUUACAGAACGUAGCAACUGAUGAUAGAUUUGUCGAGCUCGCGCAGAUUGAAAAGCUGGAACAAUUCACUCAGAUGAAUUUGUACAUAGUAAUGUUUGAAGUGAUGCUCAUAUCUAACUUCCGCAUAAAUAUAUUCUUUGGCGUUUUUAUUUUUUAUGUAACCCUUGUACCAUUUCAGCAGACCUUUCAUUUGUGGAGGUAGAUCCUCUUCCUGCGCAGGCUCGACGAGAGGCCCAUUCUUCACAUAUGUAAUUACUACCUCCUUCACUGGCGCCUCAUCAAGGCCUAACAGUUCACGAAGAGUAAUACCUAAGUUGGCCGCUUGUUCUCUGGCACUCGUUACAGUCAAUCCAUGUGCUGCCGCAGCUGCUAUGAUAUCGGGGUCAUCCGGACCGGCGGCUUUCACUAUAAGCGGGGCAAUCGAUUGUUUACUUUGUUCCCCGAGUUGGGCAACUCGUUUCCCGCUUUUUUUACUUUCUAAUUCCGUUUUCUCGGCCUCCUCCAAGGCUUUGUUCUCCUGGUUCUCCGCCCGCUCUUUCUUCUCCUUCAACAUGAAUGCCUGCCUACGAAGUUCACGUGCAUAGUCGUCAGGCAGAUUCUUCGCGGCUUGGGACGGUGUGCUCAAAAAUGACUUAGCCCACUUCUUUUGCUCAUCAGAAAAUACUGGCUUGGGCUCGGGCUCUCUUUUCUUCUUGCAGUCCGCCUUCCAUUUCUCAUGAUCAGCAGCCGCGGCCGCGGCAGUUUCCUCGGCACUACGUUCCCAAGGCCUUGUGGGGAGAGGCUUCAGUGAUGGCUCCGGUACCUUUGUGGUCUUAGGUACAUAAGGGUCCGGGUUAAUAAUCCAGGACUGCUUCUGCUUCUUUGCCGGAGGUGGAUUGGGGGGCGGCAUCUGAUCACCCGCCGGACGAGGACUGGGGGGCGGCGUCUGAUCACCCGCCGGACGUUGUGGACUGGGGGGCGUCGGCUGACGUGACGGAGGUGUAGGUGAACCGCCACCACCACCACCGUAGGGGGGUGGACUUGUUGUCCUUGGCGCCUCGCCUGGAAACUUGAUAAACUUCUUUUGCCAUAGAAUGAAAUGGCGCUUGACAUCUCCAAGUCUUUUCUCCCCUUCAGGUGUAGCAAUGUCAAUCUCCAGGUCCUCAAACCCUUGGACUAUGUCCUCCACCGUGACACGAGCAUAGCCAUCUUGAAUGGGGUUGUUGUGGUGGAGUGCUCCAGGUAAACAUGGUAAAGCACUGCCGAUGGCUACCUUCAUGGACAUGUUCCCGAUAGGAUAAUACAGAUGACAUUCUUUCAUCUCCUUUAUAUCGUCCACGGGGUAGCGAGGAGGCUCCGGUGCAGUAAUUUCGACCACCAGAGGCUCCGGUGCAGUAAUUUCGACCACCAGAGGCUCCGGUGCAGUAAUUUCGAUCGUCGGUGCAUCUGCACCAGCUGGUGGGGCCUCCAUGGAAGCCACGCUGCUUCUCCGCUGCUGGCUUCCGAGAUCCGCUGGAUGAUCUUCAUGCUGCGCCCGAGCUACAUCUCUUUCGGCUAAUAGUACACUCACGGUUUUAUUCAUCACAUCCAUUUCCGAUGCCAACCGCGCCACAACAUCUGCUUCCCGAUCCAUCUUUCUCUUACGGCUUCUGUAACCGUACGGGUCAUCGUUCUGGGGGAACCCUAUUUUCCACGGAAUGUGCCCCAUGCCUCGUACACGUCCUCCGUGUUCAGGAUUCCCGAGGGCUUUUGUCAGCGCGUCGUUCUCUCUGUUGAACUUGAUCUUCCCCUCUUGAGCAUCCCUCAUUGCGUCAAUAAGGGCUUGGGUGGGUUUAAUUAAUUUGCCCCGGUAAACACACUCCCCUGUCUCCGGGUUCAGCGUUCCCCCAUGCCCGUACCACCAGCUUUUGGCCCUUGGGUCCCAUCCCUCCGUACCUGGACGGAUUCCUCGCGCCCUCAGCUCGUUCUCCAUCUUCUCCAACCUAGGCACCCAAAUGCGAUACCCUCCUGGCCCCAUAAUAUGAUUGUACUCCUUCUUAGCCGCAUUUUCCUUAUUUCUUUUCGAUAUUUGAAUGAACUGCUCCGAUUUCUUUUGCUUCACAAAUUCUGGCCAAUCAUGUUUCAGUUUCUCAUAUUGUCCUUUGAAAUCCGGAGUCUUGUUCUGCUUGACAAAGUCAUGGGCUAGAUUUUGCUUGAAUUUCCGGAAUGCGUCGGCCAUCUUAUGAAGAGCGCACUGUUUGACUAGCCUCCUCCUCUCCUUGUUUUCCUCAAUCUUGUUACCCUCCUCAUAGAAUUUGUUGUAUUCCGGAGGUAGAACGAAAUGUUCCAUAAGCUUCUUGAAGCAAUCUUUUUUUGUUCUCUUAUCGACAAAAGUGAAACCAGCAAUUCGUGCCUUCUUUGGCUUAUUCCACUCCUGGACGGUGAUCGAGACGUUGUCUCUAACAACGGCUCCGCAUUGGCUGACAAACUUGGUGGCGUUCUUGCGGGGCUCCAGCGGCCUGCCGGUUGCACUGUCGACAACCUCGAUGGUGCAUGUUUCUCCUUGUUUCAUCGUCUUGGUUGCGCCACGCUUUGACGACGUACUCGAUUGUUUCGACGAUCCGGCCGAGGGCUAAAAUAAGAAAGAGAGUCGCGCGCGUUAGUACACACAUAUUUAUUCAAAUCAGUUAGUUUGUAUCACCAGAGGCUCAAUGUAUAUAUAUACCUCGGCGCCGGAGGUGGUUGCUACUUCCAUUUGAAGAUCGUCGUUUAUCGACGUUUUUUCGGCAUCAUCUUGCUGACGGCGCCCUUCAUCUUCACCGUCAAGGUUCAGAUAAGAAGAGAUAUCAUCUUCUUCUUCUCCGGUCGGCACAUAUAGAAUAUCGCCGUUUAUGAUGCCGAACAUAUGUGCUUCACCGUCCGGAUCAUAGUUGUCCAUAAUCGGGUCAGCUCUAUCGUCCGCCAUUAUGUCAGUCCUGAAAACAUGUAGUAAAAACAAAUUAAUUAAGUGAAGAAGGGGGGCGGUGGCGGUGGCGGUGGCGAAAGGGCGGUGGCAAAAAGAGGGGGCGAGGAAGGGGUGGGAGAGGGUGUCGCGGUAGAGCGCGAGACGGGGCGGCAGACGACGGCGUCACGGAGAGGGAGGCGAGGACAACACACAUGUAUAACCCUCGCCGCCCCCUCUCGAUCCCAAAAAAAAACACCGCGCGCAUCGCCGCCCCCCUCGCCGCCCCCUCUCCGUAUACUUUUUUUGUUGUUAAUUAUCAAGUUCUCCGUGUGCCUAGCUUCACAAUGGCUACUCGAACAUUUUCCGGCAGGAGCCCCCUCAAAGCAAUCGGAAGCAAUUGCAUCAUAAUCACGUGGCAAUCGUGAGACUUCAGGUUUUGGAACUUUUUCUCCGCCAUGUUUAUUAUUCCCUUUAUAUUGAACGAGAAUCCAGACGGGACCUUCAUACUGCUCAGGCAUUCAAAAAAGAUGACCUUCUCUUCUUUGGUCAGAGCGUAGCUGGCACGACCUUGAAACCAUUCCGGAUGCCGGUCAUCAGGGUCUUUCAAAUGUUGCUGGUCCUGCCGUGCUUCCUUUGUAUCAUUUGUCUUCCCAUACACGCCCAAGAAGCUUAGGAGGUUCACGCAAAUAUUCUUCGUAACGUGCAUCACGUCGAUUGCAGAGCGGACUUCUAGGACUUUCCAAUAUUCUAGCUCCCAGAAUAUAGAUUUCUUCUUCCACAUGGCUGCGUGCCCGUCAGCUCCCUUCGGAACUGAUUGUCCGCCAGGACCCUUUCCAAAGAUGACAUUCAAAUCCUUGACCAUAUCAAAUACCUCAGCACCAGUGCGUUCCGCAGGCUUCGGCCGGUGAUCUGCCUUGCCGUUGUAAUGCUUGCCUUUCUUUCUUACUGGAUGGAUUUUCGGAAGAAAUCGACGAUGCCCAAGGUACACGUUCUUCUUACAAUUUGGCAAAUGUACACUUUCAGUCUCAUGUAAGCAGUGCGUGCAUGCAUUGUAUCCCUUAUUUGACAGUCCCGAAAGGUUACUAAGAGCAGGCCAAUCGUUGAUGGUNNNNNNNNNNNNNNNNNNNNNNNNNNNNNNNNNNNNNNNNNNNNNNNNNNNNNNNNNNNNNNNNNNNNNNNNNNNNNNNNNNNNNNNNNNNNNNNNNNNNCCCGUCCGACUUACGGUCCUCUUUGUGCCAUCGCAACAACUUGGCAUGCUCUUUGUUCCUGAACAGACGUUUCAACCGAGGUAUUAUAGGAGCAUACCACAUCACCUUGGUGGGAACCCUCUUCCUGGGUUUCUGGCCCUCAACAUCGUCACCAGGGUCAUCGCCUCUGAUCUUAUAACGCAAUGCAGUGCAUACCGGGCAUUCAUUCAAAUUCUCGUAUUCACCGCGGUAGAGGAUGCAGUCGUUGAUGCAUGCAUGUAUCUUCAGAACCUCUAAACCUAGAGGGCAGACAACCUUCUUUGCUUCGUACGUACUGGCGGGCAACUCGUUAUUCUUUGGAAACAUAUUCUUCAACAUUUUCAGCAAGUUUUCAAAUGCCGAGUCAGCUACACCUGCCUGUGCCUUCCAUUUCAGCAAAUCCAGUGUGCAGCCCAGCUUUUUCAGACCAUCAUCGCAUCCGGGGUACAACGACUUUCUGUGAUCCUCUAACAUGCGAUCCAAAUUCUCCCUCUCCUUUUCAGUUUCGCAGCGUCUCCGUGCAUCAGCAAUGGUCCGACCAAGAUCAUCAACGGGAUCAUCACGUGCCUCUUCUUCACCUUCCCCUUCACCUUCAGCAUCCUCCAUGAAAGUAUCACCGAAAUGAGCAAGAUAGCUUUCAUCGAUGAAAUCAUCCCCUUCUUCAUCUUCUUCCAUUAUAACCCCUCUUUCUCCAUGCUUGGUCCAACAAUUAUANGGUCUCAUCACGUGCCUCUUCUUCACCUUCACCUUCCCCUUCACCUUCCCCUUCACCUUCCCCUUCACCUUCAGCAUCCUCCAUGAAAGUAUCACCGAAAUGAGCAAGNCAGCAAGUUUUCAAAUGCCGAGUCAGCUACACCUGCCUGUGCCUUCCAUUUCAGCAAAUCCAGUGUGCAGCCCAGCUUUUUCAGACCAUCAUCGCAUCCGGGGUACAACGACUUUCUGUGAUCCUCUAACAUGCGAUCCAAAUUCUCCCUCUCCUUUUCAGUUUCGCAGCGUCUCCGUGCAUCAGCAAUGGUCCGACCAAGAUCAUCAACGGUCUCAUCACGUGCCUCUUCUUCACCUUCACCUUCCCCUUCACCUUCCCCUUCACCUUCCCCUUCACCUUCAGCAUCCUCCAUGAAAGUAUCACCGAAAUGAGCAAGAUAGCUUUCAUCGAUGAAAUCAUCCCCUUCUUCAUCUUCUUCCAUUAUAACCCCUCUUUCUCCAUGCUUGGUCCAACAAUUAUAGCUUGGCAUGAAACCGUGCCGAAGCAGGUGCAGGUGAACUUUUCUUGAGGAAGAGUAACCCUUCUGAUUCUUACAGUCAACACAUGGACAGAUAACAAAACCCUUCUGCUUGUNNNNNNNNNNNNNNNNNNNNNNNNNNNNNNNNNNNNNNNNNNNNNNNNNNNNNNNNNNNNNNNNNNNNNNNNNNNNNNNNNNNNNNNNNNNNNNNNNNNNUAGAGCGCGAGACGGGGCGGCAGACGACGGCGUCACGGAGAGGGAGACCCGGGACCAUACUUUUUUUCUCAUCACUGCCGUGUGUACUAACCACACGAGUAUGAGACCCGGGACUGUGCAGGUGCAUCGAGAAAUCUUAGGGCUCGACAAUAUGUUUUCUCUUCGUGGGAUGCUAGCGGUCGCAUCAACUGAGCGUUUUCUUCCCGACGUCUUCUAUUCUCAAGAUGAAGUGAUGACCUCCCUUUCUUUAUUUCUCUUUCUUUGUUCUUGCAUAGUCUUCCCGACGGCUGUGGCUGAAUAUCCGACACAUGAAAAAGUUUUAACUAGAGUUUUUGACCGUGAACCUGCUGCUUCAGCUUUGCACUGGCCGACCGCCGAUUCGCUGGUUCAUUUGCUAGUUUUUAAUCAUAAAAGAAAAUACUUUCUUUGUUCCUAAAUAAUUGUAGUUAAAAAAACUAGACUAUCUUUUUUUGACUAUAAUUAUUUAAAAACGGAGGGAGUAAAUAUUAUGUAAGUAUCUCAUUAUUAAAAGAGGAGUUGGUUCCGUUGCCUCUCCUACUCCCUUUGUUUUUUCGUCCCAUGACUCCCUCUCUUCUUAACCAAAAUAGAUAGUCUUAAACUCAACCAAAAAUGGUGAACUUUUCCAAAUUCGCUAAUUUUUUUCAAUUUAGAUUGAUUAAUUAUUUAAAUUGAUGAUUUUUUAACUCGAUGAUCUUUUUUAUAUUCGAUGAAACUUUUUCAUAUUUGAUAGUCUCUGUUCUUUUUCAUAUUCGAUGAAACUUUUUAUAUUCGAUGAAACUUUUAAAUAGAUAGUCUCUGUUCUUUUUCUUCCAAGACGUUCUUCCAAGACGUUCUUUUUCUUCCAAGACGUUCUUCCAAGACGUUCUUUUUCUUCCAAGACGUUCUUCCNNNNNNNNNNNNNNNNNNNNNNNNNNNNNNNNNNNNNNNNNNNNNNNNNNNNNNNNNNNNNNNNNNNNNNNNNNNNNNNNNNNNNNNNGUUCUUCCAAGACGUUCUUCCAAGACGUUCUUUUUCUUCCAAGACGUUCUUCCAAGACGUUCUUUUUCUUCCAAGACGUUCUUCCAAGACGUUCUUUUUCUGCGAGCCCUGUCGGCAUCGAUGGGCGCGGGGACGAGGGCGGCUAUGAGCGCAGCGACGAGCGCAAUGCUUCGAGCGGAGGAAGCGAGGAAGGCGGCGACAGGAAGCGAGGAAGGCGGGCGCGGCGCGGGAAAGAUGAAAGGAUAGGGGUGAACNNNNNNNNNNNNNNNNNNNNNNNNNNNNNNNNNNNNNNNNNNNNNNNNNNNNNNNNNNNNNNNNNNNNNNNNNNNNNNNNNNNNNNNNNNNNNNNNNNNNGCGGAGGACGGCUCGACGGCGAGGAGCAUGGCGCGACGACUAGGAGGACGGUGCGGCGGCGAGGAGGACGGCGCGGCGGCGAGGAGGACGACCGAUGGCGAGCAGGACGGCGGGCAGCCUGACGGCGUCGGUUAGUUCGUCGUUGUGCCGCGCCGGGCAGGAGAACGAGAGGAAGAAGAAGAGAAAUGGACGAAUUGGGUUGCAAAUUUUCGAAGUCCCGCUUAUAUAGGUGGAUCUAUAGUCCUGGUGCGUGGCUCGGGCCGGGACUAAAGACCCCCUUUAGUCCCGGGUGGAGCCACGACCCGGGACUAAAGGCCUCUUUUCGGGCAGACCAAGAGGCAGGACGCAGGGGGUCUUUAGUCCCGGGGCGUGGCUCCAACCGGGACUAAAGGGGGUCUUUAGUCCCGGGGCGUGGCUCCACCCGGGACUAAAGCCCCUCCUCGGCUGCACGAUAAGUUCAGUCCCACCUCGCCCAGCGAGGGGGACUAACACUUGUUUAUAAGCCCCGUCGCAGCUUGUCCAUCGAGCUCCUCUCUAAAGCAGGCUUACGGGCCUAAACUUACUGAAAAUUGAAACAAUAUUCGAAAUUGUGGAUAAAAUUCAAUCUGAAUUCAAAUGAAUUCAGGUCGAAUUUUGUCCAUGAUUUCUCAUAUAGUUUCAAUUUUUUUCUAUUUUCAAAAUUAAUUAUAUUGACUAUCCAAACUAUUAACUUAUUUUGUUAUUUUCAAUUAAAAACUAUGUUUAAUAAAAGUUCUUUUUGCAUAUUUGAGAAUUUGACAAAACUAUGAUAAUGAAAAGUGUUUGAAAUUAAAUAAAUAAUUCAAAACUAUUUUCUAUUUUCAAAAUUAAUAAUUUUGACUAUCCAAACUAUUAACUUAUUUUGUUAUUUUCAAUUAAAAACUAUGUUUAUUAAAAAUUCUUUUUGCAUAUUUGAGAAUUUCACAAAACUAUGAUAAUGAAAAGUGUUUCAAAUUGAAUAAAUAAUGCAAAACUAUUUUUUAUUUUCAUAAUUAAUAAUUUUGACUAUCCAAACUAUUAUCUAUUUUGUUAUUUUCAAUUAAAAACUAUGUUUAUUAAAAAAUCUUUUUGCAUAUUUGAGAAUUUGACAAAAGUAUGAUAAUGAAAAGUGUUUCAAAUUGAAUAAAUAAUGCAAACUAUUUUUUAUUUUCAUAAUUAAUAAUUUUGACUAUCCAAACUAUUAUCUAUUUUUUUAUUUUCAAUUAAAAACUAUGUUUAUUAAAAAAUUCUUUUUGCAUAUUUGAGAAUUUGACAAAACUAUGAUAAUGAAAAGUGUUUCAAAUUGAAUAAAUAAUGCAAAAAUAUUUUUUAUUUUCAUAAUUAAUAAUUUUGACUAUCCAAACUAUUAUCUGUUUUGUUAUUUUGACUUCAUUUGGUAUAUUUCGUGCAUUUACUUUUUUUUUUGAGCUAGUUGACCCUGAAAUUGAAAAGCACUACAAAUGAACUCUGAAAAUGUUGAAAGUUGGCAUGCUAUCAUCAAUUCACCCACAUAGCAUGUGUUAAAAAGUUGAGAGGGCUACGACAAAAACUGGAUGCAGUUCGUGUACAAAACUGACAAUCUCUCUCGAAGUAGCACGGUUUCGAACGAGAACUCAUCUCUUACAAAGGGAUUUCAUUUUUUUUGAACUUAUUUGAACUCCAUACUUUUUGUGUGUUCAAAAUGCACCAUUCAAAGGAACAUCACAAAAUUUCAACAAUUUCUCACUCCAUUUGGUAUAUUUCGUGCAUUUACUUAUUUUUUUUGAGCUAGUUGACCCUGAAAUUAAAAAGCACUACAAAUGAACUCUGAAAAUGUGGAAAGUUGGCAUGCUAUCAUCAUUUCACCCACAUAGCAUGUGUUAAAAAGUUGAGAGGGCUACGACAAAAACUGGAUGCAGUUCGUGUACAAAACUGACAAUCUCUCUCGAAGUAGGAGGGUUUCGAACGAGAACUCAUCACUUACAAAGGGAUUUCAUUUUUUUUGAACUUAUUUGAACUCCAUACUUUUUGUGUGUUCAAAAUUAACGAUUCAAAGGCACAUCACAAAAUUUCAACAAUUUCUGACUUCAUUUGGUAUAUUUCGUGCAUUUACUUAUUUUUUUUGAGCUAGUUGACCCUGAAAUUGAAAAGCACUACAAAUGAACUCUGAAAAUUUUGAAAGUUGGCAUGCUAUCAUCAUUUCACCCACAUAGCAUGUGUUAAAAAGUUCAAAGGGCUACGACAAAAACUGGAUGCAGUUCGUGUACAAAACUGACAAUCUCUCUUGAAGUAGCAGGGUUUCGAACGAGAACUCAUCUCUUACAAAGGGAUUUCAUUUUUUUAAAUUUAUUUGAACUCCAUACUUUUUGUGUGUUCAAAAUGCACCAUUCAAAGGCACAUCACAAAAUUUCAACAAUUUCUCACUUCAUUUGGUAUAUUUCGUGCAUUUACUUAUUUUUUUUGAGCUAGUUGACCCUGAAAUUGAAAAGCACUACAAAUGAACUCUGAAAAUUUUGAAAGUUGGCAUGCUAUCAUCAUUUCACCCACAUAGCAUGUGUUAAAAAGUUGAGAGGGCUACGACAAAAACUGGAUGCAGUUCGUGUACAAAACUGACAAUCUCUCUCGAAGUAGCAGGGUUUCGAACGAGAACUCAUCUCUUACAAAAGGAUUUCAUUUUUUUGAACUUAUUUGAACUCCAUGCUUUUUGUGUGUUCAAAAUGCACCAUUCAAAGGCACAUCACAAAGUUUCAACAGUUUCUGACUUCAUUUGGUAUAUAUUUCGUGCAUUUACUUAUUUUUUUUGAGCUAGUUGACCCUGAAAUUGAAAAACACUACAAAUGAACUCUGGAAAUGUUGAAAGUUGGCAUGCUAUCGUCAUUUCACCCACAUAGCAUGUGUUAAAAAGUUGAGAGGGCUACGACAAAAACUGGAUGCAGUUCGUGUACAAAACUGACAAUCUCUCUCGAAGUAGCAGGGUUUCGAACGAGAACUUAUCUCUUACAAAGGGAUUUCAUUUUUUUAAACUUAUUUGAACUCCAUACUUUUUGUGUGUUCAAAAUGCACCAUUCAAAGGCAAAUCACAAAAUUUCAACAAUUUCUGACUUCAUUUGGUAUAUUUCGUGCAUUUACUUAUUUUUUUGAGCUAGUUGACCCUGAAAUUGAAAAGCACUACAAAUGAACUCUGAAAAUUUUGAAAGUUGGCAUGAUAUCAUCAUUUCACCCACAUAGCAUGUGUUAAAAAGUUCAGAGGGCUACGACAAAAACUGGAUGCAGUUCGUGUACGAAACUGACAAUCUCUUUGGAAGUAGGAGGGUUUCGAACGAGAACUCAUCUCUUACAAAGGGAUUUCAUUUUUUUUAAACUUAUUUGAACUCCAUACUUUUUGUGUGUUCAAAAUGCACCAUUCAAAGGCACAUCACAAAAUUUCAACAAUUUCCGACUUCAUUUGGUAUAUUUCGUGCAUUUACUUUUUUUUUGAGCUAGUUGACCCUGAAAUUGAAAAGCACUACAAAUGAACUCUAAAAAUUUUGAAAGUUGGCAUGCUAUCAUCAUUUCACCCACAUAGCAUGUGUUAAAAAGUUGAGAGGUCUACGACAAAAACUGGAUGUAGUUCGUGUACAAAACUGACAAUCUCUCUCGAAGAAGCACGGUUUCGAACGAGAACUCAUCUCUUACAAAGGGAUUUCAUUUUUUUAACUUAUUUUAACCCCAUACUUUUUGUGUGUUCAAAAUGCACCAUUCAAAGGCACAUCAUAAAAUUUCAACAAUUUCUGACUUCAUUUGGUAUAUUUCGUGCAUUUACUUAUUUUUUUUGAGCUAGUUGACCCUGAAAUUGAAAAGCACUACAAAUGAACUCUGAAAAUGUUCAAAGUUGGCAUGCUAUCAUCAUUUCACCCACAUAGCAUGUGUUAAAAAGUUGAGAGGGCUACGACAAAAACUGGAUGCAGUUCGUGUACAAAACUGACAAUCUCUCUCGAAGUAGCAGGGUUUCGAACGAGAACUCAUCUCUUACAAAGGGAUUUCAUUUAUUUUGAACUUAUUUGAACUCCAUACUUUUUGUGUGUUCAAAAUGCACCAUUAAAAGGCACAUCACAAAAUUUCAACAAUUUCUCACUUCAUUUGGUAUAUUUCGUGCAUUUACUUAUUUUUUUGAGCUAGUUGACCCUGAAAUUGAAAAGCACUACAAAUGAACUCUGAAAAUUUUAAAAGUUGGCAUGCUAUCAUCAUUUCACCCACAUAGCAUGUGUUAAAAAGUUCAGAGGGCUACGACAAAAACUGGAUGCAGUUCGUGUACAAAACUGACAAUCUCUCUUGAAGUAGCAGGGUUUCGAACGAGAACUCAUCUCUUACAAAGGGAUUUCAUUUUUAAAAAUUAUUUGAACUCCAUAAUUUUUGUGUGUUCAAAAUUCACCAUUCAAAGGCACAUCACAAAAUUUCAACAAUUUCUCACUUCAUUUGGUAUAUUUCGUCCAUUUACUUAUUUCUUUUUAAGCUAGUUGACCCUGAAAUUGAAAAGCACUACAAAUGAACUCUGAAAAUGUUGAAAGUUGGCAUGCUAUCAUAAUUUCACCCACAUAGCAUGUGUCAAAAAUUUGAGAGGGCUACGACAAAAACUGGAUGCAAUUCGUGUACAAAACUGACAAUCUCUCUCGAAGUAUCAGGUUUUCGAACGAGAACUCAUCUCUUACAAAAGGAUUUCAUUUUUUUGAACUUAUUUGAACUCCAUGCUUUUUGUGUGUUCAAAAUGCACCAUUCAAAGGCACAUCACAAAAUUUCAACAAUUUCCGACUUCAUUUGGUAUAUUUCGUGCAUUUAUUUUUUUUUUUGAGCUAGUUGACCCUGAAAUUGAAAAGCACUACAAAUGAACUCUGAAAAUGUUGAAAGUUGGCAUGCUAUCAUAAUUUCACCCACAUAGCAUGUGUUAAAAAGUUGAGAGGGCUACGACAAAAACUGGAUGCAGUUCGUGUACAAAACUGACAAUCUCUCUCGAAGUAGCAGGGUUUCGAACGAGAACUCAUCUCUUACAAAGGGAUUUCAUUUUUUUAAACUUAUUUGAACUCCAUACUUUUUGUGUGUUCAAAAUGCACCAUUCAAAGGCAAAUCACAAAAUUUCAACAAUUUCUGACUUCAUUUGGUAUAUUUCGUGCAUUUACUUAUUUUUUUGAGCUAGUUGACCCUGAAAUUGAAAAGCACUNNNNNNNNNNNNNNNNNNNNNNNNNNNNNNNNNNNNNNNNNNNNNNNNNNNNNNNNNNNNNNNNNNNNNNNNNNNNNNNNNNNNNNNNNNNNNNNNNNNNGAAUGGCUCUAAAUGGCUAAGUGUUGGCUGCUGGAUGGGUAUAUAUAGGGGAGGGGCUUUAGUUGCGGUUGGCCUGGCAAACCGUGACUAAAGGUGCCCGAAGGCCUUUAGUCGCGGUUGUCCUGGCCAACCGCGACUAAAGCCCCUCACGUGCACCAGCUGGCCACCGAGCGCCCUGGGCCCAGGCCUUUGGUCGCGGUUCACCUCCAGAACCGCGACUAAAGGUCCCAUUAGUCGCGGUUCCUACAGCUUCGCGACUUAUGGGGCUGGACGGAAGCCUGUUUUUCCACCAGUGCUUGUUGUCUACUUUGUACUAAAUUAUCUAUGUGCCAAAGUUUCAUGACCAUACUAUGACAUGGGGGAGCUCAGGACAGAAAACAUAAAAAAAACCUUUCUCGAUUUUUUUUAUUUUUUNNNNNNNNNNNNNNUUGUGUCCAGAUCUCUCUUGAUGUCAUAUCGUCAUAAAAUUUUGAAGACACAUAGAAAACUUUUCAUCUUUCAUGGACUUAUAUAUUCUUUUUUCAAAAGUUUGCUAUGUUGUUUUGAUUGUACUGUUUGCCCAUAGAAGCAGAUGAGCUCGACCACUGAAACUACCACCUUCCCUAACCAUUUCUUGAAUAAAACUCUUAAUUCCAUGGGAAAUGCAAUUCGGCUAUGUUAAGAAAAUCCUAACAAAAAUGUUAUGUUUUCUUUGUCACAUCCAAAUGCUACCUGGAAAUUUUUAGGCCAAAAGGUUAAGUAUUUUAGCCUGUGCAAAAUAAAAAAAUUAAGCAUCAAUUGUUACCCCAAAAUUUCACACCCAAUUUUUUCCCCGACGAAACACCACUGCUCCGUUUCGGAUGAAAAUUGUCAGGCAUGCUAAUUGAGACAGUAACACGAACAUCUACCAAAAAAUCCAGAGUUUUUAAAAGUAUUUACAAUUAUUUCUUGAAUUACUAUUCAUCCGGGUGCAAAUGCACCCAGGAGUCAAGACACCUCUGCCUCAAGUCCAUGUACAAUGCAAGGUGCUAGUUAGUUGCUUGAAAAAUAAAAUAAAAAAAAUUAAGAACCCGUUUUCGUUUUUAUAGCAGACGUGCGUAAAUAAACACAUGCCCUAUAAUACAAAUAAAAUAAAAUAAACAUCGCUGCUUAAAAAAAAAUUCAUUUCCACAUGCAGGCAUCUCUUUAAUCAGCCUGCAUUGUACAUGAUCAAAGAUGAUAAAGCGUGAUAUACAAUGGUUUUGCUUAAAAAAAAACUAACGUGUGUUUUGCCAGUACAUGCGGCGCCCAAACUAUGAUUACAAAGGAAUGCAACCCAACAUCUGAACUAGCGGAUUUAUGCGUAAUGAUACAGGCAUUUGUUAAUGGGUAAUGCAGCUGGCUAAUCACCAACCACUAGAAUAAUUUUUCCACGCGGACAAAAGCUCAAGCUUUCACAGCCAGCAAUGAUAAAAGGUUAGCCGACCGACGGUGCCAUCCAAUUUGGAAAAACUCAUGCCUGGCUUUGGAGCCUUCCCCAGUCUCCACUGACCAAACCCAUCCGACUAAGCUUCACCAACCCCGGCGCCGGUUUUGAGCCCCUAUUUAUAACGCUCACUUCUGCUCUCCAGGAAACCAACGAACGUUGCGCCAUUACAACAGUCACAACUCACAUCCCUUAUAUCGGUUGUGCGAGUUUGAUCAUCACAGCAAUCAAUGGCCUCCACCAACAGUUGGACCCAUGAGAUUGAGUCGUCGGUCUCUGCAUCGCGCAUCUUCCGUGCCGGUGUCAUGGACUGGCACACCCUGGCCCCCAAACUCGCGCCACAGAUCGUCACCAGCGCCCACCCUGUUGAGGGAGAAGGCGGCAUCGACAGUGUCAGGCAGUUCAACUUCACCUCAGGUAUGCAUCAUAUAUAUACAACUCAUAUCACUUGCAGUCUGGUACACAUGGUCAAAGCAUAACACAUAGUUGAUCUUCCAGCCAUGCCCUUCAACCUCAUGAAGGAGAGGCUCGAGUUCAUUGACGUGGACAAGUGCGAGUGCAAGUCCACCCUCAUCGAGGGUGGUGGCAUAGGCACGGCGAUAGAGUCGGCCACCUCGCAGAUCAAGGUGGAGCCGACAACCAACGGUGGGAGCUUAGUGAAGGUGGAAUCGACAUACAAGCUGCUGCCAGGCGUGGAGGUGAACGAUGAGAUCUCCAAGGCCAAGGACUUUGUGACGGCCAUUUUCAAGGCUGCCG